AAAAAUGCUCAUGUCCUCUAAACAAUUGUGCCAAAAAUUAACGGCUGGAAGAAGAAAGAGAGAGAUGGAUUUCUUGAGUUGUGUACUAUUAUGUCUUAUGGUUGCCUGGAUCGUAAUCCAAGCCCUCCAAUAUUCAUUUGCAAGAAGAAUUCCCACAAACCUUCCACCUGGACCAAAGCCAUUUCCUUUGAUUGGAAAUCUCCUAGAGCUUGGAAACAAACCCCACAUCUCUCUAACCAAGCUUUCAAAACGCUAUGGCCCCAUUAUGACUUUACAACUCGGCCAGAUAACAACAGUUAUAGUUUCUUCAUCCGCCGUAGCCAAACAAGUCCUCCGCACCCACGACCAAUUCUUCUGCAACCGAACUAUCCCAGAUGCAGUCCAAGCCUGCAAGCAUGCCAAGUAUGGCAUGCCCUGGCUGACGGUUUCCUCCACGUGGAGAAACCUCCGCAAAAUAUGCAACUCCCAUCUUUUCGCGGCCAAAGUUCUCGACGCCAAUCAGGCCAACCGUCACCUAAAAGUGCAGGAGCUCAUAGCUGACGUUAAGGAAAGCGUUGUGAAAGGUAAGGCGGUUGAAGUUGGAAGGGCUGCUUUCAAAACUACGCUCAAUUUGAUGUCACGGACUGUGUUCUCUGUGGAUUUAGCGGACCCGAACAGUGAGAGGGCUAGAGAGUUCAAGGAGUUGGUGUGGAGUAUUAUGGAGGAGGCUGGGAAGCCAAACUUGGCUGACUAUUUUCGUGUGCUUAAGAAGAUUGAUCCCAUGGGGAUACGGCGCCGUUUGGGCAAGCACUUCCAGAAGAUGAUUGAUCUUUUUGACCGCAUGAUCGUCCAAAGGUUAGAAUCAAGGAAGUCACGUGAUUAUGUCACCGGGAAUGAUAUGUUGGAUACUCUUAUAAACAUGAGCGAAGAGAAAAAUGAGGAUAUGGACAUGGCUGAAACUCAACAUUUGUUUCUGGUUAGUUGCUACUCUAGCUCUAUUAAUUAAUUGAUAAUUAAAUUGCUUAGAUAUUAUAAUGAUAACUUAUUAACGUAACUUAUUGCUAGAUUGUGUACCAUCUUAAUUGAUCAUUUUAAAAUUAUGACUAUGGUCACUUUUAUUUUUGUUGAGAUGGUAUAAGUACGUUAAUCCUACACUGAUCAAGGUUUUGUGUUCGAUCCCCUUAUAUUGCUUUUAUUAAACAAACUAUUAUAAUUUUUUUUCUCAUUAUAUGUCUAUGUGCGCAUAUUAAUUUGACUAAUUAACUUUUUGGUGAAUUAGGAUUUAUUUGGUGCGGGCACAGAAACAACUUCAGCCACAUUAGAAUGGGCAAUGGCUGAGCUAUUACGCAACCCUGAAAAGCUAUCAAAAGCUCAAGAGGAGUUGAAACAGGUCGUUGGCAAAGGAAAACCAGUGGAGGAAUCAGACAUCACUCGGCUCCCUUACUUACAAGCCAUAAUCAAAGAGACCUUCCGACUGCACCCAGUUGUCCCACUUCUUCUCCCUCGCAGAGCCCAAGCAGACAUAGAAAUCUGCGGUUACAUUGUACCAAAGGGUGCACAAGUGCUGGUCAACGCAUGGGCCAUCGGCAGAGACCCCAGCAUUUGGGACAACCCUACCUCAUUUAUCCCUGAAAGGUUUUUGGGAUUGGAUAUCGACGUUACUGGCCAGAACUUUGAGCUUAUUCCGUUUGGUGGUGGGAGGAGAAUAUGUCCUGGGUUGCCUUUGGCGAUGAGAAUGUUGAAUUUGAUGUUGGGUUCGCUUAUUAACUCGUUUGAUAAUUGGAAGCUUGAAGAUGGAGUUGUGCCAGAAAAAAUGACCAUGGAUGAGAAGUUCGGCCUCACUUUACAAAUGGCUCAUCCUGUGAUAGCUGUGCCCAUCAAGUAUUAGGAGAACCAAACCUAGCUAGCUAUGGUUUCUAUAAUAAAUAGAUUUAUGUUUUUAUUAGGGAGUUAUAAUAAUUAAUCCUGCUAAUGAUAGGAAAUGGUCAGUUGUCAGUUAUGUUGUUAUUAGGCCAUAACUCCAUAUUUAUGUGUAUGAUAAUGGCUUGUUCUAAUUGUAGAUUGUUCUCUACAUAUUUAUAUAUUUUAUAAUGAUCAUAUGAAUGACUAAGGAGAAAAUAGUUUCUAUAUGGAAUAUGGUAUCAGAGCUAAUGGCUAACGCCGAUUAGCGAUUCUCCAGUUGCCAACAUUGAGAGUUGUUGGCGCUCCUCACUCCUCACCCCUCACCCGUAAGGGUGUUUGUUUAUGUUUAGUGCUUUUUCCUCCCCUCUUCUCAAAGAUGAAUAUGUUUUUUUCUUUCCAUGUUAGAGAUUUUUUUUGUAUUGUUUCAUCCUCGGUUAUAUUAACUGCGGGCAUCGGCGGCUUCUUUCUUUUUGUUGUGCCUGAUAAAAUUGACCUUAGAUGGCUUCAUUUUCUUCAAAUCACCCCAGUUGCCUUUCCCAAUCUGUCUUGAUGAGAUUGGACAAAUAACUUUAAUGGACCAAUAUGCGCAACCCAUGUAGAAAGCCAUAUCUAUUAUAGGGUGGACUCCUAUCCUGGUGUAUGAUUUUUGUUUUGUAAAAUCACCCCAGUUGCCCUUCAAAAUGAUGGUAGAUUGACCUUGCGAAGGCUAUAUCUAAAGGAAAAGCAAACAGAGCCAUGCCACUAGAACACAGAUUUUUGUUUUGUAAAUUUUUUAUUAAGUUAUUCGGUGUUGAUUUUUCAAUUUAAAAAAUGUAUUUGGAAAUCUUGUUGGCUCAAUCACUUUUCUUUCUUUGUUUCUAAUCUUCUAGAUUUGGGAGGGCCUACUUCGGCAACGGGUGAGAAAUGGUGUUAGAAGGGGAUGGAAAAGUCGUUGAAAAAUUAGGUUGGUUUUAUUUAUAUAUUUUUUAUUUAUAGUGAAAUGAUGGAAAUGGAAGCAUGUGAUUUGAUUUAACGGAAAUUUUUAAAGGAGUUUGAUGUAGGUGGUAAAUAUUCCAACACCUUAAAUAAUUCAAGUGGUUACUAGAAAAAAUUAAAAAUUCAUGUAGUAAUCCCACACGCACCUAGAAGUUCGGAUGAUAUUUAUGUAAAUUCCCCAUUAAGGUAAAUAGAGAGCUUGUAAAAGCUUCCACUUCUAACAAAUAAGUCCGGACCCAAAUUGUUCUCGAAUGUCUUUGCCUAAGUUUGUCUCUUAGCUUAGAGGAUAUAUAUAAACAACUUAAAAGAGUUAGUCUUGAAAAGAUAUUUUCAUGCUUUCUCGAUAAGUCUCAACAAUCGUGCCAAAAAUUAAUUAAGAGUUAGGCGAGAGAUGGAUUUCUUGUGUUUGCAUGCAAAUGUGUCUUAUGGUUGCCUGGAUUUCUUGUGGGGAGCUGGGAGGAGAAAGGGAUGGAGAGAAAGAGAGGGGGUUUAUUUAUUUAUUUAUUAUAAAUAUUUUUUUAAUGUUAUUUUAUUUUUAUUAUAUAAUUAAUUUAUUAUUUUUUUAAAAAAACGGCGGGUCCUAUAGUGGACUCGUCAUCAAUUACACUAAACGGUCAACUUAACAGAAGGUUUAAAUUGGUCAAAUUUGAAAAUUAUCAAGUGUAAAUUGUUGAAAUUGAAACUCGAGAGCCUAUAUUGAGAAUGAUCCUAAAUCUUCAGGAAGUCUUUUGACGUUAGUCGUAAUAUAUAUUUGUAAUUCCAUGAGUGUUUCAUGUUGCAUGCUCCGCGGGUCCUUUUCAAAAAAAUAAGCCAUGUGAACAAGAGUGAAUUUAGCUGAAGACAUGUCAUGUCUUCUGUUCAUAGAAAAACAACAAAGAAACUUUCUUUCCACAAAUGCAUGAGUGUUUUGUCUCCAUGCGUCAGGCAUCUCAAUUUUUAAAAUUGAUUGGUAAUAAGAAUAUAUCUCAGAGCAUUCACAAUGGUAGCAUGUAAAAGAGGGUGUAUAUCAAAUUUACAUUUUCUGUCGCCGGAAUCAGCUCCAAUGGUCGUAUGUAAAUGCAUUCUCAGGCUGAGAUGUAAAAAAAGAUGGAAGUUUACAUCUUUUUUCACAUCCUAGAAGCGGGUUCCACGACUGAUAAAAGAGGAGAGAGGAGAAAGAAGAGCAGCAAAAUUUCUGGAAUUAUGUGCCCCACACUCGCGAAUACAACUUCAGUCGCCCAACAUAACUUAGUUUGGGCCCCACUUGUGGCUUAGUGCACUUGAUUUAAUGGCAUUUGAAUUGGUGCUCCAACAGAUAAAACAUCAUACGACUCUAAUUUUUUACAAACCCCAAAAUGAUUAAUCUAAAGGCCCAAACAAUUUCUAAACAAACCCCAAAACCAUCUAAUUGUCUAAAAUUGAUGCAAAAAAAGGCCUAAUUUUUUCUUCUUCUAAUUUUCUAUAUAUAAGCACAACCUUUGUUCACAAAAAUACCACUCUUUAUAACUUAUUCAAAUUUAAAUAUUUUUAGGUUUAUUUUUUUAGAAAAAUAAAUAAAUCUAACACACACAAAAUUAAUUUCAAAAUGUUAACACACACACAAAAAAUAACACAAAAUCGAAUUAACACAAGAAAACCAAAUAUACAUCUUUAUAUUUACAUCUUCCCCAUUGGAGCAAAAAUUACAUAUACAUCCCCCAGAGAUGUAAAGAGGAUGUAAAAGUGGUUUUACACCCCCAAAAAUACAACCCCCCACUGUGGAUGCUCUAACAAGGCAUGAGCUCCUACUGGGAAAAAAAAAUUCAAUAGGGCCAAUCAUUAGUUAUUUUGAAUUCUAGCUACCCAUUCUUUGACUCACCUGCAUAUAUAUAGGGGAAUGCUAGCAACCUUCUCUCUAAUCUUCUCUUUUGGACUUUCUCCCUUUUUCUUAUGACAUGUGUCACUUUCUUUACACUAAAAACAAUGUAAUUAAUGCAUCAAAUAAGAUAACAUUUGUUUCCAAAUUUGCCCUUAUUUUUUGUAUUGAUUUUAAUGUUUCCUUAAAUUUAUUAUCCAAAUUUGUUACAACUUUCUUAUCACCUUGUUAAAAAAUUAAAUAAGAAAAAAUAUUAGUUUUUUUUUUUCCUUUUUUGAAAGACUCCAACAAAUAAGACUUACCUAAUUAAUGGUUUAGAAAAAAAUAUUACCGAAUUAAUGGUUUGAAAAUGCAAUCAAUGAACUUCCUUUUAAAACAGACUUCCUUAGAAGGACGACUUUUGUCCGUAUGAAAAAAAAGAUAUAUCUUUUGUGGAUUUUUUUAAGGUCAUUAUUGUGUUUAAAAAAAAAAGUUUUUCCUCUAAAAAAAAUAGACAUUUUCUUUUUUAAAAAACAGAAUUUUUUAAUAUUUUAAUAUUUUUUACAUAUGGUAAGAGAGUUGCAAAAAAAAAAUUGGAUAAAUUGAAGGACAAUACAUUUAAUAAGGGUAAACUUGAAAAACAAAAGGCGGUUUGUUCGAUGUAUUAAUGUCAUUAUUUUAAGUGUAUGGGAAGUGACACAUGUCAUGAGGAAAAGGAAGAAGGUCCAAAAGAGAAGGUUGGAGAGAAGGUUACUAGCAUUCCGCAUCAUUCAAUGAAACAAACUCUAACAGUUAGUUCUUUCUCAUGUGAAAUUUUUUACAUUUCUCACUUCUUCACAUGCACACUGCCUUUUCUUAAUUGGUCUGUCAAUUUUCUAUUAUGUAUGAACUUAUUAAUGUGUAUGAGUUCCUAUCGUGUAUUGGGGGAACAAACAAAAAGGAAGACAGAUUAGUCAAUGAAAUAAUAUAUGGAAUUUCCAUUCUUUCUUUAUGUAAUUUUCAUAUUAAAUGACGAAGAAAAUUCUAGAGGAAGACAGAUUAGUCAAUGAAAUCAUGUAUGGAAUUUUCGUUCUUUCUUUAUGUGAUUUUCAUAUUAAACGACGAAGAAAAUUCUAGAGGAAGACAGAUUAGUCAAUGAAAUAAAUUAUGGAAUUUCCGCUCUUUCUUUAUAUAAUUUUCAUAUUAAAUGACGAAGAAAAUUCUAGAGGAAGACCGAUUAGUCAAUGAAAUAAUGUAUGAAAUUUUUGCUCUAGGAAGACAAAUUAGUCAAUGAAAUAAUGUAUGCAAUUUCCUCUCUUUCUUUAUGUAAUUUUCAUAUUAAAUGACGAAGAAAAUUCUAAAGGUAGACUUAUCAGAAAAGGAUAUACAUUUGCUCAUAAAUGAAAAAGUAAAAUACAUGUCCUCCUCCUUUGUUCUGGAGAAUGGGACAAAAGUGGGUGGUUAUAAGACUUUGAGGAAGGCUUUUACCAAUCAAUCAAUGAAGACUAGAGGAAGACUUAAAUACCAACGAAUGGCUCCUUUUUUGGUUAGGGGAACGUGUGUGUGGGUGUUAAAAUUCAUUGGAGAAAGACUAGAGGACUAUACCACAUCAUGUGGUAGAUAAUGUGUCAAUUUGCAAAUAGCUUUAGUAGCAAGUGGACUAUACUAGCCACCUACAACUUUAAGCCUGAUCAUUCAGAUAAUGCUUGUAUCUUCUGUUUUACUGCGGUUGCUAGCACAAAGAAAGCCGAUGCUUUCGUUGCCUCUUCUACCUCCACGCGGCAUUGCUCUGUCGGGCUUUCUCCUAUUGCAGAUAAUUCCCCACUACUGCCUUCGGUAGGAGUAUGGGCUGUGUCUCAAUUAGUGUGGUUGAUCUUCCGAAUUGCCUUAGUUAGCUUUGCCUUACCAACUACCUAAUUAGACACAAGGCCUCUCCUCGGAGAGAAAGUUACUAGCAGAACUGUAUAAAACUUUUAACAGUUGUCACAUAUGAUUAGGUGUGUUAAACCCCUUUCAACCUUAACUCUAGAAUUACACAGAGUAACAAGUAUUAUUUAUUGAAUUAUCGAAACAGUACAAUAUUCUCAACAACUCAUUCUUGAUACAAUAAUUGCCUAAUAUAGCUGUAAGCUCUCAUUAACCAAUUAUGUUAGAAACUAAUAGUCCUGAUCUCUUGGACCAUAGGGGUCCAAGAAAUUUGUGGUCACUCACCGUUGGAUGUAAAUUCAACGGUUCACUCACUCUUGCACUCAUUUUAAUAAACUUUUUUAUACCAUUAGAUUAAUAUCCAACGGUGGGUGACCACAAUCUCUUGGACUCCUGUGGUCCAAGAGAUCGGGACUGUAGAAACUAAUUUCUUAACUAAUCAAUUAAUAAACUGACUAUGCCAGGUCAUCACUAAUCCAGCUCAACAAUGAUGAAGGUUCCUAACAAUGUGAUCAGCAGAUGUGACAUAGUGUUAUUGAUUAAAAUAUAGCCAUCCCUACCACCUCAUGUAAAUCCCACAAGACUCCCAUUCAAGGAGGGAAAGAAAGUAGGGGGAAUGCUAGCAACCUUCUCUCCAACCUUCUCCCUUUUUCUCAUGACAUGUGGAUUUUUUUAAGGUCAUUACUGUGUUUUUUUUAUAACAAAAAAAAAAAAAAAACGUUUUCCUCUAUAAAAAAAAAAAAAGAAGACAUUUUCUUCAAAAAAAAAAAUUUUUUGUUUAAAAUUUUUCACAUAUGGUAAGAGAGUUGUAAGAAAAAUUGGAUAAAUUGAAGGACAAUACAUUUAAUAUGGGUAAACUUGGAAAACAAAAGAUGGUUUGUUUGAUGUAUUAAUGUCAUUAUUUUAAGUGUAUGAGAAGUGACACAAUGUCGUGAGAAAAAAGAAGAAGGUCCAAAAGAGAAGAUUUAAGAGAAGAUUACUAGCAUUCCUCAUAUAUAUAUAUGUACUUUUUUUGAUGAGAAAAGUCCCUUCGAGUGGACAGGAAAUUGUACUUUUUUUGUCUUUUCGCAUUUUUCUUUUCAUGUUCAAGUAGUUUUGGACCAUCCUCUUUCAAAGCAGACAUGUGCAGUUGCAAAAGACCAUCGUGCAUGUUUAUGGGAAAAAACAAAACCUCUAGCCCACUUGGCUAAAAAUUAUUGUAUGUAUGUCAUUUACCUUCUUUUUUUUUUUUUUUCCUGCAUGUCAUCUACUAUUUUACGUGAUAUGUGCAUCUGUGAGAAUGAUAGCUCUCAAACGCUAGGCACCACGAGUGAUAAAUUAUUUUGAUUAUAGAAUUUAUAGUUAAAUGAUUUUAACUAUGUGGAAUUUUUUAGACCAAAACUCGAUUUAUUCAAAUUAUAAUAGUUAAGUUUAACAACUUUUGUGCAAUUAGAACCAGAGAGAGAAUGGAUUUCUUGAGUUUUUGUAUCAUCAUGCUAAACCUUUUCUUUGUGUUGUUGUUCUCAAUUAUUCAAGCUCUGCAAAGCAAAGCCAAUCCCAAAAGGCAUCUUCUCCCACCUGGACCAAAGCCAUUUCCCUUUAUUGGCAAUCUUCUAGAGCUUGGCAACAAACCCCAUCUGUCUCUCACCAAGCUUUCUCAAAUCGGCCAAUAUUCAUAUUGGGGAUUCCCCAUCCCCACCUUCAAUGGGGAAUGGGUUCCCCAUCUAGCCCCACCUUUUGAGAUUGGCCUUGCUUUGCAGAGCUUGAAUAAUUGAGAACAACAACGCAAAGAAAGAUGACACUAGGUAUGUCAGAGGUCGUAUACUCAAGAAAGAUGGCACCAGGUAUGAUUUUACGUAUUUCAGAUUGUGUGAAAGAUUUUGAACAUGUAUGUUAAAGAAAUCUAACAGUUGGUAUUAGAGCCAGGUUGUUUGCACAAACUAAAAUCGUUUUUCAAGCAUGCCUAUUACGAUUUCUUAUAUGUUUAUGCCAUGAUGAGUUUUUGGUGAUGUUCAAAAUUUGAAGAUGGAUUAAACAUAUUUUCUAAAUAUCAAGAAUAUUAAAGAAUCUGGAAAAGCAUGUUUUAAUUUGAUUUUCAUAUCUUCAAAACUUUAAACCCAUUUUUGACCUACCCGAUGACCUUAAAACCCCAAAAAUGACCAUAUGUAAUAGCACAGCUGUGAGUUGUGUUAAUUAGGUCAUUCCCUAUUCAGAAAGGUAUUUUGUGUAAGAUCCCACAUCAACCAACGGAGAGGGGGUGAUGUGCCUUAUAUGUGCACACCCGCAUCCAUCUAGCACGAGACCUUUUGGGAGCUCACUGGCUUCAGAGUCGCAGGAACUCCGAAGUUAAGCGAGUUAGGAGAUAGAGUAAUUCCAUGAUGGGUGACCCACUGAGAAGUUGCUCGUGAGCUCCCAGAAACAAAACCGUGCCGGCAGAGAGGGGGGCCCAAAGCUGACAAUAUCGUGCUACGGCGGAGCCGAUCCCGGGAUGUGACAAUUUGGUAUCAGAGCCACUCUGCCGUGUGGUACGAGUGUGCCAACAAGGACGUCGGGCCCUUAAAGGGGGUGGAUUGUAAGAUCCCACAUCAACCAACAGAGAGGGGGUGAUGUGCCUUAUAUGUGCACACCCGCAUCCCUCUAGCACGAGGCCUUUUGGGAGCUCACUGGCUUCGGAGUCGUAGGAACUCCGAAGUUAAGCGAGUUGGGGGCUAGAGCAAUUCCAGGAUGGGUGACCCACUGGGAAGUUACUCGUGAGCUCCCAGAAACAAAACCGUGCGAGCAGAGAGGGGGGCCCAAAGCGGACAAUAUCGUGCUACGGCGGAGCCGAUCCCGGAAUGUGACAGAAACAAAUCCUUAGCACAUGAGUUUGUUGUAUUAUUAGAUACUAAUCAUCCGGCACACAUACUAUGCAUGAGUAGAGAAUAAAUAUCCCUCAUUACAUUAACUUUUUAGUUGUGGGUCAAAUCCAGAUCUUCCGUUUUCUUCUCUACUCUAUAUAUAUAUAUAUUUUUUUUUUUUGCCAAAAUUAGGAAGGAGAAAAUGUUUGCUCACACACACACUACAUAUCAAGGUGGUACGGAAAAUAUAACCUGAGACCACUAUUCUACACAUCAUUGCCCAUUUUCAUUGGGCUAAACUUCAUUGAUCAUUGUCCUAUGGAGCAACUUCAACUGGUAGUGCAGGGGCAAUUUGGUCCAUAAAUAAUAAUAAAAACCAGUAAUUUUAUUUUUAUUUUUAAAAGUUUAACUUUCAAAAUACAAAUAUAAUUUUUUUAAUCCUUUUAAAAGUAAACAAUACAAUUUAUAUACAUACAUAUAUAUAUAUAUAUAUAAUCAUUCCUUUCUCACUCUUGUCUUUCACAAAGUCCCAGAUUCAUCUUCAAGUUGGAAUCUAGGCAAGCACUUCGUCGUUAACCAUCACCACCACUUCUAGGUAUUCGUGCUACAACAACCAUCACAGUCACUUCAUCAGCUGCGGUCUUACCUUUUGAAGGCCCUAGGUCUUACAGCAAAGGUGGAAUAGGUUGAUAGUACUGAUGUUCUUGAGGGCAUGCUUGUUAGAGAAAACAUAUUCAAAUGUAAAGAAUUGUAAUGAAAAGGAGGCUCUUUUUGUGAUUGUUGGCUUGUUGAGUUGAGUUGGAAAUUCAAGUGAAGGGAUUUUAUAGGACAAAAAAUGGGAUAUUUAGGCCCCGUUCGGUUAAGUUUUAAGGGGUUGUUUUCAUUUUCAGAGAACAAAAAUGAGGUAAGAACAUGUUCGAUGGCCCAAAAGCAGAAAACACUGAGAAUGUUUUCAUAAAAUGAAAACAAGUUCACGUGUACUUGUAGAAAACAGAAAAAAGAUGUUUUUAUUCUCACGGGAAACGCUCAAAAUAGGGGGAAGAGAGAGAGAGAGAGAGAGAGAGAGGGUUGCGACCUUCAACUGCAUCAAUUAAGAUAAGGGGAAGAUAGAGGGAGGAGAGGGCUAUCUUUUUCAAGUGGUGGCGCAGCUUAAGGUGACCGGAAUUGGCACUGACGAUGGUGACAGCUACUGGGCAGUUUUCCAGUCAAAAUCUAGCACUAUCUUGAGCCUCGAUUGAUGGGUGGGUUAGGUAGAGGAGGAAGAGAGGAGGAGUUUAAUGGUGAUGGCACCAGUUGACGUGACUGGACGACGAAGAAUCGCCGGUCUGAAAGUGAGAUAGAGCGCAGGGAGAGAGAGAGAGAGAGAGAGAGAGAGAGAGAGAGAGAGAGAGUUAGGGUGAGGGAGGGAAGAGGAAGAAAGAAAGGAGGAGGAGAAAACAGAAAAAGAAAGGGAAAAAAUUGAAAAAAUAAAAAAUAAAAGAAAUAAAUAUAGUUUUUAUUUAAAAAUAAUAAUAUAAUGUUAAAUUAUACAUUUAAAAAAAAUCUUUUUAGAACAUAAAUUAGCAAAAAUACACUUGAAAAAUAACUCAUAUGUUAUUAUUUUCAAAUUGUACUACAAGACACAUUUUCAUUAUUUUUAUUUUCUGAAGAUGUUUUCUAAUUAAUCUACCAUACGCAUUUUCAAUUCCUGAAAAUGCAAAUUCGUUUUCUUAUUUUCAUCCUCUAAAAAUAUUUUGUCAAAACAUUCUCCAAAAAUGUUAUCGAAUGGGCCCUAGCUUCCACUUCAAGCUGUUUGAGUAGAUAUACUAAAGUUGAUGCUUAAAAUAUUAGGCUUUCCCCAAACUUUUGAAACCUGGUCAAUGUUCGGAUGAGAGGCAAGCUUCUGAAGCAAUUUUCAAAAGGAAUUUAGGUAUUUUAUUUAUGACAAAAAGUCAAUUUUUUUGAUUCCUAUGGUUUAUUAUUUUUACUAUUAAGGUCCUUAUUUUUAAAAUUUGAUAAUUUUUGUUCUUGUGGUUUCAAUUUGAAGCAAUUUAAGGACAAUCCUCAAUUUGUGUCAAAUUUUUUUUUUUUAAAAAAAAAAAACUUCAACUAGUUUGGGAACGUUGGGAAAUGAGGUUUGGUUACUCAUGUUUGGUUACUGCAGUAAUUAGGAAUGAAAAGUUAUCAAGGUAUGAAAUUCCCCAUACAUUGGAAGUCCAUAUCCAUGAGUCCAUAAUUACAUUCCCAAGUAUCACUACUACGUUUUAAUAUUUGUGCAACGAACAAGAAUUCGUCGUGCAAAAUGCACUACGGCGACGGAAAAAAUUAGGGAGAUUCACUAUUAUACCCAAUACAUGGGCCCAAAUUAUAAAAAUACCAUAUAUGAAAUGGACUUUAGAAACACACCCAAAGCCUGUUUACAACAUAACAAAGAGGCUUUAACUUCUUAUAAAUUGCAAAACUGCCAUCAAUUUCUUAAAACAAGCCCAACCCGAAAAUCUCAUAAAAAUACCCAAAAUACUCAAUAGGGCAUCAAAGUAAUUUAAUAAUUAAUAUUAAAUUCAAUAAGGCCAGCUGUCAUUUUUUGGGUUUGUUUAUAGAAAUUCAAUAGUGUAGGGUUUAUUUAUAAUAUUAGUGCUAAGAAUGGGUAUAUCACUAAAUAUCUCAAAAAAUUAAUCGUCAUGUAAACCACUGAAAACUGGAGCGUCCAAAAUUUCCGUCGCGCAAAAAGUCUUAGUGCAACAGAAAACUUAUGCGUCGCUCAAAGUGAGGAAGAAAAACGCGCAAAAGAAACUUAGCCCGACGACAUGAUUUAUCGUUGCAUAAGAAAAAAGUGGGAUUUUUUUUUGGCCCAAAAAUACUUGUAUGGGAUUUUUUUUAGCGCCAAACCCUUGCGCGACGGAAAUAUAGUUUGUCACGUAAAGUUUAAUGUCGGUACAUUCUUGUGUGACAGAAAUUGGCUUUCACGUGACGGCGGUUUGCUUUUGGGCGAUGAAAGUUUGUGCGAUGAAUCAAAUUUUGCGUCGCGCAAAAGUGUGAUGUCGACACGUGCUUGAGCGGCGAAUAAGUUAUUUUGUGCGACGAAAAAGUGAUUUUGUGCGACGGAAUUUUUUUUUUUUUGCAAAUGCAGUUUGCGCAACGAAAUCAUGGGUCCGUCGUGCAAAGUCCUUCUUCUUUAUAUCUGUAUUCUACCAUUGCAGAGGCAUAAUGCAAAAAAAAAAAAAAAACAUUUUGCCUCUCUCUGCCGCUGCCUCUGCUGGGAAUUCAGUACGUUCAUUGGGUAAGUAAUUUUUGUCGUUAGUUUAAAAGUAUUAAUGUAAAUUCAUACUAACACUAUUAAUUUUGUUCUCGUUAGGGAUAUUUGUAAUUAGCGUUUGGUAGAGAACGAUUGAGAAGAUAUUUUAUUCGUUUUAUAUAUUUAAAAUGUUAAAUUAAUUACAUUAUAUUAAACUUACUUUGUGAAGUUAUAUUUAUAUUAUGGUAUUAAAUUGUGAGUGACGUAGCACAAUGUGUUGUGAUGUACGAAGUUAAUUGAAAUGAACUUCGUACUUUUAUUUUUAUUUUUAGUAACACUUAGUUUCCCGUUUGAUAUUAGUUGGAUUUCGUGCAUGGAUGCGUAAAGCAUGACUGCGGUCCAAUUAAUUCUUGAAUUGUCCCAUUAUUUGGAUAGUUUGGGAAUGCAUAGUUAUGUCACGUAAUGUACGGCUACAUGAUUAAAUUUUGAUUGUGGAGAUUUUGGUGUUAUCUCUGUACGUUCUUCAAGUGGUACAUAGGUAUUUAUACCUACAGUACACCUCAAGAACUGUAUCGAGAUGCUGUCGAAAUUCAUCCGCGUCGAAAUCUAAUCUCAUGUAGUCGUACAUUACGUGACAUGACUAUGCAUUCCUGAAUGGGAUAGGGCCCUUACCGGAGGCAUAAGGUGACAAUAUGGCUUCGUAUGAAGUUGUUGUGAUUGUUGUGUUGUGAUUGUGGUUUCAGGAAUUGUGAGCAGGAGGUGGAUACAUAACCCGAAUAGAUACACAGACGAAUACUUGGAUGAAAUUGAGGAUUUUAUUGAGUUUGCACGUACACACAACCCGGGUGCAACUAGAAUCCGUUAUCAUUGUAGGAGGAGUAAUAACACGUUGUGGGAGACAAUUGAAAAUGUUGGAUUUCAUUUAGUAAGGAGUGGAAUGAUUGAGACAUAUAACAUUUGGAACCUUCACGGGGAACAAUUAGACCAUGCUUCGUUUUCAAAUGCCACAAGAGUGGACCAUGUUGAACCUAUUAUGGAUCCUAAUGAAGAAGUCAUGGAUCUUAUACACGAUGCUUUUCCAUUUGCAUCGACCAACAUCAAUUAGGAAGGGGAAGAUGACGUGCCUACACCAAUGGACAAUGCAGAGUUUGAACAAUAUAAAAAAUUGUUAAAAAAUGCCAAAAGAGUUAUACUCGGGGUGCGAGAGCUUUUCCGUUCUCACGGCCAUUGUGGAGCUAAUGCAUGAAAAAAUAAAGUAUCGUAUGUCGAACUUGUGUUUCGAUUACUUUUUGGGGGUUUUCAAGAGAAUGCUUCUGACGGACAAUUGUUUGCUGAAAAACCAUAAACACGCACAUAAGGUAUUGAAUGGUCUUGGAUUGGGUUAUGAAAAAAUUCACACUUGCAAAAACAAUUGCAUGUUAUUCUACAAAGAGCAUGAAACAUUGGAUACAUGCCCUAUAUGCAAUGAGUCGAGGUUCAAAAUGACAUCUUAGAAUAGAACGACUAAGAUCCCACAAAAAGUCAUGCGUUAUCUGCCCCUGAAACCUAAGUUCAGCGAUUGUAUAUGUUGACGUAUACUGCCACAAACAUGAGAUGGCAUAAGGAAAAACGGGUAGACGACGAUGUGAUGCGGCAUCCUACAGAUGGGGAGGCAUGGAAAGAGUUCGAUUGAACGUUUCCCGAGUUUGCUGCUGAUCCUGAAAUGUUAGAUUGAGACUUGCCACUGACGGAUUCAAUCCGUAUGGGGUUCUAAACCAACACCACAGCACUUGGCCGAUUUUCGUAGUCACAUAUAAUUUGCCGCCUUGGAAAUGCAUGAAAAAAGAAUACAUGAUGAUGACUGUUUUGAUAACUGAGGAUCUUGGCAAGUCAAUCAAUGUUUACUUAAGGCCACUGGUUGAUGAGUUGAAUGAUUUAUGGACAAACGGUGUGCGCACGUACGAUAAAUCAAGUGGGAUGAUGUUCACUUUGCGGGCAGCAGUUAUGUGGACUGUGAAUGAUUUUCCCGCAUAUGUAAUGGUUUCUGGGUGGAGCAAAAAUGGUUAUAUGGCAUGUCUUGUAUGCACGGAAGAUGUAACUUCUGGUUGGCACGCUGGAAAGGUUUGUUACCUUGGUCAUCGGAGAUGGUUGCCAUGGGACCACGAGUGGCUGAAAAAAGAUAAAGAGUUUGACGGGAACACAUAGCGUCGCCUCAGACCUAGAGAAUUGUUCGGUGAUGAGAUCAUGGAACAGCUUAACAGUUUGGAUUUUGCUCCAUUCGAGAAAACAGUUAGUCGGACCAGACUAUGUUUUUUGAGCUUCCAUAUUGGUCGAAACUAAGAUUGAGGCACAAUCUAGAUGUGAUGCAUGUUGAGAAAAAUGUAUUUGACACAUUGGUGGGUACGAUUCUAGAUAUUGAGGGCAAGACAAAGGACACGAUCAAAGCUCGUCUUGAUUUGGAAAGAAUGGGCAUAUGAAGGGGUUUAUGGAUGAAUAGGGACAGUGAUAAAGGUUGAAGGGAUCUUGCAUUUUUUCUAGGAAACCUAAUGAUAAAAAGAGUUUCUAAAGUUUGUAUCAUCUGUAAAGUUUCUCGAUGGGUUGUAAUAUCGCACGUUGCGUGAGUGUUGACGGGGGUAAAUUUGCUGGACUAAAGAGCCAUGACUGCCAUGUGUUUAUGCAACGCCUACUUCCAGUGGGUAUUCGACACCUAUUGUCGAAAGAUGUAGUGAAGCCAAUCAUGUUGUUUUCCAAAUUUUUUUUCACAACUGACUGCAAAAACGUUGCGAAAGACAGACAUUUAUCAAUUGCACCAUGACAUUGUCCAAGUCCUAUGCAAGUUUGAGAUGAUAUUCCCUCCAGCUUUCUUCACAAGUAUGAUCCACAUAAUGGUUUACUUGCCAGAAGAGGCAUUGCUUGCUGGUCCUGUCAACUAUCGCUGGACGUAUCCAAUAGAAAGGUAUAUAAUCCUUAUCAUUUGUGUAUUCAUCAUUAUCACAUGCUUGCUAAUUUGUAUCAUAUCGUUUUAUUUUGGCAGGCUUCUAGGAGAGAUGAAAAAAAUGUACGCAACAAGGCGUAGCCCGAAUGAUCAAUUAUAGAGGCUUGGGUUCUAUAUGAGUCACUUACUUUCUGUGGAAUGUAUUUAAAAGACGUGGAGAUGGCUUUCAAUCGUCCCCAGCGCAAUAUUGACGGAGGUAUGAGAAAUGAAAAACUUUCUGUUUUUGCCCAAAGCACACGAAACUUUGGAGAUCCUUGAUGAGGAGAGUCAUUUUUCAAAAAUGACAUGGAGGUAUCGUAUUGGUUCAUACUGAACAAUUGUGAUGAGAUAAUGGCAUACUUAGAUGGGCAUGAAGAGAUGAUGAAGCGAGAACAUCCAUCACAUUUGUAUGCUCAAAAACACCAUGAAUUGUUUCCACAAUGGUUUUUGGAUUUUGUAAGUUAUAAGUGUUUUGUAUUUGACAAAUAUAUAUUGUAGUAUUUAAUUUUGUCAAACUAACAUGUGAAUGGUUUUGUAUAAUAUUAGGUGAAUAAGUUGAAAUCAUCGAAUUCCCCCACUUACAGUGAUGAGUUAUAUAACUUGGCGUUGGGCCCGAUUCGUGCUGAAUUGUUCUCGGGUUGUCAUGUUAACGACUUCAAGUUUUUGGGGAUUACAUGAGAUGACAAGUUGUGUACGUAAAACAGCGAUGUCCAUGUCCCAGGUGGAGGCGAAAGUACAGACACUGAUUUCUAUGGCAAACUCACAACUGUCGUGCAAUUGCUUUACAAAGACUGAUACCAAACGAUCAUGUUUAAGUAUCGAUGGUUUGAUACCAAUCCAAAUAGGCCGGGAAGUGUUAAAAUAGACAAUGGCUUACUAUUUGUGAACAUUAACAUAACAUGGUAUGAUGACGACCUUUACAUUUUGGCAAACAUGGCAAUACAGAUUGUGUAUCUAGAUGACCCUAAAGCCGGGAGUGGUUGGAAAGUUUUUCAGAAGAUGGAUCAUAGGAACAUGUAUGCUAUACCAGAACUAGCCUCAACUGACAACGACGUCGACAAUGUGGCUGACCAACAUUUAGAAUCUUCAAUGAAAAAUGAUGCGGAAAUACUUCGAGAUACAAAUGUUAUACAAGAACCGUUUUAGAUACAAUGGGUGUCUUGAAUCGAAAUACCGAUUCUGUCAAUUACAAUUGACCUCGGGGAUUUUCCGCGAUACGAUGUUGUAGUGGGCCCGAACAAUGACGAUCAUGUAAUUAUAGAGGAGGAGGAUUGAGAGACCGAAAGUGAUGAUAGCAACGAUAACGAAAGUUAUUAUAGUUCAAAUGAUGAAUAAUGAAUUUUUUUGUAAUUUUAUUAUGUUAGUGUACAAAUUUUGGCAAACCUAAUAUAUGUGGAGAAAUGAAACAUUGUUAAAUAAAUUGAGCUAUACAAGAAAAUGAGAAAUGAAAAUAAAUUUAGUUAUAAAACAUUGGUAAAUAAAUAUAUCCAAAACCUUUUCAUAAUAAUGUUGAAAAUUAUUUUUACAAAACAUUUUUAAAAAAAAAUGAAAAUGAGAUACAAUUUGACAUAAAUGUGUAUUAGGAGCCAAAACCUUGCGCGACGAAAUCUGCCAUGUCGCGCAUUGUUUGAGCGACGAAAAAUCACUCGUUGUGACUAUGUACCUUGCGCGACCAAAAGAUUUUUUUCGUCGCGUCAAGUUGCAAUUCCGUGCGACAACUUAAUCUUUCGUCAUGUAAAGACAUUUUGCGCCACGCUUUCAGUACUGAUCGCGCCAAUAUAUUUAUUUUAAUGUAAUAUAAUAUAUAUAUUUGAAAUUGAUGAUCGAAUUGAUUCAUUGUAUUCAUAUAGGGUCAAGGAGUGUAGCUGUAAAAAAUCAUCAAAAUCGGAGUUAAAAUAACUGAUAAAUCGUGAAUUUUCAUUUAUAACCGUCGAAAAGUUUUGUCCCGUCACUUGAUCUUUGAAUGUUUGUUUUUUCCGAUUUUUGGCGUAUAUGAUCUCGAAGUAUAAACAAACAAGUUUGAUGGUUGGAUCAUUGAAACUAGUUUUGUGGAAUGCAUAUGCCAUGAAAAUAAUAUAGUCACCAACAAUUAAGAGUUUAUUUAUACUUUCGUCAAAUAUAACGUAAGAUGUUGUGGCAUCCACUAGUGUAAAGAUCUUAAAUUAAAGAUCAAAUUCAGCCAUUGUAUUAAUAUAGGGUCAAGGAGUGUAGCUGCAAAAAAUCAUCAAAAUCGGAGUUAAAAUAAUCGUUAAAUCGUGAAUUUUCAUUUAUAACCGUCGAAAAGUUUUGUCCCAUUACUUAAUCUCUGAAUGUUUUUUUUUUUCGAUUUUUGGCGUAUAUGAUCUCGAAGUAUAAACAAACAAGUUUGACGGUUAGAUUAUUGAAACUAGAUACCAAUUAGAUACAUUUAUACAGAUACAGAAUAAACGGUUCCCGUAAAUAAAUAAACUUUGCGCAAUGAAAAAAAAAUUGGUCCCGAAAAACUUUGAGGGAUGGAAUCUUACGUCACGCAAAAGAUCUUUGAGCGAUGCAAAGACAGUGGGCGUCGCCAACAAACCUUUGAGCGACAACUGGGCAUCGUACGUCGCGUAGUGUUAAGAUUGUCGAGGGUUUAGGGUUCAGGGUUUAGGGUUUAGGGCUUAGGGUUGAUGAUUGCGCGACGAAUAAGAUGUUCAUGCGUUGCGUAAAAUGGGUCACACCUUUCACUUUUUCUCUCUGCCGCAAAGCUCUAAACCCCAAAUUUUGGUGAAUCACAACCUUGCUCGACGGAAGAACAGCCACUUUGUUGCGCAAAGUCUAUAAAAGAAAACCUUGCGCGACGCUUUUGUUUGUUCGUCGCUUAAUAUCGGCCAGGCCCUUCACCUUCUCUCUCUCCCGCUAAACCCUAAAUCCCCAAUUUUGGGGGAAUAACAACCUUGCACGAUGGAAUCUCAGCUAAUUCGUCACGCAAAGUCUAUAAAAGACAACUUUGCGGGACGCUACUGUGCUUUCGUCGAGAAAUAUCGGUUAGACCUUUCACUUUCUCUCACUCGCACUAAACCCUAAAUCCCAAAUUUUGGCAGAAUCACAACCUUGCACGAUGGAAUCUCAGCUAAUUUGUUGCGCAAAAUGGUCAGGCCCUAAACCCUAAACCCCAAAUUUUGAUGGCCACACAACCUUGCGAGACAGUUGCGUUUAUUCGUCGUGCAAUGUAUUGAAAAUUCUGGCGGAAAACAUACCUUGCGCGAUGCCUCAUGGUUUUUUUCGUCGCGCAAGUUCAAUUAAAAAUAUCUUGGGCUACACUUUCCUUUGUUCAUCACGCAAGAUCGAAUAAAUUUUCAGAAACAACACGACUGCCCAGACCCUUCUUCCUUAUUCCUAUUGUUUUGCCCUAACGCUUCUCUCCCUUCGCCGUCCACCGCCUCGCUGUCAGCCACUACUCCGCCGGAAAAAGGACUGGGCUGCCAUCACCUUCGAAGCCCACACCUUCCCUGCCGUCACCGCUACGUCUGCCAACGAUUUUCGCAGAUUAUUCUCCGGCCUUGUUCUCUCUCCUCCAGCCACCAAUUCCGACACCAAAGGUAUGAUUUCUAGACUAUUUUUCCUGCUUUAGCUUAUGGUUGGAUAGGAUUUGGUUAAUUGUUUAUUUUUGGUAUCUCUAAUUUAAACCCUAAGUUUGGCCGGUUUUUGAAUUUAAAUUCCGGCCACUUCCGAUCAUUUUUCGGGUUAGGUUCGAACAAAAGUGGCUCCAAUUGAAGUUUUGAACCUAGGGAGGAACCUUGGCCCUUAGUUUUUAGAAUUUUUCGGCGAUUGUUAUCGCUUUAGACACCCAUGCGCUGCCGGCGCGUGUGGUGCCGUGUGGGAUAACUGUAGCAGUGGGGCAUUGGGUCCCAGUGCAAUCCCCUAGUUGUUACGAGCGCGUAGGUGUGCUUGGAUUUGAAUUUGGUUACCAUUUGAGUCUCGAACGGAUUUCGCCUAUUGUGCAAUUUUUGAGUUUGAUAUGUUCGGACCGUUGGAUCGAACUCAAACUCACAUAUGUUGUACCUUGUAUUUCUAGGAUCGUGUAUGAGUCGACAGAUCAUGGAUCAGAGUCCCGGAUACUUCGAAAUCGCAAACACUAUGUCAUCUAUGCUUUUAAUUAAUUAGUUAAAAUGCUUAAUGAAAUUGUAUGUGCUUAUAAUUAAAUAUUCGUAAAUUUGAUUAAUUUGUAUGUGUAUUAAUGAAAUUUUGCAAAUGUCAAACCUGAUUAGAAGUCGUAAGGCAGAGACGAUUGCACAGAGUUCACCUGCCUCAGCUCAGUCGUCAUCUGCUGCCACUGCUCCAGCACUGAUGGACCACUUGCCAGUUGGUCCCGGGGGGUCCCAGGCCCCUACUUCGUCGGAUUCAUCAGUGGCACAGCCUGUUAGCGCCAAGUGGCGUCACCAGCCAGCUAGCACCACCGACACCACAUUGACCGACGCUACUAGUGCAUCGGGGUCAGCCAAGUAUAGAUUUCCUUCAACUACAGUUCUUUGUGUGUGUGUGUGUGUGUGUGUGUGUGUGUAUUUUAUAGUUAAAUUUGUUAUUUAUUUGACAUUAAUGUCAUAUUUCUUUGCAGCUAAGAAGAGCACCGGAGGGCCGUGUCGGCAGUUGAAGACGACGAAGGUCACUCGGGUGACCAACAGUCGUAUCAACAUCGGAUAUGACGAGCGACAUCGGGCUGCACCGACGGCGGAGUUGCAUAGCUCCUUGGCCCACGACAUUGGUCACGUCGUUCGGACCCAUUGCUCAAUGCAAUGGAAGUCUUAGAAGGCCAUGCCUGACGAGAUCAAGAUAGAGGUGCGUGGCCAGUUGUCGGUAUGUAGCCUACCUUUUAAUUCUUUUCCUUUCAAACUUUAUAUAUUUCUAUUACUUAAUAUAUGUUAUUAAUUUAUUGCAGACAAACUACAACUUAGAGGACCUCGACGACGAGUCGUUGGCGUAUGUCAACAGACUCUUCCCUGAGAGGUACAAGCAGUGGAAGAGCGACUUGCACCACCAUUUUGAGGCAUUUGAUGAUCCGCAAGUCGCUCUUCAGGAGGGUUGUCCGAAGGAGUUUGAGGGGCGGGAGGAUAGUUGGGCGUGGCUCUGUGCUCAUUUUCAAGCGCUCGAUUUUGUGGUAUUUUUUAAUAUUAAUUUCAAAAUUAUUACAUAUUUCUUACUAAUGUUUAUUUAAUUUUUUAUAUUUCAUUUCAAUUUCAACUAAUACGUUUUAUUUUUUGUAUAACAGAAUAAAGCCAAAGUCAAUAAGGGCGAUAGGAAAAAGAAGAGUCUUCUCCACCAUUCAGGUUCUAGGCCAUUCUCAUAUAGGAUGGAUGCAUGGCAGUGGGUAAUAAAAAAAUAGUUUAUAUUUAAUUUUUAAUAUGUCAUUAUUAUUAAUUUAUUUUUUUCGUACUAUUAUUUUUCUUCUCUUGUAAAAUUUCGGGAGGAGGUCCAAAUUCCCAGAGAUCGAUGUCUUUGGUGACGUUUAUGUUUGACCUGGGAAUGAGUUGGCCGAGUCCCUUCAUGUAAGUAUUAUUUAACUUUAAUUCUUAUGUUAUGCAUUCAAGUUUCAGGGUUAUUAUAUGAAUGUUUUAAUUUAUAUUUUAUGUUAUGUUAAACAGAUGACGAUGGUGGAGAGGAGCCAGUUGGUUCUUCAGGAAUCCUCCGCCCAACUUCCUCCCGAUACUCCGAUCGAGUUUAUGGAUCCUCCACGAGAUGCUGGGUUUCAGAUCUUGACGGAGACGUUGGAUCAGACUCUCAGGAGGAGGCCGGGGACAUAAUGUCGAGGGAUGGGGAAUGCCCGACGGAGGGAACCUAGACCCCGUUCAUCAAUGCAGUCAAACAUUCAGGUGACUGCUUUGACAGCAAAGGUGGCCGAGCUUCAGGGUCAGAUGUCAGUGAUUCUGUAGUCCCCCGCGUGGUCCGGCAUUCCAGUACAGCAAUUUGAUACGUCGACCUCCGAGCCCGUCCACCCCGAGCAUGCCCACUAGACCACUGCUCUUGUAGACCCGCAGACCUCCGAGCUGCAUAUGCCUGACGACCAAGUAGAUUUUGGAACAUUAUUUGAUUAGUUUUUUAUUUUCACAAUUAUAUUUUAAACCUUUCUCUUGUAGUAUACAUCUAUUUUAUUUUAUAUAAUUUUUUGUUCUCUUCAAUUCAUUUUUGUAUUGCAAUUUCAUUUUAUGACCAAAAAAAAAAAAACCAAAUUUAUUUUUUUACAAAAUUAAAAAAAACAUAAUAUUAAAUUUAAAUAAUAUAUAUAUUAAUUUUGCGCGACGAAAUAUUUUUCGUUGCGCAAAUUCACAUUUUAUAAAAUAAAAAAACGUAAAACUUCAUUUUAAAUACAUUUAGUUUAUUCUUGCGUGACGAAGUCAUUCAUCUUGCAAAAAGGAUAUGCGCUAUGACGAAAAUUUCAUCGCGCAAUAUUGUUCGUCGCGCAAAUGUUGGAGACACGAGUUGGGCGACGAAGGAAAGAUCGUCGCGCAACUGUUUGCGACUUGAAUCGCGCGACGAAUAUUUUCCUUCGCACAGUAUAUUCGCGACGAACAUGCUUUUGUCGGCCAAAGGUUUGUGCGACGAACAAUUGUGUUAUCCCUAAACAUUUUGUGCAAUAAAGGUUAACCGUCGCUCAGUUUUGUGCGACCAAUGCAAAAACUUGGUCACACAAAGUCUUUCCUCACUCUCUUUGCGCGACGGAUUGUGCGCGACGAAUUUUCUGUCGCACUGAAAAUUGUGCGACUAAAAGUAACUUUGCGCGACGAAAUCCUCUUCGCCGUGCAAAUCGUAAAAUGUAGUAGUGUAUGCAUUUAACAACAAAUGCAAUUUGAAACGAGUGUUGCUAAAUGAACUCUAAAAUUAACUGAGUAUACCCUAUGUACAUCCUAAUAUUUAAAUCAAACUGUAAAAUUAACUAAGUAUACCCUAUUUAGCUACCAAAAAUAUCAUUAGCAAACCCUUAUACACUCUAAAGCAUUAGUCGCCUCCUCCUUAAGCAUCCUUACAGGGAAAGCUCAACCGAAUUGAUGCACAAUCAACUGGGAACAAUGCAUGCUUGCCACCAACUCAUCUAAUUUCGGAUUCACACCAAGGUUUUGUUGCCACCCGAAUAAAUAGUCCGCGAGGUCCAGGGCCAUCCACUUAUGACUCAUGCUUAUCUAUUUUGGAAGCUGAAGACACCUGUCAUGCAUUUCCUUUUCAAAAGUCUAAAUGGUUGAAUAUUCUAUUGUAUUACCAACGUCAAAUAGUACCAUAUAUAUAUACAGCAAUAACCUUCUAUCAACCCUACUGUUAAGGCUUUGAAGACGUGAUCCAAUAUUAGUGGGAUUUGACCUACACUAAUUUGGGCAAGUAAAGAUAUUACAAAUAUUUACAAAGAUAUUUCCUAAUACUCCCCCUCAAGUUGGAGAGUGAAUAUCAUGAAGUCCCAACUUGUCGCGCAAUGUCACAAAUUGAUCCUUCCCCAAGGCCUUCGUAAAAAUAUCUGCCAUCUGGAAGCGUGUAGGUACAUACGAAGGACUAAUUAUUCCAGCUUGUAGUUUUUCUCGAACUAUGUGACAGGAUUAGCGGCAAUAUACAAAGCUGACUGAUUAUCACAAAACAAUGGUGCAGGAGCUAUCUGUGGGACUUUUAAAUCCUGUAGUAUAAAGCGUAACCAAGUUAGCUCCAAACAUGUGUUGGCCAUAGCUCGAUAUUCAGCUUCUGCUGAUGAUCUUGAAACAUUGGUUUGUUUCUUGGAUUUCCAUGAGAUGAGUGAAUUGCCAAGAAAAACACAGUAUCCUGUAACUGAUCUCCUUGUCGCACGACAACCUCCCCCAGUCUGAAUCACAAAAAGCUUUUAAUGUAAGAUUGUUGGUGGCAGAAAAUAACAAACGCUGACCUGGAGUCCCCUUGAGGUAUUUAAGGACCCGUAUGGCAGCAUCCUAAUGAGGUCUGCGAGGCUGAUGCAUGAAUUGACUUAGUGUUCAAACAAGAUAGACUAUAUCAGGCCUUGUGACAGUAAGGUAGAUCAAUCGGCCAACCAGUCUCCUGUAUUAUCAGUAAUUCUCAAUCUGUGGGAGUGAGUUUCAAAUUCUGUUCCAUUGGGAACUUGUCUAGGUGUGCGCCUAAAAGUCCUGAAUCCUGCAAAAUAUCAAGUGCGUACUUUCUUUGAGACAUGAAAAUACCUUUCUUGGAACGAGAGAAUUCAAUGCCUAGAAAAUAUUUUAAAUCUCCAAGAUCUUUGAUACGGAAGCGAUUGAGAAGGAACUUUUUGAGACGUUCCAUUUCUUGAAGAUUAUUUCCUGUGAGAAGCAUGUCAUCAACAUAGAUAAGAACUGCAGUAAAUGAAGUGCCUUCAGCUUUGGUAAAAAGAGAAUAAUUAGCUUUAGAUUGUUGAUAACCAGCCUUUUGAAUGGUAUCUGAAAAGGUGGAAAAUCAGUUUCUAGAAGUCUGUUUGAGACCAUAAAGAGACUUGUUGAGCCGACAUACAGCGUUCUCCCCCUGUUGGCGAAGACCAAGAGGAGGCUCCAUGUACACCACCUCAUGUAAAUCGCCAUGGAGAAAAGCAUUUUGAACGUCUAAUUGGUGGAUGAACUAAUGGCGGGCAGCAGCAACAGUAAGAAGACAACAGAGGGUAGUGAGUUUGGCUGUAGGGGAGAAAGUCUCCUGAUAAUCGAUGCCUUGAAUUUGAGUGUAGCCUUUAGCAACAAGCCGAGCCUUGUAGCACUCAAUGGUGCCAUCGGACUUGUAUUUGAUUUUGUAGGCCCAUUUGCAGCCGAUCAGUUUAUGACCAACAGACAGCGGAACCAAACUCCAAGUGUUAUUGUGCUAUAAAGCCUCUAGUUCUGCAAUCAUGGCUUGGCACCAAUGUGGAUCAAGAAUAGCCUGAGCAUAGGAUGUGGGUUCUGUGUGACCUGUAAUCUUAGCAAGAAAAGCACAAUGGGCAGAGGAUAAAUGAGAGUAGGUAAGGAAGUGGGAAAGGGGAUACCGAGUACCUAAUGCAGAACGAGGUGCUGAGGUUGAGUGAUUGACGUGGUUGGACAUGUGGUAGUCUGUAUGCCAUGCCGGAGGAUGUUUAUAGCGAGUGGACUAUCGAGGAGAGGGAAUGAGAGGAAUGGGAUUAUCUGUAUGUGGAGGGGUAGGGUCGACGGAUGGGGACAAAGGUGGGAUGGGAGAGGUGGGGUUGUCAAGCUAGUCAUAUGCGUCACAGAGGAUAGAGUGGUUAGGCACUUGUGGUGGGUUGGUUGGAGGGUUGGAGGAUUGACUAGUAGGUUGGGCGGAUCAAUUGGUGGGGUCCAACUGUUAAGAAAAUCAGAGGAAAGGUAGGGCUGAGGAGUAGGUGGGGUAAGGGAGGCCGAAAAUUGAGAGAAAGGGAAGGUAUUUUCACAGAAUCGGACAUCACGGCUUACAAAGAAUUUGUUUGUCUCCAAAUUGUAGAGUUUGUAACCCUUUUGGCCAAUAGGAUAUCCAACAGAGACACAACGUGUGGCACGGGGAUGAAAUUUAUGAAUAGGAUAGACAAUAGUUGCAUAACAGAGACAACCAAAGACUUUCAAGUGGUCGAGUGAUAGGGGACGGUUGUAUAACAAUUCAAAAGGUGAUUUACUGGAAAGUAAUGGUGAGGGUAAUCGGUUAAUAAGAUAGACAGUGGUUAAGACACAUUCACCCCAGAAAAUAAUGGGUAAGUGAGACUGAAAAAGUAAUGCAUAUGCGACAGUGAGAAUGUGGCGAUGCUUGCGUUCGACGACUCCAUUUUGUUGUGGAGUGUAAACACAAGUGCGCUGAUAUUCAAUGCCAUUAUUUUGAAAAAAAUCCCUCAUGGAGAAAAAUUCAGACUCGUUAUCUACCUGAAUGGUUUUAAUGUGGGCAUGGAAUUGAGAGUGGGCAAAAGAGACAAAAGAUUUGAGAAGGUUUUGGGUUUCAGAUUUAUGCUGCAUCAAAAAUAUCCAUGUGCACCUAGUAAAGUCAUCCACAAUGGUAAGAAAGAAACAUGCCCCUGAAUGUGUGGUAACUUUGUGUGGACCCCAAAUAUCACAAUGUAACAAAUCAAAAGGAGCUUUAAUUGAUAUUGAACUUAGAGGAAAUGGAAGUCUUGUUUGUUUGGCCAUGGGACAAACACUACAAUUAUUAUCAAAAGAAAUAGUAUUGGAAGGCAAUAAUGAAGAAGCUAAUCGAAGAAGAGCAGGGGAUGGGUGUCCAAGUUGCAUGUGCCAUAAAUCGGAUGAGAGUGAAACUUGAUAUGAGACAGGUGUCUUUUGCAAUGGAGACAUGUAAUAGAGACCACCACGCUGUUUACCCAAGCCAAUCAUCUUCCUCGUAGCCAAGUCCUGCAAGGCACAGAAGGUAGGAAACAAAAUGGCACAACAGUUUAGAGAAGUAGUGAGUUUGCUGGCAGACAUAAGAUUUAAGCGAAAAGAUGGAACACACAAAACUUUGUCUAAUGUGAUAUUUGAAUUGAAUGGUAUAGUGCCAGUGGAAGUGAUUGGGGCAUGAGAACCAGUAGGUAAAUUAACAAUGGGCAUUUGUGAUUAUUCAGUUUUAGUGAAAAGUCUGGGAUCAUAAGUGAUGUGAUCAGUAGCUCCACUAUCUAAAAUCCAAGGUUUAGUGAACACAGAAUUUAUGGAAGGAAUGGAAAAAGAAGCCAGACCUGCAGCAUUUGCAUAAGCAUUGCUAUUACCAGAGGAAUGAGUUGAACUCAUCAUAGAAACAGCAUGUGCUAGUUCUUGGAGUUGCUCUGCAGAAAACCCAUGUAAAGGGUUGGAUUGAGAGGCUGGCUGGGUUGGUGCACUGAAACCAUAUGAUUGGGCCUCAUGCGAUGGAGCUGUGUCUGCGGCGUGGGCAGUAGGAAAGGACCCACGUGAAUUGAUGUGCCCUCUAGACCCUUGACGUUGUUGCUUAGAUUGAUUAUGCCUAUUGCCUUGAAUUCCUGUGUCAUUGGGAACCCAUGCCCCAUUUUUAAAUUUACAUCUAUCCUCAGUGUGGCCUCUCCUAUCACAAUACUUGCAAUGGAAUUUAAGGGUCCGACAUUCUUCGAUUGUAUGACAGUUUCUAUCAGAGUGCUCACAGUGUUUGUUCGUCGAAUUAUUCGACAUAUUGUUUGAUCGGCUGUGAAUCGCAACGGCAAUGGAAAAAUUCUCUGUUGGUCCUGAUGUUAUUUGUUGCUGUGUUUCGUCUUGAACGACAAGUGAAUAGGCUUGGCGGACAUUAGGCAAUGGCGACAUCAUGAGGAUAUUCCCGCGAACACCGUUGUAGGUGUCGUUGAGGCCCAUAAGGAAUUGCAUCAUCCGAUCUUCUUCCUUUUGUGUAUUGUGUGCUUUCAUCUCGUUACAUGUGAGAGGUGUUUGAUAUGUUUCUAAUUCGUCCCAGAGAUCUUUGAGUUUCUUGUAAUAGUCUGAAACUGUCAUGGUGCCUUGUGAGAGAGAGGCGAUGGAUUUCUGUAUCUGAUAUAUGGUUGGGGCAUUCUUUUGUGAGAAUUGAUCUUUGAAAUCUUGCCACACUUGAUGGACAGUCUUGGCAUGAACAACUGCUUUGGCUAGAUCAGGUUCCACCGAAUGAGCAAGCCAUGAUAAAAUCAUACUGUUGCAUUGAUUCCAGAGAGCAUAUUCGGUUGGUUGUUUUGUUUCUACAGGAGGUUGAACGGAUCCGUUGACAAAGCCAACUUUGUUCUUGGCCGUGAGAGCAUGGAGCAUGGAUUUACUCCAAGAUGGGUAAUUGGUGCCAUUCAACUUUAUGGGAACGAGCAUGAGACCGGGGUGAUCUGAUUGAUGAACAAAAUAUGGGUGUGAUGAAUCCAUACCAGGAUUUUUGGUGUUGGUGCUUGAAUUUUUGGAAGUAUUGUCUUUGGUUUCUAGUGGUGUUUGAUCUGACAUGAUGUUUGAAGGUGGGUAGGAAGUAGAAGGGGUCAAGUACCAGGAUGAAGCUCUGAUACCAUCUAAAGAAAGUAAAUGGUUGAAUAUUCUGUUGUAUUACCAAUGUCAAAUAGUACAAUACAUAUAUACAACAAUAGCCUUCUAUCAACCCUACUGUUAAGGCUUUGAAGACGUGAUCCAAUAUUAGUGGGAUUUGACCUACACUAAUUUGGGCAAGUAAAGAUAUUACAAAUAUUUACAAAGAUAUUUCCUAAUAUCCUCGUCGGGAAAAGAUGUUCUGGGACUUGGUGGAAGUUGUAGUGGAGGUUUCAGACAGAAUGCUGCUUCCAAAGUAUUCAAGUUCCCUAAUGCAGCCAAGGUUUGCUGAAUUCUAUACAUAAUGAAUAUGUUGCUUAAAUCUGGAUUCAUAUUUCAAAAUCAAUUGGCUUAAUCAAUUGGAUUCAUACAAUAUAGAUAUGUUUUUUACCUUUUGAAAAACGUAGAUAUUUUUCACAUACGUUUGAUUGGGAAAUGGUGAGUAGGGUGUACUUGUUAAAAUUACAUUUGUUUUACAAUUCAACAUAUCUUUUUUGGUCAUUUUAUAUUAGGUUAAAUUAGUAAUUUAAUAAACAGUUUGGUAAUAAGGUGUACUUAGUUAAUUUUAGGGUUCGUUUAACAGCAUUCUUUGAAACCCAUUCUCAAGCUUCUAAACCUUGAACCAUGUGUGUGCCAUGGAUUUAAUUUAUUUUUCUCAUUCUAUCUAAGAUCAACUUUGAUAAUAUUUUUCUUUGUUUACUGAUGAACAAAAGUUAUACUUUGCAAGUGCACUAAUCGAUAUGAUAGUAUAGCAAGCAAACACGAGAGUUGUUCCCACAGAGAUUUGUAAAGUUUAUCAAUUAAUUUCAAAUAUGAUUACCUUAAGAAAAGUGAAAAAUAAAAACGAAAUAUUAAAAGUACUAAAGUAGCCGAAAAUAAGAUUACUCAAUUUUAAUCUAAGUGUUGAAAAUCAAGAAAAUAAAAUAACAAAGGUUGAAAAUUGGUUUUGAAAAUCAAUGGAUGAAAACUAGGAUUCCGACUUCACCGUAACAAUCCCAUUCUAUGUAUUGAGUCAAUUUUGAGAAUAAAGUUCCAAUUCAAUUCUAAGGGUUUGUUCUCUCUUUAAUAUGAUGAUUCGUUCGGCCCCGGUGUCACCAAAUAUCCUCAAUUAAACCCAACUAAUGAACCCUAUAGUCAAAUUUAAUCGAGAACCCAUUAAGUUUACGAAGGACAGUCAAGAACCAAGAAGUGUCUUAGCUUGAACCCCGUCUUUAACAACAACUCAUUCAUUCAUAGUGCAUAUAAGAUUAGGGAUGAACCCCUCACCCAAUCCUAUCUUAGACAAUCCAAAAUACUUAUAAUGGUCAAUUACAAGUGUCAAGAUCACAAUUACAAUAAUGAAUGAAACAAGGAAUGUGAAUUGAUUAAAAAUAAGAUGUUAACUCAAUAAUAUGGAAUCAUCAUGUUAGGUUACAUCGGAUCCCUAGCAAAGAAUUUAGUUACCCAUAGCCAUCUUAGGAACAAACAAUAUACUAAUGAAAAUAGAAUACAAAGUUUGAAUUAAGAUAGAAAAAUAUUUAGAUGAAUCCACUGCAGUUAAACUCUUCCUUUGGCAAAUCUUGAAGGCUAUGAACGGCCAAGAAAGUGAGUAUGUGAAUUGGGUGAUUGAGAUAUUGAACAAUAUGCUAGCGUUCUCCUAAAAAAUCUAGUCUAAAAGAUGUAUUUAUAGGCCCUAGGACUUUUCUCUAAUCAUACAAGGAUUAGGAAACUUUAAAAUCCCAAAAAUCAUAGGAAAACUAGCCAAAAAUGCCAAAAAUUAUGCGCUAGAUUUGCGCCGUCCGCUCGAGUGCCAAAACGUAGUUACAUAGUUCAUAGCUUGAACCACUCGUAUGAAAACUGAUGUAACUUCCUCUAGAAGACUCGAAAUCACGAACUGUAACUUCUCUAGAAACUAGACUUCCAGAGCUUUCCAACGAAAAUUGGCAAGUUAUCUAAUUCUUCCCGAGCACGUACAGGUAAAUCCUUAAAAUUGACCUAUGUGCACAAGCAGUUUCUUGACUUGCAAGUUGCUAAUUCCAAAUUUCUAUCUUCUUUACUCAUUUUCGCUAUAUUUUGCUUCUUUUAGUGCCAACUCAAGCCUAGGGACAAUUUCCUACAAAACUCACACUAAACACAUCAAAACAACCAAUUUUAUAGAAGAAACUAAUGCAAAUCAUAGGAACAAGGCAUGAGAAAAAAGCACAAAUAUGGAGUCCACAAUUAUAUUCCUAAGUAUGCAGUUACCAAACAUAGGAAUGCAAUUUGAAACCCAAUCUCAAGCUCCUAAACCUUGAACCAUGUGUGUGACAUGGAUUUAAUUUGGUUUUCUCAUUCUAUCUAAGAUCAAUUUUGAUACUAUUUUUCUUUGUUUACUCUUCCAAUAUUUUUACAUUGAUAGAAUUUGGGUUAUACUUACUUAAGAUACCAAAUUUGUAAUAUUGAAAUUUAAUAAUUAUAAUAAAUUCUCAAGUAUAUCAUAGAGUUAUUUAAAGUUGGCACUCCUUAAUAGAAUUCUCAAAUAUAUCAAAAAGUUAUUUAAAGUUCACACUCUUUAAUAGAAUUCCUAUCUCCACUGUUGACAAGAAACUUGGAGUCCACUGGAUUCAAGACCUCGAGCCUGUCUCGAGAAUAAGUUUUACACGCCCAUGUGUACCUAAAAGUCCAAUACCUUCGUGUUGGCCAAGUUGUGGGCCAAAUUCAAGUCACCAUACUCUUCUUUCUGAAAAGUUCUAAAGGGAGUUUAGGGUAUUUUUGAUAUAAAAAAAAUAAAAAGAAAAGGAGUUUUAUCGACAAGCAGUAUUGGAUCUAGUACGGAGCCAGUGAAGGCACUAGCCCCACUCAGUUUUGUCUACACCUAUGAAGUGUCAAAUUUACAUGAUAUUUUCUAUUGAAUGGGGACAAAUUAUUUAAUAAAAAUGCCUCAAAGAAGGCUAAAGCGAGGCAAUAAGAGCAUGUGCAGCACUUCGGUUUGGCCUGGGCAAAAGGCCCCCCUGCUAGCCUAAAGCAACUCCAGCGCUUCAGUUCUUGCAUUUUCAAUUUCAUUUUUUUUAAUAAAUUAAUUAAGGAAAAAUAAAAAAGAGGAAAAUCAUUACAUAUAGCUUCUUAAGUGAAUAAUGUUCGCAGUCGGUUCCAGUGAUGCGUUCCGUGUCUGAAAUAAUGGCACUAUUAUGUCCUCCGAAGGAAUAUACUCCCCCACAUCGUGAUCUGGUGGAACCGCCUCUGUCAAUGAUUGAGUCGUUCUUGUACUCCAUUGUGUCGGACUAUGAGGAUCGAGAAUAUUUUAAUUGUAUGAUGAGUGAGUAGGUAUUUCAAUUGUAUGAUGAGUGAGAUGUGAAUUUUAUAAUAAAUAUGGACACGUGGCAACCAAAAAUUUUAUCCGAAAAAUGUUAUCUGAAAUUUUAAGUGAGAAUUUUAUAAUAAAUAGUGACAAGUAACAACCGAAAAUAUUAUCUAAAAAGCUUAUCAAAAUUAAUGAUUUAAGUAUAAAAAAAUAGAAAAUAAAGUAAAAUAAAUAGUAUUUUCCCUUGCCCUUUGAAGUGGAACUAAAAAAGACAAGACUAACACUUUUCACAUAAAUAGUGUAUGUUCUUGCCUUACCUUUGCCUCGUCCUUGCCUUUUGAUAUGGAGGUGCUCUAAAGUGGCAAGUGAAUGGCUGAGAAGAGCUGCAUUAGGCCAAACUUUACAGGUUGUUGGUAGGCUCCAUUAGCCACUGCAUGCUAGGCCAUACUUUAGGACAAUUUCUGGAUCCACUAGUGCCUCCUAAACUGUACACCAAAACCAUUCUUUAUUAUAAAAUAGUUGACCUUUGCUCAGACGCCCAUACUAACAUGGCAGAAGUAAAACAAUUGAACUUGAACACUAGAGGUGCUUGUUUGAAUAUGAAUAGCCACCUGGCGGCUGUGGAGCUCUUUUACAAUUUUCGUCUUAUCUCUCUUCUAAUUAAACAUUAAAUUACUUGCUUUCGACCGAAAAAGGAAAAAAGAGAUUAUGUUGUAAUGAAAGUAAUGAAUCCCACGUAAAGGAAAAGAAGGAAGCUUAGUCAAAAGUUUAAUGAUGAUGUUAGAAGCUUAAUGAUAAUGUUGGGUAAUGAAGCCAUCCAAUUUGCCUAUAGACUUGCUCAUUCAAUUGUAGAACACACCAAAGGAGAAGAGAAGAGAAAGAAGAGAAAGUGAGAGGAAAGAAGAGAGAGUGAGAAAUCUGAGUGUCUUAAGUUCUGUAUGAGAAGAAAUUCUGUCAGUGUAAACACUAUAAAGAGCAAAUAUAAUUCUACUCCCAAUAUUCAAUAGUACUUCCUAUACUUUGCUUAUUUUAUUUUUAUAACACGUUAUCAGCAUGAUAGUUUCUCCUUUUUAUUUCUAAAUCUUUCCCAACUGAACACUAUGUGAUUAUUUCUCUGUCUCAUCUCUGUCAUAUGUCUCUUCUCACUUUACUACUACGACGACAUGCAAACUUUCUUUUUUGUGUUCUCACAAUUUUUAUGUUGUUUCAUCCAUGCUUGUUUAAUUUACUUCUUUGUAACGUAAUUUGGAAUGGUGUGGUUUUAUACCCCAUCCAGUUAUUUUAUGGUGGUGUAAUUUUUAUUAUCCAUCGCGUUGUAACACAAAUUAUCAUAAGAAAAUGAUGGUGUGAUCUUAAAACCCAUCUAUUAUAUCUUGAACGGUGGCAUAGUUAUAUUGCCCACAAUAUAUAAUAUGUUAUAUAUUUCAUAUGUAUUAGGUGGUGAUUUUAUCCCCACAUUUAUUUUAUUUACGGGUAUGGAGUAGGUUUACCCAUACGACAAUAUUUAUUUAAAAGUGUGGCACAGGUUUAUUGUCCACACAACUGUAUUUACUUUUCAUUUAAAAGUAUGGAGUAGAAUUAGUGCCCAUACCAGCACGUUUACUUUAUCGCACAUUUACUUUUACUUAAAGUAUGAUGUGGAAUUAACCCUCAUACUUUAUGAAUUUACUUUUCCUCACAUUUACUUCUAUUUAAAGUAUGAUGCUGAAUUAACGUCCUUACAACAACAAUUUACUUUAUGAAUUUACUUUACCGCACAUUUACUUUUAUUUAAAGUAUGGUGCAGAAUUAAUGUCCAUACAAUAAGCAAUUUACUUUACCGCACAUUUACUUUUAUUUAAAGUAUGGUGCGGAAUUAACGUCUAUACAAAGCAAUUUACUUUUAUUUAAAGUAUGGUGCAGAAUUAACGUUCAUACAACAAGGAAUUUACUUUAUGAAUUUACUUUACCGCACAUUUACUUUUAUUUAAAGUAUGGUACGGGUUUAUCGUCCAUACCUGCAAAUUUAUAGCACUUUAUUUUUAUUAUUAAUUAAUAUACAUGAAUAAAGAGGGCCUGAAGUUCCACAAAAAAAAUAUAGGGCCUGAAGUUUCUAUUAAUAAAUGGCUUAAUAUCCUAGAUCCCGAGCCUAAAGUUUUGGGUAAAAUAUGCAAGAUAUUUUUGGCCAGAAGUUCAAAAAUAUAUUAAGCCUGAAGUCCCGAAAUAUGUGCAGGAAAUUAUAAAAAUGUCCAUACUGUGAGAAUAUGUGAUUUUGGCUUGAAGUUCAAAGUCUAACAGUAUUGAGAACCUGAAGUUCCAACAAUCAAAUGGACAACCCUUAAGGCAUUAUUGCAAAUUGUGUUGCCCAUUCAUAUGGCUUGGGUCCAAGGGGCAAUCCAUCCACGAGUGGCAAAAAUGCAUCCUGGAAUAAGGGGAAAGCACAGACAAGCUAUAUGCCUAGAAAUGUUGAAGGCGCUUGUCAUAGAUAUGGUGCAAAGUAUAUUGGGCACGUACAUGCUGUACGCCGAAUCAUUUGGUGGAUCUUUAUCAAUCGUCACUUAAGAACAGGAAAGUGAAGACAAAUUACAUUGAUCAAGUUAUACCAGAUCUGCAAGCCACAGAUGACCCAUCGGAGUGUUUAUCAAUCUUCACUCAGACAUGACGCAUCUGAAUGUUUCCGAUUUUGCAAUUGAAAGAUGGAAUGAAGUUUAUGGGUCCGAAUUAGAUUAAAUUUCUUAAUGUGCCAUUUGUAUUAUCUGAAGUGUUGUUUUUUAAAUUUCCAUUUCAAUCCAAUAAAAGUGACAAUGUUUUCUAUACAUUGAAUAGAAUAAUUGUUUAUUGAUUCAGCUUAUUUUAUUUAUUUGAAGGGAUGGAUGUAAAUUAUGGAUGCCCUCAAAACGAAAGUUAUGGCAAAAAUAUUUGUCUUGCAGACAGCGCGACUACUCAUACGAUCCUUCGAGAUCAAAAGUAUUUCUCAAACUUGAUGCUUACAAAAGCAAAUGUAACAACUACAUCAGGUCCUACAGAUCUGAUUGAAGGCUCAGGAACGGCCCAAGUCAUGUUACCAAAUGGAACAACACUGUCCAUUCAAGAUGUUUUGUAUUAAUCUAACUCCAGAAGAAAUCUAUUGAGUUCCAAAGAUAUACAUUUGAAUGGCUACCAUGUUGAAACAAAGAAUGAGAAAAACAUGGAAUAUCUUUGCAUUACCUCCAGUGAUACCCAGAAGUGUCACUACUACAAAAAGUGAAAAAGACGACCAGAAAACAACGACGGUCUAAGUGAAAACCGUCGUGGUUUAUAAAAAGACGACGGUUCUAAAAACACCGUCGUGUAAUACAACCUUAGACAACUAAAAAAUGGAGUUUCAAAUGGCUGUUCAAAAACAACGACGUACAUAAUUAAACAACCGACGUCUAUUUGAAACAGAUUUCCUCAGUGUAAAAUCAAUGCCAACAAAGAACGGCAGAAGUUAUGAAUCGACCGACGUAGAAAGUAAAGACGACGAUUUCAAUAAAAACUGCCGUUUUUACUCAUAAAAUAACACGACGAGGUUUUCGUAUAAGACGCCGUAUAAUUACAAACAAAUCCACGGCUUUAAAAUACAAAAUAUCGCCGUAUUAAAUUAAUUUACAACGACGGAAAAUAUAAAUAUAUCGACGUCAUUCUCGUAUAGUUCUACUACGUUAUCUUUAAAUCGUACAAUAAAAUUUAUCGUCGUAUUUAUUCAUUUUAUACGUCGUACCUUUAAUUUUAACGGUCGUCUUAAUAAGAAUUUUUGUUAACAAUUUUUUUCUUUGAUUUUCUUAUCCUACGUCGGUAGAUCUACUUAAUGACAAGAAUUGAAAUAACCACGACGGUUUAUAUAGAACACCGCCGACAUAAUCAGUUUUGUCUGAGAUCCCAAGGGUUACGAAAUCUUACCAGAUGGAACUCUGUUCCACAUCAUAAUCUUAACAGAUGACACAGAUUUGCAAAUAUUGCGUCGUGUUAGUUUACAAAUUCUAGAACAUUAAUUUCCCUCAUUUUAAAUUUCCUCGGGAAAGAAAAAUCUAUUUAUCACGCUUUGGAAUUGAAAACUAAAACUGAAAGAAUACGGGAAAAAAAACUCCAUUUAUAAUUUAAAAUUAAAAUCCACGUCGGUUGUAGUACACUUAACGACGUUUAACAAAAUAAUCUACGUCGGUAAUUAUAAAUCUACCGCCAUCGUAACUUAAUAUAGACGACGAGAAAAGACGACGGUAGAACAGAAAACCGCCGUUGUUUCAGUUUCUUUAACAUAUCUUUCUGCAGGACUUGUGUAGUUCAAAGCAUUGACAAUGUCUUCAUCAUAUCUCCCAGAAACUACUGAUUCAAUUGCUCAUGCUUUAGAGGCCAUCUGAAGCCAUUUCUAUUCUUUAUCGCAUUCUUGAAACCCAUCUUCUUCUUCUGAAGCUCUACGGAUAAAGGAAGAGGCUAUCACAAUAAAUCCGACGGAUCUUCUUAGGCAAGAAAAUCAAGCAGAGGAUCAGGCACAUCUGAUCUUCAGAUUUCCCUGAGAAGCGAACUUUCCUUCGACAGCGAGUGGAGGCCAGGCUUGCAUCUCUUUUGAUGGAAAGCAAGGAGUAUUCAGAAGCACUAAGUGUCCUAUCAGGCUUGAUCAAGGAAGUGAGAAGGCUAGUUGACAAGCUUCUUCUUGUGGACAUAUAUUUGAUGCGAGUAAGCUCAAUUUCUCUUUGAGAAAACAUCCAAAUUAUUAUCUUUGAGACAUGAGAGACUGAGAGAGGAAGAACUUGGAACCUUAAAUGUAAACCGAAAAUGAAUGAAAGCGACAAAUUUAUAGAAUAAAUUUUUAAAACCAACGGCGGUCCUUACAAACAAACCGCCGUUUAAAUUGUAAAAUCAACGUCGGUAUGAUCGACGUAUAUUACAGAAAUCCACGUCGGUAAAUUAAUAAAAACGACGUGUUAAAUAAUAUACCAUGACGCGAGUUAUUACUUAUGUACUUUAAUUUUUGAGUUUACUACGACGGUACCUACAAACUACUGUCGUAUUUAUUUACCACGUCCGAAGUUAAAUGUACCGUCGUAUUUUGUAAUUUAUACGUCGUAGUUAUAUGUAACCGCCAUAUUAUUUUUUUGAAAUGGUUUUAUAUGUAAGCAACUUUUCGUCUACUUGACUUACACAUUUGUUGUUUUUAUAUUCUUAUUUUAUUUAAAUCUGUCAUCCAAAAAAGAAACUUUACAUAUUGCAGAAUAUUAAUUUCCUUCGUUUUAAAUUUCCUCCGGAAAAAAAACUCUAUUUAUAACGCACUGUAAUUGAAAAAUAAACUGAAAGGUCACGGGAAAAAAAAUUCUAUUCAUAAUUUAAAAAUUAAAAUCCACGUCGGUUAUAUUAAACCUAACGACGUUAAAUGAAAUGAUUCCACGUCGAAUGAAAAAUAUUGCGUCGUUUUAGUUAAAAACGACGUAGUUAAAUGUAACCGCCGUAUUAUUUUUUUGAAAUGGUUUUAUAUGUAAGCAACUUUUCGACUUACACAUGCACUGUUUCCAAACCCGAUUAAAAAUUUCAAUCUCCCAGAGAAACCUUUUCGUCUUUUUUCCUUGUCAGAGCAUUGUCAGAGUUUCUCAUCGUCUUCCUCUCGUCUUCUUCGUCGUCUCUGAACUUAAACAUCGAUCAUCUUCCUCUUGCUUUCAUUGCACGCAAAAGGUAAGCUUUCAUUUUCACUAUUUUGGUUACUGUUUUGCAUGCUCAUACGUUUUUUGUUUGAAAAAUCUUUUUACCUUUUUUCUGGCCAAAAUCAUUUUACUUCUUUCCAAGUUUGAUAAAAUAUACAGACAAAGAGAGAAAGUUUCCAACUUUGAAGACAACUACAUCAACUAAAUAAGACGACGGUAGACCACGACGGUUCGUCAGUUGUUCUAGCGUCGUCUGAAAAUUGACAAAGUUGUUUUUAAAAUAAUAGUCUUUUUUUAUAUGCUUGUUUAAUUGCAGGUUUGAUUUCGCUGAACAAUGGUUUUUGUUUUUCCCUUAUUUGAUAAAAUAUAAAGAAAAAGAAACUAGGGUUGGUAUCUAAUAUAGACGAUAAAAUAUAAAUAAUAGUUUACCACGACGGUGUAUUACUAUUGACGUCGUGUGAACAUAUAUACCACGACGUUAUAUAAAUAAUGGUUUUAAACAUUUAUUACGUCUGAGAUUAUUUCAUUGCGUCGUCUAAAAUCAUAUCAUACGUCGUAUUUUUUUAAUACCGUCGUUUGUGUUCUUAAUGUUUUCCUGAAAUAUUUUCACUUGCAGUUUUGUCUGUUAAAAUGGUUUCUCAACAACAAACUAAGGAUUCUGGCUCCAAGAAGCUUGGAAUGGUAGCUCCUCAAGAUAAGUCUUCGAAGGAGAUGAAGUCUUCGAAGAAGAUGAAGUUUGCUUCAUCAUCUGCUGAGACAGAACAAACCAGCCAGACAACAAUCUCAGAUGAUUCAAAGACUGGUCGAGGUAUGAGCACAAUGCCUCGUGUUGUGAAGAGAAAGCUUCAGAAACUGAGGCCAAUUGUUGAGUACAAUAAAAGGGGGAAAGGUGUUGGCCAAGCACAUAUUGAGAUGCAGUCGUAUAUUGGUGUGUUGGCACGCUCCAGGAUCCCACUUGUGGACAAGAAAUGGUCCCAAAUCCCCAAGGAUAUAAAGGAGCAGAUUUGGGAAGCAGUUGACAUGGCUUUUGUCGUAGGCCAAGGGGGCAAGACCUCUGUUUUAGCUUCUGCUUCCAAGAAAUGGAAGGAUUUCAAGUCUACACUAACGAGGCAUUAUAUCCUUCCAUACACCAAUGACAGGGAGAAAUUAAGCCAACCCCCUGAAACAUAUAAAUUCAUAGAGAAAGCACAAUGGGAUGCCUUUGUAGCUUCAAGGCUAUCCAAAGAUUUUGAGUCUGUGCAUUCUCAACAUGCACAGAUUAGGGAGAAACUCGAGUACAAUCAUCGAUUGUCUCGAAAAGGAUAUGCUGGAUUGGAGGAUCAAUUGGAGGAAACCAUGCCUGGGGUAGAAAUUGAUCGAUCUACCUUAUGGAAGAGAGCUAGACAGGACAAACAUGGUAACAUCCCUGAUCCAAAGGUGGCAGAGAAGGCAAAAUUAAUUGUAAGCCUACUCACUCUGUUUUAAAUUUUUAUUAAACUGUGAAUUAUUCUUAUUAUGUCGUAUGUUAUAUUUUUCGUCGUGUGAAUGAUAUUACCACGUCGAAAAGUUUUUAAAAACGUCGUUAAAGGUCUAAAUAGGAAUCACUACUAUGUUUUCUGUAAUUACAGCAUAAGACGUCGGUGGUUCAUUUUCGCGUCGUGUGAAUGAUAUUACCACGUCGAAAUUUUUUUAAAAACGUCGUUAACGGUCUAAAUAGGAAUCACUACUCUGUUAUCUUUAAUUAUAGCAUAAGACGUCGGUUGUUUAUUCAUUUCGUCGUUUUAAAUAAAUAACCACGUCGGUAUAACUACCGUCGUGAUAAGUUAUAAUAACGUCGGUUUAUACGUUAUUGCGUCGUGUGAAAUUAUAUAAUACGUCGUUUGUACAUAAAUAACCGUCGUGUGUUUUUUUGUUUAUCUUUGUUUUAGGAUGAAUUGCAGAAACAAGUCUCGGAAGGCAAAGUCAGAGUAGAUGGCAGCAAUGAUGUGCUGACCAUGGCUUUGGGCCCCGAGCAUCCAGGCAGGGUGAGGGGAGUUGGUGCUGGUGUUUCCCCAAGGCAAUAUUUCAAUUUGCCCAAACCACAGAGGGUGAGCUUUGACGACCGUUUGAAGGAGAGUUUAAGAGUUCUCCUUCAAGAAGAGACUAAAAAGAUGGAGGCUAAGGCAAGGGAAGAGGCCUUAAGGAUGGAGGCUAGGACAAAACAAUUGGUAGAGGCUGAGAGGGAGCAUUUCCUGAGUCAGCUUUCCCAAUUAAUUCCCAAUUUUGAUCCAAGCAUGCUUAAACCAAGAAUUAGCCAAAGCCCCAAAAAUCCAAUGUCUGACAAAGCUAGCUGCUCUGGAGGUGAUGUGAGAUCCCUACAUUUGGAGGAUGAUACUGCCAAAAUGGGGAAACAUCAGCCAGAUGAAGAGAAGGAAGAAGAAAAAAGAGAUGAAGAGAAGGAAGAAGAAAAGGAGAAAGAAGAUGAAGAAAAGCAUGACGACAAGGUAUGUUCACAUAACUUUGCCUUUUUUAUUUGUUUUUCAAAAUUUCAGACGUCGAUAUUUUUAUUUAAUCCGUCGUUUGUUUAAAACUUAGACGGCGGAAUUUUUUUAAGACGUAAUAAAAUAUUUAAACGACGGUUUUUGCACCGUCGUUUAAAUGGUUUCAGACGACGCUUUAUUCAUAAAACCGUCGUCUUUAUUGAAUUACCACGACAGUUUUUUCACCGUCGUUUAAAUACUUUUAAGACGACGUUUUAUUACUUAAACCGUCGUCUUUAUUGAAUUACCACGUCAUUUUUUUUAUUUCUUUAAACAGGUUAUUGAAGUUGGUGCUUAUUCAAAAAUGGAGGCGCCAUCUUCUUUAAAAACCCUUUGUCGUUUUGUGGAAACGACACUCCUGCCUGAGGAUAAGACAGUCCAAUUUACAAUUGAUAAGGAGGUGUUUGGUGGUGAGCGCGAUACCUUCCUCCUGCCUGAAGAUAUUACACAAUUUGCAGGCAUGGAAGAAAUUGGAGCUACUGUAUUGGCUGUAUAUAUGAGGUUUGUACUUCUAAAAUAAUAACUCGUUGGUUUAUAUAUUGCGUCGUCUUAACUAACUAACCACGUCGUCUUAACUAACAACCGUCGUGAUAAAUAUAUUAUAACGUCCUCAUCUAUUUCAGUACGUCGUGUGAAAUAUUAUAAUACGUCGUUUUUUUAUACAUAACCGUCGUGUUUUGUGUGCUGACUUGUUUAUAUUAUUUUAUUUGUUUAGGUACUUACACGAUGUUUUGAAAAAAGCCAAUAUGUGCAGUAUGGUUGGCUUUAUCGACCCUGCUACAGUUAGUGCCAACUCUGGCACAAUAACUGAAAGAUCACGACUCGUAGCAGCUCGACUUCAGAAGACAGACGGUGAACAGAUUUUCAUGAUGCCUUACAAUCCAGGGUUAGUCUCCUUAGGAUUUUGUUUUUAUGAUUUUCAAUAAAUGACAGCUUAUAAACUAACCACGUCGGUGUUUUAUUUUAUUUAGUCGUUUGAAACUACUAACCACGUCGGUAUUUAUUUAUCGUCGUGAUAAAUAUAUAAUGUCGUCGUUAGCUACUUUACUUCGUCGUGUGAAAUACUAUAAUACGUCGUUUUUGUAAAUAACCGUCGUUUUUAUAUUAAUUUUGUGCAGCCGUCAUUGGAUUUUGCUGAUUGUAAGAGCAAAGAGAGAAACCGUCUAUUUUCUGGAUCCUCUGCCAGGAAAUCGUGUGGUCGAUGAAGAGGCCAAAAACAUCGUGAACAGUGCUUUAAAAAUAUAUAAUACCCACAUAGCCCGAGCAGGACGUAAAAAUGUAAUUUGGAAAACUCUCUCAGGCACACCAAAGCAACCCAGCAAUGUCGAAUGCGGGUAUUAUGUAAUGCGCUUCAUGAGGGACAUCAUCAUGGAUCCUUCCUUGGGGUUUGAGAAUAAGGUAAGAAGAAAUUACCUUCAUACAUUUCACGUCGUUUUUUGUAUUAUCAACGACGGUCGUGUAAAAUUAACGUCGUUGAAUGGAUAUACUACGUCGGUUAUGAAAAAUAUCGUCGUCUGUGAUUGAAUUUCUUUUUAUUUAUAAACCCUAAUAGUCAUUGUUUAUGCAGUAUGCCAAGGGAAACCAGGAAGCUUCAUACCCCCAAGAAGCCAUUGAUGAAGUCCGGAAUGAAUGGGCAGAGUUUGUUUUCCAAAUUAUUAAACAGGGCAAUUAUUGAACACUUGAUAUUUAUGUAUAAUGUACCAAUUUUCUCUAUAAUAUGUAAUGUAAAAAUUUGUUGAGGUUUUCUUAAAUUAAAAAAAAAACAAACAUACAAAUUGCUUAACCGACGUGUAAUACUUUUCCAACGACCUAAUAAAGUCAAUAACCGUCGUAUUUUGUUGUUGCGUGUUUUAAACAAAUACGACGUAAAAAAAUAGUUAGACGACGUUCUUUGAACAAUUGAGUCGUUAAUGGUUUACAAUAUCUUCAAUUUCUUAAGGGUUCAGGGUAUAAUCGACGACGUUUAUGUAACGACUACGGUUAAGUCGUGGAAUAUAUAUUUUACGUCGUAUAGUUAAAUAGCCGCCAUGGUUUCUCAUUUUAACGACGUCAUUUUAACGACUUAGUAGUCUAUUACAAUUUACAACGUCUACAAUUUAUUUAACACCGACGUGGUUUGUUGUAUGGUAAGAAUAUUUUAUUAUUUUUAUAUCAAAAUAUUCAAAAUAAAUAUAAAAUAAAUCAGAAAAUUGAAAAGUCAACUCCUAUGAAGUCAUUGAUAUAUUUUCUUCCACAUAAACCUUGAAAAAAUUCAUUUUGAAUAACAAAAAUUUAAAAUGACCAUCCAAAACAAAAUUGUUUUGAUGAGUCAUAAAAUCACUUCUAGUUUUAUGGUUUAGGGUUUAGAGUCUAGGGUUUAGAGAUUAGGGUUGUUAUUUAUUGGGGUUUAUUUUUAAAGUAUAAUUUUUGGGUAGUCUAUGUUAUAUGUUAGGCUUUAAAACCAUAAAACCUUUUAUAAACUUAAUUUUUUAAAUUGUAUAAUUUAAUUUUAUGGGUUUAGUGUAUUAAUUUUUAACGACGGUGGUUGGGUCGUGGAAUACAUAUUUUACGUCAUACAGUAAAACAUACGACAUGGUUUACGCUUUAAACGACGUUAUUUUAAUAUGUAAGUCGGUUUAUAUAAUUUACAACGUCUUUAAUUUCUUAACACCGACGUGGUUUUUCAGUCGUCGUUAUAUAAAAAAUUCAAAAUAAAUUUAAAAUUAAUCCGAAAAAUGAACGGCCUUACGUUCUUAAUCCGAAAAAUGAAGUUUCCGUCGUGGAAUAUUAAAUUUACGUCGGUACUUGUAGAACUUUCGCCUUGGUUUUUCUUUCGACGUUUUAUAACGCGCGCGCUCUAAAAAUUUUCGCGCGACCUAAAUUUUUUUAGAUUUGGCUCUUAGCCUUAUACUUUGAUCCCUGAAACCUAAAAUUUCAGAUUUCACGCGACAUAACAUUUCGCUCUCUCACUUCUGCUCUAAUUAAAAGUUGCACUCUCCAGGCUCGUCGAAUCUGUGAGCUCGUCCAACCUGUAAGUACAAACCCUAUCUUCCCCUUGUAAAUUCAUUGAAUGAUAUUAGGUUGUUUUGUUAAAGGGUUUUAGGUAUAUGCUUUGCGAUCUGUUAAUAAUGUGCUUAUAGGUAUGGGUUCAUGGAUUUUCUGUUUAAUGGGUUCAUGACAAGAUCAAAUAAAGGUGUACUUUUGCUGUUUAAUGGGUUCAUGGAUUACAUUAUCUGUUAUGUUGAAUUGGGAAUGGAUUUAAUUUUGUCGUAUCUUUUAAUCACCCUAUGUUAUGUUGAAUUGGGAAUGGAUUUAUUGUUUUCAUGCUUGGUUUCAUGUAUAUGUUGGUUUCUUGCUUGGUUUCAUAUAUAUGUUGUGUUCUUAAUGGGUUUUGUGUUCUUGAAAAUAAACUGAGACACGACGAAUUUUAAGGCGUACGACGACGAUUACACGACGGUGUUUUUAAACUACCGUCGUUGUAUUACUUAUACACGACGGUUUUUUCAUAAACCGUCGUUUGUAUUACGUAUAAUAGACGACGUCUGUUGAAAAUCCGUCGUCUAUAUAUGCCAAAUACGUCUGUUUUUGAUUAAAACCCGUCGUCUCUGUUGUUUAUUACUUGCGAUUAGAUCAUUGUAUAAUCUGCUAUAGUGAUGGUCAUUGCCUGUAUUUUCACUUUAUUAUAGAUAAUAGGUUAUAGUGUCGGAGAUGGAUAAGUCAUGGAUGCACUCGGAUAGAAGAUCGAAGGCAUAUGAGUUUGGGGUGGAAGCAUUUUUGAACUUUGCUGUAGAAAAUCUUCUAACUACAACACAUAUCCGUUGUCCAUGUGUUAAAUGUGUUAAUUUGAAGUUGUUUGGGGUUGGAAUUAUAAGGGAUCACUUAUACUUUAAUGGAAUUGACCAAAGCUAUAAGAAUUGGACAUUUCACGGAGAACCUUGGGAAGCAACUACUAAUGCUAGCAGAAAUGUUGAAGAAGAUGAUGGCCAUAGUAGGUACAGUUUUGUGUCUGAAGAAAUUGAUAUGGAUGAUAAUGAUUUUGGUGAUUUUGGUUCGGAUCCGUAUGAGUUUGCCAAUGUGAUUGGGGAUGGAGAUCAACCAGUGUACCCUGGUUGUAGAAAGUACACGAAGUUAUCGGCAUUAGUGAAGUUGUAUAAUUUGAAGGCAAAACAUGGGAUGAGUGAUGUCUGUUUUACAUAAUUAUUGAUACUUCAAGGCGAUUUGCUUCCAGAAGGAAAUACAAUACCAACCUCCAUGUAUGAGGCUAAAAAGACUUUGUGUGCAUUGGGGCUGAGUUAUGAGAAAAUGCACGCAUGCCCCAAUGAUUGCAUCUUGUAUAGGAAGGAGUAUGAGGAUUCAACUAAUUGUCCUACUUGUGGUAUCUCAAGGUGGAAGGAAGGCAAAGAUGCAAUCUUGAAAGAGGGUGUGCCAGCGAAGGUGGUGUGGUAUUUUCCCCCAAUUCCAAGGUUUAAAAGGAUGUUUCAAUCACAUGAGACAGCUAAGAGUUUGACUUGGUGGCAUGUUGCUAGAAAAUCAAUUGACGGUCAGAUGUCUCAUCCGGCGGAUUCCCCGUCUUGGAAACUUCUUGAUGAUAAAUGGCCUGAGUUUGGUAAUGAGCCGAGAAACUUGAGAUUGGCUCUUUCAUCUGAUGGAUUCAAUCCCCACAGUUCUCUAAGUAGCAGAUAUAGUUGUUGGCCGGUUAUCUUAGUUACAUAUAAUCUCCCUCCAUGGCUGUGCAUGAAACGAAAGUUCAUGAUGUUAACCUUAUUGAUUUCCGGUCCUAAACAACCCGGAAAUGAUAUAGACGUCUACUUGGAGCCUUUGAUUGAUGAUUUAAAAUCCUUGUGGGUUGGGAUUAGAGGAGUGUAUGAUGCACAUAAUGGAGAAUACUUUACACUCAGAGCUGCAUUAAUGUGGACAAUUAAUGAUUUCCCCGCCUAUGGAAACUUAUCUGGUUGUGUUGUUAAAGGAUAUAAAGCUUGUCCAAUAUGCGGCGAUGAUACACCUAGUCACAGGUUGAAAAAUGGCCACAAAAUUUGUUACAUUGGGCAUAGAAAAUGGUUACCAAUCAAUCAUCCAUAUAGGAGGCAACGUGCAGCUUUUAAUGGGAAACCUGAAUAUGGCAUACCUCCAGAGCCAUUAACCGGAGAAGAAGUGCUGCAUAUGGUUGAAAAUGGUGACAGAGUUUGUUGGAAGAAGAAAUCAAUAUUCUUUGAUCUCGAGUAUUGGAAAUACCUUCCUGUGAGGCAUGCCCUAGAUGUUAUGCACAUUGAGAAGAAUGUUUGCGAUAGUAUCAUUGGUACAUUGCUGGAGAUCCCUGGAAAAAAUAAAGAUGGGAUUGCUGCUCGAUUAGAUUUAUUGAACAUGGGGGUCAAAACUGAUUUGCAACCCGAGUAUGGAGAAAGACGUACUCGUUUGCCUCCUGGGCCUUGGAAUUUGUCAAGAGCAGAGAAGAGAGAGGUUUGCAAUUCUUUCUAUGGUAUGAAGGUCCCUGAAGGUUAUUCUUCCAAUAUUAAAAAUCUUGUAUCUGUACAAGAUUCAAGACUUCUUGGCCUUAAAUCACAUGAUUGUCAUACCUUAAUGCAACAAUUGCUCCCUGUGGCAAUUCGUUCUGUUUUGGAGAAGCCUGCAAGGUAUGCAAUAACUCGUUUGUGCUUCUUCUUCAAUGCUAUAUGUGCAAAGACUGUUGAUGUUUCCAAGCUAGAUAAGUUGGAAGAAGAUGUAGUAGUUACUCUGUGUUUGCUUGAGAAGUACUUUCCCCCUUCAUUCUUUGAUAUCAUGGUUCAUCUAGUAGUACAUCUUGUCAGAGAAGUUCGUCUAUGUGGGCCAGUAUAUUUUAGGUGGAUGUAUCCGUUUGAAAGAUAUAUGAAAGUGCUGAAGGGGUAUGUUCAGAAUCGUACUCGUCCCGAAGGUUGCAUUGCUGAGCGGUAUAUAGCUGAAGAAGCGGUAGAGUUUUGUACUCAGCAUUUAUCUGAUGUUAGUACAGUUGGAGUGCCUUCAAGCCAAAAGAUGGGAGUUUCAAAGCCAUUAUCAGGUUGCACAGUGAGCGUAGUUGAUCAGGACCUGUUGAAUCAAGCACAUCUAUAUGUCUUGGAGAAUACGGAGGAAGUCCUACCUUAUAUCGAGUACGUAUGAGUUUUAUUCUUUAAGUUUCCAUUUAAAAUUAUUUCUUAUGUUUAUCUUAUAUAUUUGGGACCGUAAUGCUUGAAUUUUUCGUGUCAUGUAGGCAACAUAUGAUCCACAUCAAGACUGCUUAUCCAAAAUUUAGAAAGAGAACAAAGUGGCUGCAGGAUAAGCACAAUAGCACUUUCAUUCAAUGGCUACGCUUCAAGGUAUAUGUUGUUGAAUAACGUAUUUCUCUUUUAAUUUUCUUCUUAUUUAUAUGUUAGGAUGAAUUAAGAUAUGAUUAAUUUGCAGGUUCAAAGUGAAGUUGAGGAAGACAAUCAUGGCGUAUCAGAAAAUUUAAGGUGGCUAGCAGCUGGUCCAAACAUGUCAGUGCCAUUAUAUAGGAGCUAUCUUAUUAAAGGUAUUAAAUUCAAUAUCAAGGCACAAGAUGAUGUGCGGACAACUCAAAAUAGUGGAGUUUAUUUACUUGCACAUACCAUGCAAGUUGCUAGUGCCAAGGAUAAAAACCCAAUUCUCUCAAAUAUGGGUUUCUAUGGUGUCAUUCAAGAAAUUUGGGACCUUGACUACCAAAAGUUUACAAUCCCAGUCUUUAGGUGUGAUUGGAUAGAUAGUUCUGGUCUUGUAGUCGACGAACUUGGAUUUACCCUUGUAGAUUUGAGUAAAAUUGGACAUAGGAAUGACCAAUUUGUUUUGGCUUCUCAAGUCAAACAAAUAUUUUUUGUUGACGACCCGAUGCAUCGUGGUUGGUCGGUAGUGUUAUCAAUGCCUAGUAGAGAAUAUAAUGAUGUUAUUGGUGAUGAAGUAUUAGGUGAUGUGAUAAUUGAGUGUGAGCCAUUUACUAGAGGGAUGCCAAAUGUUGACACAUUUGAUGAACUGGUAGGUGAGUUAGGCGGUCAAAAUGUNNNNNNNNNNNNNNNNNNNNNNNNNNNNNNNNNNNNNNNNNNNNNNNNNNNNNNNNNNNNNNNNNNNNNNNNNNNNNNNNNNNNNNNNNNNNNNNNNNNNNNNNNNNNNNNNNNNNNNNNNNNNNNNNNNNNNNNNNNNNNNNNNNNNNNNNNNNNNNNNNNNNNNNNNNNNNNNNNNNNNNNNNNNNNNNNNNUAUUGUGAAGCAAUUAUUCAGGAUAUCACGUCGGUGAAGGAUAAAGAACCGCCAUGUAAUUCAAAAUAACACGACUCCAAUCCCAUAAUACCGACGUCUAAAAAACGAGAUAUGUAAUCUGAACGUUAAAAAAUACGACGUCAUCAUACAUUUUCCACGUCGCAAGUUCUUUUAUAAACGAAGAGGAACGAAAUUAAUUCCGACGGAAAUUCAUUAUAACCGCCGUCUAAUAACAAUUAAACGACGUUAUUUGUAAUACGGCUCCCAUCAUAAUCUACGCCGUCUAUAUGUUCUGUAAUACGGCUCUCAUUUAUUUGGAACCGACGUUGUUUAGACGUUCAACGUCGUCUAUAUUAUUAAGUGCGUCGUGAGUAAUGAAUACAUAUAAAUACAACGUCGACUAUAUAAAUGUAUACGUCGUAAAUAAUGACACUGACAACUAUUUCCACGUCAUCUUUUUUAGAUAAAAUCGAAGUGGAAAAUUUAUUUCACGACGGUUUUUUGUAAAUAAGAGACGUUGUAGAACUUUAGCAGACUAAACACGUCUGUUUUUAUUGUUUUCCGACGUUGUUGUAUUUAACAACGUCUAAUAUUUAUGGUCGUUGUUUGUUUCUGAAAAUAGGACGUAUAAAUUUUUUAAUACGACUCUCAUAUAUUUGUAACUGACGUUGUUUAGUUUUUCAACGUCUACUAUAGAAACACAUACGUCGUAAAUAAUGACACUGACAACUAUUUCCACGUCAUCUUUUAUCAAAAAAUCGAAGUGGAAAAUUAAUUGUACGACGGUUGUGUUUAUAUGUGCGACGUAGUAGGUAUCAAUAACGUCGUCUUCUAAUGUAUUUAAAGACGUCAUAUUUUUUAUUGUCGUGAAAAUUAUAUUUAACGUCGGCGUAUUUUUAUUGUCGUCGUUGUAUGUCUAUCUUGCGGCCUUGUUCUCUUAAUAUGUGUCAUAUUUUCCCUUUUUAACGACGGUCUUUUUAGAGAAUUGGUCGUCUAUUAUCAUCAUCGAUUGCUUUUUUUAGAUCUUUUGCAGUACAAAGACGUCGUUUUGUAUUUUUUGAUGACGUUGUAUUGUUUAACAACGACGGUUAUUUAGCGUCGUGGUUUAUGAGGGAAAAGAUGACGGUGGAUUCCACGACCAUUGAAAAACCAAAUACACGACGGUGAUUUACCGUCGUCUUUUUGCUUUUUUGUAGUAGUGUGUAUACUGGAGAAGUUUUGUGCGCUCUCAUUAGGAUUGCACUAUACAACCAUACGGACAAUUGAGGCACAUAGUGUCAUGGACCAAGAGUUCAUUGACUCAAAUGAUUUUAAGCUUUGGUAUGACUGGGUGGGUCAUCCUGGAUCCACCAUGAUGCGUAGGAUCAUCACCAACUCUAAAGGACAUCCCUUAUUGACAAAACACAUUAUGGCAUCAAGUGACAGCUUUUGCCAAGCUUGUUCACAAGGGAAGUUGGUGAUCAGACCAUCACGACCAAAGGUUGAUGUUGAGUCCCCAUCAUUUUUGCAAAGAAUCCAAGAGGACAUUUAUGGGCCUAUUCAUCCUCCCUGUGGACUAUUUCGGUACUUUAUGGUCUUAGUGGAUGCAUCUACCCGAUGGUCGCAUAUUUGCCUUUUGUCCACUCGGAAUAUGGCAUUUGCUAGGCUCUUGACUAAGAUAAUUAAAUUACGAGUCCAAUUCCCAGAUUAUCCCAUUAAGUCAAUCAGACUCGAUAAUGCUGGUUAAUUUACAUCUCAGACUUUUGAUGACUACUGCAUGUCAUAGUCAUUGACAUUGAACAUCCUGUUCCCCAUGUUCAUACUCAAAAUGGUUGGCAGAAGCUUUAAUUAAGCGUCUUCAAUUGAUAGCAUGCACUUUGUUAAUGAAAAUAAAGUUGCCAGUUUCUGCUUGGGGAUAUGACAUUUUACAUGCAGCAUCACUGGCGCAGUUAAGGCCCGUAACCAACAAUCAAUAUUCUCCAAUACAACUCGUGUUGGGUAAUCAACCAAACAUUUCCCAUUUAAGAGUUUUUGGGUGUGCGGUAUAUGUGCCAAUUGCACCACCGCAACGUACUAAGAUGGGCCCUCAACGCAGAUUGAGAAUUUAUGUUGGUUUUGAUUCCCCAUCUAUCAUCAGAUAUUUGGAGCCCCUGACGGGUGAUAUCUUUACCGCACGAUUUGCAGAUUGUCAUUUUGAUGAGACAAUCUUCCUACCAUUAGGGAGAGAAAAAUCUGUUCCUAAAGAACAACAAGGCAAACUCGUUCAUGAAGAACGACAUGAAUUAUCGUGGGACGUACCCGCUUUGUCUCAUCUCGAUCCUCGUAUCGCUCAAUGCGAAAACGAAGUAAGAAGGAUCGUUCACCUCCAAAGUAUUGCAAAUCAGAUGCCAGAUGCAUUUAAUGAUGCAGCAAAGGUGACGAAAUCACAUAUCCAAAUUUGUUACAACUUUCUUAUCACCUUAUUAAAAAAUUACAUAAGAAAAAAUAUUAGUUUUUUUUUUUCCUUUUUUGAAAGACUCCAACAAAUAAGACUUACCUAAUUAAUGGUUUAGAAGAAAAAAAAUCAAUAAUCAAACUUACCGAAUUAAUGGUUUGAAAAUGCAAUCAAUGAACUUCCUUUUAAAACAGACUUCCUUAGCAAGACGUCUUUUGUCUGUAUAAAAAAAAAAAAAAAGGAUAUAUCUUUUGUGGAUAUUUUUAAGGUCAUUAUUGUGUUUUUUUUUUAAAAAAAAAAGUUUUUCCUCUAAAAAAAUAGACAUUUUCUUUUUUUUUUAAACAGAAUUUUUUAUUUUUUAUAAAUAUUUUUUACAUAUGGUAAGAGAGUUGUAAAAAAAAUUUGAUAAAUUGAAGGACAAUACAUUUAAUAAGGGUAAACUUGGAAAACAAAAUGUGGUUUGUUUGAUGUAUUAGUGUCAUUAUUUUAAGUGUAUGAGAAAUGACACAUGUCAUGAGGAAAAGAAAGAAGGUCCAAAAGAGAAGGUUGGAGAGAAGGUUACUAGCAUUCCGUAUCAUUUAAUGAAACAAACUCUAACAGUUAGUUCUUUCUCAUGUGAAAUUUUUUACAUUUCUCACUUCUUCACAUGCACACUGCCUUUUCUCAACUGGUCUGUCAAUUUUCUAUUGUAUGAACUUAUUGAUGUGUAUGAGUUCCUAUCGUGUAUUGAGGGAACAAACAAAAAAGAAGACAGAUUAGUCAAUGAAAUAAUGUAUGGAAUUUGCAUUAUUUCUUUAUGUAAUUUUCAUAUUAAAUGACGAAGAAAAUUCUAGAGGAAGACAGAUUAGUCAAUGAAAUCAUGUAUGGAAUUUUCGUUCUUUCUUUAUGUGAUUUUCAUAUUAAACGACGAAGAAAAUUCUAGAUGAAGACAGAUUAGUCAAUGAAAUAAAGUAUGGAAUUUUCCGCUAUUUCUUUAUAUAAUUUUCAUAUUAAAUGACGAAGAAAAUUCUAGAGGAAGACAGAUUAGUCAAUGAAAUAAUGAUGGAAUUUUUGCUAUAGGAAGGCAGAUUAGUCAAUGAAAUAAUGUAUGAAAUUUCCACUAUUUCUUUAUGUAAUUUUCAUAUUAAAUGACGAAAAAAAUUCUAAAGGUAGACUUAUCAGAAAAGGAUAUACAUGUGCUCAUAAAUGAAAAAGUAAAAUACAUGUCCUCCUCCUUUGUUCUGAGGAGUGGGACAAAAGUGGGUGUUUAUAAGACUUUGAGGAAGGCUUUUUUUUUUUUUCAAAAAAAAAAAAGUUUUUCCUCUAAAAAAAUAGACAAUUUCUUUUGAAAAAAACAGAAUUUUUUAAUUUUUUAAAUAUUUUUUACAUAUGGUAAGAGAGUUGUAAAAAAAUUUGAUAAAUUGAAGGACAAUACAUUUAAUAUGGGUAAUUUUGAAAAACAAAAUGUGGUUUGUUUGAUGUAUUAGUGUUAUUAGUUUAAGUAUAUGAGAAGUGACACAUAUCAUGAGGAAAAGGAAGAAGGUCCAAAAGAGAAGGUUGGAGAGAAGGUUAGUAGCAUUCCGCAUCAUUCAAUGAAACAAACUCUAACAGUUAGUUCUUUCUCAUGUGAAAUUUUUUACAUUUCUCACUUCUUCACAUGCAUACUGCCUUUGCUCAACUGGUCUGUCAAUUUUCUAUUAUGUAUGAACUUAUUGAUGUGUAUGAGUUCCUAUCGUGUAUUGGGGGAACAAACAAAAAAGAAGACAGAUUAGUCAAUGAAAUAAUGUAUGGAAUUUCCAUUAUUUCUUUAUGUAAUUUUCAUAUUAAAUGACGAAGAAAAUUCUAGAGGAAGACAGAUUAGUCAAUGAAAUCAUGUAUGAAAUUUCCGUUCUUUCUUUAUGUGAUUUUCAUAUUAAAUGACAAAGAAAAUUCUAGAUGAAGACAGAUUAGUCAAUGAAAUAAAGUAUGGAAUUUCCGCUAUUUCUUUAUAUAAUUUUCAUAUUAAAUGACGAAGACAAAAUUAUAGAGACAGACAGAUUAGUCAAUGAAAUAAUGUAUGAAAUUUUUGCUCUAGGAAGACAGAUUAAUCAAUGAAAUAAUGUAUGAAAUUUCCUCUAUUUCUUUAUGUAAUUUUCAUAUUAAAUGACGAAAAAAAUUCUAAAGGUCGACUUAUUAGAAAAGGAUAUACAUGUGCUCAUAAAUGAAAAAGUAAAAUACACGUCCUCCUCCUUUGUUAUGAAGAGUGGGACAAAAGUGGGUGUUUAUAAGACUUUGAGGAAGGCUUUUCCCAAUCAAUCAAUGAAGAUUAGAGGAAGAGUUUUACCAAUCAAUCAAUGAAGGCUAGAGGAAGAGUUAAAUAGCAACAAAUGGCCCCCUUUUUGGUUGGGGGAACGUGUGUGUGGGUGUUAAAAUUCAUUGGAGAAAGACAAGAGGACUAUACCACAUCAUGUGUGGUAGAUAAUGUGUCAAUUUGGAAAUAGCUUUAGUAGCAAGUGGACUAUACUAGCCACCUACAGCUUUAAGCCUGAUCAUUCAGAUAAUGCUUGUAUCCUUUGUUUUACCGCGGCUACUAACAUAAAGAAAGCCGAUACUUUCGUUGCCUCUUCUACCUCCACGCGGCAUUGCUCUGUCGGGCUUUCUCCUAUUGCGGAUAAUUCCCCAUUAUUGCCUUCGGUAGGAAUAUGGGCUGUGUCUCAAUUAGUGUGGUUGAUCUUCCGAAUUGCCUUAGUUAGCUUUGCCUUACCAACUACCUAAUUAGACACAAGGCCCCUCCUCGGAGAAAAGUUACUAGCAGAACUAUAUAAGACUUUUAACAGUUGUCACAUAUGAUUAUGUGUGUUAAACCUCUUUCAACCUUAACCCUAGAAUUACACAGAGUAACAAGUAUUAUUUAUUGAAUUAUCGAAACAGUACAAUAUUCUCAACAACUCAUUCUUGAUACAAUAAUUCCCUAAUAGAGUUGUAAGCUCUAAUUAACCAAUUAUGUUAUAAACUAAUUUCUUAACUAAUCAAUUAAUAAACUGACUAUGCCGGCUCAUCACUAAUCCAGCUCAGCAAUGAUGAAGGUUCCUAAUAAUGUGAUCAGUCGAUGUGACGUAGUGUUAUUGAUUAAAAUAUAGCCAUCCCUACCACCUCAUGUAAAUCCCACAAGACUCCUAUUCACGGAGGGGAAGAAAGUAGGGGGAAUGCUAGCAACCUUUUCUCUAACCUUCUCUUUUGGACCUUCUGUUAGUAUGAAAAUAGUGUUGUCAUUUCCUAGACUCUAGCAUAGGUUGAAAAUUAGUGUGUGAAGAAUUGUUACUGGACGUUUUGGCACAACUCAUUCAACCCCAUACAUCCGAGGCAUGACUUGACCGAUAUGAGAAACUUGAUUUCAGGUAAAUCAUGGCAUAAUCAUGCAUUCAUUAUAGGAUUCCUAGUUUGAGUUUUCUUUUUCAAUCAAGUAUUUUUAUGUUAAUCUUAUUUUUAAUAGGAUUAGACUUUAUCUCUUAAGAUUACUUUUCUAGUUGAACUCUAUCUUGAUUUAAGUUAAAAUAUUAUCUUUUCCUAAGUGACAUGCACAAUGCUUAUUUUCCAAUUACCUUGCUUUAGGAGUCAAUUGGUUCUUCAUAAAAGUGGACGGUUGGUAACAUCAUUAAGAGUCCUUAAUGAAUCAGACUUUGUAUUUUUAUUGAAUCAGAAUUUAUAUUGUUAAUCGGAUAACUGUUUGGCCCUUAUGUGGCGUCUCAUUUAGGAGAUCAUAUUGCACCAGGUUUAAAAGAGUCUUAGCUGAAUUGGUCUUAGAGUUAUAAUUGUUUUGGAAGUGUAGUCUCGCAAGUUUCUCUCCUGUGAGAGAAACUUGCUUUGAAUAAAAGGAUGUCUGUUUCUUUUCAUUGUAGCUUUUGAACGUAUAAAAUUGUUGGGGUAUAUUGAAUCUAUGUUGGGAAAAGCUGCUGUACUUAGUUUACUCGGUAAGUCAUCAAGUGCUUAUGUUGCUUGGUGAUUGAUCAAAUUCAUUCAUCAUUCAUAUUGCAUUCAUUUGCAUUGUUCGGUGACUCAUACGGUUGAGGGCACCAAGACCGUGGUGACGGUUUUUUCUCCGGUGAGCUUGAAACAAUGAUGACCAGUAUUGCGUUUAACAUAAGGAGUGUCGAAGAUCAUCCCUUGACAGAAGUUGAAUUACGAAGAAGUUGGUAAACGUCAUCUAGAAUGUGUCUAGAAUAAGUGUGUGAGUACUUCUUGUAAUCAUCGUUCUAUAGUGGAUUUGUAUUGGACUGAGGAGUCCCAUGGAUUUUUUCCAGAGGAGGGGUUUUACCACGUAAAAUAAUUCUCUGUGUGUUUCUUUAUUUUAUGUUCAGCAUGUUUCAGGAUUGAUAAGCCAUAUCAAUCCUGCUACAUAAGUUUAUUUUUACUUAUUUGAUUAUAAUAUUAAAUUGGCCUAUUCUCCCCCCUUUAGGCAUUUUUAGUCAUCCUACAGGUAUUUUCACCUUCUUCCUUUUCUUUAUGACAUGUGGAUUUUUUUAAGGUCAUUAUUGUGUUUUUUUUUAUAACCAAAAAAAAAAAACGUUUUCCUCUGUAAAAAAAAAAAAAAAAGACAUUUUCUUCAAAAAUAUAUAUAUAUAUAAAUUUUAAAAUUUAAAUUUUUUUACAUAUGGUAAGAGAGUUGUAAGAAAAAAUUGGAUAAAUUGAAGGACAAUACAUUUAAUAAGGGUAAACUUGAAAAACAAAAGGUGGUUUGUUUGAUGUAUUAAUGUCAUUAUUUUAAGUUGUAUGAGAAGUGACACAUAUCAUGAGAAAAAAGAAGAAAAUCCAAAAGAGAAGAUUGGAGAGAAGGUUACUAGCAUUCCCUAUAUAUAUGUACGUUUUUUGGUGAGAAAAAUCCCUUCGAGUAGACAAGAAAUUGUACAGGAAAUUGUACAUUUUUUUGUCUUUUCGCAUUUUUCUUUUCAUGUUAAAGUAGUUUAGGACCGUCCUCUUUCAAAGCAGACAUGUGCAGUUGCAAAAGACCAUCGUGCAUGUUUAUGGGAAAAAACAAAACCUCUAGCCCACUUGGCUAUAAAUUAUUGUAUGUAUGCCAUUUACCUUCUUCUUCUUCCUUUUUUUUUUUUUUUUCCUGCAUGUCAUUUACUAUUUUACGUGAUAUGUGCAUCUGUGAGAAUGAUAGCUCCCAAACGUUCGGCACCAUGAGUGAUUAACUAUUUUGAUUAUAGAAUUUAAAGUUAAAUGAUUUUAAUUAUGUGGAAUUUUUUAGACCAGAACCUCGAUUUAUUCAAAUUAUAGAAGUUCAAUUUAACAACUUUUGUGCAAUUAGAACCAGAGAGAGAAUGGAUUUCUUGAGUUGUUGUAUCGUCCUGCUAAACCUUUUCUUUGUGUUGUUGUUCUCAAUUAUUCAAGCUCUGCAAAGCAAAGCCAAUCCCGAAAGGCAUCUUCUCCCACCUGGACCAAAGCCAUUUCCCUUCAUUGGCAAUCUUUUAGAGCUUGGCAACAAACCCCAUCUCUCUCUCACCAAGCUUUCUCAAAUCUAUGGCCCCAUUAUAACUUUGCAAUUCGGCCAAUAUUCAUAUUGGGGAUUCCCCAUCCCCACCUUUAAUGGGGAAUGGGUUCCCCGUCCAACCCCACCUUUUGGGAUUGGCCUUGCUUUGCAGAGCUUGAAUAAUUGAGAACAACAACACAAAGAAAGAUGGCACCAGGUAUGUCAGAGGUCGUAUACUCAAGUAAGAUGGCAACAGGUAUGUCUUUACGUAUUUCAAAUUGUGUGAAGAUUUUGAACAUGUAUAUUAAAGAAAUCUCACAGUUGGUAUCAGAGCCAGGUUGUUCGCACACACUAAAAUCGUUUUUCAAGCAUGCCAAUUACGAUUUCUUAUAUGUUUAUGCCAUGAUGAGUUUUUGGUGAUGUUCAAAAUUUGAAGAUGGAUUAAACAUGUUUUCUAAAUAUCGAGAAUAUUAAAGAAUCUGGAAAAGCAUGUUUUAAUUUGAUUUUCAUAUCUUCAAAACUUUAAACACGUUUUUGACCUACCUGAUGACCUGAAAACCCCAAAAAUGCCCAUAUGUAAUAGCAUAGUUGUGAGUUGUGUUAAUUAUGUCAUUCCCUAUUUAGAAAGGUAUUUUGCGUCAAAAACGAACACCAAAAACGUCUAAAACACUGUUCACUGCAGAAAUUACUAUUCACUGCAAUUUAGGGUUUUCUCUCUUGAACUGUAUUUGUUUCGUUAUUUUCUGAGCUAGAUAGGUGCUUAUUUUUGUUCUGAGAAUCAACAAAUUUUUCUUAACAAAACCAAACCUAAAUACUCAAAUCCUAAAGAAAUAACAAAAAUUGCAUCAUACCUAAAUUACUUGAUAAGUUUCUUCAACAAAUAGAAUCUGUCAUGUAAUUUAUUUAUGAUGGCACAAGAUAACACGUAAUUUGUGUAAGGUAUAAGUAAUCUCUUGCCACAAAGGUGUGAUACUUAAUUAAGGAAGCUUGCAUAUAUUAUUUGUUAGUUUAAUGAAUAAAGUGAAAUGGAAAAACUAUUUUCUCUUAACAAAUUGAGAAUUGGUGUCUUGGAAAGUAAUUAUGUUUUUUUUUUUUUGGUUGCAAAUCCUUACAGCUUUGAACGCUCUCUCAAUCAAUUUCUCACAAAUUGAAAGAUUCACUGGAACAAACUUCAAAACAUGGACGUAUGAUUUUGAAGUUAUUCUCGGAAUGAAUGAGAUCGUUUAUGAUCUCACUCAUGAUUAUAUUUAAUUCAAGCUAGCCAUUUCGCUUAUGUGUCUUGUAGUACAACUCCUAGAGCUUAGGAAAAAGGAAAAGCCUCUGGUGGUUAAUAGGAGCCACUCGUGCCAACUAAUCACAAAUGAAAUUCUAGUAAAGAAUACAAUGGAGCUAAUUAAGAAGCGGAACGAAGAUGAGCUGGAGCAAAAAAGGGUUAAGAUGCAGUGACGUCGUCGAUCUUAUGGAGGACCCAUAAGGAUAUACAUGGCUACAAAGGACGGUCUCAGAAGUCUCAGGAUCACUGUAAAGCUCGGUGUAUGCGCUUAUGGGAGAGGACGAAACAUCAAUAAGCUAAUUCGAUACAAAAAUCUCCUAGUGUAGUUUGUGAAACAUACGCCCCAACUUGAAUCACUUGUUGAGAUUUUUGAUACCUCCACUAAUAGGGAGAUAGUGGUACUUAACCCGUUCCUUGCUAGGGAGAACAACACUUUGGCAUCAUGUUGUGACAAGGAGGAUUAGAUAGCUACAUGUUGUUUUCAUUAAAUAUUAUUGGAAUAUUUAAUUUUAAGUUGGAUUUAGGAUUUAUUUUAAAGUUGGAUGAUGUAGUUUCAUUACCGUAAAUAAAGAGAAAUUUAAUUUCUAAUUCAAGAUUAUUAAGACUUGGUUUUAUUUUGGAUUCAAUAAAGAUGUUUUUGUAUCUCAGAAUUCAAAGACAAUAAAGAUGGAUUAUACUGUCUCAAUUACAAUAAAUCUUUUUGAUAUCAACAAACGGGUGUUCACCAUUAAACAGAAUGGUGCAGUCAUCCACAAAUACUACAGCCAACUGCAGCACAUCUUUCAAGAAAUUGAAUCGCAUGCACUGCGACGCCGAUGUGACUGAUUGCCAGAAAGAACUAGAUUGUCUUCGUGUUCACCUUUUUCUUGUCGGGCUCAACCCUGAGUUUGAUCAAGUUCGGGGGGAAAACCUAUGCAAAGAUCCUAAAUGAGACCAUGAUCAAAGCUUUGCAUAUGUACGUCGCGAAGCUCAACAACGACUGACCAUGGCCAGUGCUCCGGAAACCGUUGUGAUGGUCACUCAACGUCAACAAGGCCCUUAGAUCUCUACUGGUGGCUCUUCUCAUACUAAGGUCACAGACACUCAUCUGGAGCAUAAAUGCACUCACUGUGGUGGAAGUAAACAUACCCGUGCUGGUUGUUACGAAUUGAUUGGGUGCCCAGAUUGGUGGGACCACUCCAAAGCUCCCCCCAAGAAUAGGAGCAAAUCACCCAACACAUCUUCUGACUCAGAUCUUGUAAGUCCUGCUGUUUCAACUACAUCGGCUCUCGCCUCUGCAUCUGUAGCCAUAACAGGUAACCAAGGUUAUGUUUUACAUAGUUCUUCAAAGAAACAUACAUGAAUUAUUGACACCGGAGCCACUGAUCAUAUGACCUUUGAUCCUGGACAAAUUGCCUCUCAUACACCGUCUCCUCAAUCAGUGGUGUCUAAUGCCAAUGGUACCCUAUCCCCUAUAAUUAGGGAGGGUUCACUCUCUCUCUUUCUAAUUCUUUCAAUUUGGAUUCUGUGUUGAUUAUUCCAUCCUUACAUCAUAAUCUCUUGUUUGUUGCCCAAAUUACUAAGGCUUUGAAUUGCACUGUAACCUUUUGGCCUACUCAUUGUGGUUUUCAGGACAUUCUCAGUAACAAGACAAUUGGUUGUGGUACUAGGAGGGGCAAACUUUACUACUUGGACUUAGCAUCUGACAAUGAAACACACUACCGAAGUAUGGUUAUGGCAUCGGCGUCUUGGAUAUGCUUCGUUUGGAUAUUUACAGAAGCUAUUUCCUCCCUUAUUUUCCAAUUUAGAUAUUUUCAAUUUUAAGUGUGACAUUUGUGAAUUGGCCAAGAGCCAUCGUGUUCCUUUUCCCUUAAGUUCAAAUAAAAGUUUAGUUCCAUUUUCUCUUGUUCAUUCUGAUGUUUGGGGCCUUGCUAAAAUUACCACUCCAGGGGGAGCUCGAUGGUUUGUCAUGUUUAUAGAUGAUUGCACCCACAUGACCUGGGUUUCCCUUCUAUAAAAAAAAGAGGAAGUCAGUUCCAAGUUUCAAUAGUUCUAUCAAAUGGUGGAGACUCAGUUUCAUGCUAGAAUUCAGAUUCUUCGUUCUGACAAUGACAGAGAAUUUCUUGACCAUGAUCUUAACAAGUUCUAACAAGAUCAUGGCAUCAUACAUCAACGCUCAUGCCCCUACACUCCCCAACAAAAUGGAGUCCCUGAAAGAAAGAACAUACAUUUAUUGGAAGUAGUUCGUGCCUCUCUCUUUGGUGCCAAUAUGCCUUGAUCUUUUUGGAGAGAAGCCGUCGUCUCUACAGCAUACCUCAUCAAUCGGAUACCUUCCAGUAUCCUAAAUUUCCAAACACCACUUCAAACGCUUCACCAUCAUAUCCAAAUACCUCCUACCCCAAACCUAGAACCCUGUAUUUUUGGCUGUGUUAUAUUUGUCCAAUUACAUGAUCACCAACGAAGCAAAUUAGAUCCCCAAGCCGAGAAGUGUGUUUUCAUUGGCUAUGCACCUCAUCAGAAAGGAUACCGAUGUUAUCAUCCUCCUAGUCAGAAGGUCUACAAUUCCAUGGAUGUUGUGUUCCAGGAACAUGACUUAUAUUUUUCAGCAGUACAUAAGGAGAAUCAAGAAUCCACCACUCCUCAAAUUGUCGAUUUUUUCCCCAAGAUGUCACUCUGCUUCAAAACGACCGGUCGCCAAUGGAAAGCGACCGGUCGCCCCCCCUUAGGUCUUCAAACAUGGAGAACUUGCUUCCAAAUGACUGGUCGCCAGAAGACAACAAAUGGUCGCUAGAGGAAAAUUAUCAGUUGUCUCCACGCUAUCAAAAUCAGGAGGAGGAAAUUGAACCGUUUAUGAGAUUUUGCCCGCUUUAGUUCCAGUACCACACCAAUCACCUGCUAAGGAAGUCAUUCAGGUAACAUCUUUCCCUGAAACUGAUAACACUAAUGAAAUAUCCCAUGAUGAUUGAUUUCAGAAGGCAUAGAGGCUACAUGUCAGCUUCCAGAAAGGAAGAAUCGUGGCAAACCUCGAGUACAAUAUGAAGCAAAUCUUAAAGCCAAGGGAAAAUACCCCAUCAAUAAUUAUAUAUCUCUCAGUAGAUUAUCAGAGUCACAUGUGCACUAUGUGAAGUUGUUGGCUAACAUAUCUGUCCCCAACAGUGUGACUGAAGCAAUAGAAGACCCAAAAUGGAAAGAAGUCAUGAAUGAAGAAAUGCGAGCUCUGCAAAAGAAUGUCACAUGGGAACUCGUGCCCUUACCUCAUGGAAAGAAGACAGUAGGAUGCAGGUUUUUUUAUAUUGUGACACUCAAAGCAGAUAGAUCCAUUGAAAGAUAUAAAGCUAGAUUGGUGGCGAAGGGGUGCACACAGAGAUAUGUGAUAGACUACCAGGAGACCUUUGCCCCAGUAGCCAAGAUUAACACUAUUAGAGUCAUAUUUUCUCUAGCAGCAAAGCUCGAAUGGCCACUACAUCAGUUUGAUGUCGAAAAUGCAUUCUUACAUGGAGACUUGGAAGAAGAAGUAUAUAUGGACUUACCCCCAGGAUGUAAUUCAGCUCUUGACAAGAAGAAUCAAGUUUACGAGCUCAAAAAGUCAUUACAUGGGUUAAAGCAAUCUCCUAGGGCAUGGUUUGGCAGAUUUAUUAAAUCUAUGAAGAAUUUUGGAUAUAAACCGAAUAAUUCAUCACACCCUGUCCUUGAAGCGUGAUGAAGGAAAACUUAUUGCAUUGAUUGUUUAUGUAGAUGACAUAGUCGUACUGGAAACGACGCAUGAGAGCAACUGAAGUUGCAAAAGUAUUUGUCUUAGGAAUUUGAGAUGAAGAAUUUAGAUGAUCUGAAGUACUUUCUCGGAAUCGAAGUAGCAAGGUCAAAAACUGGUAUAUUUCUGUCUCAAAGGAAGUAUGUAAUGGAUCGACUCACUGACACAUGAAUGCUUGGAUGUAAGCCUGCUGACACACCCAUUGAUAUGAAUCACAAGUUGUGUGAAGAUAUGAACCAAGAACCAACCAAUAUGGAACAGUACCAACGCCUUGUUAGAAGGUUGAUAUACCUGGCAUACACAAGACUAGAUAUUGCAUAUGCUGUGAGUGUGGUUAGUCAGUUUAUGCAUUCACCCAGUGUUUCUCAUAGAAAUGCAGUUGAUCGGAUCUUAAGAUACUUAAAGUUAGCCCCUAGGAAAGGAUUAAUGUUCUAAAAAAAUGGAGAUCUUGAAGUUGUUGGAUAUACAGAUGCUGAUUGGGCUGGUUCCAGUACAGAUAGACGCUUUACUUCUGGUUACUUUACAUUUGUUAGAGGUAACCUAGUCACUUGGCAGAGUAAAAAAAUAAAAUGUGGUUUCUCAGUCUAGUGCAGAAGCAGAGUAUUGAGGAAUGACUCAAGGAGUCUGUGAAUUAUUGUGGAUCAGAAGACUCUUGACAGAAUUGAGCUUCAAGCUAGAAAAGCCAAUGGAGUUGCAUUGUGACAACAAGUCAGCUAUCGAUAUUGCCCAUAAUCCAAUUCAACAUGAUCGAACCAAAUAUGUUGAGGUGGAUAGACAUUUCAUCAAAGGAAAAAUUGAUAAUAAGAUCAUCUGCCUACCAUUCGUAAAAUCAGAAGAUCACCUGGCAGAUGUCUUAACAAAAGCUAUUUGUGAAAGAGUAUUUCAUGACUCACUUACCAAGUUGGGCAUUGGUGACAUAUAUACACCAACUUGAAGAGGAGUGUUGAAGUGAGUCUCCUAAUUAAUCAAGGAGAUGUAUUUCCUUGAUUAAUUAAGGGAUUUACUUUCUUGUUUUAUAUAGUUGACAAAUCAUUGUAUAAUUAGGAGAUACUAUCCUAAUUGAUUACUGUAUCUAUAUCCUUGUAAAGCACUUAUGUAAAUUCCUAUAUAUAUCUUCUUAUGGAGAAGAAUAAAACUUAACCUAAAGUAUUCAAACCAUAUUCAUAUUUUAGCAAGCUGUAGCCGCACCUUUCUUUUACCGCCCGUUAUUUUUGUGUCUCCGUUGCACCGUCUUCAUUGCAGACCGUCCUCUCCAUUGAGCUCUCUCGUGGCAAGCCACGGCAGCUCCAUUUAUCUCCCUGGGUAGUGAUGGCCAAAUUUCUGUUUCCUCACCGAGCCUCGUCACUACUCACCGAGCAUUCUCCUCACCAGCCUUUAUCUCUCUCAUGCCGUGUAACUCAAGUGGUUUUGAACUAGGGAUGGCAAUGGGUCGAAUCGGGGGUGGGUAUGCCUUUUCCAUCCCCAUCCCGUUUUUUUUCCAAUUCCCACCUUCAUUACUACAAUAUUCAUAUUGGGAAUUUCCCAUCCCAACCUUCAACUGGGAAUGGGUUCCCCUACUUGCCCCAUUACGUACGGAAGAAAAAUCAAUAUAAAACUACUUUUUUUGAAAGAAAAUAAACAGGACUAGAGCAAGACAAUGAGUACAUAUAAUAUAUUAUCUACGUACAAUGUUUACAUAUUGACUAGGAAGUUAACUAAAUAUAUAAGUAGUGUAGCGUAAGAUUUGUAUAAAUUUUAUAAAUAUAUAAUAUAAAACUUAGUCGGCACAAUCACUUUAAUAACAUAUUUAAAUAUACUAUAUUCUAAAUAGGGAGGGUUCGGGUCGGGGAUUAAAAUACCGUCCCUCCCCCUCCCCUAACACCAUAUCCAAAAAAUUGACAGUACCUGCCCUCAUACCCGUUUGUUAUCCUUCUUACCCGACCAUUAGGGUCGAAUCCAUGUGAAGACCCUUACCCGUGGGAAAAAUUGCCAUCCAUAUUUUGAACAGUUAUCUUCCUUGCACUCGAGAUUCUGUGUUUGAAUCUCACCCACCCAAUAUCGAUCGCUUUUAUUUUUAAAAAAAAAUAGAGACUAUCUCGUGUAUAUAUAAUAUAUCUCAAUCAUUCAUCAAGUUUGAAUCUCAAUAACAAUUGGUUGUUGUAAGAACGUCCAACAGAAUUAACUAUGAAGAUUUAUUGGGGUGCAUAGAGUAAUUGGACUGUCUUGGCUUUAUGGGGCUCCUAUCUAUUAUAGGGGGGAUUCUUAUCCUGGUGUAUGAUUUUUGUUUGUAAAAUCACCCCAGUUGCCCUUCAAUAUGAUGGUAGAUUGACCUUGCGAAGGCUAUAUCUAAAGGAAAAGCACAGAGCCAUGCCACUAGAAUACAGAUUUUUGUUUUGUAAAUUUUUUAUUAAGUUAUUCGGUGUUGAUUUUUCAAGUACUUAGCAUGAAAAAAAAUGAAAUAGAAUGAUUUUUUUCAUUAAAAAAACACUUUUGAAUGAAGCCAAUUUGGCCAUCUAAAAAGAUUCUGUUUUAGCGGAUAGCUAGUAACUUUCUUUCUGUCCAAACUAGACGCAUAACUAAGUCCAAACGAUAAGACUUGUCGGAUUGGGAGGCUCUCCCUCCCUCCUUCAACUUUUAUGUGUGUGUGUGCGUGCGAUUAGAACCAAAGAGAGAAUGGAUUUCUUUUGUUUUUGUAUGGUCCUGCUAAGCCUUUUCUCUGUGUUAUUGUUCUCAAUUACUCAAGCUCUGCAAAGCAAAGCCAAUCCCAAAAGGCAUCUUCUCCCACUUGGACCAAAGCCAUUUCCCUUCAUUGGCAAUCUUCUAGAACUUGGAAACAAACCCCAUCAAUCUCUCACCAAGCUUUCUCAAAUCUAUGACCCCAUUAUAACUCUGCAACUAGGCUAAGUAACAACGGUGAUUCUUUCUUCACCAAACACAGCCAAACAAGUCCUCCGAACCCACGACCAAUUCUUGUCCAACCGAACCAUCCCAGAUGCAUUUCAAGCCUAUGACUUUCGCCAGGACAGCCUGCCAUGCAUACCACCUUCGGCCAAAUGGAGAAGCCUUCGACAAAUAUGCAACUCUCAAUUGUUCGCCGCCAAAAUCCUCAAAGCCAACCAACCCAACCGCCGCAUAAAAGUGCAAGAGCUCAUAUCUCAGGUCAACGAAAGUACAGUCAAUAGUGAGGCGGUAGUUAUUGGAAGGGCCGCUUUCACUACGCUCAUUCUGCUGUCUCGUAUUGUUUUCUCAGUGGAUUUGGCUAACUCAAGUAGCGAGAUGGCCAGGGAGUUCAAGGAGACUGUGUGCGGUUUGAUGGAAGGGGUAGGGACCCCAAACGUGGGGGAAUUGUUUUCCUGUCUUUAGGAAAAUUGACCCCCAGGGCAUUAGGCAGAGCAUGAUCAAACAUUUCAAUUAGAUGGAACAACUCUUUGACUGCAUGAUUAGCCAAAGAUUGGCAUCAAGAAAAGCCCAUGAUUAUGUCAGAACCAAUGAUAUGCUGGAUACUCUUUUGAACAUCAGUGAAGCGAAUAGUGAGGACAUGGACAAGACCAAAAUUCGACAUAUGUUUCUGGUUAGUUAUUUUGUCUUUGCUCAUCAUUAUAGUUAAACUACUAUAUCAAUUAAUUUAAUUUACAGAGAGAAGGGAUUCAAACUUAAGUGCAAAGAGUUGGCGAACUGGCCUGGCCUGGCCUGACCGUCUACUCUCGUUAGGUGUUUUUUAUUUUGGUUUUUAAUCCCAUUUUGUUUUUCUGACUUGUUAUGUUAAAAAGGCUCUAUUUGCCGCGGGGACUGAUACAACUUCAGCCACAUUGGAAUGGGCCAUGGCUGAGCUGCAACGCGACCUUGAAAAGCUGUCAAAAACUCAACAAGAGCUGGAGCAAAUCAUUGGCAAAGGAAAACCAGUAGAAGAAGCAGACCAAAAUAAUGGUUUUUUGCUUGGCAUUGCAUGUCAAUUGGCAUGCUCGUGCUUGAAUUUUAUUAUUUUUUAAAUGGCUAUGAUUGAGUCAAAACGACGCUUGACGGGAUAACAUUUAGCAUGGGUUCAUAGAGCCAGUACAUUUUACGGGCUUGCUACGACCUUUUUACUUAGCGUGUUGCAUAUUUGCUUGGCGUGGCACGUAGAUUGCAACUCGCGUGAGAGUGUAUGAUGAACUUUCGCAUGCCCAAAUGGGGGUUUCUUUUUAGUAAGGUGUCGCACUGGGCCAGGAAUAUAUUUGGGCCCACUCUUAGAUUUUUUUGGGCCUCAACACACUCAAGAUUCUGUGUUUGAAUCUCACACACCCAAUAUCGAUCGCUUUUAUUAAAAUAAAAUAAAAUAAAAAAUAGAGACUAUGUCGUGUAUAUAUCUCAAUCAUUCAUUAAGUUUGAAUCUCAAUAACAAUUGGUUGUUGUAAGAACGUCCAGCAAAAUUAACUAUGAAGAUAGUUUUUUCUUUGAGGAAGGUUUAUUGGGGUGCAUAGAGUAAUUGGACUGCCUUGGCUUUAUGGGGCUCCUACCAUUGUUGACAAUGGGGCUACUAAUUAUAUUGGCCGUGUUUGUGUUUAAAUAGCUUGAGAAAAUUUGAAGUUUCUUGCCCACAAAGAGAAUUCUUACAAGAUUUGAUGACCUUAAACAUGGUGCAAGUUAAAAGAACAGUAGGGUUGGUAGGGUUGGUGGUCCUUUGAUUUCUACCCGGCAGCUGUCAAAUUUUUUUUUUUUUUUUUUCUGUUGUUUCAUCCUUGGUUAUAUUAGCCGCGGGCCUCGGCAGCUUCUUUCUUUUCUUUGUAAUUCCGUCUUAAUUUUGGUUAUGCAUGAUAAAAUUGACCUUAAAAUUUUUGUCGUGCAUGAUAAAAUUGACCUUAAAUGGCUUGACCUUUCAAUAAAAAAAACAGUUUAUUCGAUGCACGUUCUCAACACGUCUUUUUCCUUUGUCCAUAAGUAAGAAUUGAUGGGGCUCAUGAUAAGAAUUUAGAUGACUUCAUUUUCGUCAAUUCACACCAGGUGCCUUUCCCAAUCUGUCUUUGAUGAGAUUGGACAAAUAACUUUAAUGGACCAAUAUGAUUUUAUCUUGGUAUGACAAUAUUUAUAUGAUAUUUGGCACUGACCGUGUAUAGAAGGACAAAUUUGAUAAAAGCUUCCUUACCAAAAAUGGCUUGUAAUAGCUGCUUUGAAUUAUUUUGUGUGAUGCGGUUGCAUUAUUUGGUUAGUGCCUACCCAAAUUUUCUCAAAUGUCUUUACCUAAGCAAGUUGUUCUCAAAUGUCUUUACCUACGUUUGUCUCUUAGCUUUUAGGGGAUAUAUAUAAACAACUUAAAAGAGUUGGUCCUGAAAAUAUAUUUUCAUGCUUUCUCGAUAAGUCUCAACAAGAAUAUUUAUAUGAUAUUUGGCACCGACCGUGUAUAGAAGGACAAAUUUGAUAAAAGCUUCCUUACCAAAGAUGGCUUGUAAUAGCUGCUUUGAAUUAUUUUGUGUGAUGCGGUUGCCUUAUUUGGUUAGUGCCUACCCAAAUUGUAUUAUUUGAGUAAGGAAAAUUGGCAUAUAUAUCACCUGAAAUUUUAGGCAUGUGUAGAAUUACUAUUUUAAAUUUUAAUUUUAUUAACCACAUGAACUAUGUAAAGUGUUGAAAUUUACUACCUACGCCUAACUCCGUUAAAUUUUUUCGUCAAAUCAAGUCACAUAAUGCAAAUGUGAUUUUUAAGGGCAUUUAUGUCAAUCAAUAUACACAUAAAUUUAGAAAAUUUAAAAACUAACAGAAUUUAAUUUUAAAUGAAAAAAAAAAGUAGGAAAACUAACCUAAUAAUUUCACAAACUUCCCCACCUCCUUCCAACACCUAUUCUCCCCCACCAAAAUAAAGUGAACAUUUUCUCUGUGAAAUUGAGUUAUUCUUGGUCGAUGGUUGAGGCCAAUCUUCUUCUUUCUUCUUCUUUUUGUUUUUUCUGAAAAUUUUGGUGUUAGUUGCUUCACUAGGCUUAUAUCUCAUACGUCCUGCCUCUUAAAAUUGCUUGGCGCUUUCGAUAAAAAAACAGUUUAUUCGAUGCACGUUCUCAGCACGUCUUUUUCCUUUGUCCAUCAGUAAGGUUGCCGGUCUAGUUCUUUCGAUUGAUGGAGCUCAUGGUAAGAAUUUAGAUGACUUCAUUUUCGUCAAUUCACAUCAGUUGCCUUUCCCAAUCUGUCUUGAUGAGAUUGGACAAAUAACUUUAAUGGACCAAUGCGCGCAAGCCAUAUGAUUUUAUCUUGGUAUGACAAGAAUAUUUAUAUGAUUUUUGGCACCGACCAUGUAUAGAAGAACAAAUUUGAUAAAAGCUUCCUUACCAAAAAUGGCUGUUAGAGAUUGCUUGUAAUAGGUGUUUUGAAUUAUUUAGUGUUGAUUUUUCAAUUUAAAAAUUGUGUUUGGAAAUCUUGUUGGUUCAAUCACUUUUCUUUCUUUGUUUCUAAUCUUCUACAAAAAAAAUUUGGGGGAGAUGGUAAAUUAAUAUUUCAACAUUUUAAAUAGUUCAAGUGGGUUACUAGAAAAAAUUAAAAAUUCAUGAGGUAAUCCUGUACACACCUUAAAUUUCAAACGAUAUUUGUUCAAAUUUCCAUUUGGGGUAAAUAGAGAUGGCUUGUCAAAGCUUCCACCCGUGACAGCUAAGUCCAGACCCAAAUUGUUCUCAAAUGUCUUUACCCACGCAAGUUGCUCCGAAAUGUCUUUACCUAAGUUUGUCUCUUAGCUUUUAGGGGAUAUAUAUAAACAACUUAAAAGAGUUGGUCCUGAAAAUAUAUUUUCAUGCUUUCUCGAUAAGUUAGGCGAGAGAUGGAUUUCUUGAGUUGCAUGCUAAUAUGUCUUAUGGUUGGCUGGAUCUCAAUCCAUGCCCUCUAUUAUUCAUUUGCAAGAACAAGUCCCAAUAAGCUUCCGCCUGGACCAAAUCCACUUCCUUUCAUUGGAAAUCUUCUAGAGCUUGGAAACAAGCCCCACCUCUCCCUAACCAAGCUUUCACAACGCUAUGGGCCCAUUAUGACUUUACAUCUUGGCCAAAUCACGACCGUCGUGGUUUCUUCAUCCGCCAUAGCUAAACAAGUCCUCCAAACCCAUGACCAAUUGUUUUGCAACCGAACAGUAUUAGAUUCAGUCCAAGCCUGUAAACAUGGCGAGAACGGCAUGCCCUGGAUACCUGUUUCAGCUAAGUGGAGAAACCUUCGCAAAAUAUGCAACUCCCAAUUGUUCGCCACCAAAGUUCUCGACGCCAGCCAAGGCAACCGCCACCUAAAAGUGCAAGAGCUCAUAGCUGAUGUCCAUGAAAGCGUUGUAAAAGGUGAUGCAGUGGAGAUUGGAAGAGCUGCUUUCAAAACUACGCUCAAUUUGAUGUCGCGGACUGUCUUCUCUGUGGAUUUAGCGGACCAGAAUAGUGAGAGGGCUAGAGAGUUCAAGGAGCUGGUGCGGAGUAUUAUGGAAGAGAUUUCGAAACCAAACUUGGCUGACUAUUUUCCAGUGCUUAAAAAGAUUGACCCCGUGGGGAUACGGCGCCGUUUGACUCGUCACUUCCUGAAGAUGUUUGACCUCUUCGAUCGCUUGAUCAUCCAAAGAAUGGAAUCAAGAAAAGCACCUGACUAUAUCAUGACCAGUGAUAUGUUAGAUACCCUUAUAAACAGUAGUGAAGAGAAAAAUGAGGAUAUGGACAUGGUUGAAACUCAACAUUUGUUCCUGGUUAGUGGCUAUCUAUAUAUACUCUAGCUCUCUUGUUCUUUAAUCUUGAUAACUUUGUUUCAAUUGAUACUAAGUUACUAACUAGUGAAUAUAUGUAUAGAUUGCUUAGAUUUCAAAAUUAAUUAUGAAUACUAUACAUUUUCGCUUUUGUUUUUGUUUUGUUAAUUGCUAUUUGUACCAUCUAAACUGAUUAUUUCAUUUGCUACUGUCUCAAUCGGAGGUCAAGUUUACCACGAAAAUGGUAGAUCAGAUGUUGAAUUGAUAUGGUAUAAGUAAUUAUAUUCCUACUAAUUAAUCAAUUUGGUCAAUUAUUAUAGGAUCUAUUUGCUGCUGCCACAGAUACAACUUCAGCCACAUUAGAAUGGGCAAUGGCUGAGCUACUACGCAACCCCGAAAAACUGUCAAAAGCUCAAGAGGAGCUGAAGCACAUCAUUGGCAAAGGAAAACCAGUGGAGGAAUCAGACAUCACUCGGCUCCCUUACUUACAAGCCAUAAUCAAAGAGACCUUCCGCUUGCACCCAGCAGCUCCAUUGCUAAUUCCUCGCAAAGCCGGAGCAGAUGUAGAAAUAUGCGGGUACAUUGUACCAGAGGGUGCACAAGUUUUGGUCAAUGCAUGGGCCAUAGGCAGAGACCCCAGCAUCUGGGACAACCCAAACUCGUUUAUGCCGGAGAGGUUCUUGGGAUUGGACAUAGAUGUUACAGGGAGGAACUUUGAGCUUAUCCCAUUUGGUGGUGGACGGAGAAUUUGUCCUGGGUUACCAUUGGCAAUGAGAAUGCUGAACUUGAUGUUGGGGUCACUUCUUAACUGCUUUGAUAACUGGAAGCUUGAAGAUGGGGUUGCACCAGAGACCAUGAACAUGGAAGACAAGUUUGGCCUCACUUUAGAGAAGGCUCAGCCCCUAAUAGCUGUGCCCAUGACAUAGGAGAUCCUAGCUAGCUAUUGGUUUUUACGUACAUUAAUAAAAACCAUGCACUGUAUCCUCCUACUUAUCAAGUUUGAAACUCAAUAAUGAUCAAUUGUUGUGAAACUGUUACUGUCACCCAUUGGUUUAACUAUGAUUAAUUACUGCUACCCAUUGGUUUAAUAAACGCAAUUUUUUUUUUCUCCAAUUAUCUAUCUACUGUCUCCUACAGUAUUAAUAAUUUAUUAAUCCCACUAAAACUAAACUUUUGAAUUAACAACAGUGCUUUUAGUCGACAAAAAAAGACGUCUACGGCUUAAAACCAACAUGUAGUGGUGUAUAAUCAUCAAUCUCGCUCAUUUACGAAAAUCAUCAAUUUUGGCUUGAGCUCACGGCCCAAGUCUAUAUGAGCUUGGGCCGUACUCGUAUUGGGCCAUUAAAUAGGUCGAUAUGAGCAUACGCUAAAUUUGACUUAUGUAUUGUAUUUUUUUAUAAUUUUUUUUACAACUGAAUUUAAAUCUUUUUUUAUAAUUAUGUAUAUACUAAAGAUUUAGGAUUUGUUAAAAAAAAAAGGUCAAUAACUUUAUUUAAAGUACAUUUAAAUAGAAAAUUGCUAUAUUAUUGUUUGGGUUUUAAAAAUUGAAACUUGAAAAAUAAAAUUAUUAUUUUAUAUAUAAAGAAAACAUUAAUUUUUAAUAUAUACUAGCCUCUCCACACGCGCUUCCGCGCUUGCUAGAGGCUUUUUUUAAAAAAAAUUUAAAUUUAUUUUAGAAUUAAAAAAGAUAAUGGGUAGUUGUAUUCCAUAAAAAUAGAAUCCAUUAUCUUAUUUUUCUUUUAUUUUUCUUUUUUUUAAAUAUGAAAAAUUGUGAAUUUACUAUAUUAUCCUCAUUUAAUUAAUAAUUUCAAUUCUUAAUGUUUGCAUUAACCAAGUACAUUUUAUGGUAUUUUGAAUGUUUUACCAUUAUUAGCCUUUUGCUUUAUAUAUAUAUAUAUAUAUAUAGAUUAUUAGAGAAUAGAAAUAGUCUUGAAUUUAAGAUAUAUUUAAUAAUAUUAUAUAUUAUUUUUCUCUAAAAACAAGUAUAAUUUAAUAAAUGGGCUUUAAACAAGCAGGCCUAUUGGAUUUCGAGCUGGUACAGUCUGCGACAGGUUAGGAGCCCGCCCGGCCCAUUAGACCUAAUUACUUAGUCCCGACACGACCCAAAGAUAUGAACCAUGAUGUAUCAUGUCUAUCUUAAGCAGACUAUGUUCGUGCUAUGUCGGGUCGGCCCAGUUCAUAUGACACCUCUAUGAGAGAGUUUCGUGACACAAAUUGUUGACUUUCUAUAGCUACAAUUAAGAGCUGAACAUCAUGUCGAAUCAUAAUAUUUUAUUACUUUGUUUGAUUUGACUGACAUAUAUUAAUUCUCGUAUUUGUAUUUGUAUCUGUAUAAGAAGUGUAUAGCUUGUGUAUUAUAUUACUCAAAAGAAUAACAAUUUCUAAUUACUUUUCAUUUUCUAAAAAAUCAUUAAAAUAUUAUAUUAGCCAAUUUUACACCAUAUUGUUCCAACUCAACAGUAUUUCCAUUCCUGAAUCCAAAUCCAAGCUUUGUGUAAAUACAUAAGGCAAGGCCUUGCAAAUGUAAUUAUAAGUCCUUAACAGCAAGCAAGUAUUGAGCAAUUCCAUCCUUCCUUCUCACAAGCGAAUCCUUAAUAGAUCCUGAAAGAGAAUUUUUUUCGCCAGUUACUGAUCAGUAUUUUCAGUUAGGUAUAUGAUGAAGGCUAGGAAAAUCAAGAACAAAAAUAACUUAACCUUUGAAUCCAACAAUAGCAACAUUCUCUACAUCCAUAUUAUUUAUCUCUCACCUCAUAUCAUGUCUUCCUGCAUCAGACAAUAGCAAAGAAUAUAUCAAGACAAAACAUUGAAUUUAAAACUAAAUAUUAUUCUUCAUUUUCUCAGUCAUAUCAAACAAAAAAUAAAUCAUUUCCGAAACAAAAAAAUAGAUCUGAGAUACAUGUGAGUAAGAAAGUCUUAGAGAUUCAGAUCUAAGUUCAAUUGUGAGCCGAUAAAAGCCUCAGAAAAUCCAUGCAGGCCAUUCCAAAUCCAAAACCUAACAAUAAGAAGAAAGAAAAGACAUAAUGGUGACAAGCAAGCAAAACCAUUGACCAGCCACCCAUGACAAGACUCGACCCAAAUUCCGUUUUGGAAUCCGAGCCGGACCCUGUGCGUGUCCGACACCUGACGGAUGCCGGGCUCGAAUAGCCUAAUUGCCCUUCCCUACAAAGCACGAUAAAAUAACAAGGUUGACUUCUACCGAAAAUUCGGCAGAAUCUCCCUUGUAACUGGAUCAAUACCAAAACAUUUACACUUGCCAAACAAACAUAAAUACACAACCAACUGCCAAUAUAUGUAUACAUACAUUUCAACAGUUAAAUUCUAAUUCUAGGGCAAAUUAUAAGAGCGACUACUAAGAAUUUACAAAGGAGUCAAUCCUUUUACAAAAAAUAAAGUCCUACAUCAGAAAGGAAAGCGCGGAAGGUGGAAAAGGGCCCGGUGGUGGAUCACUGUGCACGCCUACUGCUUGGGGGCGCAAAACAUUAAAAAGGGUGAGUGGACUCAAAAAAACAAAGUUUGGAAAAAUACAUAUGAACAUACUAACCCCACUGUAAAAACACUUAUACAAACUAAAUUAUUCUCUUUAUUAUAUUCGUACUGAAAUCAAUGCACUUAUAUAAUUAUACAUAUAUAUACCAAUCAUACUCAUGGUCAACAUUAAUUUCUUAAAAGCAUUGAAAACAGUUUAAAACUACCACCUAAGUGUACCCCUUAUUUCCGUCAAUUCCUAAUAUCCGUCAAUUCCUCGCAUCACCAUGGAUGACACGUACUCAUAGGUCUCAGUGAUACAAGGUCAGUCUGAGCUGCAACUCGCAGGAUUCAGAGGACCGUAGUCAGCCUGAUUCGCAUUACUCGCUCCACACGAGUUCGGGUACCAUAGAACUCAUGGGGCAACUGUCAAGGAUGCUGACUAAACCGAAGGCAACCAAUAAAAUCCGAAGGCAACAUUUGAUCUGAAGGCAACUUAUUUACCAAAGGCAACAUCUGUAUAUCUGGCUACCUAAGGUGGUUUAGGAAAAUAUAAAGUUUCUGAAGAAAAUCUGCUAAAUAAGUGAAUUUCUGUAAACUCUAAAACUCUGCUGCCAUUUAUCUGAUAAUUAACUAGAAUUUCUUUUCCUAUAUCCUUUAAAGGAUAUUCCACUCGACAUCAUGCAAAACAAAAUAUUAAAAGCAUAUAACGGCUUAUAAAACACUAAUAUUUGAAUAAAACUUAUUCAAGAUCAAAUACUGUAACUGAACUGCUUAAAGUCAUUUAUAAAAACAAAGAGUCCACUCACUGAUGGUCCGUGCUCACUGGACCCCUUGAAGGUCCCUCAUACGGGUCAACUAGUGCCCGGGUGUCUGAUUCAAUGACCAUAAUAUUCUAUUAAUACAAUACUCAAUAUAGUAUUCAUUUAAAAACCCUGACCCCUGGCUCCAAGAAGUACGUGCGUCAGAUUAAAGUUGUUCCUAUGCCCAUAAAAGCUUUCCUUCCAAUUGGAAUAGUUUAGCAGUAUCUUGGGACUCAAAAAGUGCUAAAGUCCCAAAAAGUCAACCCGGGACCCCGCGGGUCCACGACCUCACAAUUAUGAUCCGGAAGCCUCUAGAAGUUCCAAUAUACCUAGGACACAUGUUCCGAGGGUUUGAUCUCAAUCGGACGGUCGGAUUGAUCACGAUCGUACAAUCGCACGAUUUCUAAACCCUAGCCCUAGGGUUCGCGAUUUCAGAGUAUCCGAAACUCUGAUUCACAAUCUGUCGUAUCCUAAACAAUCCUGCAAUUGUCUAGAUGAACAUAUCUGAAAAUGAUUACAAUCCAACGGCUCAACAGUAUUGAACCCGAAAAUCGCACAAUAUGCAAAAAUCUGUUCGAGGCUCAAACGGUAACCAAAUUGAGAUCCGUGAAUUCCUACGCGCUCGUGACAACACGAGGAUCAUUCUAGGAUUGAAAGUGUGCUCCAUAAACUGCCCACGCGCCGCCACACGCUCCGGCAGGGCGUGGGUGGCUUGAUAAUUUCUGGCGGUUGAAAAAUCUCCAAACCGCUGGCCCAAACUCCUGUCCUAAGUAAAACACCAUAUUUGAAACCACUUUUGUUCUUGGACUUACCCCAAAAACUGGCCGAAAGUGGCCGGAAUUUCAAACUCAAAACCGGUGAAACUUUGGAUCGUGAUUUGAUCUAUCUAGGCUAAAAAUCGUUCCAAUCCUACCCAACCAGCAGCUAAGUCAUGAAAAAGAGGUAAAGAUUCAUACCUUACUCGACUGAUUUGGUGGCCAGAGGAGAGAGCUCGAAAGCUUGGAAGUUUUCUCAAAAUCGGCUGGGUUUUGGACGUUUUCCGGCGAAAAUCGUGACAGUCAAGUGGCAGGGAAGGUCGGGCUUGGUGGCGGAGCUGACGUCAGUGUGAUUGGGUCUGGUCCAGCGGGUCGGGGCGAGGUGUAGCGGUGGCUGGGUGGUUAUGGAGGUUCAGCUGGGGAAAGGCGCACGGGAAGGAGGCUGCGGGGAGAGAGAAGAGAGACUAAGGGAAAAGGGAGAGAAGUGAGGUUUUUAAAAUCUGAAUUUUCAAAUUACCAUUUUGCCCCUCUACGUAUUUUGACCGUAUCUUCUUCGUUAAAGCUCCGAUUCGAGCCCACUUCUUGUCUACGAACUAGUUUCGUCAUACUCUACGCAACGGUUUGUGUGAAAUUGUCAAAUUCCUUCUCGGUCAAAAAGUCAACUUUUCUUUACUAAAUUAUUCCAAAGGCAAAAUUGUCUUUUCCUCUUGAUAAAUUAAUAAGUAAAUAUUAAUUAAGGUUUGGGUUAUUACAACCCAACUAUCACCAAAAUCAAUUUAGUGACUCAAAAAACUUGACUGUUGCCUUCUUUUUUUUUUGGUUGUUGUUGCUGUUGUUGUUGUAGUGAAAAUAAGAAAAAAAACAUUAUCAUUGUCUAGGUUCACCCUUUGACACAGCUCUCAGAGGGUGGGCCAUGUGUAAACUGAGGCCAAACUUGCCUUCCACACUCAUGGUCUUUGCUCUGGUACAACCUCAUCUUGAAGCUUCCAAUCAAAAGAGUCUAUAAGUGAACCCAACAUCAAGUGUAUCAUUCGCAUUGCAAAUGGCAAGCCAAGACAAAUUCUCCUCUAAUGUAGAACAAAUGGCUGAACGGAUUGAAGAAGAAUUGGUGCAAAGAAUGGAAAAAAGACGCAGCAGGAAUUUACAAAUUUGGCGUCCGAGCUCCAAUUGGGUCACAUAAUACCUUCUCGAAAAGGGAACGACUUCCAAUAGAGUGCAAACUUGGAACCAGCCCCAGAAGGAGAACCCGUAUGCUAAGACCAUGACAGAUAUUUGUUAUCGAUGCCAAAAACCAAGGCAUCGUUCCAACGUUUGUCUUGAGCAGAGGCAAGCUAAUUUUAUAAAAGAUGUUGGUGAUGAUGAAGAAAAUGAUGAAGUUGUAGACGAUGAUUAUGCAGGGACUGAGUUUGCAAUUGAGGAGGGAAUAGAAAGGCUUACUUUGGUUUAACAGCGAGUUCUUUUGGCAGCAAAAGAGGAAGGGCAGCGACAUAGCAUUUUCCGUUCUCUUUGUUCAAUCAAAAAGAAAAUCUGUGAUGUGAUCGUAGCACUAGUAAAAAAAACCCUUUGCGCGACCAAAUUUUGCGCGACGAAAAACUAUUCGUCGCUCAAAGUCACUUUGCGCGACGAAACUCAAAACUUCGUCGCUCAAAGUCUUACGCGACCAAAUUUUGCGCGAUGAAAAAUAAUUCGUCGCACAAAGUCACUUCGCGCGACAAACUUUUGCGCGACGACAAUACAUCGUCGCUCAAAGUCUUGCGCGACCAAAUUUUGAGCGACGAAAAAACAUUCGUCGCGCAAAGUAACUUUGCGCGACAAACUUUUGCACGACAACAAUACAUCGUCACUCAAAGUGACUUUGCGCGACGAAACAAUAAACUUCGUCGCGCAAAGUCCUUAUAAAAAUAAAAAAUAUAUAUUUUUAAAUCUUUGCGUGACGUAAUCCAAACAUUUCGUCGCCUAAACCAAUUUAUUUUUGUUUUUUAUUUUGUAUGCAUAACACUUAAGAAAUUAAACAGUAUAUAUAUUUAUUAAGUAGCUUUAAAUUUAUUAUUUUAGAUCGAAUCGGAUUUUUGUUAGAAAAAUAUAUUAUUGUUGUUCAGAUUGAGUUUUUGUUAGAAAAUAUAUAUUUUAAAUUGACAAUCGAAUUAGUUCAUUGUAUUCAUAUAAGGUCAAGGAGUGUAGCUGUAAAAAAUCAUCAAAAUCGGAGUUAAAAUAACCGUUAAAUCGUGAUUUUUUAUUAUAACCAUCGAAAAGUUUUGUCCCAUUACUUGAUCUCUGAAUGUUUAUUUUUUUCGAUUUUUGGCGUAUAUGAUCUCGAAGUAUAAACAAACAAGUUUGACAGUUGGAUCGUUGAAACUAGUUUUGGUGAAUGUAUAUGCCAUCAAAACAAUAUAUUCACUAACAAUUAAGAGUUUAUUUAUACGUUCGUUAAAUAUAACAUAAGAUUUUGUGGUAUCCACUAGUGUAAAUAUUUUAUAUUGAAGAUCAAAUUAGUUAUUGUAUUCAUAUAGGGUCAAGGAGUGUAGCUGUAAAAAAAUCAUCAAAAUCGGAGUUAAAAUAACCAUUAAAUCAUGAUUUUUCAUUUAUAACCGUAAAAAAGUUUUGUCCCGUUACUUGAUCUCUGAAUGUUUAUUUUUUCCGAUUUUUGGCGUAUAUGAUCUCGAAGUAUAAACAAACAAAUUUGACGGUUGGAUCGUUGAAACUAGUUUCGUAGAAUGUGUAUGCCAUCAAAAUAAUAUAUUCACUAACAAUUAAGAGUUUUUUUUUAUACUUUCGUUAAAUAUAACAUAAGAUUUUGUGGUAUCCACUAGUGUAAAUAUUUUAAAUUGAAGAUCAAAUUUUGUCAUUGUAUUCAUAUAUGGUCAAUGAAUGUAGCUGUAAAAAAAAUCAUCAAAAUCGGAGUUAAAAUAACCGUUAAAUCGUAAUUUUUCAUUUAUAACCAUCGAAAAGUUUUGUCCCGUUACUAGAUCUCUGAAUGUUUGUUUUUUGCGAUUUUUGGAGUAUACGAUCUUGAAGUAUAUACAAACAUGUCUGAUGGUUGGAUCGUUGAAUGGUGUGUGUAUAUAUAUUUAUUUAUUAAGUAGCUUUAAAUUUAUUUAUUUUGUACGUAUAACACUUAAGAAAUUGAAUAGUAUAUAUAUUUAUUAAGCAGCUUUAACCUUAUUUAUAUUUUAAAUUGUAAAAUAAAAUUAUUUUAUUUUUAUUAUUCAUAACAAUUAUUUUUAUAAAUAUUGUGCUACGAACCAAUUUUUCGUCUCUCAAAACUUUGCGCGACCAACAGUUUGUCGCGCAAAACUCUAAAAAUUUGGACGGGUACCAAAAAUGGGACGCGGGAUUUAAAAAAAAAAAAAAAUUUAGACUUUGCGCGACCAAUAUUUUCUGUCGCUAAAAACUUUGCGCGACCAAUAUAUAUUUUUUGUCUCGCAAAAAUUUGGGCGGGUACCAAAAAUCGAACGCGGGAAUUUUUUUAGACUUUGCGCGACCAAUAUGUAUUUUUCGUCGCGCAAAAAUUUAAAAAUUUAGGGUACCAAAAAUGGGACGCGGGAUUUUUUUAAAAAAAAAAAAUUUAGACUUUGCGCGACCAAUAUUUUUUGUCGCUCAAAACUUUGCGCGACCAAUAUAUUUUUUUCGUCUCGCAAAAAUUUGGGCGGGUACCAAAAAUCGGACGCGGGAAUUUUUUUAGACUUUGCGCGACCAAUAUGUAUUUUUCGUCGCGCAAAAAUAUAAAAAUUUUGGGGGGUACCAAAAAUGGGACGCGGGGAUUUUUAUUUUUUUAAAAUAAUUUUUUUUAGACUUUGCGCGACCAAUAUUCAUAUAUUCGUCGCGCAAAAGUUUGCGCUACCAAUAUUCAUUUUUCGUCGCGCAAAGUGAUACGGUUUUUAAAACCGAAAUAACUCCACCAUUUUCUCAAUGUCUUUCUCUACUCUUACCUCUCCUUUCUCUUUCCCUCUCCCCAAAUCCCACCAUUUCUCUCACUCACUCCUCUCACUUAAUCUCUCAUCUCUCUCUUCACUAUCUCUCACUCUCUCUCACCCACUCUCUCAUCUCUCUCACUCACUCUCUCAUCUCUCUAUCACUAUCUUCUCUAAUUCUCUCACACUCACUUCUCCCUCUCAUUCUCACUCACUCUCAAUCUUGCCAAAAGGUAUAUUCUCUCCAAAUUUUAAAUUUUUUUCAUUAAUAUGUGUUUUUGGAGUUAAUUUUGAGUUUGUGUGGGUUUUGGGGUUGAGUAAAGGGGAGGGAUUGGAGUUUGGGUUGGAUUUGUGGUAUAACAAUUUUAGGGGAGAUUAUGCCUUUUUUUUGUUUUUUUUUUUUGGUUAUUUGACCAUAUUUGUUUUUUUUUUGUAGGGAAUCAUCGAGACUUUGACGGCUAAAGUUGAGGAUUAGGAAGCUAUCAAAACAUAUCCUCCGCCACUACCACCACAAUACGCUUGUAUUAGGAUUUUAUUAUUGUACUUUGUUAAUUUAUGUGUAUAUUUUGAAUAUUAUAUAUAUAUAUUUAUUGGAUAAUUUGAUCACUAUUUUUCAUAUGUAAUUUUAUUUUGAAUAUGUCAAUUUAAAUUAAAGUAAUUAAAAAAAUCAUACAAUUAAAUUAAAUUUAAAAAGUAAAAACUUGAAAAAAUUAAUAUCAAUUUAAAUUAAAGUAAUUUUAAAAAGAAAUCAUACAAUUAAAUUAAAUUUAAAAAAUAAAAUUUUGAAUAAAUUAAUAUAAAUUAAUUAAUAUUAAAGAAAUAAUAAAACAAAAAGUCAAAAACCUUGCGUGACAAAAUAUUUCGUAGCGCAAACUAUUAAAUUAGUUUAUUUUAAAUUAAAAAAAUUUAAAACAAAAAAUAUUUCGUCGCGCAAAUAUUUGCGCGACGUUAGUAUUCGUCGCGCAAAACUCAAAAAAUUUGGGCGGGUACCAAAAAUUGUACGCGGGAAUUUGUUUUUUUUUUAAAUUUUUUUGAAGACUUUGCGCGACCAAUGGUUUUCGUCGCGCAAACCUUUGCGCGACCAAUGUAUUUCGUCGAGCACAACUUUGCGCUACCAAUAUUUUUCGUCGCGCAAAGUCACUUUGCGCGACCAAUAUUUUUUCGUCGCGCAAAGUCACUUUGCGCGACCAAUGAAAAAACUUCGUCGCGCAAAGUCUUUCUUUACGAUCUUUGCACGACGGAUUCUGCGCGACGAAAUUUCUGUCGCGCUGAAAUUUGUGCGACUACAAUGUAUUUUGCGCGACGAAAUUCUCUUCGUCGCGCAAAGUGUAAAAUGUAGUAGUGUAGACAAUGGGAGUUGCAAGAAUUUUGUGUCAAAAAAAUUGGUGGAGCGUUUGCAGCUUCCAACACAGCCAUAUAUCAGCCCUUAUUCACUGAGUUAGGUUAUAAAAGGAUCUUCAGUUCGUGUUACUGAGACUUAUCGUGCGCCACUCUCCAUUGGUAAGCAUUACAGAGAUGAAGUCGUAUGUGAUGUUAUUGAUGUGGAUGCUUGUCAUAUCUUGUUAAAGCGACCUUGGCAAUAUGAUGUGGCUGCAACCUUUAAGGGUCGAGAUAAUGUGAUUUUGUUUUCCUGGAACAACCACAAGAUUGCAAUGGCUACUACAGUGUCCUCAAACAAAUCAAUUGAGCCCAAAACUAAGAGUUUUGGUUUUCUAACUCUGAUCAGCAGCGAGUAAGAGUUAAAUGAGGCAAAAAAGAAGCAUAUUAUUUUUGUCCCAUGGUGUUGAAAGGGCUAUUGAAGGCCAGCAAAGAAGAAAAUGUAAUUCCUAUUGAAGUGCAACAGAUUUUGACAAAAUUUCAGGAACUGAUUUAUGACAAGCUGUCAAACGAGCCAUCGCAUUUGAGAGAUAUACAACACCACAUUGAUUUGGUACCGAGGGCUAGUCUACCGAAUCUGCCACAUUGUCGCAUAAGCCGUAAGGAGAAUUUAAUUCUAAGAGAGCGAAUUGAAGAUUUGUUACAAAAGGGUUUUAUCAGGGAGAGCUUGAGUCCCUGUGCGGUUCCAAUCCUUCUUGUUCCAAAGAAAGAUCAGUCUUGGCGUAUGUGUGUUGAUAGUUAACCAAUCAACAAGAUUACAAUAAAAUACAUAUUUCCCAUCCCAUGGUUGGAAGAUAUGUUGGAUGUGCUUGAAGGCUCUAAGAUGUUUUUCCAAAAUAGAUUUGCGCAGCGGAUACCACCAGAUUCGCAUCAGGCUAGACGAUGAGUGGAAAAUAGCGUUUAAGAGCAAGGAAGGGUUAUACGAAUGGCUGGUGAUGCCGUUCAAAUUGUCAUGGUUUAUUUUGAAAGAAAAUAAGCUAUAUGUGAAUCUGAAAAAAUGUACUUUUUGCACAAAUAAGCUACUGUUUUUGGGUUUUGUGGUUGAUGAGAAUGGUAUCCAGGGGGAUGACGAGAAGAUCAAGCAAUUCUUGACUGGCCAACUCCAAAAACAAUCUUUGAAGUUCGAAGUUUCCAUGGUUUAUCCACUUUUUUUACAGGAGGUUUGUGAGGCAUUUCAGUUCCAUUGUCGUGCCUGUUACUAAAUGUUUGAAGAAGGGUAGGUUCAAUUGGGGAGAAGAGCAAGAAAAAAGUUUUGCUCUUGUAAAAGAAAAACUUUGCACCGCCUCGAUUCUAGCUCUUCCAAAUUUUGAGAAGGUGUUCGAAGUUAAAUGUGAUGCCAGUGGCGUGGGAGUGGUAGCCGUGCUCUCUCAAGAUAAGAGACCAAUUGCUUUCUUUUCUGAAAAGUUGAGCGACGCUCGUCAAAAGUGGAGUACUUAUGACAAAGAAUUUUAUGCAGUUGUUUGGGCUUUGAAACAAUGGAAGCACUAUCUUAUUCAUAAGGAAUUUAUUUUGUUUAUAGAUCCUCAAGCUUUGAAGUAUAUUAACAGCCAGAAACAUAUUGAUAAAAUGCAUGCCAAAUGGGUGACUUUUUUUGCAGAAAUUUUCAUUUGUUAUCAAGCAUACUUUUGGCACCUCAAAUCGUGUGGCUGACGCACUGAGUAGAAGGGCUUCUCUGUUAGUUACUCUUACUCAAGAAAUUGUGGGGUUCAAGUGUCUAAAGGAUUUAUAUGAAGAUGAUGAUGAUUUCAAGGAAAUAUGGGCUAAAUGUGCUAAUCAUGAGCCAAUGGCAGAUUUCUUUCUUAAUGAAGGGUAUUUGUUCAAGGCCAACUUGUUAUGCAUUCCUGUUUCCCCCUUAAGGGAGAAACUCAGUCGGGAUUUACACGGAGGAGGGUUGAGUGGCUACUUAGGCCGCUAUACAACAAUAGUAGGAUUGGAGGAGAGAUUUUAUUGGCCACAGUUGAAGCGUUAUGUUGGAACAAUUGUGCGCAAAUGUUAUAUUUGUCAAGUUUUGAAGGGACAGGUACAAAACACUGUAUUAUACAUGCCUUUACCAGUUCCUAAUGAUAUAUGGCAGGAUCUUGCUAUGGAUUUUGUCCUUCGUUUUGCCUCGAACUCAGAGAGGUGUGGAUUCAGUUUUUAUGGUGGUUGAUCGAUUCUUAAAAAUGGCACAUUUCAUAGUCUGCAAGAAGACUGCUGAUGCAUCUAAUAUAGCCAAACUGUUUUUCAAGGAGGUUGUUCGUUUGCAUGGAGUACCUACAUCUAUAACUUCUGACCGUGAUACAAAAUUUUUGAGCCAUUUUUGGAUCACUUUGUGGGGAAUGUUUGGGACUACUUUGAACAGUAGUAGCACAACCCAUCCUCAAACUAAUGGCCAGACUGAGGUAACCAAUCGAACAUUGGGAAAUAUGGUGCGAAGCAUUUGCAAAGAGAAGCCGAAACAACGGGAUUAUGCGCUGUCACAGGUGGAGUUUGCAUAUAACAAUGCAAUUCAUAGUGCAACCGAGAAGUCACCGUUUUCCAUUGUUUAUACUAUUGUGCCUAAUCAUGUUGUAGAUUUGGUGAAGUUGCCUAGAGGCCAAAAAACCAGUGUUGCAGAGGGAAAUUUGGCUAAAGAAGUGGUGGCUGUUCGUGAUGAAGUGAAGCAAAAACUCGAGCAAACUAAUGCUAAGUACAAAGCCGCUGCAGACAAGCAUAGGCGAGUUAGGGUGUUCCAAGAAGGUGAUUUUGUUAUGGUGUUUCUGAGGAUGGAGAGGUUCCGUGCUGGUACAUAUAGCAAGCUGAAGCCUAAGAAAUAUGGUCCUUACAAGGUGCUGAAAAGAAUCAAUGACAAUGCCCAUGUUAUUGAAUUACCAAAUUCCGUGGGAAUUUCUAAUACUUUUAAUGUUGCUGAUUUGUAUGAGUUUCAUGAAGAUAGAACCCUUUAUCCUAAACAUAACUCGGGGUCGAGUUCUUUAAAGGUGGAGGGGACUGAUGUAGAACAAAUGGCUGAAUGGAUUGAAGAAGAAUUGGAGCGAAGAAGGGAAAAAGGACGCAGGAGGAAUUUACAGAUUUGUCGUCUGAGCUCCAAUUGGGUUGCAUAAUACCUUCUUAGAAAGAGAACGACGCCACGAGUCCAACUCACCACUUUGUUGUGACAUAUGGUAGAUGUUGGGCUUCUGAGGAUGUUUGGCCUUCUAAAAGUGCAUUUAAAGAUUGCAUUCAAUUUAUAGACUUUCCGUUCAUUUUCUGUUACGUUUUCAAUAACUCCCUAGGACAGUCCAAUGGGUGAGAACAUGGUAUUUAGUCAGCCGUCAUGCUUGGUUGAACUUAUCUUGAAUUUUAUCAAAUAAUUCAAAGAGAAUUUCUCUCUACCUUCCUGGUUGAUUUCAUAUUAUUAUUCUUUAGGAUUUUCGCUUGAAAACCUAUUUACUUGUGUUGCGUCAUCCUCCCACCACCAAACGGAAUAAGCUCAAUGCUUUUGCCUAUAACAUCAAUAUCCAUUCCCAAGAACCUCUCCGGCAUAAAUGAGGUAGGGUUGUCCCAAAUGGGGUCUUUGCCAAUGGCCCAUGCAUUCACCAACACCUGCGCACCCUUUGGUACAAUGUAGGCACAAAUUGCUACGUCUGCUUCGGCUCUGCGAGGGACAAAUAGAGCUGGUGGGUGUAGCUGGAAGGUUUCUUUGAUUAUUGCUUGUAAAUAAGGAAGUCGAGCAAUGUCCGAUUCCUCUUAUGGUUUUCCUUUGCCAAUGACUUGCUCUAACUCCUCUUGAGCUUUUGACAGUUUUUUCAAGGUUACGUACUAGCUCAGCCACUGCCCAUUCCAAUGUGGCUAAAGUUGUAUCUUUGCCCGCCACAAGUAGAUCCUAAAUAAAGAAGUGCACAAGGCAUUUACCCCACAUGAGUAUUACUAUUAUGGGCUUCAGCAACACUUACAUUUUUUAAAGCCUUGUGAGGCUAUAUGGGCCCGCCACUUUUCCGAAAAAGGAUACCAAGGUCAGCAUCUACAAAUUCUAUUAAAAAAAACACAAACACACACACAUUUAUAUUUCUCUCCUUCGGCACCUUGCCAAGUUUUAUGCCCUUUGGGAAUUUUCUUUCGACACACAAGUUUCAUGCAAAGUUCCUUCGGUAAUUUCCUUGCUGCACCCAAGUUUCAUGCAAGUGCCUUUGGCACCUUACCAACUUUCAUGCCUUUCGGCAAUUUCUUUGUGACAAGCAAAUUUCAUGCAAGCUUUGUGCCUUCGACAGCUUGUCUUGCGACUUGCAAGCCUCUUUGCCUUCGGCACCCCCGUGCUCUUCAGAACCUUGCCUUGCAACAUGCAAGCCUUGUGCCACAAAGCAAUAGUGCGCGAGUCCCACAACAGCUUUCUUGCACAUGGGAUGUGUUAGCUUCAGUGGGAUCUACCGAAAUUUUUUUGGCCCAAGAAAUAGCUGGACUGCUAUUUGACCCCAAGUUUGGGUUUUCCCAAAUUUUGGCCUCUUCAUUUUAUUUGGUUGGGAGAGGAGUUGGGCUAAAAUUUGAGAUUUUUUGGUUUGUCCUCAUGGGUUGGAGAUGGCCUUACCCCUCUUGACCGUGGUUUGGUGACCCACUUUGUCCUUUGUCAUCAACUUUGUCCAAAAAUUUGUUAAUUAUGAUGACAUGGUAGGGGUAUUUUUGUAAUCUCAUACACAUGGAUCAUUAUCCACCAAUUAAGAGUGUGACGUGAUAAGUAGCCCAUCUCCACAUAGAUAAGAAUAUAAUUAAAUAUUAUAAUUAUUAAAUCUAAUUUUUUAAAAAGAAUUAGACCCCAGCCGCCUCAAUCCUCAACCUCCAUCCACACCCCCCCUCCUCUCCUACAAAUACCCUUGGAAGAAACUGUUAGAAGUGUGCCCUAAGAGCCAAUACAUUUGAUACAAUCUCCUUAGAAUUUCAUAUAUGAUAUAUAAAGGGCAAACUUAUUUUGUUAUCUUUUACAUCAUGUAAAGAAACAAAUGUCCAGGGUAUGCUAAAUAAGAGAUAAGGUAAUCUAAAGAAGAUUAAAUUCGGGAGACCUUUAAUCUCUAACUGUAGUAUUCCAAAAUGUUCCUAAUCAUAGGGUUAUCAAAUGGGCAUUGAUAAACCGUCAAGAUUAGCACAAAUUAUGUAUGCUCAAUUAGGAGGAUGGUUACUUUCAAACCCUUUGCGUAAUUGACACUACUACAAGUAUGUGGGUGCUCAUUACUGAACGUGAUUAACCUUAGUUUUCGUAUGGAGUAUUUAUCUAUAUGUCAAACGAGAACUCAUAGUUGCAAUAAUGCAAAUUAGUUCUUAGACCUGAGGCAUCAUAAUUGUCAUGUGAUGCGUUAUUGAUCUUUAAUAGCUCUCAAAGGCAUGUGUAAAAGAUUUGUCUUAAGUGUUGUUGGGAUCUCUUAAUUCAUCAUAGGGGUAUGUGAAUGUAUAAUAAGGAAUCUCUACCUUCGAUAAAGAAGGAGAAUGUUUCAAGAUGUGAUUCAGCAAAUCUUUGGCUAAAGUUUUUUUAGCUUGAUUUAGAAAGUUAUUCUUAAUUAUGUUCUUUUGAAUCACAUGAGGUUAUAAAUCAUAUUAGGGUUUAACAUAAUCAAUCUGUACCUUAAUAAUAUGAUUUGAAACAUUGUAUAAGAGAAGGACCGUAUUGCAUUGCAGUUCCAACUGAAUGGGUUCUUCAUCUAUUUUGGUUAGCUUGGGUAGCCUUAAUAUAUUGCCAGAUGUCACUCUUGGCUCAUGGAAGUCCUAGGAUUGAUUGUGAUCAAUCCAUAUAAAGGAAGAAUUAAAUGGGGGUUUUAAUUCCAGUUGAUUAGAAAGAGUUUUAAUGUUUUCCCACUCCCUCGCUAAUUAGAAUCUAUACUACUACAAAAAGGGCAAUAGACGACGGGAAUUGAUCGUCGUGUAGCAAGUUUUCUAACCGUCAUGAAAUUGACCGAUAUUUUUUUAAAAACAAAACCAAGACGGCAAAAAGGAGACGUUGUUCAUCGAGAAACAAUGUCAGAAUUAAUAAAAGCCGAAGUAAGUAAAGAAAAUGACCGCCAAAAUAACUAAUGGUGAACGUGUAAACGACUCAAUUUGGGAAACAACCGUCGUCUAAAUCAUAAAACAUGACGUUGUUUAGUAAAAUAUCGCUAGAAAAAAAAAAGCCACCAUGUCAUAAACAAUUAACUGAACGACGUUAAUUAAGACAUUCCACGACACAUUAUAAUAUAUUACGCCACUUUUAUUUCCAGAUAUGAUGUUGUAAAUAGUGUACACCGUCAGUCUUUACUCAGAAGUUGACGUAUUAAAAGAUAUACACGUCUAUUAGUAUAUCAGAGACGACGUUAGGAAAACAUACCACGACACAUCUGUUUCCACAUGGGACGUUUUUAUACAAUAUUUCACGACACAUGGUCACCAAGGAGACGUGAAAACUAUUAAUGACGUCAGUAAAUAUGGGAAUAAACAGGUUCUACGUCUCCUUUACUUUAAACUCUGACAGUGAAAUUAGAUUUACAACCUCGGUUAUUAUAAACACCGUGUUGUAUGUCGUAAUACAAACGUCGCAUAACCUUCGAAGACGACGUGGUUACGCUGUACUACGUCAUCUUUGUUUUUAAAGACGACAUUUGCAUGUAAUAUUUUACGACACAUAGUCACCAAGGAGACGUGAAAACAAUUAAUGACGACAGUAAAUAUGGGAAGAAAGAGGUUUUUACGCCUCCUUUAUUUUAAAUGCUGAUGGUGAAAAAGAACUUACAACGUCGGUUACUGUAAAAAGGUGUCGUAUGUAGUGAUAUAAACGUCGCUAAGCAUAUCAAAGGCGACAUGGUUACUUUGUUCUACAUCAUUGUUAUUUCUAAAGACGAUGUAAUUCAAAUAUUCACCAAGUCCUUAAAGACAUAAAUUGACGUGGUAUGUUGUUAAGACGUUUCUUAAUAAGAGUGUAUCGUCGUGUUUGUGAAGUAAAACGACGGUAUAUGUGUUAUGAGGUCGUGUUAUCCGCUUUUAAAUGUCGUCUUUUUGGGCCUUCUCGUCGUGAUAUCCUGUAACAACGGCUUGUCAUUACCGUUGUUGUUCUAUUAUUAGUGCAGUCUUUUGAGUUAUGUUUUAGACGGCGGUAAGUACAUCGUGGCUAUCUCAUUGGAUACAUACGACCUUUUUAAUAUCCAUUUUUUUAAACAGACGUCUUCUGCAGUUUUUUUCUUUGUUUUUUUUAUAGGUUUUAAGGUCUUCCAUUGCAUGACGUAUGAUAAAAAAACGACAUCUUAUAUUAUUAUGACGUCUGUUUUCGCAAUUUUGUUAACAGGACCGUCGUAUUUUGGUACUUGAACUAGAUGUUUUUGUACUAAAAGCUUUGAGCCCAAACCCUGUAUAAUGAAAGUGAAAACAAUGCAAUACAAUUUCUUACAAAAUUAAUGUCAUACACAGCCAUUUGGGGCGUAAGUAAUGUCAUAAAUUACAAGCAUCAUUCAAUCCAUAUAUCUUCAAACCCAUCUCGAAUAUUUUGACUCCCAGACUCACCGGCUAGUUCAUCAAAUAUUUUGAUUCACAUCACCUAAGACAUCAUCACCAAUAACAUCAUUAUAUUCUCUAUUAGGCAUUGAUAACACUACUGACCAACCAUAACAAAUUUGUCAUUCCCAUGUCCAAUUUUAUUCAGAUCUACAAGGGUAAAUCCAAGUUCGUCGACUACAAGGCCAGAAGUGUUAUCUAUCCAAUCACACCUAAAGACUGUGAUUGUAAACUUUUGGUAAUAAGGUCCCAAAUAUCUUGAAUGACACCAUAAAAAUCCAUAUUUGAGACAAUUGGGUUCUUAUCCUUGGCACUAGCAACUUGCAUAGUAUGUGCAAGUAAAUAAACUCCACUUUUUGAACUGCACGCACAUCAUCUUGUGCCUUGGUGUUAAAUUUAAUACCUUUGAUAAGAUAGCUCCUAUAUGAUGGCACUGCCAUGCUUGGACCAGCUGCUAGCCACCUUAAAUUUUCUGAUACACCAUUAUUGUCUUGCUUAUUAAGUUGACUUUGAACCUGCAAAUAAAUCAUAUCUUAAUUCAAUCUAAUAUAAAAAGAAGAAAAUUAAAAGUGCAGCCAUUGAAUGAAAGAGGUAUUGUGCUUAUCUUGCAGCCACUUUGUUCUCUUUCUAAAUUUUGGAUAAGUGGUCUUGAUGUGGAUCAUAUGUUCUCUACAUAACACGAAAAAUUCAAGCAUUACAAUCCCAAACAUAUAAGAUAAACAUAAGGAAUAUAAUUUAAAAUGACUACUUAAGAAUAAAACUCAUACUCGAUAUAUGGUAACACUUCCUCUGUAUUCUCCAAGACAUAUAGAUGUGCCUGAUUCAACAAGUCCCAAUCAACUAAACUCACUGUGCAACCUGAUAAGGGCUUUGAAAGUCCCAUCUUCUGGCUUGAUGGUGCUCCAACUGUAUUAACAUCAGAUAAAUGCUCGGUGCAAAACUCUACAGCAUCUUCAGCUAUAUACUGCUCAGCAAUGCAACCUUCAAGAUGAUUACGGUUCUGAACAUACCCCUUUAGCACUUUCAUAUAUCUUUCAAACGGAUAAAUCCAUCUAAAAUAAACUGGCCCACAUAGACGAACUUCUCUGACAAGAUGUACUACUAGAUGAACCAUGACAUCGAAGAAUGAAGGGGGAAAGUACUUCUCAAGCAAACAUGAAGUUACUACUACAUCUUCUUUCAACUUAUCUAGCUUGGAAACAUCUACCAUCUUUGCACAUAUAGCCUUGAAGAAGAAGCACAAUCGAGUUAUUGCAUACCUUGCAGGCUUCUCCAAGACAGAACAAAUUGCCACAGGGAGCAUUUGUUCCAUCAAGGUAUGACAAUCAUGUGAUUUAAGCCUAAGAAGUCUUGAAUCUUGUAAAGAUAUAGGAUUUUAAUAUUUGAAGAAUAACCUUCAGGGACCUUCAUACAAUAGAAAGAAUUGCAAACCUCUCUCUUCUCUGCUCUUUACAAAUUCCAAGGCCCUAGAGGCAAGGGAGUACGUCUUUCUCCAUACUCAGGUUGCAAAUCAGUCUUGAUCCCCAUGUUCAAUAAAUCCAAAUGAGCAGCAAUCUCAUCUUUAUUUUUUCCAGGGAUCUCCAACAACGUACCAAUGAUACUAUCGCAAACAUUUUUCUCGAUGUGCAUAACAUCAAGGGCAUGCCUCACAGAAAGGUAUUUCCAGUACUCUAGAUCAAAGAAUUUUGACUUCUUCUUCCAACAGACUCUAUCACCAUCAUUUGCACUUCCACCUCCCCCUUUUUUCGAGCCCCAUUUAUAAUUAAUACCUUCAACCAUUUGUAAUACUUCUUCUCCGAUUAAUGGCUUUGGAGGCGUGUCAUUUUCAGGUUUCCCAUUAAAAGCUGUACGUUGCCUACCAAUAUAUAUGCCUGAUGUAACAUAUUUUGUGCCCAUUUUUCAACCUGUGACUAGGUAUAUCAUCACCGCAUAUUGGACAAGCUUUAUAUCCUUUUACGACACAAUCUGAUAAGGAAAAAUCAUUAAUUGUCCACAGUAAUGCAGCUCUGAGUGUAAAGUAUUCUCCUAUAUGAACAUCAUACACUCCUUUAAUCCAUCAACUAUAUCUGGUACCUAGAGAAUUGUGGGGACUGAAUCCAUCAGAUGAGAGAGCCAAUCUCAAGUUUCUUGGCUCAUUACCAAACUCGGGCCAUUUAUCAUCAACCAGUUUUCAAGAGGGAGAAUCCGUCAGAUGAGACAUCAGACCUUCAAUUGCUUUUCUAUUAGCAUGCCAAGUCAAACUCUUAGCUAUCUAGUGUGAUUGAAACAUCCUUUUAAAUCUUGAAAUUGGUGGAAAAUACCACACUACCUUUGCCGGGACACCUUCUUUCAAGAUUGAAUCUUUGCCUUUCUUCCAUCUUGAGAUUCCACAAGUAGGACAAUGAGUUGAAUGUUCAUACUCCUUCCUAUACAAGAUGCAAUCAUUGGGGCAUGCGUGGAUUUUCUCAUAACUCAGCCCCAAUGCACACAAAGUCUUUUUUACGUCAUACAUAGAGGAAGGUAUUGUAUUUCCUUCUAAAAACAAAUCUCCUUGAAGUAUCAACAAUUCUGUAAAACAGACAUUACUCAUCCCAUAUUUUGCCUUCAAAUUAUAUAACUUCACUAAUGCCAACAACUUAGUGUACUUUCUACAACCAGGGUACAAGAGUUGAUCUCCAUUGCCAAUCACAUUGGCAAACUCAUAAGGAUCGGAUCCAAAAUCACCUAAAUCAUUAUCAUCCAUCUCUAUUUCUUCAUACACAAAAUUGUACCUACUAUGUUCAUCAUCUUCUUCCACAUUUCUACUAGCAUUAGUAGUUGCUUGCCAAGGUUCUCCGUGAAAUGUCCAAUUCUUAUAACUUUGGUCAACUCCAUUAAAGUAUAAGUGGUCCCUUAUAAUUCCAACCCCAAACAAUCGAACAUUUGCACAUUUAACACAUGGACAGUGAAUAUGUGUUGUGGUUAGAAGAUUUUCUAUUGAAAUUUUCAAAAAUGCUUCCACCCCUAACUCAUAUGCCUUCGAUCUUCUAUCCGCAUGCAUCCAUGACUUAUCCAUCUCCAACAAUAUACACUAUUAUUUAUAAUAAAGUGAAAAGACAAGCCAUGACCAUCACUAUAGCAUAUUAUAAUUACUUUGAUAGAAAGUAAUUUAACAUAAAGACAACGGCUUUUUUAAAACAUCCGACAUUUUAUACUUAUACAGACGACGGUUUUCUUCAAAAACCGACGUUUUAAGCAAGUAAACAGUGAUUCUGAAAACAACAAUACAAUUACAUACGACGGUAGUUAAAUAAACAUCGCCUUGUAAAGAAAAUAAAGACGACAGUUUUUACGAAAAACAGUCUUCAAAAUCUUAAAGAAAAGAAGGCUAAUGUUGAGCCUAUUCUUAACAACUAAAAUGAGUUAUUAAAAACAGCAACUUUAAUUCUCGCAAGUGCACGAAUCGUUUAUAGUAUAGCUUAUGUAAAUACGAGGUCGAUCCCACGGAGAAUGGUAACUUGGUUCCAAGUUAAAUUACUUAGAAUGCUAGAAAAACAUAGAACAAAGAAACUGACUAACUAGCUAAAGGCAAGGUCGAAUUCAACAAUGCCUCUUGCUAAUUACUCAAGGUCUAGGACAGAAUCCUAGCACCACACACGCACUCGAAAUGGGGGAUUUUGUUGUUGAAAUGAAAACAAGAAAGUGAAAUGAAAGUGCUCGAAAGUAAACACUGGCAGCAAUCAACAAGUUGUGAAACAAUGAUUGAGAGAUGUUAGAGCCUUGGAAUCCACCACUAGUUUUCCUAACCAAGUUAUGAAUGCAUAGAAAUUGACUCAAGCUUCAUUAACAAUAGAUUAUCGCAUACAAGCCUAUGGUAUCUAGGUGCAGGAUGCAUGAUUCUCCUAAGGCAUGUGAUUAUGCAUGGUAUCUACACAACACGUGAUCUCUAAUAUGCAACCUAAGUAUGGUAUCUACUUAGAAUAAAGCAUACAAGAGUCAUUAAGCUCCUUGAGAAUAUGAUAUGAUAAUCACACAAGUCCUAGAACAUGGUAUCUGUCCUAGUCAACCUAUGGUUAUUAACCCCUUGAAUGAUUCUUAGGCCAUUCAUGUGUUGCUUGUGAAAGGAGAGUAGAAUUGGUGAAUCUAAACCCAUUCCCAACCUGUGAUAGAUGCAUAAAAUCCUAGUUAGCUACUCCAAGAAAACAUACAUCAGGCACCUAAUAAACUGGAGAUUAACAACUUGAUAAUAAAAGCAAGGAAAUCAAUUAACUAUAAAAUCAUCCAUAACAUUGAAUAUUCAUGACUAGGGCUUCAUCCUAAGCCCUAACUAAAUGGAUUAGUUAGACAUUACUAUGAAUACAGAAAAUAAGAAAUACAUAGAUAGGAUAAAGAGAGGAGAAGAACUAGAUGAUGGCAGCAAGGAAGUUCCCAGGACAGCUCCAAGCUCCCUUGACAGCUCUAAGCUCCCUUCUCUCUUUGUGGUGAAUCUGAAUGUGUGUAUGAGAGUAAUGGAUGAAGUGAAUGUGUGUGUCUGCCCUCUCUCUUGAAUGAGUGUGCAACUCUUUAUUUAUAGAGUGCAAUUUCGUGCUCCCCUUUGGCUGGUGAAGCACACCUCUCUUAGCUGCUCCCAACUGCUCCAGCUACCCAUACUUGCCAACUGCUCCAGCUGACAAAUACAUGCUUUGGUAUGGUUUCUUUAUGGAAAACUUGACUUUUGUUUAUCUUUCUGAGCUUCUGAGCUGAUUUGACUCCCAUGUAUGGCGGCCCAUGUGUAGCACAUGGCUCUAGGGAUGUAGCCACAUUAAAUGUGAUGGCAGCCAACAUGACAUUUCUGUGAACUUGGUUCAGUCUUUGACGUGUUGAGGGCUCUAGAUUUAUCCAAUUGGGCUGAAAUGUGGAUAUGUUAUAAUAGACACCCAUUGGAACAACUUCUAUGAAGGAUGUCUCCUCAUCCGACCUGUGUAAGUUACUGAAAUGAGGCCUGCAAGAUGACCUACGAAACUGGACUGACAAGGAGUGUGGCACAAAUUGGUUUUGUCUUUAAGCUCAUAUUCCUCUUGUGCCACUCAGCCCUUAACAUGCAUGAAUUGUAUCAAAUGUCAUCCCCUUGCUGUCUUAACCUACAAAGCACACAAACAUAGGUAAGAGACUCAAAAUAAAGAGAAGCUAAGAAAAAUUACUAAGGAAAGAAGGCAUGCAAAUGUGUGAAAUUAUGAGCUUAUCAGCUAAAUCUUCUUUUAUUCAGACCAUUUCUAAGAACCCAAUAUAUGUUAACAACCUAUAACAUUGAAUUUUAUGAAAAGCACGCAAAUAUUAAAGUCAUUCCUUAUUCAUAACAACAGAGAUUGAUGAAGAACAUAUAUCCAAAACCCAACAAUGCAGUCUAUGAUUUCAGAAUAAUCUUCUAAACCCUAAACAUAUAUCUAAAGCCAUUCCCUAAAUCCUAUAUGUUUGUACUUCAGAACCUAGAAUUGAAUAUCAAUCAAUGAAUUACGAAGCAUGAUAUUAGGGUUUGUACUUACAGGCAGGCAGAGCUCACAGAUUAUGCUCUCUUUGGAUUCGACGGAGGCUGGAGAGCGCAAUUUAGAAUUAGAGUUUAAGUGAGAGAGCGAAAUGUAGAGUUAUAGCGAAAUCUGAAAAUUUUAGGUCGCGGCCAAAUUUUUAGAAAGCGUGCUUCUUCAAACAUCAACAGAAAUAAUACAAAACCGUCGUUAAAAACACAUCGGUUAAUAUAAGACAGACAACGUGGUAAAGUAGUAACACGGCGGUAAAACAUAAAACCGACGUCAAAAGAACUAAAUAAUAUUUCUGGGAUUUGGUUUUCCUGGAACAGAAAAUAAAAUACAACACUGGCAUCAUAUACUAAACCCUAAACCCUAAACCCUAAACCCUAAACAUUAAAUUAUAAUUUUGUAAAAAAAGGUUUAGGGUGGUUAAACACUGAAUACCUACACCCCUAAAUACCUAAACCUCUAAAUCCCUAAACCCUAACCCUAAACCCUAAAUAAUAAUAUUUUUAAAAAAAAAUUGUACAAAAAUACAAAUGUUUGAGAAAAAUAAAACAAAAAUUGCUACGGACUCCUUACGACAAUGCCAUCUUAAUUAGAUUGCUAAAACCAGUAUUUUAAAAUUUUAAAAAAAAUUAUCCCCACCAAUGAAUGACACAAGCCAUAUGAUUGUUUAUAACUCAAAUUACAUUUUUGAAAGCUUUAGGAUAAAGACAAUAUCUCAAUGGCUGCAUAGGAGUUAUGGUGUAUUUCUUUUUGGAAAUUUUACAAAUUUAUUAUGAAUAUUAUGAAUUAAGGUCAAUAAUUUUUUUUUAUAAAUACAACAAACCACGUCGGUUUUAAAUCCGCAUAUGACGUUGUAUGCAGUUUAAACUUCGUUAUUUAUUCAGAUAACACAUUUACGACGUCAUACCUUUGGACGUUGGUUUGGUACUCCUACGUCGUCUAUGGUAGUAACCGACAUGGUAAGGAGAAUAGACAGCACAAAGCCUAUUCUUAUAAAUAAACCGACAUUGUGGUUUAGUACAGAAGGCAGAAAAUAAGUCAAAACUGCCACUAAAGAUUGUUUAAGACGUCAGGAAUAUAGACGUCAGUUAAAUAAAAUAACGUCAUUGUAAGUAUUUCAAAAUUCAUUUGAAAUAUCAUAAAGUUGACCAAACGAUGGUUUUAAAAAGGGAUGGUCGUUGAAAUUGCAUAAGACGUCAUUUGUUAUAUAGUUAUCAACGUGGUAUUUGCUUACAGGCUCUUUGUUUUUUGUGUUACGUUAAAAGGAAAAACGUCAUUUAUUGACUUUUAAAAUAUACCGUCGUGUUACGGAAGUUUACAUGUCAUUUUAUGAAUUUACUGUCGUUUCUUUAUUUUCAAGUUUCAUAAGACGACGGUUGUUGAAACAAUCUUGUCGUUGGAAGGGACUUCAGACGACGGUUUAAAGAAUUACUUUAGUUUUAAAAACUGAAAAAUAAUUUUAUUGACAGCCAAAAAAAACAUAUACAUUAUACCCUAAACCCUGUACAAAAAAUUGUCUAUUCAAAAAAAAAAAAAUAUGUACAUUUUUCAUAACUAUUUAUAAAAAUCCUCUACUCCAUAUGAAGGCAUAAAAAUCUGCCCAUUCUUUCCUCACUUCUUGGGGGUAUGGUGCUUGAUCUUUGCCCUUUUCAAACUGCAAUCAAUAAAAAUGAUUAUUUAGACUUCAUCAAUGGUUUUGUAGAAUCUGUGAUAGAGAGCCUAAAAACCAUGGCGGUACAUCCAUUCAAACGACGGUAAUUCUAUUUACCGUCGUCCACUUACAAAAACCACAAAAAUCAAAAUCAUAAAGUUUUCCAUUUACGUUCUUCUCAAACUCCAAAGAAUGAUAUGUGAUUAUGUCUCUCAUAAAGCGCAUGACAUAAUAGCCACACUCUACCCUGCUGGGUUGCUUUGGUGUGCCUUGUAGAUUUUUUCAAAUCGGUGCUUUACAGCCUUGUCUGCCUAUGUGUGAAUUAUACAUCUUGAUAGCACUGUUUCAUGACAACAAAGUGUUAUUGAAAAAAAAAAAAAUUAGGCUACAAACACACAUUACACUUUAGUAUAUCAACUUACGUGUUCACUAUGUUUUUUGCAUUCGUCAUCAACCACUCGAUUUCCGGGUAGUGGAUCUAGAAAAUACACAGUCUCCCUCUUUGGUCUCACAAUGACCAAGACCCAAUGACGACUACACAAAAUAAACAUAGAGGUUAAACAAUUUUAUAUACACUGCAUCAUACAAAGAAAAUCGUGUUGACUAACGUACCCUGGAUUGUAAGGCAUAAAGAAAAUAUGUUCCCCAUCUAUCUUUUGAAGUCGAUUGGCUAACAAACGUGAUCUUUGAGUUAAUGAUCCAGAGUUAGCACUAACUUGAGUGGGGUCAACAAAGCCAACCAUGUUCACCAUAUUUGCUGUUUUCAAAACAUCAAAUAGGCACCUACAUAUAUGAAAUGAUGUCAUGAGUUUUUUAAUCUUUUUAAAGAAAGGAGAGUGUGAAAUGACAAUGAGUUGAUAAGGACAAACCUCAUGUAUACAGCAACCACAGUAGCCCCAAUUUCAUUCAUGGUUGCAAACUGUGUAAUAUCUUCAAUCAAGACGAAGGUUUGAUGAUCAAAACCAAACACCUCUUUCUCAGUUGUAAAUAUCAUAUCCUUCUCAUGAACCUUUAAUGUCGUCUUCAUAUAACGACAAAGGGCUUGUAAAGAAGAUGGCAAGACUAGGUUUGAGUAAUCUGGUACUUGUUGUUCCUUGUCAGAAACGUCCAAGCACUUGUCUUUCUGCUUGAAGAAAUAAGGAAAGAUAUAUAAUACAUAAGUGAAAAAACCAGAGUAAACUACACAAACUUAAACGUCAUGGUAAUUGGGAUAAACACGACGGGUAAGAGACAAAAAUGACGUGUAAAUUGAAUAACCACGACGGUAUGUAAAAACCGUCGUCGUAUGUAUUAAUUACGUCUGUAUAAAACAGAGCCCUAGAAAAGUAACAAUUGCCAAUAUCAACUUAAAAGCAUGCUUUAGCAGAAAUACAGAUACCGUGAAAUGCAGAUAAAGAGAGAAAGAAAGAGAGAGUGGAACAGAGUGAGUGAAGAAAAAUUGAAAAAUAAAUGAAAAUACGACACUAUCUGAAUCCCCAAUACCGUCGUGGUAGUUAAAUUCCGACGAUGGGUUAUUUAAAAAACAGACGUGGUAUGAAAUUAAAACGAUGGUAAGUAAAAACCGUCGUCUUAUGUUUUUAUUACUUCGGUAUGAAACAGAGCGCUCCAAAAUUAACAAUUGAAAUUAUCAACUUAAAAGCAAUGCAGAUAACAUCAAUUGCAGAGAGAGAGAGAGAGAGAGAGAGAGAGAGAGAGAGAGAGAGAGAGAGAGAGAGGGACAGAGAGAGUGAAGAAAGAUUGAAAAAAAAAAUUAAGACACUAUCUAAAUACCCCAUACCGUCGUGGUAUUUAAAUGACGACGUCUUAUUAAAAAAACAGACUUGGUAGGAUAUUUAAUACGUCGUUAACCAAAAAACGACGUCUUAUGGCAUAUCUAACGACUAUAUUGAACCCCAGUGACGCAUAUGUAUUUCCAAAUAAGAAAGAAUUUCAAAUUUCAGAGAAUUUACCCUUUCAUCUUGCUUUUCUGCAUCCUUGGAUUUCUGUUUUAAGAAAUAAAGAAAGAUAGAUAAGACAGCUUGUAUAAGAAUGAAAAAUUUCACAAACGUACUGUCGUAGUAAGGAAUACACACGAUGGUUAAUAAUAGAAGAUGACGUCUAAUUUAAAUUGAGAUGACGGUAAAUAAAAGACGUCGUUGUGGGUUGUUUCUAACGUCUGUAAUUAAGGUAACGACAUCUAAUUGGUUUUCAAAAGCAGUAUGCAGAGUUCAUAGAAGUUACCAUUUCUUGUUGUUGGCCUCCAUCUUUGGCAUUAUCAUCCUCAAAAUUGAGGGCUCUAACAUCAAGAGCCCCAGAGCAGCUUGCUUUAUUUGACAUUGGAGUUUUGGGACUUUGCUCAGGACCUUGGAUAGUUGUUAGUUUCAGCAUGCUUGGAUCAAAAUUUGGAAUUAGUUGGCGCAGUUGAUUCAGCAAAUUCUCCCUCUUAGCUUUUACCAAUUGCUUGGUUCUAGCCUCCAUCUUCGAGGUCUCUUCUUUAAGGACAUCUCUUACACUUUCCUUUAAUUGAUCAGCAAACUUUACCCUUUGUUGUCUAGCUAAAUUGAAGUAUUUCCUAGUGGAAAUCCCAACCCCAACACCUCUAACUCUCCCUGCUUGCUCAGGACCCAAAGCCAUAGUCAACACAUCAUUACUUACAGAGACAGUAAGAGUGUCUUCACUGACUUGUUUUUUGCAAUUCAUCCUAAUUAACACAAAGACACAUUAAAGUCAAUAAAAACAUAAAGUUUGUUUCAUAUGCAAGUCUAAUUAAAAUUCCAAUGCAGUUUAAUACAAAUUUAAAACAGAGUGAAAUGAAUUUAGGCUUACAAUUAAUUUUGUUUCUUCGCAACCUUUGGAUCGGGGAUGUUAUCGUGUUUGUCUUCUCUAGCUUUCUUCCACAAGGUAGAUCGACCAAUUUCUACGCUUGGCAUGGUUUCUUCCAAAUCAUUCUCCAAACCAACAUAUCCUUUUCGAGACAAUCGAUGAUUGUACUCGCAUUUCUCUCUCCUCUAUGCUUGUUUAGCAUGGACAGACUCAAAUUGUUCUGAUAACCUUGAAGCUACAAACACAUCCCAGUGUGCUUUCUCUAUGAAUUUAUAUAAUUCAGGGGUUGUCUUAACUUCUCCUUCUCAUUGAUGAAUGGAAGGAUAUGAUGCCUCGUUAGUGUAGACUUGAAAUCCUUCCAUUUCUUGCCAGCAGAUGAUAACACCAUUUUUUUACCCCCUUGCCCUACCACAUAAGCCAUGUCAACGGCUUCCCAAAUAUGCUCUUUUAUAACCUUGGGGAUUUCAGUCCAUUUCUUGUCCAUAAUUGGGACUCUGGACCUUGCCAACACACCAAUAUAGGAUUGCAUCUCAGCAUGUGCAGGGCCAUAUGGUUUCCCCCUUUGGUUGUACUCAAUAACUGGCUUGAUUUUCUUCAAUUUUCUCUUCACAACACGGGGCAUUGUGUUUAUACCACGACUAGACUUUGGCUCCUCAUAAAAUGUUGUCGUGCUGCCUGGUUCUAUCUUAGCAGGUGAAACAAAUUUCAUCUUCUUCGAGGGCUUGGUUUGAGGUUUAGAUACUUUAAGCUCCUUACAUUCAUUUUCGUUCAAGCUAGAAUCCUUACUUGGCGCUUGAGAAACCAUGGUUAUAGAGAAAUGAGACCUGCAAGUACAGAAAAAAUAACAUAAAAGUCAAUAAGAAACGACGCUUAUUUAAAAAAACGAUGUACUAUAAAAUUUCAUACAAAGGAAUAUAAAAACAACCGACGCAAUAAGAAUUAUAUAACGACGGUAGUUAACUACCAACGUGGUUUGAAAGUAACACGAUGUAAAUUUUGAAUUUUUCACGAUGGUAGUAAGAAAACGUCGUGGUUUUACAUUACAACGACGUGAAAUAUAAAAUACCGUCGUCUUAUUAAAAUGAAAUACAAAAUACAGAGUACUGUUUUCAGACCAUUUGGUUCUUGUCUUUAUAUUUGGAAAAACUUAAAUUGAUUUUCACCAGAAAAAAAGUAAAAAUAUAUUUCAACAAACGUCGUGGUAUUCAAUUACAACAACGUUAGUAAUAAAAUAUAGUUGUCUUCUUAAUAUGAAAUUAAAAAACUGUUCCAAGACCAUUUGGUUUACUACUUCAAACACAAAAAGACAGUAGAUUUUAUCAUCGUGGUCAAUGACACUUUGUUCUUUGUCAGUAGAUUUUAUCUAAAAAGUAAAAUGAUUUUCGCAUGAACAGGAACAAAGAUGAGAAAUGCUUACCUUUUGCUUGCAAUGAAAUUUAUCGCUUGCAAAACAAGAACAAAAAUGAUUUUUCAAAGACAAAGACGAAGAGGAGAGGAAGCCGAUGAGAUUCAGACACGGUACUUUGGGAACAAAAAUGAGGACAGCGUGAAAUUUUUUCUCGGGUUUGGAAACAAUAUAAAUGUAGGUCAGGAAAGGCGAAAAGUUUAAAAUAUUAACGAACCGUUUCAUAACACGAUGCUAUUAAUGACAACCGCCCUAGUAAAUGGUUCUACACGGUUGUAAAUAUGUAGUUCACGCCCUGGUAAAGAAUAUUAAACGACACACACUUUUCCGACGUGGUUAGUUUAACUUAUAAUUCAAUAGUGUUAUAGAUGUCGUCGUAGUAUUUUUUUAAUAAUAAGUCGGUAAGUUUACCUGUACUGACGUCUUUACUUUCUACGUCAGUUACUUAAUAGAUUCUGUCAUUGGUUUUUCGCUCUAAGUACAAGACAACGCAUUUUAGUUAUGCGUGUCGUGGUUUCUCUGCAAAAACCGCCCUAGUAAGUCUUUAUUACGUCGUUAAACUAACAGAAACGGAUGUCGUUAGUAUUUUAUGCGCAGGGGCGGAGCUACAGCCAAGCCUGCCAUGGCCCUUGCCCCCCCCCCCACUUAAUUAUUAAUCUCUUGUAAUAUAUUAUAAAAUAUAUGAUAUAGCAAUAUAAUUACUGCAAUUAGAUUAGUAAUGGCCCUCCCAGUUGAAUAUGAAAAACCUAGUAGAAGUGAUUUUGAAAUUUUGGCCCCUCCAUACGAAGAAUCCUAGCUCCGCCACUGUUUAUGCGACUAGAGGGUUGGUACGAACCGACGUAGAUUACUUUUGUUAGACGGCGGUAAGUGUAAUGUAACCGACAUGGAUGUGAAGAAUUUUUUUUUUAAAUUGGGUUUUUUUCACGCGUUCUUUCAGUUUCAGUUUUCAAUUAGGGUUACAACUUCUUCUUGCCCUUGGCUUUGUCUCCCCUCUUUGGAGGCAAUAGUUUGGAUGUUGAUGUGUGUGUGCGUUUGUAUAUCUGAAAGAUACAAAUACACACACAUCAUCAACUUCUAAAAAAUUGUCUUUCUGAAUGCAAAUAUGUGGUUGCCGUCGUCAAUUUUUAGAGGCAAAUUUUUUGGAUGUUGAUGUGUGUGUGCCUUUGUGUAUCUCAAAGACACAAAGACACACACAUCAUCAACAUCUAAAAUAUUGUCUUUCUCGCACAUUGGUGGUCCGAUUAUGAUGAGGAACAGAGUUCCCUCUGGUAAGAUUUCAUAUCUCUUGGGAUCUCAGACUAAUCUGAUUAUGUUGGCGGUUUUCUAUAUAAACCGUCAUGGUUAUUCUCAAUUCUUGUCAUUAUGUUGAUCUACCAUCGUAAGCUACCAAAAUCCAAGAAAUAAAUCGUAAAAAAAAUUAAUAAAUAUUAAGACGACGGUUUAGAUAUAAGGUGAGCCGUAUAAAGUGAAUAAAUACGAUGGUAAUUUUAACUUCACGACGUGGUAAAUUUUAUUAUACGGCAUUAAUUGAACAAACCGACGUGGUAAAGUUAUAGAUACCGUCGUAGUACAAUACAAAAUAAUAAGUCGAUAAAUUUAUCUUUACCAUCGUUGUACAUUGAUUUAAUACGGCGAUAUUUUGUAAUAUACCGACGUAGAUUUUUUUUGAAAUUAUAUGGCUCCAAAUACAAAAACUUGGUCGUGUUUAUUACGGAGUAAAAAUGGCUACUGUUGUUGCACACCGUCGUCUUUACUUUCUGCGUUGGUGGAUUCAUACCUUCUGCCAUUGUUUUUGAGCUCAGAGUUUACCUAUGAGGAAAACCUUUUCAAUAAGACGACACUUUUUUAAUUUGGUGCGUCGUUUUUUAAAAACACCCAUUGGAAUCUCCAUUUUUUAGGUGUUUAAAUUACUCAUACACGGCGGUUUUAUAACACUGUCGUCUUUUUGAGCACAACGAUGGUUUUUUGUUAAACCAUCGUUUUUUUCUGGUCGUUUUUUUCACUUUUUGUAGUAGUGCUAAUGGAUCACACACCUUAAAUGGUUAACUUUGAGUAAUACAAAUGAGAACGAGGAAAUCAAUUUGAUUGAUUUGAUGUAGAUGAUUUACUACGAGUAAAAACGUAUUUGGGCCUCGAUAAUAGUUAACAGGAAGCCCAAAUGGUUGAGUAUCAAGCCCAAGGGCUUAAGACACCUAAAUAUUAUGAUUUAAGUGUCACAAUGCCCAAUUUUGGAAGCUCAAUGGGGUUUGGCCGAAAAUGCAUAAGUAAAUGUGUUUGGGAAUUGUUUCCAUAAGCUCAUUAACACACAAACACAAUCCAAUAUCAACCAAAUAGGUUUAGGAGAUCGAAGAGAGAUAAAAUAGAGUUUUCAAGAGUGAAACACUUUCAUCUUUCAAGGGGUUUAGAUUGAAACCAAUCUUGAGAAUCUUGCACUAGCAUCCUUGUAUUCUCAAGAUACUUCCUCUCAUCUCAAGGUUCCAUUGGUGUAGAGACUUAGAGGCCAUAUACUUUUGUGGCUCACAUGGAGGAGAAAGAUCAAGGAGCAAAAAUCAAGAUCAAAGAGGAGGUCAACAAAGAGGAAUUCAUCAAGAGAAGACCAAACACAAAUUGGUUCAUAUAAUUGCUUCAAGGGUAAUUAGAUCUUAUCAUUUCUCUUGAAUUUUUCAUUUAUGAAAUACAUAUCAAUGUUCAUGGCUUAAGAUACUUGGAAAAAGUUUGUUUUUGAAUGUAAACAAUCACCAUAGACUUCCGCUGCGAUUAAUUUGAUUAAAUGCAUGUUUAAUAUUCAAAUGAACUUUGUAUAAAUGUUUUAAAUCCUACCCAAAAAAAAAAAACCCAUGCCACCCUCAUCUCAACCUCCCCAACCAUCGUCCCUCCUCCUCCCUUGACCAGCCACAACAACAACCACCCCUAGGGCUCGUCAAUGGGCCGGGUCGGGCUAGUCCAAUUCAAAUUUAAUGGACUUGGGUUGGGUCGGGCUGAGCUAGACCGAGCUUUAAAGAUGAGAGAGAAAAUACCGGACCGGUUAUUUUUAAAAAAUUCAAAGCCCAAGCCCAACCCAUGGGCCGGGCUAAGCCUAACGGGCAAGGCUGAAAUGAGCCUACUUCAUUAAAAAAAAAAAAUUCAUAAACUUAAUCAUAAGGGCAUUUUAGUCCAAAUUUGAGAUUAAACUCACUUAAUUCCAAUAAUUUCACAUCAAACCAAAUUCAUAAAACACCAAAUAAAGUCACACAACUUAAUAAGAUUUUUCACAAAAAUAAUAAAACCAAGUAUUAUGUUUGAGGUUAUUACAUAAUUAGACCGUAAUACGUUUUAAAAAAUAAUAAGUAUCAAAUUUUUUUUUUUAAAGGAUGGUAUGAAUAAAUAUGCAAAUAUUUGGUGAUGUGUUCAAAAAAAGCAUGAUUAUAUUUGGUGGUACGAUUAUGUUUCGUGAUAUGAUUAUAUUUGGUGAUGUGAUAUGUUGUUCAUCUUAUAUAUAUAAUUAUUGAAUUAGUAAUUGACACAAAUUAAUGUGCUAAUCAUCCAAUUAUAAACUAGGAAUGAGUAAAGAAAAGUAAAUGAAAUGAAACAAAUUAUAUAUGUGAUUUAAGUGAUAUAAUCCUAAACCUAAACUCUUAUUUAUACAUAAUUAUAUAUGUAUGCGGGUCUAAUAGGCCGGGCUUUUAUAGGCAGGCCGGGCCAGGCUUUCUUGGGCUUAAUCGGGCCAGGCUUAUGGCCUGGGCCGGGCUUCAGACACCUAAGCCCAAGCCUAGCCCAGUCGAAAGCAAGCCGGGCCAUCUCAAAGCCCAUAACGGGUCGGGCCGGGCUUUUUUUCAACGGGUCGGGCGGGCUCCCAUCAGCCCAUGAGCCCGUGGGCCAAAUGAUGAAGCCUAGCCACCCCCACCCCAUCCUCAACCCCAGCCCACCCCAUCACCACCCCUUCCUCAACAUCUAUUGAACAGACCCCAAACCCACUCGAAGUAAAUGAAUAAAUUGAAUUGAUACAAUAAUUAUAAUAAAUAGAUAAUUGAAAAUCCAAAAACCCCCAAUUAUGUACUCUACAUAACCAACACCGUAGCAAAAACCCCCAAUGGCCACAGCUUCGGCAGUGGAGAAACUAUUCAAAUGGCACUGUUAUUGGCGAGUGCGGGAGCCUAUGAGGGAGAUCCAUCAUAACAUCUCGUCCCAAAAAUCACUGUUCAAUUGAUUAUUUAUUAUGAAAUUACAUUUUUGCCCUUAGGUGUAGGGCACUUUAGUCACUUUUUAUUUGGAAAGGAAUUUGGGGAAUUGAGUGGCACCGUUGAGUUGAGAUCAACGAUACGAGUUCGUAGACAGGCGUCAUGUUCAAUUCAGAGUUAAAACGAAGAAGUUAUGAUUUACGGAAAUGUAGUUGAACAACCGCAAUUUUUGCAAAGUUAAAAUUUAAAUAUCCCAGCUUCUCUCUCUCUCUCUCUCUCUCUCUCUCUCCUUCACUAAAACAAACCGGCCACUUUGGCUUGCAUUUUCUCCUCCUUCUGACCACGGCGACCUAUUAAACGUUCAUCUCUUCUUCCUCUUCACGUUCAUACCCAUUUCCACUUUCGAAACUCCAAGAUUGAUCGCGAUUUUGGACUAGAACUGAGCGAAACCCUAAUUUGUGGCCCGGCAAAGUUCGUACGAUUUCUAGCGAUUCCGGCAGCCAUAUGAAACUUCAUUCCCUCAUCAUGCUCUACUUGUUUAUGUACUUAGUUUGGAUCGAUUUUGAGGUUUUACAAAUCAAUUCUUAAACCCAUUUUUGGUCGUGGUCCAAGAACAAAAGUUUAUCCCUUUGUUAGUUUGAUCGUAUUGGUAUAGGUGUUUGUCAGGAGUUUCCGAGAAAUUCCCGUUGCAGGAAAUUUCUCAAAACAACCACGCACUAGCAGCGCCGGGUGACGGCGUGUCGGCCACUGUGUGGCACCCUAUUGAGUUCUAAAUUGUUUCCCUUGUCAUCAUGAGCACGACGGUAUGCUCGGAUUUGGAUUUGGUUAUCGUUUGACAUUUGAACAGAUAUUGCACCUAUUUUGGUUGGGAGGUGUUUGUGGUUUGGUUGUUUGAUUUUAAAACGGUAUUUUCCUAUGAGAGUUUUGUUAACUGUUUAUGAAUUAUUGUUCUAUCACUUUUACUUUCUGAGAAUGAUAUAUCCAUGUUUAUUUUUAUAUGUGUGCUAAAAUGGAUUAAAAAUUGGAUUGUGUUGUUUUCGGAAAUAUGGUUGUCUUUGGAGAUAUUGAUAUCUUCUUCUGACAUCCCGGUUGCCUUCUGAAAUAUUGAUGUCUUCAAACAUCCUGGUUGUCUUCAAAAAUACUGUUGCCUUCGGAAAUAUUGAUAUCUUCGGACAUCCUGGAUGCCUUCGGACAUCCUUGAUGCCUUCGGACAUACAGUUACCUUCGGAAUAUCUUCGGAUAUACAGUUGCCUUCGGAAUGUCUUCGAACAUAAGGUUGUCUUAGGAAUAUCUUCGGACACCUCAGUUGCCUUCGAAUUUGUCUACACACGUAUGACAGUGUGCCCACGAGUUUCGAGGACUCUUGUGUUGGAAAAUUUAAUAUUAACUAAUAUUGAUUUUCCUAUUUGAAUGGAAAUUAAUAAAAUUCAUUGGGUUAAAGGCAUCUUCACAUGGGGGGUGACAACUCUUCAAACCAAGGGAUGCAUUGUUUGGGGUGACAACUCUUCAGACCAAGGAAUGCAUUGUUUGCCUUUUCAGAUUGAGAUACCUUUUUAGAAAGGGUAUUUCAUCAUCUAUAAAUAGAGCAAUCCUCCUACAGUUUUAUUCAUUCAGUUUAAUUCUCUACAUAUAGACUUUCACAUAUAGAAAGCAUUAGAGUUUUCAUAAAGGGAGGUUCCUGCAUAAUUUGGUUCAAAGUUCCUUGUGAAUUGCAGUGCUUCUUUCAUAAGGAGGGGAGUCGUUGUAUCCUGGGAGGCGAACGCUAGUGAACCAUAAGCACCAGUGUGGGGCGUAAUUCGUCUUAAGGUCAGAGUGUCCAACACUUGCCUCGACUCAAUUAAGGUUCUUUUAAUUACAUACUACUGUUGUAAAAAUUUGUUUUGUUUGUAGUGUUUAUUUGAUUAUUUUAUAGCAAUUUAGCACUCAUAUUUCCUACAUCUUGAACCGUGUAAUGCAAGGAUUUGCAUUCUCAAGUGGAGUAUAUCUCCCUGAGUUAUGCGAGGAUUUGCAUUCUCAAGUGGGGUAUAUUUUCUUGAGUUAUGAGAUGAAUGCGGUCUCAGGCCGACCUCGUUUCCUCCAAGUUCUAUGAUGAUAUAUCACAGACGUGGCCACAUGUGUGGUGCAAGGGGAAUUGACAAAUUAUUUGUGUUCUUAGGUUGAGUAUAUCUCCAUGAGUCCUAUGAGAGGAAUUGAUAGUAUAUUAUUGAAAUUGAUGGAUUAUAUUUGAGGUACAGUUAAAAGGAUAUUCUUCACCACCCUCCCUGCUCACAUUAUCUGCACAGGGUUGGCCAAGAUCCCUAGUCACCUACCCGACUUGUCUAUACAGGGGGGUGGUUAGCUAGUUUUCCCUUCCCCUGUUGCCUUCGGAUUUGAUGGUAUUCCCAUAUCCCCUCCCCCCCUUUUAGGGUCAAGCCUCACAUAUCCCUUGAUGGGUGAUUACAGGAUAUAUGCAAUAUGUGGAUAAUUGCAAGUAUGGCUUUCUGGUAAAAGGUUUGGUUAUGUAAGUGUUUGGAUGUACAGCGAUAAACUAAUUGAAUAGUUAGAUACAUAAUUACAUGGUAUGACAUUCAGUUAUAAAGCCCCUCAUUGUGAGAGAAAUACCUUUAUAGUCCGCAAUAUUUCAACGGAGCUCUAAAUAAUGCUCUAUCCACCAUAUUUAGAGCAUCAACCAGGAUGGCCUUAGAUAACCUGAUAAGAUAAACAACGCCAUCCGCCAUACGAAGUGGUGGCGUUAGAUGAGGUUUGUAAAUUAAAUCACCAUUUUUUCCAAUCCACAACGUAAAGAAAGAGUUGAAGGCAUAUAGAAACAAACAACGCCGUCCAAAUAACAAAAUGCAUCACACUCAAACAGGGACAGUGGGACAUUUUUGGUAGGUGCUUUCAGGAAAAAUGGUUAAAAAGAGGUUGAGUAGGUGCUUUCAGGAAAAAUGGUUAAAAAGAGGUUGAGUGGGGAUGGGGAUGGGGCUCUAUAUUUUAUGUAUUUUUUAUUUUUUGUCUCUCCUAAGAGCUGGUUCCCCUCAUGAAAUGAGCAGAAAAAUUCUCCACCACUUCUUAUUUUAGCUGCAUGUAGGCUUCCCAAGAGAUAGAAGAGAAGUUCACUUGGGGUCUGCAGGCUCUUAGAGCAACUCCACCCAUUUGCCUUUUGCUAUGGUAAGGGAGGGGAUAAGGCAGCUACUAUUCACAUGAAUAGUGAUUGCCCUUGUAAAAAGCCAUUUCUGUUUCCACCCGUUGCCAUGACAAAGGGCAAUUACUAUUCUUUUUUUUUUUUCACAAUUUUUUUUACCUCAAUAAUUAAUUUGGAUAAUAUUUUCGGAUAAGAUUUUCGGGUUUCUAUGUGUCAAUACUAUUCAUAGCUCAUAAUCGGAUAAAAUUUUCAGUUUCAAAUUUCAUAUAAAUUUCAAAAACAAAUUGGCAGGUAUUUAUAGAAAAAAAUUCACUAAUUUUUGGGUAUUUUUAAAAAAAAAUUCAGAAUUUUUUUUAGUAUUUUAUGGUAAAAAAAUUGGCUGUCAUUAGAUUGGAAGAAAAAAUCCGAUCGGAGAGCCCAGACGACAUCACAUGGCAACAGAAAAAAAAAAAUUCAAAUGAGUGGGCUGACGCCAGCCUGGCGUCAGCGAUGACAUCAACCCAAAACUCGAGCUCGUGCUUGGGCUGAACUCCCCCUCGAGCCAGCCCAAGGUCGUGGCCCCCACCUCCUGCCCAGGCAAACCUUCGCUGCUGGAAACAUGAUUUGAACUGCUCUUAUACCCAAGCAAGUUGAAGUAUUCCUCCCUUUAUUUAUUUAUUUAUUUUUUUAAGAAAAGAGAAAUAUAUUAGUACUGUCUAUUUUGCCACAUGGUAGGAAAGUCCCCACCUAAGUUUUUCUCUUUCGUGUUUAUCUCCUAGCAUGUUGGAUAUAUAUAUAUAUAUAUCAGUAGUGAAAAAAAUGCUCAUGUCCUCUAAACAAUUGUGCCAAAAAUUAACGGCUGGAAGAAGAAAGAGAGAGAUGGAUUUCUUGAGUUGUGUACUAUUAUGUCUAAUGGUUGCCUGGAUCGUAAUCCAAGCCCUCCAAAAUUCAUUUGCAAGAAGAAUUCCCACAAACCUUCCACCUGGACCAAAGCCAUUUCCUUUGAUUGGAAAUCUCCUAGAGCUUGGAAACAAACCCCACAUCUCACUAACCAAGCUUUCAAAACGCUAUGGCCCCAUUAUGACUUUACAACUCGGCCAACUAACAACAGUUGUAGUUUCUUCAUCCAUCGUCGCCAAACAAGUCCUCCGAACCUAUGACCGAUUCUUUUGCAACCGAACGAACGCAGAUGCACUCCAAGCCUGCAGCCAUGCCAAGCACGGCAUGCCCUUCAUACCUGUUUCAGCUAAAUGGAGAAACCUUCGCAGAAUAUGCAACUCCCAAUUGUUCGCCACCAAAGUUCUCAACGCCAACCAAGCCAACCGUCAACUAAAAGUGCAAGAGCUCAUAGCUGAUGUCAGCGAAAGCGUGGUAAAAGGUAAGGCAGUUGAAGUUGGAAGGGCUGCUUUCUUAACUACCCUCAAUUUGCUGUCACGUACUGUCUUCUCUGUGGAUCUAGCGGACCCGAAAAGUGAGACGGCUAGAGAGUUCAAGGAGUUGGUGUGGGGUAUCAUGGAAGAGGUCGGGAAACCAAACUUGGCUGACUAUUUUCCUGUGCUUAAGAAGAUUGAUCCCAUGGGGAUACGGCGCCGUUUGACCAAGCACUUCCGGAAGAUGAUUGACCUCUUUGACCGCUUGAUCUUCCAAAGGUUGGAAACAAGAAAAUCACAUGAUUAUGUCACAGCCAAUGAUAUGUUGGAUACUCUUAUAAACAUGAGUGAAGAGAAAAAUGAGGAUAUGGACAUUCCUGAAACUCAUCAUUUGUUUCUGGUUAGUUAUGGAUAUAGCUUUCCUACAUAUACUAAUUGCUAAUUAGAGUGUAUCUUUUUGUGAUUAUUAAGGUUGUUUUUGGUUUUGUUUAUACCAUCUAAACUGACUUAAAGACGGUUGAGAUAGUACACGUAGUUUUAUUAGUUCAUUAUUAUACAUAUAUGCUAGCUCCGAUUAAUUUUCUGACUAAGUAAUCAGCCAUUUGGUGAAUAAUAUAGGAUUUAUUUGUUGCGGCCACAGAAACAACCUCAGCCACAUUGGAAUGGGCAAUGGCUGAGCUACUAUGCAACCCUGAAAAACUGUCAAAAGCUCAAGAGGAGCUAGAACAAGUAAUUGGGAAAGGGAAACCAGUUGAGGAAACAGACACUGCUCGACUUCCUUACUUACAAGCAAUAAUCAAAGAGACCUUUCGGUUGCACCCAGCUCUUCCGUUUCUUCUCCCCCGCAAAGCCGAAGCAGACCUGGAAAUCUGCGGGUAUUUUGUACCCAAGGGUGCACAAGUGUUGGUCAAUGCAUGGGCCAUAGGCAGAGACCCUGGCUUUUGGGACAACCCGGCCUCAUUUAUCCCAGAGAGGUUCUUGGGAUUGGAUAUGGAUGUCGCUGGCGGAAGCUUUGAGCUUAUCCCGUUUGGUGGUGGGAGGAGAAUAUGUCCUGGCUUGCCCUUGGCAAUGAGAAUGUUGAACUUGAUGUUGGGUUCACUUCUUAACUCGUUCCAUAAUUGGAAGCUUGAAGAUGGAGUUGUACCAGAAAACAUGAACAUGGAAGAGAAGUUUGGCAUCACUUUGCAAAUGGCUCAGCCUCUGAGAGCUGCUGCCAUGGCCGUGCCAUAAAAUAUCCUACUAGCUAUUUGUUUUUACCUAAGUUAAUAUGUUGUGAAAUUGAAUAAAAACUAUUCAUGCCAUGGAAUAAAAACUAUUCAUGCCAUGGAUACUCUCACAAGUUCCUCCAAAUAGGUUGUGUCCAUUUUCUUGCCAUGGAAUAAAAAUUGCAUAUUUAACUUUCAGUUGUCCAUUUUUUCUUAUGCUCAUCUGGAAUGGAUUUUGUUUACUCAACGUUGUUUUAACUUCUAGUUUCAGGUUUUCUUCUUCGUGUAGAGCAUUCAUUUUAUUAUAAUAGAUUACAAAACCCAAUCUGAUUUUAAACAAUAAAAUUAUUGCCAAUAAUGAACCAUUUGUUUGAAAGAAGAAAAUUAUUGGCAAUAAUUAAUAGUUUUAGGUGGGUCGAGAUGACAUAUGGGAGAAGAAAAUAAUGGAAGGAAACAACAAAGUAAGAUCCAUUUGUUAAUCAAAGAGUUUUUGCUGUUCACAGUCGCUUAAGGCAACUGCGAAAUCAAACUCUCUCUUUAUUUGAAAAACUUCAAAUUUUUCGCUUUCGUACCAACUAGAGAUUAUAACGACCUUUCGAACAAUAAAUCGAGCGAAGAACAAUUCCAACCAUUGCAUUUCUUGCUAAAAUAUGAAACCUAACUUGAGAAUAUUUGUUUGUAGGAAUUUUUUAUGUAUUCUUCUCCUUGUAGGAGAUCAUAUUUAUAAUACAACGAAACUUUAAUGGGCAAGUAAAUAAUAAAUUCAUAUUUCUAUUUACAGUAGGAAAUCAGGAAUUAAAGUAAAUCAAUUACAAUUAUAAUAAGAAUUCUUGGUAUGAAAAGAAAGUAAGUCAGUGGUCCACAAGACACGCCAACACUCUCUCUCACGUUGGUACAUAGAUGUCGUCAAUGCCCAACUGAUCCAGUGAAUUGUGGAAUGCUUUACUGGAAAUUGCCAAUUUGGCGUCAGCAUUGACAUCAGCCCAAAACUCGGGUUCGCGCUCGGGCUGAACUCCCUCCUGGGCCUACCCAGGUUCGUGGCCCCCACCUCCUACCCGGGCAAGCCUUUGCUGCUAGAAACGUAAUUUGGGCUCAAAACGCUCCCAGCCCGCCCCCUAACUUCUCCACUGAAACUGCUCUUAUACCCAAGCAAGUUCAAGUAUUCCUCCCUUUAUUUAUUUAUUUUUUUAAGAAAAGAGAUAUAUAUUAUUACUGUCUAUUUUGCCACAUGGUAGGAAAGUCCCCACCUAAGUUUUUCUCUUUCGUGUUUAUCUCCUAGCAUGUAGGAUAUAUAUAUAUAUAUAUAUAUAUAUUAUUGAAAAAAUAUGCUCAUGUCCUCUAAACAAUUGUGCCAAAAAUUAACGCCUGGAAGAAGAAAGAGAAAGAUGGAUUUCUUGAGUUGUGUACUAUUAUGUCUAAUGGUUGCCUGGAUCGUAAUCCAAGCCCUCCAAAAUUCAUUUGCAAGAAGAAUUCCCACAAACCUUCCACCUGGACCAAAGCCAUUUCCUUUGAUUGGAAAUCUCCUAGAGCUUGGAAACAAACCCCACAUCUCUCUAACCAAGCUUUCAAAACGCUAUGGCCCCACUAUGACUUUACAACUCGGCCAAAUAACAACAGUUAUAGUUUCUUCAUCCGCCGUAGCCAAACAAGUCCUCCGCACCCACGACCAAUUCUUCUGCAACCGAACUAUCCCGGAUGCAGUCCAAGCCUGCAAGCAUGCCAAGUAUGGCAUGCCGUGGCUGACGGUUUCCUCCACGUGGAGAAACCUCCGCAAAAUAUGCAACUCCCAGCUUUUCGCGGCUAAAGUUCUCGACGCCAAUCAGGCCAACCGUCACCUAAAAGUGCAGGAGCUCAUAGCUGACGUUAAGGAAAGCGUUGUGAAAGGUAAGGCGGCUGAAGUUGGAAGGGCUGCUUUCAAAACUACGCUCAAUUUGAUGUCACGGACUGUGUUCUCUGUGGAUUUAGCGGACCCGAACAGUGAGAGGGCUAGAGAGUUCAAGGAGUUGGUGUGGAGUAUUAUGGAGGAGGCUGGGAAGCCAAACUUGGCUGACUAUUUUCCUGUGCUUAAGAAGAUUGAUCCCAUGGGGAUACGGCGCCGUUUGGGCAAGCACUUCCAGAAGAUGAUUGAUCUUUUUGACCGCAUGAUCGUCCAAAGGUUAGAAUCAAGGAAGUCACGUGAUUAUGUCACAGGGAAUGAAUGUUGGAUACUCUUAUAAACAUGAGCGAAGAGAAAAAUGAGGAUAUGGACAUGGCUGAAACUCAACAUUUGUUUCUGGUUAGUUAUUGCUACUCUAGCUCUAUUAAUUAAUUGAUAAUUAAAUUGCUUAGAUAUUAUAAUUAUAACUUAUUGCUAGAUUGUGUACCAUCUUAAUUGAUCAUUUUAAAAGAGUGCUGCUAAAUGAAUCUUAAAAUUAACUGAGUACACUCUAUGAUCUAAGUACAUCUUAAUAUUUAAAUCAAAAUAUAAAAUUAACUAAGUACACCUUAUUUAACUACCAAAAAUACUCAUUGUACACCCUAAUACACUCUAUCUCGUCCAAAAAAAAAAAAAAAACCAACAACAUUCAUCGAUCUCCCUAUGAUCCCCUUUUCUCCAUACUUUGAUUCUCAAAAAUUUUAACUGUAAAAUCUGGACAGUAUUGUUCUUUUUGAUAUAUCCUAAAUCUAACUAUAAUGAUACAAAAACGUUCAACAUAAUUCUUUGAUUUCAUUCCUCUUGAUGCUAAAACGUUCAAAUUAUGAUUUUGCCUGCGAAAACUUCAAAAUCUUCCUUAGUUCUUUAAUGUUUUAGUCUUUAACUCCAAAUGGUAGAGCAAAUAAACAAAGACUCAAACAAAUAAUUAAUUAGGAUUGCAGAUAAGGACUUCACUGUAAAGAUCAAUCAGCCUUGUAUUUAUAUAUGCCUUCAAUUUUCUUCGAAGAAUGCUAGCCAUUGAUUGAUGUGUGUCUCACAGCGAGUCCAUCCAUCAAUGGCUAACACAAACAAGCACUGCACUGUAUUGAAUCAGCCCCUGCAUAUUUCUUUUAAUAGCUUCAAGUUUAUUCUUGGCAAAACGAAAAUUUCAGCAACUGUAUUGCUGAAAUACACUUUGCUUUGCAAACAUAAGAGCAGUUUUUAAUAUGUCUUCAUGUAAAAUUGCAUUUUCAAGAUCUCAUGUUCAGAGACUGUACAUUCAUCAUGAAAAUUUGCAGAGAGCUAAGAAGAAACAACUACAUUGUGUGGUUUAUUAUAGCAAUCAGUCAAGUCUUUGCAGUUAUUUUUUUUUUCUCUUUUUUUUUUUUCUUUUUUUGAAACUGCUACUCGGUAUUGGCCAAAAGAAAACUGCUCUUUAUUCUUCCAGUUUGGUAUUUUGUAUGUUUUAUACUGAGCAGAAGAGUGAUUGAAAGAAGAAGAGGUUCUACUGAGCUUGGUUUUGAGAGAUAAAAGAGUUCGGCUGUCCAAAUGCUAAGAUGGAGAAGAAGAGAAGUGUAGGGAAAAAUAUGCCGUGUCAUAUUUUAGAUGGUUUUUAAAGAGUGUUGCUAAACGAAUCCUAAAAUUAACUGAGUACACUCUUAAAAUAUGUGGUGUUAUGUUUUACAAUUGAAUAUAUCUUUUUUAGUCAUUUUAUAUUAGGGUAAAUUAGUAAUUCAAUAAAUACUUUGAUAGUAGGGUGUACUUAGUUAAUUUUAGAGUUCGUUUAGCAGCACUCUUUUAAAAUUAUGACUAUGGUCACUUUAUUUUUGUUGAGAUGGUAUAAGUACGUUAAUCCUACACUGAUCAAGGUCUUGUGUUCAAAUCCCCUUAUAUCGCUUUUAUAAAAAUAAAAAUAAAAACUAUAUAUAUAUAUAUAUAUUUGGUGCCCAUAUUAAUUUGACUAAUUAACUUUUUGGUGAAUUAGGAUUUAUUUGGUGCGGGCACAGAUACAACUUCAGCCACAUUAGAAUGGGCAAUGGCUGAGCUAUUACGCAACCCUGAAAAGCUAUCAAAAGCUCAAGAGGAGUUGAAGCAGGUUGUUGGCAAAGGAAAACCAGUGGAGGAAUCAGACAUCACUCGGCUCCCUUACUUACAAGCCAUAAUCAAAGAGACCUUCCGGCUGCACCCAGUUGUCCCACUUCUUCUCCCUCGCAAAGCCCAAGCAGACAUAGAAAUCUGCGGUUACAUUGUACCAAAGGGUGUACAAGUGUUGGUCAACGCAUGGGCCAUCGGCAGAGACCCCAGCAUUUGGGACAACCCUACCUCAUUUAUCCCUGAAAGGUUUUCAGGAUUGGAUAUCGACGUUACUGGCCAGAACUUUGAGCUUAUUCCAUUUGGUGGUGGGAGGAGAAUAUGUCCUGGGUUGCCUUUGGCGAUGAGAAUGUUGAAUUUGAUGUUGGGUUCGCUUAUUAACUCGUUUGAUAAUUGGAAGCUUGAAGAUGGAGUUGUGCCAGAAAAAAUGAACAUGGAUGAGAAGUUUGGCCUCACUUUACAGAUGGCUCAUCCUGUGAUAGCUGUGCCCAUCAAGUAUUAGGAGAACGAAACCUAGCUAGCUAUGGUUUCUAUAAUAAAUAGAUUUAUGUUUUUAUUAGGGAGUUACAAUAAUUAAUCCUACUAAUGAUAGGAAAUGGUCAGUUGUCAAUUACGUUGUUAUUAGGCCAUAACUCCAUAUUUAUGUGUAUGAUAAUGGCUUGUUCUAAUUGUAGAUUAUUCUCUACAUAUUUAUAUAUUUUAUAAUGAUCAUAUGAAUGACUAAGGAAAAAAUAGUUUCUAUAUGGAAUAUGGUAUCAGAGCUAAUGGCUAACGCCGAUUAGCGAUUCUCCCGUUGCCAACAUUGAGAGUCGUUGGUGCUCCGCACUCCUCACCCGUAAGGAGGGUGUUUGUUUAUGUUUAGUGCUUUUUCCUCUCCUCUUCUCAAAGAUGAAUAUAUUUUUUUCUUCCAUGUUAGCGAUUUUUUUUGUAUUGUUUCAUCCUUAGUUAUAUUAACUGCGGGCAUCGGCGGCUUCUUUCUUUUUGUUGUGCCUGAUAAAAUUGACCUUAGAUGGCUUCAUUUUCUUCAAAUCACCCCAGUUGCCUUUCCCAAUCUGAUGAGAUUGGACAAAUAACUUUAAUGGACCAAUAUGCGCAACCCAUGUAGAAAACCAUAUCUAUUAUAGGGUGGACUCCUAUCCUGGUGUAUGAUUUUUGUUUUGUAAAAUCACCCCAGUUUCCCUUCAUUAUGAUGGUAGAUUGACCUUGCGAAGGCUAUAUCUAAAGGAAAAGCAAACAGAGCCAUGCCACUAGAACACAGAUUUUUGUUUUGUAAAUUUUUUAUAAAGUUAUUCGGUGUUGAUUUUUCAAUUUAAAAAAUGUAUUUGGAAGUCUUGUUGGCUCAAUCACUUUUCUUUCUUUGUUCUACUCUUCUAGAUUUGGGAGGGGCUACUUCGGCAACGGGUGAGAACUGGUGUUAGAAGGGGAUGGAAAAGUCGUUGAAAAAUUAGGUUGGUUUUAUUGAUAUAUUUUAUAUUUAUAGUGAAUUGAUGGAAAUGGAAGCAUGUGAUUUGAUUUAACGGAAAUUUUUAAAGGAGUUUGACGUAGGUGGUAAAUAUUGCAACACUUUAAAUAGUUCAAGUGGUUGCUAGAAAAAAUUAAAAAUUCAUGUAGUAAUCCCGCACGUACUAAAAAGUUCGGAUGAUAUUUAUGUAAAUUCCCCUUUAGGGUAAAUAGAGAUAGCUUGUAAAAGCUUCCACUUCUAAAAAAUAAGUCCGGAUCCAAAUUGUUCUUGAAUGUCUUUACCUAAGUUUGUCUCUUAGCUUAGAGGAUGUAUAUAAAAGACUUAAAAGAGUUAGUCUUGAAAAGAUAUUUUCAUGCUUUCUCAAUAAGUCUCAACAAUCGUGCCAAAAAUUAAUUAAGAGUUAGGCGAGAGAUCAAUUUCUUGUGUUGCAUGCAAAUGUGUCUUAUGGUUGCCUGAAUUUCUUGUGGGGGAGCUGGGAGGAGAAGGGGAUGGAGAGAAAGAGAAGGAGGGGGGGGGGGGGGGGUUGUUAUUUAUUAUAAAGAUUUUUUUAAUGUUAAUUUAUUUUAUUAUAUAAUUAAUUUAUUAUUUUUUUAAAGAAACAGCGGGUCCUACAGUAGACACGUUAUCAAUUAAAUCAAAUAGUCAACUUAAUAGAAAGUUUAAAUUGGUCAAAUUUGAAAAUCAUCAAGUGUAAAUUGAUGAAAUUGGAAUUCGAGAGCCUAUGUUCAGAAUGAUCCUAAAUCUUCAGGAAGUCUUUUGACGUUAGUCCUAAUAUAUAUUUGUAAUUCCAUGAGUGUUUCAUGUUGCAUGUUCUGCGGGUCCUUUUCAAAUAAAUCAGCCAUGUGCACAAGAGUGAAUUUAGCUGAAGACAUGUCAUGUCUUCUGUUCAUAAAAAAACAACAAAGAAGGUUACUAGCAUUCCUUAUAUAUAUAUGUGUGUACUUUUUGUUUUUGGGUGAGAAAAGUCCCUUCGAGUGGACAGGAAAUUGUACUUUUUUUGUCUUUUCGCAUUUUUUUUUUCAUGUUAGAGUAGUUUGGGACCAUCCUCGUUCAAAGGAGACAUGUGCAGUUGCAAAAGACCAUCGUGCAUGUUUAUGGGAAAAAACAAAACCUCUAGCCCACUUGGCUAUAAAUUAUUGUAUGUAUGUUGUUUACACCAUAAUGAACCGAGCAGACCCAGCAUCAAAGCGACUAGCACCAAGGCAGCCACGCCUUCUCCCAUGCCGAAGGAAGACACACUUCCGAGGUGCCUGACACCUGCCGAAGCUCUCAGCUGCCAAACCUAAUCUCCAGGACACGUGUCGCCACCACAACGGCUUGCACAAAGUCCCACAUUGGAACUUUGUGCAAAGCUCCCACUUUCACUUCCCUAUAAAUAGGGAACAGUACCAAGGUACAAAAAACGACUAUUCUCCCACUUUUACUGUUACUCUGCCAGAAUUACUACUUGUAACUGACUUAGGCAUCGGAGAGCCUUCGGCCAGCACCACACCGGUGUCCGAAGCUUAAUGAUUGCUUCUCCUCUUUUACCUUCUACAGGUCUCUCACCAACCCAUUUCACCAAGGGCCUCAGCCUUCUUCUCUGCUGAAGACUCAGCACAUCUAAUCACUAAGUUGGACUCAAUAUUGGCCGGGCCAUUUUGAGCAUCAACAGUUUGGCGCCGUCUGUGGGAACUCGACACUUGAAUCCCCUCUUUCUCUAUCAGCCCAGCUGGCUCCUUCACCCCUCAGGCCCCGUCGCCUCUUCUUCACCCCACAUUCUGCUAUGCCGACCGAGGAUAGCCGCGACACCCAGCACCAUACCCCCCGCGAUGGUACUUCUAGAAGGAAAUCUUAGGAAGAUGCCACUCUCCAGGCAGAAGUGGAGCGCCUCCGCGACAGUGUCACUAAAAUGUCGGAAAAAAACGAGCACCUUCAUUGCAAGAACAUUGAGCUAGAACAUGACUACCGUGUUUUAAAGCGGAACUGGGAAAGGACUCACACCCAGGAUGCCCAGCAAGACCUCACCCAGAACGUUGGGCCUACUCAGCCGAACCAGCCGGUACACUCCAGCCACAGUGCCUCGGCCCAAGCUAGGCUCCGCAAAGGUAAAGACCACCUUCAUCCGGAGAUAACCCAGUCGCGACCCCUUUGCGUUCCCCCACCGAGGGACCGGCCCCAUGAACCAGUCAGGAUCUACCAAGAUUGCAGGGAUCGCCUCUCGGACCGUCAGCCGAGGCCGGUCCCUAUCCCUGUCAACCUCGAAGACCCACGGGUGACACACCUGGGCCUCUCGCCAGCCCCCGUCCGCAUACCCGACGAGGAAGGUGUCGGGGACUCGGAUACUUGGGACUUUUAUAAUUCGGAGACCCAGCCAAAUUACCACACCGGGGCGCUGGAAAAUUGGGAACAAUCCCCAGUCCCUGUCUGCCCCGCCCCUAGGCCUUUGGCGCCUGAAACUCUUCCUCAUGCCGACCCGGCCAUGAGGUUUCUCUUUGAAAAGGUCCGGCGCCUGGAAAGCGAACAACAUCGCAGCCCAUCAACUCCUUCUGGGCUAACCACGACCAGGGCCCUUUACCGNNNNNNNNNNNNNNNNNNNNNNNNNNNNNNNNNNNNNNNNNNNNNNNNNNNNNNNNNNNNNNNNNNNNNNNNNNNNNNNNNNNNNNNNNNNNNNNNNNNNNNNNNNNNNNNNNNNNNNNNNNNNNNNNNNNNNNNNNNNNNNNNNNNNNNNNNNNNNNNNNNNNNNNNNNNNNNNNNNNNNNNNNNNNNNNNNNNNNNNNNNNNNNNNNNNNNNNNNNNNNNNNNNNNNNNNNNNNNNNNNNNNNNNNNNNNNNNNNNNNNNNNNNNNNNNNNNNNNNNNNNNNNNNNNNNNNNNNNNNNNNNNNNNNNNNNNNNNNNNNNNNNNNNNNNNNNNNNNNNNNNNNNNNNNNNNNNNNNNNNNNNNNNNNNNNNNNNNNNNNNNNNNNNNNNNNNNNNNNNNNNNNNNNNNNNNNNNNNNNNNNNNNNNNNNNNNNNNNNNNNNNNNNNNNNNNNNNNNNNNNNNNNNNGCAGAGCUGAUGAAGCAGCAGCAGUCCAUGCUAAGGCCGAAUACUUCAAUACCAAGCGGUGGCCCAGCUAACCUGAUGCGCAACGCUUUCGCUGAUCCUCCACUUGCUUCAGCACCGCCCCAGCCCCACUCAGCAUUCUACCCUGCCCCGAGUACUCAGGACAACCAACAACAUAAGCGGAAGGAUAGCUACCAGCAUCCCUUUCGGUAAUAACAAACGUGGCAGACAUGGCAACCACCACCAUUCUAGCGGAGGCAACCCGCCUAGGCCUGCUGAUCGGGCCCCACUUCCAUUCGCACCCAAGCCCAGGUUCGAGGUAUUUACCACCCUCAACACCACCUAUGAGAACGUCCUGGUGCGUGAAGCCCCCAUCAUCCCCAAGCCACCCCCCCGGAGACCAUCCAGCAAGCCAAUGCCAAACACGGGGGUCUUCUGCCGCUUUCAUCAAUUCAGCGGCCAUGACACCGAGUCUUGUGUUGCGUUGCGCAACAUAAUUGAAGGGCUCAUCCGGGAGGGUAAGCUGGACAACUAUGUGCGCAACAUACCAGCCCCGCCUAACCCUCACCAACGACAAAUCAACAUGAUCUCCACCAUCAGCGGAGGUCCUACCCUGGCUGGCACCUCCAACAAUUCCAUCAAACAUUAUGUCCGCUCCACCUAUGCGCACCAGGUCUUCACCACCGAGCAGGGACGAUUGCCAAAGACCCACAGGACUGGCUGGGCCCCCAUUACCUUCUGCGAGGAGGAGGAGCGUGGUGUUAUCCUCCCCCAUGACGAUCCACUCAUUAUCCGGGCUGACAUUUCUAACUUCGACGUUGGGCGUAUCCUGGUGGACACUGGCAGCUCGGUCAGUGUGAUGUUUGCCGAGUGCUUCAAUGAACUCCAGGUCCCGCCUCACCUACUCGACCGAAGCAUCACACCCCUUGUGAGCUUCUCGGGUGAUGUGGUCCAGCCCAUUGGCAGCAUUCAUCUCCCUAUCUCAAUUGGGGCCGCACCCCAGCGGACGACAAUCACUACCCCCUUCCUUAUCGUCGAUUGCCCCACAGCCUACAACGUCAUCCUCGGCUGCCCAGCCCUGGCCCAAAUGAGAGCUUUUAUUUCCACGCAUAUGCUACUGUUGAAGUUCCCCACUCCUAAUGGCCCAGGCACGGUGCGCGGCGACCAACUCGGGGCCCGAAGCUGCUAUGCUUCAGCAGUAAAAUCCACCAAUCGCCAACCUAGGAGCGAGGCCCUUUCGGUAACCAUGGCUCCCGCCCCUCCUCAAGCUGGCACAGACCCACCUGAAGACCCAAGGGAGGAGUCCAUCGCACCGCAGGCCGAACCUAUGGAGGACCUGGAGCUGGUUACCCUCCAUGACGAUAUCCCGGAUCGACAAGUCCGGAUCGGCACCUCCAUCUCGCCAGAGCUUCGCUCUGACCUGGUCGCCUUCCUCCGCCUCAACUCCGAAGUCUUCGCUUGGUCCUACAAUGACAUGCCGGGCAUCUCACCAGACAUCAUAUCUCAUAGGCUUAGCGUCAAUCCUGCCGUCAGACCAGUCCGAUAGAAGCGUCGCGCUUAUGAUCCCGAGCGCUAUGAGGCCAUGAGGGCGGAGGUGGAACGAUUGAGUAGCAUCGGAUUCAUCAGGGAGGUUGACUAUCCUACAUGGCUGGCUAAUGUCGUGAUGGUCCGCAAACCAAGAAAGGGCUGGCGCAUGUGUGUCGACUACACCAACCUUAAUCGGGCUUGCCCAAAGGACAGCUUCCCGCUACCCCGCAUUGACCAGCUAGUCGACGCCACAGCCGGCCACGCCCUCCUUAGCUUCAUGGAUGCUUAUUCAGGUUACAACCAGAUCUUCAUGCACCCCGAAGAUCAGGCCCACACCUCUUUCAUUACGGACCGCGGCCUCUACUGCUAUAAGGUGAUGCCCUUCGGCCUCAAAAACGCCGGGGCUACUUAUCAGCGUCUGGUGAAUCAGCUCUUUGCCCCCCUGAUUGGCAAUACCAUGGAAGUCUAUGUCGAUGACAUGCUAGUCAAGAGUCGCACGGCUGACCAGCACAUCCCCAACCUCUCUGCCAUGUUCACCAUCUUGAAGCAAUACAAAAUGAGGCUUAACCCCACCAAAUGUGCAUUCGGGGUGGCUUCCGGAAAAUUCCUUGGCUUCAUGAUAAGCCAGAGAGGCAUUGAGGCCAGUCCAGAAAAGAUCCAGGCCAUCUUAGAUAUGACAAUACCUAAGACGGUCAAGGAUAUCCAAAGCCUUACAGGGCGUGUCGCAGCCCUGACCAGAUUUAUCUCCAAAGCCACUGACCGCUGCGCCCCAUUCUUCAAGGCCCUUAAAGGCACCAAAAGAAACAUCACCUGGACUGCUGAAUGUGACACGGCUUUCAGCGAGCUGAAGGAGUAUAUGGGCCGGGCCCCUUUAUUGUCAACCCCUGAGCACGGAGACAUCCUCGUGAUUUAUCUCUCCAUCUCAGCUUCGGCUGUUAGCUCUGUGCUCAUCCGAUCAAAAGAUCACGCGGAGCACCCAGUGCAUUAUGUUAGUAAAGCAUUGCAGGAUGCCGAAGUUCGUUACCCGGACAUCGAAAAAUUGGCGUUCGCCCUGGUCGUCUCGGCAAGACGCCUCCGACCAUAUUUCCAAGCUCACACCAUCCAUGUCUUAACCAACCAACCACUCCGACAGGUGUUGCAGAACCCAGAAACUUCUGGGAGGCUGGUCAAAUGGGCCAUUGAACUGGGCGAGUUUGAUCUUCAUUACAAACCCCGCCCGGCUAUGAGGGGUCAGGCCGUUGCUGACUUCCUAUCCGAAUUCACGGAUCCCCAAGCUUCCGCAGCUACCCAGCUCAUAACCGAACCCAAUCCCCCUUCCAGCCAGGACCAAACCCCCACCGAAGGCAAUCUCGACCUAACCCAGCCCCUGUGGACCUUAUUCGUAGACGGCUCUUCUAAUGCCCAGGGCUGUGGGGCCGGCCUCGUUCUCAUCUCCCCAGACAAGGUUGCCCUCGAGUACGCCCUUCGCUUCAAAUUCCAAGCCUCCAACAAUGAGGCCGAAUACGAAGCACUCAUAGCUGGUCUUCGAUUAGCCAAAGAGAUGGAUGCCAGGCAAAUUCAGAUAUUUAGCGAUUCACAACUCGUGGUCCACCAGGUCAACCAGGACUUCACGGCUAAGGAUCCCUCUAUGACGGCCUACCUCCAGCACGCUCGGCACCUGCUGGCGACUUUCCACGCCCACUCUCUCAAGCAAGUGCCGCGCUCCGAGAAUAGCCAUGCCGAUGCACUAGCCAGGUUGGCAUCAGCCUUGGAGCAGGGACUGGGUCGCCACAUCCACAUCGAGUUUUUGGCCCAGCCCAGCACACAAGCCCCACUCAUCUGCACUAUUGAUCACAGCCCCACAUGGAUGGACCCCAUCCUCCAGUUCUUACAGAACCAAACACUACCAGCUAAUCCGGCAGAAGCACGACGCGUACGCCAUCGCUCUGCCCGUUACCUGAUCAUUAACGGCUCCUUAUACAAGCGGGGUUUCAGUCUCCCAUACCUCCGAUGCCUGACUCCAGAGGAGGGUCACUAUGUCCUCCGAGAAAUCCAUGAAGGCAUCUGCGGCAACCACUCGGGCGCACGCUCGCUAGCCCAUAAGGCAAUCCGCCAAGGAUACUUCUGGCCUUCACUCCACACUGACGCCCAGGCCUUCACCCAGAAAUACGACAAGUGUCAGCGAUUCGCCAACAUCCCACAACUCCCGGCUGAACCGUUGACUGCAAUGGUCAGCCCUUGGCCAUUUGCCCAAUGGGGACUGGAUCUCAUUGGACCGAUGCCAGAGGGCAAGGGCCAAGUCAGGUAUGCAGUUGUGGCCGUGGACUACUUCACCAAGUGGGCUGAGGCCGAGGCCUUGGCCACCAUCACUGCGGCUCGCAUCGAAUCCUUUGUGUGGCAAAACAUUGUAUGUCGCUUCGGCAUCCCCAACUCCAUCGUCACCGACAAUGGCCGGCAAUUUGACAACGCCAAAUUCAAACAAUUUUGUUCCAACCUCAAGAUUCGUCUGUGUUUCGCCUCCCCAGCCCAUCCACAGUCCAAUGGCCAGGUCGAAGCCGUGAACAAAAUCAUCAAGAAGACCCUCAAGACAAAACUUGACAAAGCCAAGGGCUGCUGGCCAGAACUACUCCCAGAAGUACUCUGGUCCUACCGCACCACCUUCCGCACAUCCACGGGUGAAACGCCGUUCUCCCUAUCAUUUGGAACCGAGGCCGUGGCUCCGGUAGAGAUUGGCCAGCCCACAUACCGAACCUCCACUUACGAUGCCACGGCCAAUGACGAGCAGUUGGCCCUCAACCUCGACUUCAUUGACGAACUCCGGGACCAAUCGAACAUGCGCAAUGCCGCGUACAAGCAACGCAUCGCCAAAUACUAUGACUCCCGAGUCAAGCCCCGUGCUUUCAAAAUGGGGGACUGGGUCAUGCGCAAGGUUUCCUUGGCUACCAAAAAUCCUAACGAAGGUACCCUCGGCCCUACAUGGGAAGGUCCUUACGAGAUUAUCAAAAUCUGCCGCCCCGGCACUUAUCAGCUUCGUGAUUCCACAGGCAAGACGCUGCCUCACCCGUGGAAUGCUGACCACCUCAAGUACUAUUACAAGUAAACAUAUCUAGACCCUAGGACAAUACUUUGGUCUUGAUUAUUUACUAUAAGUUAGACGUAAGGUAUCUAGACCCUAGACCACUUGUACCUUCUGCCUUUCGGCAUCUAUUUCAAUAAAAUGCCUGACUCAGGCUCAUUCUCAUGAACUCACAUUGUUAUCAUUUUUAACACAAUUGAUAUCAAGCUAAGUUCAUAUCAUAAAUAAAAACAGCCUUGCUCCAGGCAAGGACAAAUGUUCAUACAUAACCACAGUAAACAAAACACAAUCACUAGAGUACAAAAUACAAAAUAGCUAUAACACAUCACGAAGGCAACGCCUUCAGGACUCGGUCGAAGGGGCAUCCUCAGUGGCUGGCUCAGCCUCUGGUGUCGGGGCGCUAGCAUCAGCAGGAGGGGUCUGUGCAGGAGGCUCGCCACUGGUGUCAAAGUUAAUCUCCAGUGAGGGGUUGAACCUAACCAACCUAUCUUCCCAGCGAAGCUGCUCAUCAACCAGUCGGUCCAUGAUAUAGCUCUUCAGCUCCUCUGAGGAUCGGAAGGACUCAAUCGCCUCGGCUCGGGCAGCAGCCACCUCCUCGGCCCUAGAUCUCUUCAGCUCCUCCACCUCCUUGGCCAGGGCCGCCUUUUGAACCAGCAAGGUGUUCUUCUCUCGGAUGGCCUCCUGCGCCUCCGCCAUUUUGCUCUUGGCUAGCUCAUCCCGCCUCUUCAACCUCUGGAUCUCCUUGUCAGCCUUGGCCAUGCUGACGUACAUCUCGCCAAAGGCCUGCAAAACCAAAACCAUGUUAGUCAAUCCACACAAAAAUAAUCCAACACAGGUACAUUCAAAAAGGGCCUAAACACUUACAUAGGCAGAGGUGAGGAUCGUCUUUUGGGCCCGGUCAAUGAAGGAAGAAGCUGGAGUCCUCGCCAAGGCCUCAGGGUCGCUCUUCACGCCUUCCAGGAAGACGUUCACUAAGGGCACCUCCUGCCGGUGCAUAGCCAGGUUGACCUCCUUCUUCUGCUGGCGUAGCCUGCCGAAGUCUACCUUCUCUACCCCUUCAGCGAACACAUCCUCCAUGCCGAAGGGUAGCUUCGGCGGUGCCUGCAGAUCAAAGGGCGGAAGCCUCGGCCCUGCCCCCAUCACAUGCUAAUGAGCCUCCUCCAAAGCCUUCCUCUUCCCCAGCACGUCCGCGACCCGACCCUCAUCAUCAUCCCUGGGUCGUUUUCCAGCACUCUUCUCAGCUUUCUUGGCCCGAGACUCCCUCAGCCGCUUCUGCAUCUCGGCCUCAUCAAUGUCUACGGCCACCUUCGUGCUCCCCCUUAUGAUGCCAGCCACUGUCAAAACAAACAAAGCAAUUCUAUUACUCAAACUUACAAAGGCUCAGUACAAAACAAAAAGAUAACCCAGGUACUUACUUCCUUGCAGCAGUCCGGACUCAAACAAAUUCUUCUGCGUGACUAGGUUCCCGCACUCACGCUCAGUCUCUGAUAGCUGCGCCCUCACCCACUCAACUUCGUCUUCUUGCUCCUUGGAGAUAGGGCCCCACUUCACUGAACCUGCAUCAAGGGUUAGAAACUACUUAGCCAUUUACACUGGCACAAAGGAAGUACAGAACAAAAAAUAGGAGCCAAAACAACACAAUCAGGCAUUGGACAAUCUUAAGGGAUGGGGCAAGGACCUAUAGACUGGAAGUGGGUAGGAAUGUGCUGGACAACGCUCUUCCCUAGAGGACAUUCCCAGUCCCCAUAGGCCAAGCACCACCUGUUCCUCCAGGACUUUUGCGUUGUGGGCUUGUGUCCAAUAAAAUAGCCCCUCUCCUUCGCCUUUCGGCAAUUGGCCUGUACCCAGCCAAAAUUCCCCUGUUGCUUCGAAAUGGAGUACAGGUACAUGAACUGCUCAAACGUUGGCUCCCCUAACCCAGCCAACCACCAGGCGAUAUACACCCCAUGAAGAAGAAUCCAAAAGUUGGGAUUAUACUGCCCCGGUGCAUACCCCAACUUGGCCAACAUCAUCUGAACCCACGGAUGAAACGGCAGUCUGAAGCCGUGCCGAUACAUAUCUGUAAAAAUCAUCACGGAGCCAUCUGAAGGAUAUCUGACUACAUCGGCCUCAGUGGGUAACCUCAAGCCCACAUAGGCUGGCACACAAAAAUCCGUUCGUAGCUGGGCCAAUUUCGCUUCUGUAAGUGUAUUCCGCCUUGGCAACGGGACACCAACCCGGAUGUCUAAUCCCUAUGACACCGAAGCCACGGCUAUACCCACAGACCCUGAUGGUGAUGCCUGGUUGCUCGAACCCACUUCUUGCGUCUGAGGCAAGGCUAGAACCCGAUUUGCUAUAGCCUCUAACUCUAUAUAAUUUCUCUGCAUCUCCCUAUAUGCAGCCGACCCAGAGUCUCCCGAUGGCUCAGCCCUCUCACCCCCAGGCCAUAUCAUCCUACUUUCUAUGGUUCCUUCCACCAUACCCUCUGUCUCUGAACUUUCCUCUUCAGAACAUAUAUAUUGACUCGGCUCUUGACUCUCAGUAUCAUCCCCGCCGAAGGCAGGGGGGUCAAGACUUUCCCUAUCAGAACUUUCAGACAUCUACAAAUAUGGAAAAACAAGAAAAAGGAACUAAAUGCACAUGCAGAGAGGAUCGAACCACAACAACAAGAAUUUGCCAAAUCUUCAUACCAGGCAAGAAUUCUACAUGUUCAUACAUAUGUUCAACAUGUUCAUCAUGUUCAUGCUCAUGUUCAAUGUGUUCUUCCUAACCUUCAACAUGUUCAUGCAAAACAAGACAUUUCAAUUCAAAAGUUCAAGCGAAAUAAGGUCUAACCUUGUUCGUACCACCACGUACAAGUCGCCGGAAAUCACCUCAGCCACAAGCACCACCACAAAACCUUCGCCGGAAAUCUCUUCUCCUCCUCCUCAAAUUCUCACAAUUUUUCUCAACUCAAGCCAAGUGUGAUGCCUUCACCACCCAAGUUCCUUUAAAUAGCCAACUAAGGGUACCACGCCUCGUUUCACGGGCAAACCCUAGCACCCUUUCAUAUUCCCUCCUAAAUCCCUUGUACCUACACACAAUUUGAAAUUCAAUUUUCAAAUAUACAAGCAAGAAACAAAAACAAUUGUGAGAAAUUUAGGGACCUUGCCGAACGGCAAGGCCCGUGCAAAAACAAAAUGGAGCCCCAAAAUUUCAAGUGUCCUAGCCUAUUUCAUAAGCCCAAUCUUAUUACAGGGCUAGGGCCCAAAAUUGUCCAAGGCCAAGACCCAAAUUUGAUCAACACAACGGUCCAAAUAAAAACCUGCUCAAGACACCCUUGCCGAACGGCAAGGGCUAUGCAUGCAUCAAAAAGGGGGCAAAAGGAGACCAUACCGAAGCACACCACCCAGCUGCUGCGCCGAGGACCUCCUGGGCUUGCCAAAACCGCCUGCCGCAGGACUCCCAAAUCGCUGCCAAGUCCCCUGCCGAGUGGUAAGACACGUCCGCCGCUCCAAAUUGCUCAGCAGCUCCUUUGAUCUCGGCAGCUCCACCUCACGCGGCUAGACCAAUUGCCGAAGCCUACCUCACGCGGAUCCGCACCUGGCCCUGCUCAAAGUCCAGCCCACUUGCCGAAGUACCAGCCGCCUUACUCGACCUCUGACCAGCAGCUCCGUGGCCACGACCUGCCGAGCGGCAAGGGCCAGCCACUCGGAUGUGCUCCCAAUCACUCGUGGUUCACCUUGCCGAAGCUGCACAGCCCAGCUUCCCUUGCCGAAACACCACACAACUCGACAACCACCCAAUCACCCUUGCCGAACGGCAAGGGUCUUCCAAAUCCAAUUCUCCAUCCCUGCUGCAGCCUUGCCGAAGCCGAUAUUGCCAAAGCUGCCCAGCCCCUCCUUGCAGAACGGCACCCUCCACCCGUGCUCUUUGCCAAACCGUGAGCUACCCCACCCUAGCUCCAAGUUGCCGAACGGCACCUUCCACCCAUGCUCUUUGCCAACCCGUGAGCUACCCUCAACCCUAGCUCCAAAUUGCCGAACGGCACACUAGCAAACCCCAAUACCAAAAUCUACCAAACUGCCGAAUGAAGCCUUGCCGAACGGCAUGAUGCAUCAUCUCGUUUUUAUACCCCCCUCCUCCAACAACCCUAGCCCUUCUUAAUUGCCAAAGCCCAACUCGGGCCCAACUCUUGCCAAUUGUCGAAGGCCCAAUUCAAGCUAGGCCUUCAAGCCCUCUCAAUAUGACCUAGCUCCCAAGUUCAAAACAAAAAAAUAUAUAUUUUGCUAGACCCUUGCCGAACGGCAAGGGCCAUGGAAGCUUUGUGGGGAGGUCCAAAAAUCCCAAAUGGCCCGGCCAUUCCCAAAAAAAAAAAAAAAAAAAAAAAGGAGCUAGACCCUUGCCGCACGGCAGGAGCCAUGAAAGAAUUGGAGUCUCCAAAAUUUUCAAAGUACCCGGCUCCCUCGAAGGUCUGGCUCCUCUAGGGACCCAGCUCCCAUCCUAUCUGCAACAUGCCCAAGUACCCAGGUACCCAGCUACCAUGUGUUGACGCAACUCCUAGCUUGCCAACUUGGGGGACUAGGGAGUGCCCUGCGGCUCCCAAUGAAGCUGGAAUGCUCGGUUACAAUUACAAAAACUCACAAGUUCCCAACCCAGAAGUUACUUCUCGACCGCGAACUUGGGGGACUACUGUUUACACCAUAAUGAACCGAGCAGACCCAGCAUCAAAGCGACUAGCACCAAGGCAGCCACGCCUUCUCCCAUGCCGAAGGAAGACACACUUCCGAGGUGCCAGACACCUGCCGAAGCUCUCAGCUGCCAAACCUAAUCUCCAGGACACGUGUCGCCACCACAACGGCUUGCACAAAGUCCCACAUUGGAACUUUGUGCAAAGCUCCCACUUUCACUUCCCUAUAAAUAGGGAACAGUACCAAGGUACAAAAAACGACUAUUCUCCCACUUUUACUGUUACUAUGCCAGAAUUACUACUUGUAACUGACUUAGGCAUCGGAGAGCCUUCGGCCAGCACCACACCGGUGUCCGAAGCUUAACGAUUGCUUCUCCUCUUUUACCUUCUACAGGUCUCUCACCAACCCAUUUCACCAAGGGCCUCAGCCUUCUUCUCUGCUGAAGACUCAGCACAUCUAAUCACUAAGUUUGACUCAAUAUUGGCCGGGCCAUUUUGAGCAUCAACAUAUGUCAUUUACCUUCUUCUUCUUCUUUUUUUUUUGUUUUUUUUUUCUGCAUGUCAUUUACUAUUUUACGUGAUAUGUGCAUCUGUGAGAAUGAUAGCUCCCAAACGCUAGGCACCACGAGUGAUAAACUAUUUUGAUUAUAGAAUUUAAAAUUAAAUGAUUUUAACUAUGUGGAAUUUUUUAGACCAAAACUUGAUUUAUUCAAAUGAUAAUAGUUGAAUUUAACAACUUUUGUGCAAUUAGAACCAGAGAGAAUGGAUUUCUUGAGUUUUUGUAUCGUCCUGCUAAACCUUUUCUUUGUGUUGUUGUUCUCAAUUAUUCAAGCUCUGCAAAGCAAAGCCAAUCCCAAAAGGCAUCUUCUCCCACCUAGACCAAAGCCAUGUCCCUUCAUUGGCAAUCUUCUAGAGCUUGGCAACAAACCCCAUCUCUCUCUCACCAAGCUUUCUCAAAUCUAUGGCCCCAUUAUAACUCUGCAACUCGGCCAAUAUUCAUAUUGGGGAUUUCCCAUCCCCACCUUCAAUGGGGAAUGGGUUCCCCGUCUAGCCCUACCUUUUGGGAUUGGCCUUGCUUUGCAGAGCUUGAUAAUUGAGAACAACAACACAAAAAAAGAUGGCAUCAGGUAUGUCAGAAGUCGUAUACUCAAGAAAGAUGGCACCAGGUAUGUCUUUACGUAUUUCAAAUUGUGUGAAAGAUUUUGAACAUGUAUAUUAAAGAAAUCUAACAGUUGGUAUCAGAGCCAGGUUGUUCGCACACACUAAAAUCGUUUUUGAAGCAUGCCUAUUAUGAUUUCUUAUCUGUUUUAUGCCAUGAUGAGUUUUUGGUGAUGUUCAAAAUUUGAAGAUGGAUUAAACAUGUUUUCUAAAUAUCAAGAAUAUUAAAGAAUCUGAAAAAGCAUGUUUUAAUUUGAUUUUCAUAUCUUCAAAACUUUAAACAUGUUUUUGACCUACCCGAUUCAGAAAGGUAUUUUGCGUAAAAAACAGACACCAAAAACGUCUAAAACACUGUUCAUUGCAAAAAUUACUAUUCACUGCAAUUUAGGGUUUUCUCUCUUGAACUGUGUUUGUUUCGUUAUUUUAUGAGCUAGAUAGGUGCUUGUCUUUGUUCUGAGAAUCAACAAAUUUUUCAUAAUAAAACCAAACCUAAAUACUCAAACCCUAAAGAAAUAACAAAAAUUGCAUCAUACCUAAAUUACUUGAUAAGUUUCUUCAACAAAUAGAAUCUAUCCUGUAAUUUAUUUUGCCACAAAGGUGUGAUACUUAAUUAAGGAAGCUUGCAUAUGUUACUUGCAUAUGUUAUUUGUUAGUUUUGUGAAUAAAGUGAAACGGAAAAACUAUUUUCUCUUAAGAAAUUGAGAAUUGGUGUCUUGGAAAGUAAUUAUGUCUUUUUUUUUUUUUUUUACAAAUCCUUACAGCUUUGAACACUCCCUCAAUCAAUUUCUCGCAAAUUGAAAGAUUCACUGGAUCAAACUUCAAAACAUGGACGUAUGAUUUUAAAGUUAUUCUCGGAAUGAAUGAGAUCGUUUAUGAUCUCACUCAUGAUUAUAUUUAAUUCAAGCUAGCCAUUUCACUUAUGUAUCUUGUAGUACAACUCCUAGAGUUUAGGGAAAAGAAAAAGCAUAUGGUGGUUAAUAGGAACCACUCGUGUCAACUAGUCACAAAUGGAAUUCUAGUAAAGAAUACAGUGGAGCUAAUUAAGAAGCGAAACGAAGAUGAGCUAGAGCAAAAAAGGGUUAAGAUGCAACGACGUCGUUGACCUUAUGGAGGACCCAUAAGGAUAUACAUGGCCACAAAGGACGGUCUCAGAAGUCUCAGGAUCACUGUAAAGCUCAGUGUAUUCGCUUAUGGGAGAGGACGAAACAUCAAUAAGCUAAUUCGAUGAAAAAAUCUCUUAGUGCAGUUUGUGAAACAUACGCCCCAAAUUGAAUCACCUGUUGAGAUUUUCGAUACCUCCACUAAUAGGGAGAUAGUGGUACUUAACCCGUUCCUUGCUAGGGAGAACAACACUUUCAUGGCAGCAUGUUGUGACAAGGAGGAUUAGAUAGCUACCUGUUGUUUUCAUUAAAUAUUAUUGGAAUAUUUAAUUUUAAGUUGGAUUCAGGAUUUAUUUUAAAGUAGGAUGAUGUAUUUUCAUUACCCUAAAUAAAGAGAAAUUUAAUUUCUAUUUCAAGAUUAUUAAGACUUUCUUUUAUUUUGGAUUCAAUAAAGAUGUUUUUGUAUCUCAGAAUUCAAAGACAAUAAAGGUGGAUUAUAUUGUCUCAAUUACAAUAAAUCUUUUUGAUCUCAACAAACGGGUGUUCACUAUUAAAAAGAAUGGUGCACUCGUCCACAAAUACUACAGCCAGCUGCAGCACAUCUUUCAGGAAAUUGAUCAUCGCACUCCCAAUCGCAUGCACUGUGGCGCCAAUGUGACUGAGCGCCAGAUAGAAUUAGAUCGUCUUCGUGUUCACCUUUUUCUUGCCGGGCUUGACCUUGAGUUUGAUCAAGUCCGGGGGGAAAUCCUACACAAAGAUCCUAAAAGGGACCUUGACCAAACCUUUGCAUAUGUACGUCGCGAAGCUCAACAAGGACUGACCAUGCUAGUGCUCCAAAAACCGCUGUCAUGGUCACUCAACGUCAACGGGGCCCUCAGAUCUGUACUGGUGGCUCUUCUCAUACUAAGGUCAUAGGCACCCGUCUGGAGCAUAAAUGUACUUACUGUGGUGGAUGUAAACAUACCCAUGCUGGCUAUUACAAAUUGAUUGGGUACCCGGAUUUGUGAGCCCACUCCAAAGCUCCCAGCAAGAAUAGGAGCAAAUCACCCCAACACAUCUUAUGACUCAGAUCCUGUAAGUCCUGCUGUUUCAACUACAUCGGUUCCCGCCUUUGCAUCUGUAGCCAUAAUAGGUACCCAAGGUUAUGUUUUACAUAGUUCUUCAAAGAAACACACAUAGAUCAUUGACACCGGAGCCACUGAUCAUAUGACCUUUGAUCCUAGACAAAUUGCCUCUCAUACACCGUCUCAUCAAUCAGUGGUGUCUAAUGCCAAUGGUACCCCAUCCUCCGUAAUUAGGGAGGGUUCACUCUCUCUCUCUCUCUCUCUCUAACUCCCUCAAUUUGGAUUCUGUGUUGGUUGUUCCAUCCUUACAUCAUAAUCUCUUGUCUGUUGCCCAAAUUACUAAGGCUUUGAAUUGCACUGUAACCUUUUGGCCUACUCAUUGUGGUUUUUAGGACAUUCUCAGCAGCAAGACAAUGGGUUGUAGUACUAGGAGGGGCAAACUUUACUACUUGGACUUAGCAUCUGACAGUGAAGCACAUUAACGAAGUAUGGUUAUGGUAUCGACGUCUUGGACAUGCUUCGUUUGGAUAUUUACAGAAGCUAUUUCCUUCCUUAUUUUCCAAUUUAAAUAUUUUCAAUUUGAAGUGUGACAUUUGUGAAUUGGCCAAGAGCCAUCGUGUUCCUUUUCCCUUACGUUCAAAUAAAAGUUUAGUUCCAUUUUCUCUUGUUCAUUCUAAUGUUUGGGGCCUUGCUAAAGUUACCACUCCAGGGGGAGCUCAAUGGUUUGUCAUGUUUAUAGAUGAUUGCACCCGCAUGACCUGGGUUUCCCUUCUCAAAACAAAAGAGGAAGUCAGUUCCAAGUUUUAAUAGUUCUAUCAAAUGGUGGAGACUCAGUUUCAUGCCAGAAUUCAGAUUCUUCGUUCUGACAAUGACGGAGAAUUUCUCGACCAUGAUCUUAACAAGUUCUUACAAGAUCACGGCAUCAUACAUCAACGCUCAUGCCUCUACACUCCCCAAAAAAAUGGAGUCCCUGAAAGAAAGAACAUACAUUUAUUGAAAGUAGUUCCUGCCUCUCUCUUUGGUGCCAAUAGGCCUCGAUCUUUUUGAGGAGAAGCCGUCGUCUUUACAGCAUACCUCAUCAAUCGGAUUCCUUCCAGUAUCCUAAAUUUCCAAACACCAUUUCAAACGCUUCACCAUCAUAUCCAAAUACCUCAUAUCCCAAACCUAGAACCCCGUUUUUUCGGAUGUGUUGUAUUUGUCCACUUACAUGAUCACCAACGAAGCAAAUUGGAUCCCCGAGUCGAGAAAUGUGUUUUCAUUGGCUAUGCACCUCAUCAGAAAGGAUACUGGUGUUAUCAUCCUCCUAGUCAGAAGGUCUACAAUUCCAUGAAUGUUGUGUUCUGGGAACAUGACUUAUAUUUUUCAGCAGUACAUGAGGAGAAUCAAGAAUCCACCACUCCUCAAAUUCUCAAUUUUUUCCCCCAAGAUGUCACUCUGCUUCAAAACGACCGGUCGCUAGUGGAAAGCGACCGGUCGCCCCCACUUAGGUCUUCAAACAUGGAGAACUUGCUUCCAAACAACCAGUGGCCAGAAGACAACAAAUGGUCGCCAGAGGAAAAUUAUCAGUUGCCUCUACGCUGUCAAAAUCAAAAGGAGGAAAUUGAUCCGUUUUAUGAGAUUUUGCCCGCUUUAGCUCCAGUACCACACCAAUCACCAGCUGAGGAAGUCAUUUAGGUAACAUCUUUUCUUGAAACUGAUAACACUAAUAAAAUAUCCCAUGAUGAUUUGAUUUCAGAAGGCAUAUAGCCUACAUGUCAGCUUCCAAAAAGGAAGAACCGUGGUAAACCUCGAGUACAAUAUGAAGCAAAUCUUAAAGCCAAAGAAAAAUACCCCAUCACUGAUUAUAUAUCUCGCAGUAGAUUAUCAGAGUCACGUGUGCACUAUGUAAAGCAGUUAGCUGACAUAUCUGUCCCCAACAGUGUGACUGAAGCAAUAGAAGACUCAAAAUAAAAAAAAGUCAUGAAUGAAGAAAUGCGAGCUCUCCAAUAGAAUGUCACAUGGGAACUCAUGCCCUUACCUCAUGGAAAGAAGACAGUAGGAUGCAGGUGGAUUUAUACUGUGAUCCAUUGAAAGAUAUAAAGCUAGAUUGGUAGCGAAUGAGUGCAUACAGAGAUAUAUGAUAGACUACCAGGAGACCUUUGCCCCAGUAGCCAAGAUUAACACUAUUAGAGUCCUAUUUUCUCUAACAGCAAAUCUCGAUUGGCCACUGCAUCAAUUUGAUAUUGAAAAUGCAUUCUUACAUGGAGACUUGGAAGAAGAAGUAUAUAUGGACUUACCCCUAAGAUGUAAUUCAGCUCAUAACAAGAAGAAUCAAGUUUGCAAGCUCAGAAAGUCAUUAUAUGGGUUAAAGCAAUCUCCUAGGGCAUGGUUUGGCAGAUUUUCUAAAUCUAUUAAGAAUUUUGGAUAUAAACCGAGUAAUUAAGAUCACACCUUGUUCUUGAGGCAUGAUGAAGGAAAACUUAUUGCAUUGAUUUUUUAUGUAGAUGACAUAGUCGUACUGGAAACGAUGCAUGAGAGCAACUGAAGUUCCAAAAGUAUUUGUCUCAGGAUUUGAGAUGAAGGAUUUAGAUGAUCUGAAGUACUUCCCCGGAAUCGAAGUAGCAAGGUCAAAAACUGGUAUAUUUCUGUCUUAAAGGAAGUAUGUAAUGGAUCGACUCACUGAAAUAUGAAUGCUUGGAUGUAAGCCUGCUGACACACCCAUUGAUAUGAAUCACAAGUUGUGUGAAGAUAUGGACCAAGAACCAACCAAUAUGGAACAAUACUAACACCUUGUUGGAAGGUUGAUAUACAUGGCAUACACAAGACUAUAUAUUGCACAUGCUGUGAGUGUGGUUAGUCAGUUUAUGCAUUCAUCCAGUGUUUCUCAUAGAAAUGCAGUUGACCGAAUCUUAAGAUACUUAAAGUCAGCCCUUGGGAAAGGAUUAAUGUUCUCAAAAAAUGGAGAUCUUGAAGUUGUUGGAUAUACAAAUGUUGAUUGGGCUGGUUCCAGUACAGAUAGACGCUCUAGUUUUGGUUACUUUACAUUUGUUGGAGGUAACCUAGUUACUUGGCAGAGUAAAAAAUAAAAUGUGGUUUCUCGAUCUAGUACAAAAGCAGAGUAUGGCUCAAGGAGUCUGUGAAUUAUUGUGGAUCAGAAGACUCUUGACAGAAUUGGGCUUCAAACUAGAAAAGCCAAUGGAGUUGCAUUUUGACAACAAGUCAGCUAUCGAUAUUGCCCAUAAUCCAAUUCAACAUGAUCGAACCAAACAUGUUGAGGUGGAUAGACAUUUCAUCAAAGGAAAAAUUGAUAAUAAGAUCAUCUGCCUACCAUUCGUAAAAUCAAAAAAUCAAUUGACAGAUGUCUUAACAAAAGCAGUUUGUGUAAGAGUAUUCCAUGACUCACUUACCAAGUUGGGCAUUGGUGACAUAUGCACUAACUUGAGGAGGAGUGUUGAUGUGAGUCUCCUAAUUAAUCAAAGAGAUUUAUUUCCUUGAUUAAUUAAGAGAUUUACUUUCUUGUUUUAUAUAGUUGACAAAUCAUUGUAUAUUUAGGAGAUACUAUCCUAAUUAAUUACUUUAUCUAUAUCCUUGUAAAUCACUUAUGUAAAUUCCUAUAUAUACCUCCUUAUGAAGAAGAAUAAAACUUAACCUAAAGUAUUCAAACCAUAUUCAUAUUUUAGCAAGCUGUAGCCACACCUUUCUUUUACCACUGCAACCUUUUCUUCUAUUAGCCCGUUAUUUUUGUGUCUCCGUUGCACCGUCUUCAUUGCAAACCGUCCCCUCCAUUGAGCUCUCCCGUGGCAAGCCACGACAGCUCCAUGUAUGUCCCUUGGCAGUGAUGGCCAAAUUUCUAUUUCCUCACCGAGCCUCGUCACUACUUGCUGAUCAUUCUCCUCACCAGCCUUUAUCCCUCUCAUGCCAUGUAACUCAAGUGGUUUUGAACUAGGGAUGACAAUGGGUCGAAUCGGGGGUGGGUAUGCCAUUUCCACCCCCAUUCCGUUAAGCUUUUUUCCCAAUUCCCACCUUCAUUAUUGCAAUAUUCAUAUUGGGAAUUCCCCAUCCCUACCUUCAACGGGGAAUGGGUUCCCCGACCUGCCUCAUUACGUACGGAAGAAAAAUCAAUAUAAAACUACUUUUUUUGAAAGAAAAAAAACAGAACUAGAGCAAGAUAAUGAGUACAUAUAAUAUAUUAUCUACGUACAAUGUUUACAUAUUGACUAGGAAGCUAACUAAAUAUAUAAGUAGUUGUAGGGGUCUUUUUGUUCCAGCAGCCUGAUGAAUGGGCUUGGGCUGCCGUAAGAAGGAGACGAACAAAAUUCCCCGAAUGCCUGAGUGCAAUAACCAAGCUCCCAAGAGAGUUUUUUAAAAGUUCAGUGAAACUUUAGAAAAACACUCUUAGGUUAUUUUCACAAAUAGCCAAAUAAAUUGAUUAGUGCCUUAGCUUGAGGAGCUUGUGGCAUGGGAGCUAAGCUUUCACAAGUUUAGUAAUUUGAGAGAGAAAGAGAAGGAACAGAGAGUUAAAAUGGGGGAGAGGCAAAUUAGGAAAAUUUCUUCCUCAUGGGAAAAUGAAACAACUAAAGAGGGGAAUUGGGUGGCUUUAGUAAAUUCCCAACUGCUUGACAAAGCUUGGUCAGGCUCUGGUUGAUGAUGCUUCUAGGUAGAUGAAGCUCCUUUUUAUAAGCGCAAAGGACCCCUAGCUUUGUAUAAUCUCCUUCUUUCUUUUUCUUUGCUUCUUUCUACUAAAUCCUAUUCAGUGAAAUUUUCCUAUCCAAGGUGCAUGGGUAAGGGGCCCUUUGUGGUUCCAAGGGUUUUGAGUGGCUCGACCUUCCCAUGAAGGUGAGGUGCCACCUGCUUUUCUUCUUGGUUUUCAAAAUGUGGCCUAUAGAGGGAAGAAAGAAGGGUAGAGUCUUUUGUCCAUGGGUAUUCAUCCUUCAUUCGUGGAUUUCUUUUGGUCCUGCCAUGGCUCUUUGUUAACCAUCUUGGAAUUCUGACGAGGAUGAAACAUGAUGCCAGGUUUUCCUACAAACUACCGGGCUAGGCUUAUGAGUGCAAUAUUGGCUUAUUAAUGUAUUGUUUCCGGUGCCUAAUGGGUCUUCGUCAAGUUGCUGGAAACGGCCAAUUUGGUUUUGGGCAUUUGAUUGAUGUUGGCUUUGUCCAAGUGCUAUGGCAGAUUACUAGAUAUCCUCCUAAGGCAUUGGGUCAUUUUCCUCCUCUCUCAUGCUAACCCAUGUGUUUGGGCCCUAGGAACGGGCUGGAUUUUUAAUGCUCCCAAGUGGCCUUAAAACUUUUGUUCCUCGAACCCUCAAUGGGCCCUGUGAUGGCUUGUUUCCUUCCAUACCAUAACCUUCUCAGCAAGCCCUAGUUAAUUAUGUGGCUUGGGCCCACUAAAGCCUAUAGCAUGGCUCGGUAUUAAAACAGCGAUUUCUUCGCAUGGCCUUGCAUGUUCGUUUAGCCUAUUUGUGCUUGUGUUUUAUUGCGCCGCAUUAGGCCAUGAUCGGGUCAAGUAGCAUCGGAUUAGAUUGGUAAGCAUGAUUUUAUAAAGCUGGUGCAUUUUGGUCCUUUUGCGCAUGUUUGCUUGGCGUGACACAUGGCCCAUGACUUAUCUAAAUGCGUCCUUUGAUUUCUCUCAUGUCCUGAUUGGGCCUCCUCUGCGAUUAAUUAUUCACAUUGGGCUAAGAAUAAACCUGGGCCUAGCCCUUGGAUUUUUGGGCCUCAACAGUAGUGUAGCUUAAGAUUUGUAUAAAUUUUAUAAAUAUAUAAUAUAAAACUUAGUCGGCACAAUCACUUUAAUAACAUAUUUAUAUAUACUAUAUUCUAAACAGGGAGGGUUUGGGUCUGGGAUUAAAAUACCGUCCCUCCCCUCCCCUAACACCAUUUCCAAAAAUUGAUCGUACCUGUCCUCAUACCCGUUUUUAAUCCUUCUUACCUGACCAUUAGGGUCGAAUCCAUGCGAAGACCCUUACCCGUGGGAAAAAUUGCCAUUCAUAUUUUGAAUAGUUAUCUUCCUUGCACUUGAGAUUCUGUGUUUGAAUCUCACCCACCCAAUAUCGAUCGCUUUUUUUUUUAAAAAAAAAAAAAAUAUAGAAACUAUGUCGUGUAUGUAUCUCAAUCAUUCAUCAAGUUUGAAUCUCAAUAACAAUUGGUUGUUAUAAGAAUGUCCAGUAGAACUAACUAUGAGGAUAGUUUUUUUUUUCUGAGGAAGGUUUAUUGGGGUGCAUAGAGUAAUUGGACUGUCUUGGCUUUAUGGGGCUCCUAUUUAUUAUAGGGUGGAUUCUUAUCCUGGUGUAUGAUUUUUGUUUUGUAAAAUCACCCCAGUUGCCCUUCAAUAUGAUGGUAGAUUGAUCUUGCGACGGCUAUAUCUAAAGGAAAAGCAAACAGAGCCAUGCCACUAGAAUACGGAUUUUUGUUUUGUAAAUUUUUUAUUAAGUUAUUCGGUGUUGAUUUUUCAAGUACUUUUAUUUUUAUUUUAUUAAACCUAGCCAAAACGAAGUCGUUUUGGCUAGGUUAAAAAAAAAAAUUAUUCGGUAGUAGUUGCUGCCCGAUAAAACAGAUUGGGGGAAACCCUAAAUCCCCAACCCCAACCCCUAAUUCUACCCAACCUUCACCCCAGUUGAUGGCCUCCCCACAUGGAUCACCUUCCGGCGCCGCCAAUCUCCUCAUCCAAUGACGGCACCAAACCCCAAAUUCAAUUUGGUUUGAAAUUUGCUCUCAAAAUUGAAAGUAUGUUAUCAUAUUUCCUAAUCUUUUUAUGCUUUGAUGAGAUUGAUUAAUAUGUUGAUUAGUUUGAAUGAAUUAGAGUUUUUAAUUAAUUAAAAUAUUUAGUUUGUAUGUUUUAAUAUGAUGGAUUUCGUCCCUCCAAUUGAAAGUAUGUUAUCCUAAUUUCUAAUCUUUUUUUGUAUGCCUUAAUUGAUUAAUAAAUAUGUUUGUACGUUUUUGUUUUUCUUGAUUAUUAGUUGUUGUCGAUUGUAUUUAUUAGGAGUUUUUUUUUAAGGACCCGCCCCGAAUUUUCUCAAAACCCGAGACGAACCCUUUGGAAUUUCUGACAUCACUCCGAUGUCAGACCCAAUCACUAAAGACCGAGACUUCCUGCCGAAAUUUCGGCAGAGUCUCCCCUAUAAAUUGGACAUUUCCCAAAAAUUUCAACCUGCAUAAAAAUGCAUUUAAUAUUUCCAACUGGCAGCAUGCACAAUAUAAUUCAUGCAAUUCACACAAAUGGCCUUCGGCCUUCCAAUAAUUCUUAAACGAUUAUCAAACAAUUCAAAUACCAAAUAUAACUAAUAUUUAGUCUGCGGCUGCACCUAACAACCUUAGGCUGCCUACGUACCCUCCUUGAGGGAUCAAGUCACACGUAGUUCUUCCCUAAAACCCAGUUCCCCACUUGGGCGAUACCUUAUUUCAUUUUUUUGUAUUUCAUAUAAUCUCCUCAUACGCCGGUACAACCAACGCCACGUAUGGGGCCUGUCAACACGCCGGAUAACCUACGCCACGUGCGACCAUGCCAUACUAUCAUAAUAUCUCCUCAUACACCGGUACAACCAACGCCACGUAUGGGGCCUGUCCCAACGCCGGAUAACCUACGCCACGCGGGACCUCAAUAUCAUAUCACAAAUCUCCCCAUACGCCGGUACAACCAACGCCACGUAUGGGGUCUGUCGACACGCCGGAUAACCUACGCCACGUGCGACCUCAACACAAUAUCACAUAGCUCCCCAUACGCCGGUACAACCAACGCCACGUAUGGGGUCUGUCUCAACGCCGGAUAACCUACGCCACGUGAGACCUGAACAUAAUAUCACAAAUCUCCCCAUACGCCGGUACAACCAACGCCACGUAUGGGGCCUGUCCCAACGCCGGAUAACCUACGCCAUGCGGGACCUCAAUUUCACUUGGUGGUACUUGUGGUAAAUCCAACAUCCGGGGAGGUACCUAAAGUAGUGCGUAUAGCACUCCAAACUGACAUUCUAGACUCUGUUGUACCUUUGUACAACCAUAUAUAAUUAUAAUUAUAUAAAUUAAUUCUAAUAUUGUGUAACCCUCCACAAUCAUCUAGCACCCGAUAAUCCCCCCUAGAAAGGUGAGAUUACUCUGGGAGACUCACGGUCAACCAAGGGUCAAACUACUCUAACCCUGGUCAACCGGACCUGCAGAACCCACGACCUCCAAUUUCCGAUCCGAAGGUCCCUAUGGGUUCUACCAGGUAUAGGACACUUGUCCUAAAACUUUGGCUCAGAUCGAACGGUCGGAUUGCUUACGAUCGCACGAUCUGACAAUUAAUAUAAAAUACAAACUUUAAAAUUAUUAUUCGGAACAUCCGGGGCUCCGAUUCACAAUCCGUGAAUUUCCACACGAUCCUAGAAUUACCUAGAUUAACAUAUAUUAAAUUUGGGUCCAUCCAUCGGUCUCAACCUAUCGAACCCGGAUAACGCACAAUUUGCGAAUAUCCGUUCCAUAGUCAAACGAUGUCCGAAUUGAGAUCCGCAAAAUCCUACGCACUUGUGACAACCUAAGGAUCUCAUCGGAACACAUUGCUACUUUUCUACAGUGCCCACGCUCCGCCGCACGCGCCGGCAGCGCGUGGGUGCCCAAAGCGAUAACGCUUCGCCGGAAAAUCUCAAAACCACGGCUCCAAACUCCUACCCUAGGUAUAACACCCUAUUUGGAGCCACUUUUGUUCUUGGACCUACCCCAAAAAGUGGCCGGAAAUGGCCGAUCACGGCGGCCGAAGUUUCGGCCGAUUUUCAAUUCGAAAAUCGAGUUGUCUACGCUAAGAAUCGAUCUAAUCCUACCCAACCAUCAGCUAGAGCAGCUCGAGAGGUUCAAAAUCCAUACCUGAGUCGACGGAAUUGGUGGCCGGAGGAGGGAGAUCGGCGGCUUUGAAGUUUGGACGACGUCGGCCGCUUCAUCUCCAGAUUCCGGCGAAUCCGCGGCGGCUGGCAGCGGGAGGUGGCUGGGGUAGGAAGAGGACGACGGCCCGGUCAUUUUGGUACCGGUCCCGUCGUCAUUGGUGGCCGGAGGAGAGCACGGCCGGCCAAAACGUGGCCGGCUGUCGCGCGCGGGAGAUAGGAGAGAGAGAGACCCGCGGGGGAGAGAGAGAGAGAGAAAGAGAGAGAAAACCAGAUUUUUAUAAAAAAUCCCAUUUCGAAAUAUUUACGAUUGUGCCACUGGAUUUCUUUUGACCAUAUCUCUCUCGUUAUAACUCCGAUUCGAGCCCACUACGUGUCUAUGAACUCGUCCCAGUACGACCUAUCCAAAAAUACAAGUCACGGUCCCAAACUCUCUCCGGUUAAAAAUAUGACUAAAAUACCCUUAAAUAAUUAAAUAAUUAAAUAGGGGUUAAAUUCGGGAUCGGGGUGUUACAUUUUUUUAUUAUAUUGUAUUUGUUUUUUUUUGUCAAAAUUAUAUCAUAUUUGUUUGUUUGUAUAAAUUGGAUUAAUUUUUGUGUUUAUUAAUCAAUGAAGAUUCUUAUAUAUUUUGGUUAGUUAGAAUAAAUCUUGGCAAUUUGGAUUAUUAAUUAGUUUGUUUGUUUUUUGAAUAGAAAAUAUGGAACGAUACUUUAAGAGAAAGUUCUCAUCAACUACUUCGAGUUCGGAUAAUGUAGGUAGUUUGAACUCAAGAGAUGUGGCUAGUUCGAAAGAAAGUGAGUUGCAAAAUCUUAUGAAUAAUCUUCCUACAGACCCUGGACUUUGACCUCAAAUGUUGGAUUAUGAUCCUAACAUUCGAGAUGAAGUUCGAAGAGCAUAUCUACAAAAAGGUCCCUGUCACCCUAAGAAUCACACAUUUUCACAAAUCGAUCUUUUAGGGUAUGAUUGACGCUUUAAUGUCAAGUGGUUUGAUGAAUUUGAUUGGUUAGAGUACAGUAUAAGCAAAGAUACUGCAUUUUGCUUUUAUUGUUAUCUCUUCAAAUUCAAUUUCAAAAUUGGUCAAGGGUGUAGUGAUGCCUUCACAGAGAUGGGUUUCAGAAAUUGGAAUAAGAAAGAAAGAAUUAAGAAUCAUAUUUGAGGUGUUGGAAGUGUUCAUAAUCAAUAUAAACAAUAUUGUGUAGAUCUUAUGAAUUAGAAGCAAUACAUGCAAACAGUUUUGGGCAUGCAAUCAGACCAAGCUCGUAUUGAUUAUCGUAUUUGCUUGAUAGCUUCUCUUGGUUGCAUAAGAUUUUUGUUGAAGCAAGGUCUUCAUUUUCGCGGUCAUGAUGAGAGUGACACUUCAAACAACAGAGAGAAUUAUUUGGAGCUCUUACAAUUUCUUGCUGAUCAUGAUGAGAAAGUUAAGGCCGUUGUGUUAAAAAAUGCUCCAAAGAAUCUCAAGCUAAUAGCUUUAACAAUUCAAAAAGAUCUUGUGAAUGCUUGUGCGACUGAAACUAUUAACUAAAUCAUUAAGGAUAUGGAUGGUGCAUUCUUUUCUUUAUUAGUUGAUGAAUCUCAUGAUGUGUCAGUAAAAGAAGAGAUGGCAGUGGUGUUUUGUUAUGUGGACAAAAGUGGGGAUGUAAUUGAAAGGUUUGUGGGCAUUCAACAUAUUAGCGACACUACAUCAAACUCACUAAAUGAGGCUAUUGACACAUUGUUUUCAAGAGAGGAAUUGAGCAUUUCUAUGCUAAGGGGACAAUGAUAUGAUGGAGCUAGUAAUACGAAGGGUGAGUUCAAUGGUCUUAAAACAUGAAUUUUGAGAGAAAAUCCAUGUGCUUAUUAUAUUCAUUGUUUUGCAUAUCAACUUCAAUUAGCUCUUGUGGCCAUGACAAAGGGAAAUGCUGAUAUUGCCACUUUCUUCUUGCAAUAGCUUGGUUAAUAUUGUUAGAGCAUAAUGUAAGCGUUGUGACAUGCUUAAAGAUCAACUCUAAAAUGAUGUUAUGGAAGUUCUUGAAAAAGAUACUCUUCCAACAUGGCGAGGCUUAAAUCAAGAAACUUGUCUCAAGCGUCCCGGUGAUGCACGUUGGAACUCACAUUAUAGUACAUUACUUAGUAUCAUUUCCAUGUUCAAAUAUGUGGUGAAAGUGCUUAAAUUGAUUAUUGUGGAUGGCUCCACUGAUAAUAUAGGUGAAGCAAAUAGAUCAUUGAGAGAAAUACAAUCCUUUGAGUUUGUUGUAAAAACAAAAAUCCUGCGACAAAUAAGACAAGAAUAUGUGUACAAAAUAAUAUUUGUAUUAAUGAAGUUUAGAGUUACAAGCUCUAUAUGAAAUCCUCUAAUUCAAUCUCCAAAGCGUUUAAAGAAAAUUUGUAUUUGAUACAAGAAGGGUCAUAGAGAAUUGAUCUUGAUCAAACGGGUAGCACAAGGCUUGUUUGGUGAUUGGAUCUUUCUAGGGUAGAGGAACUGACAUGUAUUUGUUGUGCUUGGUGGCUCUUCCAAAGUGAGGUGAAGAAUGCAUAGAGCUUUCUGUUUCUUAUGAGUGCUUGGUGUGUCUAAGCUCUUGGUCCUUUCUCACAAAUAUGAGCCUAGUAUUUAUAGGCAAAGAAGUGGGUCUUGGUUUGGAAUCCCUAAUCUGAAUCCCUUGAUUUGUGGUAUUGAUUUCUAAUUUGAUUUAAUUUGAGCUAAUUGAUUUAAUUUAGCUCUUAAUUAAGUCAAAAUCAUUUAGUUAGGGAAAUUAACUCGUGAUUUAUGAAGAUGACUAAAUAAGGAUAAUUUAUUCCUUUUUGGCAGAUGAUUUCAUUUAAUUGAUGAAGUCCUUAGAUGCUAACAUGUGUCAUUUCCGGUGCACAUCUUUGUCUACGUGAGUCAUGUGCCACGUAUAUUUGUGUGGGGCCCACAGAUUUUCUAGUUAUCUUUGACUAGUCAAAUUUUGAAUUUUGACUAUUAACUAUAAAUUAGUGAAUUUAUAUUUCACCAAAAUUUCCAUGUCUACAUUUGUAUUUCACCUAUUUUUCAUGGGAUCUAUAUUGGGAGCCACAAAUGAUUUGUCACAAGCAUUACCAAAGAAAGAUCAAGACAUUGGGAAUGCAUUUACUUUAGUCAAAGAUUGCAAGGACCAACUACAACACAUGAGAGAGAAUGCAAUUGAAGCCUGGUUUGAUCAAGUAUCUUCCUUUUGUGGAAAACAUGAUGUCGAGGUUCCGAACGUGGAUGAUGCAUAUGUAGCUCAAUAGAGAUCACAUCGGAGAGCUCCUAGAAUAACACAUCUCCUUCAUUGUUGUGUGGACAUCUUUAUUCAAAUCAUUGAGUGGCGACUUGCAGAAUUAAAUCAUCGUUUCAUGAGGUAAAUACUGAGUUACUUCUUUGUUCGGUAUGUUUGAGUCCGGAUGAUUCAUUCAUAGCUUUUGACAAACAAAAGCUACUUCAUUUUACUGAAUUUUAUCCUAAAGAUUUUAAUCCCCGAGACCUCUUGGUACUUGAAGAUCAACUUAGGAUUUAUAUUCAUUAUAUGCGUACGAAGAGCCAUUUUUUCUCAAUUGAAAGGGGUUAGUAGCCUUGCAAGAAAAAUGGUAGAGAAAGGGUUGCAUUGAACAUUUAAUUAUGUUUAUUUGCUUCUCACAUUAGCCUUAACUUUACCGGUUGCAAUAGCUUCUGUGGAGAGAGCAUUUUUUGCUAUGAAUAUUGUGAAAGGUCAACUUCGUAAUUGAAUGGGAGAUCAAUAGUUGAGUGAUAUCUUACUUGUUUAUAUUGAGAAAGAUGUGUUCGUAUUGAUAAUAAAACUAUAAUGCGACAUUUUUAGAAAAUGAAAACUCUUCAUGGACAAUUGUAAUGUGGUUUUUCAAUUAAUUACGAAUUAUAAUAUUAUAUCGUUUCAUUUCUUUUUUGGUCUAUUUUGUAUAGAAUUUUUUUAACCUUUUAGACAUUGACCCCUAAAAGGAAAAUUCCUGGAUCUACCACUGGAAUGGACGAUAUUCAUUCCUAUAUUUAGGAACGUUGGGAAAUGAGGACUAGAAAAUGCAAUUAUCUCUCAUUCUCAUGUUUGGUUACUGCAGUAAUUAGGAAUGAAAAUUUAUCAAGGGUAUGAAAUUCCCCCUACAUGCGAAGUCCAUACCCAUGAGUCUAUAAUUGUAUUCCCAAGUAUGCAAUUACCAAACAUAGGAAUGCAAUUUGAAACCUAUUCCUAAGCUCCUAAACCUUGAACCAUGUGUGUGCCAUGGAUUUAAUUUGAAUUUCUCAUUCUAUCUAAGAUCAACUUUGAUAAUCUUUUUCUUUGUUUACUCUUCCAAUAUUUUUACAUUGAUAGAAUUUCGGUUUUACUUACUUAAGAUACCAAAUUUGUAAUAUUGAAAUUUAAUAAUUAUAAUAAAUUCUCAAGUAUAUCAUAAAGUUAUUUAAAGUUGGCACUCCUUGAUAAAAUUCUCAAGUAUACGAAAGAGUUAUUUAAAGUUGACACUCCUUGAUAAAAUUCAUAUCUCCGCCGUUGACAAGAAACUUGGAAUCCAUUGGAUUCAAGACCUCGGCCUCAAGAGAAUAAGCUUUACACGCUCAUGUGUACCUAAAAGUCCAAUACCUUCAUGUUGGCUAAGUUGUGGGCCAAAUUCAGGUCCUCCAUACUUUUCUUUCUUAAAAGUUAUGAAGGGAGUUUAGGGUAUUUUUGAUAAAUAAAAAAAUAGAGGAGUUUUACCUACAAGUAGUGGCGAAUCCAGUAAGGAGUCAGUGAAGGCACUAGCCCCACUCAGUUUUGUCUACACCUAUGAAGUGUCAAGUUUUCAUGAUAUUUUAUGUUGAAUGAGGGCAAAUUGUUUGAUAAAAAUGCCUCAACGAAGGCUAAAGUGGGGCAGUGAGGGGGCAAAUGAAUGGUCUUUACCCGUAUUAGGAAAAACUUUACAGGUUGUUGGUAGGCUCCAUUAGCCACUCCAUGCAAGGCCAUACUUUACAUGUUCUCACCCCAGGCAGGAAAUUUUUUUACGCGGUAGAUUUAAAACAUGACUGAGAAAUAUCAUAUAUUUUCAGUCUUUUUGUCUGAGCCAAAAUUUUCCGCGCUUACACCUCCAAUCCAUUAACCUUUGUUUCUUUCUUCCACCACAACACUUUCUCUUCCCUGUGCUUUCAUCCCUGGUAAUGUUAUAGCUGCUCCUCGGGGUUAUAAGAUUUUUAUUUCUUCUUUUCAACACCUUCUCUUCCUUGUGCUUUCAUACCUGGCAAUAUCAUAGCUGCUCCUCCAGGUAUUAGAAUAUUUUUAUUACUUAUUUUUUAAUUUUUUUUUGCUUUAUGAUAUAUGGGUAUUUUCUAUUUUGCUUAUACAAAGUUUUCUGAUGUUCUUAUAUGGUAUGGGAUUGUUAACUAAAAAGAUUUGGGUUUCUUUGGAAAUCACGAAGGUUGGAAUUGGAAAAACAGAAAGCACUGAUGGAUGGGUUAUAUGGGUUUGGCCACUAAUUGCUCUUUAUUUUUGUAUGGUUUUGGCUAAGUUAUUCUAUUUCGUUUUUUGGUUGAAAGUUUAUCUAAUUCAGGUUUGAUAUGCACUUACGAGUUUGGCUUUUGGUUUAAGCAUUGCUACAGUAUUCUUUGCUAUUGUUUACCAAUGUCCAAUUGACUAAUAUUUUUGUUAUUUUUUGCUUUAAUAGAUGAAAAUUUAGAGAUGGGAAGCCCACAGAAAAGACUCGGGACAUAUGAAUUCAUGGAAGAUGUUAAUGAGAAUAAUUCAGAUUUAGUUUUCAAUCCUCAAGUAGAAGAUCAGCAUGAACCAAAAAUUGGUCAAGAGUUUGAAUCACUUGAGGAUGUCUAUAACUUGUACAAAAACUAUGCAAAAUAAGAGGGAUUUAGUGUUUGAAGUUAUUGUCAGCAAAAGAGUAAAACUUCUAGUGAGAUCUUAAGAAAAGAAUAUGUAUGCUACAAAGAGGGAGUAUAUUCGAAAGAAGUUUCUAAUAGAAGUGAAAGGCGGCGAGGUGUAGUACGAAGUAGAUGUAAGGCUAAAAUUCUGAAGUAAGAGAAGGAACAAAAUACAUAAUUUCUAACUUUGUGGAGGGCCACAAUCAUGCUUCGAUCGGCCCUCAUAUGGUACAUUUGUUGAAAUCGUAUCGCGAAAUUUCUGAAGUUAAUAUCCCAAAGCAUCAACAAUUUAGUCUUCUUGAAGUGCAAGCAGGAGCGAUGCAAAACAUUGGAUAUACAAAGAAAGAUUUAUAUAACUACAAAAGACAAUUGCAGAGAAAGAUGAAGGGGCAUGAUGCACAUAUAUGUUGAGUGAGCAUUUUAUUGGUGAGCAAAAAAAAAAGAAUCAUUCUUUUUUAUGAUAGAGGCUGACGAUGAUGAUAGGCUUAAACAUGGUUUUUGGGCUGAUAAUUAUUAGAUUGGGUAAAAAAUAAUAUUUCAUUCAUAUUGAUAUAUAAUAAUAGGAAGGUUAUAUAUACAGAGCCUAGGAAACUAUUCUAGGAAAGUAAUUAUGUUCCUAUAAUCUUGUAGAAUCAAAUAGUUGACUUAGACUAGUUAGGAAUGUACAGCUUAUUAACACUCCCCCUCAAGUUGGAGCAUAUAUGUCGUCAAUGCCCAACUUGCUAAGUAAGCUGUGAAAUACCCUGCCUGUGACUGCUUUGGUACCUUAAUGAAAUGUCUGUCAACUUCAACAUGCUUAGUUCUAUCAUGUUGCACUGGAUUAUGUGCAAUGUCUAUUGCAGCUUUGUUGUCACAAUUCAGUUGCAUGGCAUGUUUGGGUUUGAACCCCAAUUCCCCCAACAAAUUCCUUAUCUAGAGUAGCUCACAUACUCCGUGUGCCAUACUUCGAUAUUCUGCUUCAACACUUGAUCUUGACACUACUUUUUAUUUUUUACUUCACCAAGAUACUAGAUUGCUUCCCACAAAGGUAAAGUAUCCAGAUGUAGAUCGCCUGUCAGUAACAGAGCCCGCCCAGUCUGCAUCAGUGUGACCCUCAACAUCUAGAUGACCAUGUUGUGCGAACAUCAAUCCUCUUCCAAGAUAUGACUUCAAAUAUCUCGGAAUUCGGUUUACUGCAUCCAUGUGGGCUUCACUUGGUGCAUGCAUGAACUGACUCACCACACUUACAGCAUAUGCUAUAUCAGGUCUAGUAUGUCCUAGGUAGAUUAACUUACCCACAAGGCGUUGAUAUCUUUCUUUGUUGAUGGGUACCUAAUCAGGAUAUUCACCAAGCUGAUGAUUCAACUCCAUUGGCGUAUCUAUUGGUUUGCUUGCUAACAUUCCAGUGUUAGUCAAAAUGUCAAGGAUAUAUUUCCGUUGUGAUAGAAAUAUUCCUUGUUCUGAACGAGCCUCUUCGAUUCCUAGGAAAUACUUCAGAGCUCCAAGAUCUUUCAUUUCAAACUCACUUGCCAAGUGGUGCUGCAAUGCUGCCUUUUCCACUGGGUCAUUCCCGGUAACUACCAUGUCAUCAACAUAUACAAUAAGGGCAGUGACUUUACCUUUCUUAUGUUUCAAGAAAAGAGUACCUUUCUUAUGUUUCAAGAAAAGAGUAUGAUCUGAAUUACUUUGGUUGUAUCCAAAAUCCUUCAUUGAUUUGCUGAACUUUCCAAACCAUGCUCUGGGUGACUUCUUCAAUCCAUAAAGAGACUUUCUCAGUUUACACACCAUGUUGCUAGUAUUGGGCCCCAUCUUGCAUCCUGGAGGGGAAUCCAUAUAGACUUCUUCUUCUAGGUCGUCAUGCAGGAAGGUAUUUUUGACAUCAAACUGGUGUAAUGGCCAAUUUAGGUUUGCUGCCAAAGAAAGAAGUACCUGAAUUGUGUUUAUCUUGGCUACAUGGGCAAAGGUCUCCCCAUUGUCAAUCCCAUAAGUCUGAGUAUAACCUUUCACCACCAAUCUUGCUUUGUAUCAUUCAAUGGUGCCAUCUGCCUCAAACUUUACUGUAUAUAUCCAUCUACAACCCACUGUUAUCUUCCCUUUAUGAAAGAUAGUCAUCUCCCAGUGGAAUUCUUCUGGAGGGCCUCCAUGUGAUCAUUCAUUGCUUGAGUCCACUUGGGAUCUUUCAGAGCUUCCUGCACAUUACUUGGAAUAGAUACAGUGGAUAAUUGACAUACAAAUGAUGCACAUGAUGGAGACAACCUAUGUAGGGACACAUGAUUAGCAAUAGGGUAUUUAACUUUUGUUUUUUGGUCUGGAUCAUAUUGUUGUUUAGGAAUCCCUCUAGUGGUACGAAUAUGUAACUUAUAACCUGUGUUUCCUGUAUGACUCGACUCAGGUAAAGUGCUUAAGUUGGAGUUUAAAUGUUCAGUUACUUGUGGGGAAUCUCCAGGACCUGAUUGGAUGAUUGGUGAUGGUACUGUAGUAGGAGGGAAAUUAUUUGAAACAUUUCUUGAGUUUCCAGUAACUCUUGAUCUUGUUGCACUACUGUAGCUGGUUGCUCGGACACUGAUUGCUCUAAAACAUUUUGUUGAAUUUGGAUGAUCUGAGUAUCUUCUGCAAAGAUAGAGCUCUCCCCCUGCAGAGGAUGCUCAGAAACUCCUCCUGAGUAAUAGAACUCACUCUCGUGGAAAGUCACAUCUGCGGUAACAUGCAUGGUCUGAGUGGGAGGAUGGAAACACUUAUAGCCCUUCUGUGUCAGCAUAACCCACAAAGACACAACGCAGUGCACAUGGGUCAAGCUUGCCACCCUGAUGUGGAUACACCUGAACAUAAGCAGCACAACCAAAGAGACGUGGUUCGAGAUUUGGUGUGGAUGGCAUGUUGAGGAGAGUGGUCAAUGUCUGAAAUGGAGUUUGAUACUGAAGAGUGCUGGAUGGUGUUCUAUUAAUGAGGUAAGCAGCAGAACAAAGAGCCUCCUCCCAAAAAUGAUGAGGCAUACAUGCCUCAAAUAAAGAGGCACGAACAACCUCUAAGAGAUGAUGAUUCUUACGCUCUGCGACGCCAUUCUGUUGUGGUUUAUGGUGUAUAGGCACAUGUGGUUUGAUGAACAAUUCCAUGUUGACUUCAAAAAUUAUGUAGGUCAUGGUUGGCGUGUAACACCCCGACUCCAAAUUUAACCCUUAUUUAAGUUAUUUAAAUUAUUUAAGGGAAAUUACAAAUUUACCCUUGAGAUAAGGGCAUUUUGGUCAUUUUCUUAACCGAGAGAGUUUGGGACAGUGACUAGUAUUUUUGGAUAGGUCGUACCGAGAGGAGUUCGUAGACACGUAGUGGGCUCGAAUCGAAGUUGUAACGAGAGAGAUAUGGUCAAAAGAAACCCAGUGGCACAAUCGUAAUUAUUUCGAAAUGAGAUUUUUUUAUAAAAAAUCAUAUUUCUCUCUCUCUCUCUCUCUCUCUCUCUCUCUCUCUCUCUCUCUCUCUCUCUCUCUCUCUCUCCUGCGAGCUCUCUCUCUCUCUCCUCGUAUCUCCGGCCACCAGUCGCGGCUGCAGACGGGACCGGUGCCAAAAGGACCGGCUCGGCCUCGGCGUCACAACCCAGCCCUCCCCCGACAUCGGCCGCCGCUCCAGCUGCCGAAAAAAGGCGAUUUUCGCCCGAUUUUUGCCCGAACUUCGUCGACUCCGAUCUCCCUCCUCUAGCCGCCAUUUUUCGCGAUCAAGGUAUGGAAAUUCAUCCAUUCUUCAUACUCUAACUGAUGGUUGGGUAGGAUUGGAUAGAUUCUUAGCGUAACCAAUUCGAUUUACGAAUUGAAAUUCGAAUCACGAUUCCAGCCACUUCCGGUCAAUUUUUGGGGUAGGUCGAAGAACAAAAGUGGCUCCAAAUAGGGUGUUAUACCUAGGGUAGGAGUUUGGAGCCGUGGUUUUGAGAUUUUCCGGUGGUGCGUAAUCGCUUUGGACACCCAACGCUGCCGGAGCGUGUGGCGGCGCGUGGGCCAGGGUAGUGGAGUAGCACUGUGUCUUGAUGAGAUCCUUAGGUUGUCACGAGUGCAUAGGAUUUUGCGGAUCUCAAUUCGGACGUCGUUUGACUAUCGAACGGACGAUCGCAUAUUGCACGUUAUCCGGGUUUGAUAGGCAGGGACCGUUGGAUGGUCUCAAAUUUAAUAUAUGUUAAUCUAGGUAUUUCUAGGAUCGUGUAGGAAUUCACGGAUCGUGAAUCGGAACCCCGGAUGUUCUAAUUAAAUAAUUUAAAGUUUAUGUUUUAUAAUAACCAUCAGAUCGUGCGAUCGUGAGCGAUCCGACCGUCCGAUCUGAACCAAACUUGCAGGACGAGUGUCCUAUACCUUGUAGAACCCAUAGGAACUUUCGGAUCGGAAUUUGGAGGUCGUGGGUCCUGUGGGCCCGUUGACCAGGCUUUGGGUAGUUUGACCCUUGGUUGACCGUGAGUCUCCCGGAGUAAUCUCACCUUCCCAGGGGGAUUAUCAGGUGCUAGACUAUUGUUGAGGUCUACACAAUAUUAGAAUUAUUAUAUAUGUUUGUAAAAGUACAAAAAGAGUCUAGAAUGUCAGUUUGAAGUGCUAUACGCACUACUUUAGGCACAUCCUCGGAUUUCAGUUACACUACACGUACCACCCUGAGAAAGUUAGGUCCCACGUGGCGUAGGUUAUCCGGCGUGCGGACAGACCCCAUACGUGGCAUUGGUAGUAUCGGUGUAUGGGGAGGUUACAUGACAAUAUGUUGAGGUCGCACGUGGCGUAGGUUAUCCGGCGUGUCGACAGACCCCAUACGUGGUGUUGGUUGUACCGGCGUAUGGGGAGAUAUGUGAUAUGAUGUGUAGGUCUCGCAUGGCGUAGGUUAUCCGGCGUUGAGACAGACCCCAUACGUGGCGUUGGUUGUACCGGCGUAUGGGGAGAUUAUGUGGUAUUGUGUUGAGGUCGCACGUGGCGUAGGUUAUCCGGCGUGUCGACAAACCCCAUACGUGGCGUUGGUUGUACCGGUGUAUGGGGAGAUAUUGUGAUAUGAUAUGCAGGUCUCGCGUGGCGUAGGUUAUCCGGCGUUGAGAUAGACCCCAUACAUGGCGUUGGUGGUACCGAUGUAUGGGGGAGAUAUUGUGACAGUAUGGUAUGGUCGCACGUGGCGUAGGUUAUCCGGCGUGUUGACAGGUCCCAUACGUGGCGUUGGUUGUACCGGCGUAUGGGGAGGUUAUGUGAAAUACAGAGAAAUAAAAUAAGGUAUCGCCUAUGUGUGGAAUUGGGUCUUAGGAAGAACUACGUGUGGCUUGAUCCCUCAGUGAGGGUACGUAGGCAGCCUAAGGUUAUUAGGUGCAGCCGCAGACUAAAUGUUAGUCAUAAUUUAUAUUUGAAUUUAUUAUUUGGCUUGUUUAAGGCAUGAAUUCACUUGUUAGCGUGUUUGGUAGUUUGUUGAGAAUUAUUGGAAGGUCGAAGGCCAUUUAUGUGAAUUGCAUGAAAUUAUAUUGUGCAUGCUGCCAGUUGUGGAUAUUAAAUGCAUUUUUAUGCAGGUUGAAAUUUUGGGAAAUGUCCAGUUUAUAAGGGAGACUCUGCCGAAAUUUUGGCAGAAAGUCUCGGUCUUUAGUAAGUGGGCUCGACAUCAGGGUAAUGUCAGGAAUUCCACAGGAUUCGCCUCGGGUUUUGGGAAAUUCAGGGCGGGUCAUUUCAGGUGUAGUCUCCUCCAUUGUCAGACCGAAGUGUAGUGAUUUUCUUGUCAAACUGAGUAGCAACAUAUUGAUAAAAUAACUUGAAUUUGGCAGUGACUUCACUUUUCUACUUUAGGGGAAAAACCCAGGUCAUCCGGGUGCAAUCAUUAAUAAACGUCAUAAACCACUUAAAACCGCUAAUAGUGGGAACUCGUGAUGGUCCCCAAACAUCAGAAUGGAUAAUUAUGAAAGGCAGAGAACUUUUAUUCAAUCUUAAUGGGUAAGAAAUACGAUGGCUUUUCUCCAAAAUGCAAGUUUCACAAUGAAAGUCUAAUUCAGCAAACUAGGAAAACAAAUAUGGAAAUAAAAGUUUCUGAUAACCAAAAGAAGCAUGCCCUAAUUGUCUAUGCCAUAGCCAAAUUUUCUUCAUCCUGAUAGACUCAUCUCCUCUCACAUGAUGUGCGUGACUCAAUCUCGUACUGCUGUCUUCUGGCAAGUCCAGAUAUGACAACUUUCCCCUCUGAGUACCACAUCCAAUCACGGCCUUGGUGAGAAGAUCCUAAAAUAGACAAUACAAUGGCCAAAAACACACGGUACAAUUAAGGGAAUCAAUGAUUUGAGGAAUAGAUAACAAGUCAUAGUCGAGUGAAAGGAAAACUAAGACAUGAUCAAGACUUAAUGAGGAUGUAAGAGAUAAAGACUCUUCUGCCAUAACUUGGGAGGUGGUUCCAUUGGAGUGUCAAUAAUCCAUGAUCUAUUACAAGUAAGUGAAGAUGUGCAAGAGGUACCUGAGGUGGCCAAGGCCUUAGAGCCAGAUGUACCUAAUGGGGGUUCUGAUGCAGUCUCCUCAGAUGACUGAGCGGAGGCAAAUGAGGCUCUGGUUGAAUCCUUUUUGCGCCUUUUGUGGACCCAUCCUUCUGGAUAACCAAUGAUCUCAUAACAUUCCUUAAUUGUGUGGUUAUCCAAACCACAUUUGGUACACUUCAUUGGAGGCCGGUUACGAGUAGGGUCGACAUUAUAGUUGUUCGGCCGAGAUUAUUUAGACCUCGCAACAGCCAAGGCUGUGGCUUCGGAGGUUACACCAGCUUCAGACAUGGUUCCCUGUUGGUUACUCUCUCUUUUAAUAUGUGCAUAUGUUGCCUCAAGUUCGGGCUUUGGCUCCAUCCGCAACAUCUCUCCUCAAAUUUGCUCGAAAUUAUUGUCCAAACCUGCAAGAAAUAUAUAAACUUGGAGAUGAUCAACCUCUUUGCGUCUAGUCUCAAUGUCUUUCGGAUGCUCCGUGGUGCUUGGACUUAAUUGAUCAAGUUCGUGAAAAAUCUCAGUGAGCUCACUGUAAUAUUUGGCAACUGAUGCACCAACUUGCUUCAUUAUGAAUGACCGUCUGUGAAGGUCAUAAAUCUUGGCUUCAUCAGCACCAUCUGAAUAGGUUUGCUUGAUUGCAGCCCAGACUUGCUUUGCUGUGUCAUAACGAAUAAAUCGUUUAAUCUGAUUAGGUUGCAUGGCGUCGAACAACCAACUCUUGACUUGGCAAUUCGAUGUACCCCAUUUAUUAAAUGUGGGAUCUGUGUCUGCAGGCUGGGCAAUAUCACUGGUCAAGUGGCCAUGUUUUUCUCGCCCAUCUAUCUUCAUCUCUAUGAUUUGAUGCCACAGAGAAUAAUUAUUCUCAUCCAGUUUGAUUCCUACGGAGAAGUUGGAGGUGUCACUUUACAAAGUGACGAUUUGUGUGGUAGUUUUGGAGCCUCCCGACACUAAGGAUUGAUUGGUGUUUGCUGACCCAUCAUCGUUGGCCUUGAUAUUGGCUGACAAACAAUGAGAAAAAAAAAGGGCAAAAAGAAAUUUUGUCUGGGGGAAACAUUACUCUGGGGUAACUGAUUAGAAAAGGAAAAACAAAAAUAUUAAGUUGAGGAAAAACAAGUGAACGGUGGACAAAGGCAAGAUUGGUGGCGAAAGGUUAUACCCAGACUUAUGGGAUUGACUAUGGGGAUGGACUAUGGAAAAGGCGAUAAGACAAAUUGUUUUGCAAUAAGAAAUAUUGGGUUGAAAGGAAAAAAGAACAAAGGAACGGUUUGAAUGGGUCUGUGAGUGGAAAGUGAUUUGCAAUAUUGCAAAACGUGAUUUGACUAGAGGAAAGGUUUGAAUGGGUUUGUGAGAUCACUACUACAAAAAAGCAAAAAGACGACGGUAAAUCACCGUCGUGUAUUCGGUUUUUCAAUGGUCGUGGAAUCCACCGUCAUCUUUUCCCUCAUAAACCACGACGCUAAAUCACCGUCGUUGUUACAAUAUACAACGUCAUCAACAAAUACAAAACGACGUCUUUGUACUGCAAAAAGAUCUAAAAAAGCAGUCGAGGAUGAGAAUAGACGACCAACUCUCUAAAAAAACCGUCGUUAAAAAGGAAAAAUAUGACACAUAUUAACAGAACAAGGCCGCAAUAUAGACAUACAACGACGAAAAUUAAAAUAAGACGCCUUUAAAUAUCAUUUUCACGACAAUAAAAAAUAUGACGUCUUUAAAUACAUUAGAAGACGACGUUAUUGAUACCUACUACGUCGCCUAUAUAAAAAGAGCCGUCGUAAAAUAAAUUUUCCACUUCGAUUUUUCUAUAAAAGAUGACGUGGAAAUCACUACUACAAAAAGUGAAAAAGACGACCAGAAAACAACGACGGUCUAAGUGAAAACCGUCGUGGUUUAUAAAAAGACGACGGUUCUAAAAACACCGUCGUGUAAUACAACCUUAGACAACUAAAAAAUGGAGUUUCAAAUGGCUGUUCAAAAACAACGACGUACAUAAUUAAACAACCGACGUCUAUUUGAAACAGAUUUCCGCAGUGUAAAAUCAAUGCCAACAAAGAACGGCAGAAGUUAUGAAUCGACCGACGUAGAAAGUAAAGAAGACGAUUUCAAUAAAAAUUGCCGUUUUUACUCAUAAAAUAACACGACGAGGUUUUCGUAUAAGACGUCGUAUAAUUACAAACAAAUCCACGGCUUUAAAAUACAAAAUAUCGCCGUAUUAAAUUAAUUUACAACGACGGAAAAUAUAAAUAUAUCGACGUCAUUCUCGUAUAGUUCUACGACGUUAUCUUUAAAUCGUACAAUAAAAUUUAACGUCGUAUUUAUUCAUUUUAUACGUCGUACCUUUAAUUUUAACGGUCGUCUUAAUAAGAAUUUUUGUUAACAAUUUUUUUCUUUGAUUUUCUUAUCCUACGUCGGUAGAUCUACUUAAUGACAAGAAUUGAAAUAACCACGACGGUUUAUAUAGAACACCGCCGACAUAAUCAGAUUUGUCUGAGAUCCCAAGGGUUACGAAAUCUUACCAGAUGGAACUCUGUUCCACAUCAUAAUCUUAACAGAUGACACAGAUUUGCAAAUAUUGCGUCGUGUUAGUUUACAAAUUCUAGAACAUUAAUUUCCCUCAUUUUAAAUUUCCUCGGGAAAGAAAAAUCUAUUUAUCACGCUUUGGAAUUGAAAACUAAAACUGAAAGAAUACGGGAAAAAAAACUCUAUUUAUAAUUUAAAAUUAAAAUCCACGUCGGUUGUAGUACACUUAACGACGUUUAACAAAAUAAUCUACGUCGGUAAUUAUAAAUCUACCUCCAUCUUAACUUAAUAUAGACGACGAGAAAAGACGACGGUAGAACAGAAAACCGCCGUUGUUUCAGUUUCUUUAACAUAUCUUUCUGCAGGACUUGUGUAGUUCAAAGCAUUGACAAUGUCUUCAUCAUAUCUCCCAGAAACUACUGAUUCAAUUGCUCAUGCUUUAGAGGCCAUCUGAAGCCAUUUCUAUUCUUUAUCGCAUUCUUGAAACCCAUCUUCUUCUUCUGAAGCUCUACGGAUAAAGGAAGAGGCUAUCACAAAUCCGACGGAUCUUCUUAGGCAAGAAAAUCAAGUAGAGGAUCAGGCACAUCUGAUCUUCAGAUUUCCCUGAGAAGCGAACUUUCCUUCGACAGCGAGUGGAGGCCAGGCUUGCAUCUCUUUUGAUGGAAAGCAAGGAGUAUUCAGAAGCACUAAGUGUCCUAUCAGGCUUGAUCAAGGAAGUGAGAAGGCUAGUUGACAAGCUUCUUCUUGUGGACAUAUAUUUGAUGCGAGUAAGAGAGGAAGAACUUGGAACCUUAAAUGUAAACCGAAAAUAAAUGAAAGCGACAAAUUUAUAGAAUAAAUUUUUAAAACCAACGGCGGUCCUUACAAAAAAACCGCCGUUUAAAUUGUAAAAUCAACGUCGGUAUAAUCGACGUAUAUUACAGAAAUCCACGUCGGUAAAUUAAUAAAAACGACGUGUUAAAUAAUCUACCAUGACGCGAGUUAUUACUUAUGUACUUUAAUUUUUGAGUUUACUACGACGGUACCUACAAACUACUGUCGUAUUUAUUUACCACGUCCGAAGUUAAAUGUACCGUCGUAUUUUGUAAUUUAUACGUCGUAGUUAUAUGUAACCGCCGUAUUAUUUUUUUGAAAUGGUUUUAUAUGUAAGCAACUUUUCGUCUACUUGACUUACACAUUAGUUAUUUUUAUAUUCUUAUUUUAUUUAAAUCUGUCAUCCAAAAAAGAAACUUUACAUAUUGCAGAAUAUUAAUUUCCUUCGUUUUAAAUUUCCUCCGGAAAAAAAACUCUAUUUAUAACGCACUGUAAUUGAAAAAUAAACUGAAAGGUCACGGGAAAAAAAUUCUAUUCAUAAUUUAAAAAUUAAAAUCCACGUCGGUUAUAUUAAACCUAACGACGUUAAAUGAAAUGAUUCCACGUCGAACGAAAAAUAUUGCGUCGUGUUAGUUAAAAACGACGUAGUUAAAUGUAACCACCGUAUUAUUUUUUUGAAAUGGUUUUAUAUGUAAGCAACUUUUCGACUUACACAUGCACUGUUUCCAAACCCGAUUAAAAAUUUCAAUCUCCUAGAGAAACCUUUUCGUCUUUUUUCCUUGUCAGAGCAUUGUCAGAGUUUCUCAUCGUCUUCCUCUCGUCUUCUUCGUCGUCUCUGAACUUAAACAUCGAUCAUCUUCCUCUUGCUUUCAUUGCACGCAAAAGGUAAGCUUUCAUUUUCACUAUUUUGGUUACUGUUUUGCAUGCUCAUACGUUUUUUGUUUGAAAAAUCUUUUUACCUUUUUUCUGGCCAAAAUCAUUUUACUUCUUUCCAAGUUUGAUAAAAUAUACAGACAAAGAGGGAAAGUUUCCAACUUUGAAGACAACUACAUCAACUAAAUAAGACGACGGUAGACCACGACGGUUCGUCAGUUGUUCUAGCGUCGUCUGAAAAUUGACAAAGUUGUUUUUAAAAUAAUAGUCUUUUUUUAUAUGCUUGUUUAAUUGCAGGUUUGAUUUCUCUGAACAAUGGUUUUUGUUUUUCCCUUAUUUGAUAAAAUAUAAAGAAAAAGAAACUAGGGUUGGUAUCUAAUAUAGACGACAAAAUAUCUUAUUGUUUUACGUCGUGUGAAUGUUAAUACCACGACGGUGUAUUACUAUUGACGUCGUAUGAACAUAAAUACCACGACGUUAUAUAAAUAAUAGUUUACCACGACGGUGUAUUACUAUUGACGUCGUGUGAACAUAUAUACCACGACGUUAUAUAAAUAAUGGUUUUAAACAUUUAUUACGUCUGAGAUUAUUUCAUUGCGUCGUCUAAAAUCAUAUCAUACGUCGUAUUUUUUUAAUAACCGUCAUUUGUGUUCUUAAUCUUUUCUUGAAAUAUUUUCACUUUCAGUUUUGUCUGUAAAAAUGGUUUCUCACCAAGACCAAAGUAAGGAUUCUGGCUCCAACAAAAAUGGAGGUAAGGAGCAAGUACCUCCUCAAGAGAAGUCUUCGAAGAUAAUGAAGUCUUCGAAGAAGAUGAAGUUUGCUUCAUCAUCUGCUGAGACAGAACAAACCAGCCAGACAACAAUAUCUGAUGAUUCAAAGACUGGUCGAGGUAUGAGCACAAUGCCUCGUGUUGUGAAGAGAAAGCUUCAGAAACUGAGGCCAAUUGUUGAGUACAAUAAAAGGGGGAAAGGUGUUGGCCAAGCACAUAUUGAGAUGCAGUCGUAUAUUGGUGUGUUGGCACGCUCCAGGAUCCCACUUGUGGACAAGAAAUGGUCCCAAAUCCCCAAGGAUAUAAAGGAGCAGAUUUGGGAAGCAGUUGACAUGGCUUUUGUCGUAGGCCAAGGGGGCAAGACCUCUGUUUUAGCUUCUGCUUCCAAGAAAUGGAAGGAUUUCAAGUCUACACUAACGAGGCAUUAUAUCCUUCCAUACACCAAUGACAGGGAGAAAUUAAGCCAACCCCCUGAAACAUAUAAAUUCAUAGAGAAAGCACAAUGGGAUGCCUUUGUAGCUUCAAGGCUAUCCAAAGAUUUUGAGUCUGUGCAUUCUCAACAUGCACAGAUUAGGGAGAAACUCGAGUACAAUCAUCGAUUGUCUCGAAAAGGAUAUGCUGGAUUGGAGGAUCAAUUGGAGGAAACCAUGCCUGGGGUAGAAAUUGAUCGAUCUACCUUAUGGAAGAGAGCUAGACAGGACAAACAUGGUAACAUCCCUGAUCCAAAGGUGGCAGAGAAAGCAAAAUUAAUUGUAAGCCUACUAUCACUCUGUUUUAAAUUUUUAUUAAACUGUGAAUUAUUCUUAUUACGUCGUAUGUUAUAUUUUUCGUCGUGUGAAUGAUAUUACCACGUCGAAAAGUUUUUAAAAACGUCGUUAAAGGUCUAAAUAGGAAUCACUACUAUGUUUUCUGUAAUUAUAGCAUAAGACGUCGGUGGUUCAUUUUCGCGUCGUGUGAAUGAUAUUACCACGUCGAAACUUUUUUAAAAACGUCGUUAACGGUCUAAAUAGGAAUCACUACUCUGUUAUCUUUAAUUAUAGCAUAAGACGUCGGUUGUUUAUUCAUUUCGUCGUUUUAAAUAAAUAACCACGUCGGUAUAACUACCGUCGUGAUAAGUUAUAAUAACGUCGGUUUAUACGUUAUUGCGUCGUGUGAAAUUAUAUAAUACGUCGUUUGUACAUAAAUAACCGUCGUGUGUUUUUUUGUUUAUCUUUUUUUAGGAUGAAUUGCAGAAACAAGUCUCGGAAGGCAAAGUCAGAGUAGAUGGCAGCAAUGAUGUGCUGACCAUGGCUUUGGGCCCCGAGCAUCCAGACAGACUGAGGGGAGUUGGUGCUGGUGUUUUCCCAAGGCAAUAUUUCAAUUUGCCCAAACCACAGAGGGUGAGCUUUGACGACCGUUUGAAGGACAGUUUAAGAGUUCUCCUUCAAGAAGAGACUAAAAAAUUGGAGGCUAAGGCAAGGGAAGAGGCCUUAAGGAUGGAGGCUAGGACAAAACAAUUGGUAGAGGCUGAGAGGGAGCAUUUCCUGAGUCAGCUUUCCCAAUUAAUUCCCAAUUUUGAUCCAAGCAUGCUUAAACCAAGAAUUAGCCAAAGCCCCAAAAAUCCAAUGUCUGACAAAGCAAGCUGCUCUGGAGGUGAUGUGAGAUCCCUACAUUUGGAGGAUGAUACUGCCAAAAUGGGGAAACAUCAGCCAGAUGAAGAGAAGGAAGAAGAAAAGGAGAAAGAAGAUGAAGAAAAGCAUGACGACAAGGUAUGUUCACAUAACUUUGCCUUUUUUAUUUGUUUUUCAAAAUUUCAGACGUCGAUAUUUUUAUUUAAUCCGUCGUUUGUUUAAAAAUUAGACGGCGGACUUUUUUUAAGACGUAAUAAAAUAUUUAAACGACGGUUUUUGCACCGUCGUUUAAAUGGUUUCAGACGACGCUUUAUUAAUAAAACCGUCGUCUUUAUUGAAUUACCACGACAGUGUUUUCACCGUCGUUUAAAUCCUUUUAAGACGACGUUUUAUUCCUUAAACCGUCGUCUUUAUUGAAUUACCACGUCAUUUUUUUUUAUUUCUUUAAACAGGUUAUUGAAGUUGGUGCUUAUUCAAAUAUGGAGGCGCCAUCUUCUUUAAAAACCCUUUGUCGUUUUGUGGAAACGACACUCCUGCCUGAGGAUAAGACACUCCAAUUUACAAUUGAUAAGGAGGUGUUUGGUGGUGAGCGCGAUACCUUCCUCCUGCCUGAAGAUAUUACACAAUUUGCAGGCAUGGAAGAAAUUGGAGCUACUGUAUUGGCUGUAUAUAUGAGGUUUGUACUUCUAAGAUAAUAACUCGUUGGUUUAUAUAUUGCGUCGUCUUAACUAACUAACCACGUCGUCUUAACUAACUACCGUCGUGAUAAAUAUAUUAUAACGUCCUUAUCUAUUUCAGUACGUCGUGUGAAAUAUUAUAAUACGUCGUUUUUUUAUACAUAACCGUCGUGUUUGUUUUUGCUGACUUGUUUAUAUUAUUUUAUGUAUUUAGGUACUUACACGAUGUUUUGAAACAAGCCAAUAUGUGCAGCAUGGUUGGCUUUAUUGACCCUGCUACAGUUAGUGCCAACUCUGGCACAAUAACUGAAAGAUCACGACUGGUAGCAGCUCGACUUCAGAAGACAGACGGUGAACAGCUUUUCAUGAUGCCUUACAAUCCAGGGUUAGUCUCCUUAGGAUUUUGUUUUUAUGAUUUUCAAUAAAUGACAGCUUAUAAACUAACCACGUCGGUGUUUUAUUUUAUUUAGUCGUUUGAAACUACUAACCACGUCGGUAUUUAUUUGUCGUCGUGAUAAAUAUAUAAUGUCGUCGUUAUCUACUUUAUUUCGUCGUGUGAAAUACUAUAAUACGUCGUUUUUGUAAAUAACCGUCGUUUUUAUAUUAAUUUUGUGCAGCCGUCAUUGGAUCUUGCUGAUUGUAAGAGCAAAGAAGGAGACCGUCUAUUUUCUGGAUCCUCUGCCAGGUCAUCGUGUGGUCGACGAAGAGGCGAAAAACAUCGUGAACAGUACUUUAAAAAUAUAUAAUACCCACAUAGGCCGAGCAGGACGUAAAAAUGUAAUUUGGAAAACUCUCUCAGGCACACCAAAGCAACCCAGCAAUGUCGAAUGCGGGUAUUAUGUGAUGCGCUUCAUGAAGGACAUCAUCAUGGAUCCUUCCUUGGGGUUUGAGAAGAAGGUAAGAAGAAAUAACCUUCAAACAUUUUACAUCGUUUUUUAUAUUAUCAACGACGGUCAUGUAAAAUUACCGUCGUUGAAUAGAUAUACUACGUCGGUUAUGGUCGUCUGUGAUUGAAUUUCCUUUUAUUUAUAAACCCUAAUAGUCAUUGUUUUUAUGCAGUAUGCGAAGGGAAAACAGGAAGAGCCAUACCCCCAAGAAGCAAUUGAUGAAGUCCGGAAUGAAUGGACAGAGUUUGUUUGCCUUCAACUUAAAUAGGGGAAUUAUUGAACACUUGAUAUUUAUGUAUAAUGUACAAAUUUUGUCUAUAAUAUAUAAUGUAAAAAUUUGUUGAGGUUUUCUUAAAGUAAAAACAAAAACAAACAUACAAAAUGCGUUACCGACGUGUAAUAAUUUUCCAACGACCUAAUAAAGUCACAAACCGUCGUAUUUUGUUGUUUCGUGUUUUAAACAAAUACGACGUAAAAAUAUAGUUAGACGACGUUCUUUGAACAAUUGAGUCGUUUAUGGUUUACAACAUCUUCAAUUUCUUAAGGGUUCAGGGUAUCAUCGACGACGUUUAUGUAACGACAGCGGUUAAGUCGUUGAUAUAUAUAUUUUACGUCGUAUAGUUAAAUAGCCGCCAUGGUUUCUCAUUUUAACGACGUCAUUUUAACGACUUAGUAGUCUAUUACAAUUUACAACGUCUACAAUUUAUUAACACCGACGUGGUUUGUUGUUGUGGUAAGAAUAUUUUAUUAUUUUUAUAUCAAAAUAUUCAAAAUAAAUUUAAAAUAAAUCAGAAAAUUGAAAAGUCAACUCCUAUGAAGUCAUUGAUAUAUUUUCUUCCACAUAAACCUUGAAAAAAUUCAUUUUGAAUAACAAAAAUUUAAAAUGACCAUCCAAAACAAAAUUGUUUUGAUGAGUCAUAAAAUCACUUCUAGUUUUAUGGUUUAGGGUUUAGAGUCUAGGGUUUAGAGAUUAGGGUUGUUAUUUAUUGGGGUUUAUUUUUAAAGUAUAAUUUUUGGGUAGUCUAGGGUAUAUGUUAGGCUUUAAAACCAUAAAACCUUUUAUAAACUUAAUUUUUUAAAUUGUAUAAUUUAGUUUUAUGGGUUUAGGGUAUUAAUUUUUAACGACGGUGGUUGCGUCGUGGAAUACAUAUUUUACGUCGUACAGAAAAACAUACGACAUGGUUUACGCUUUAAACGACGUCAUUUUAAUAUGUAAGUCGGUUUAUAUAAUUUACAACGUCUUUAAUUUCUUAACACCGAUGUGGUUUUUCAGUCGUCGUUAUAUAAAAAAUUCAAAAUAAAUUUAAAAUUAAUCCGAAAAAUGAAGCUUCAAAAUGAACGGCCUUACGUUCUUAAUCCGAAAAAUGAAGUUUCCGUCGUGGAAUAUUAAAUUUACGUCGGUACGUGUAGAACUUUCGCCUUGGUUUUUCUUUCGACGUUUUAAAACGCACGAACUCUAAAAAUUUUCGCGCGACCUAAAUUUUUUUAGAUUUGGCUCUUAUUCUUAUACUUCGAACCCUGAAACCUAAAAUUUUCAGAUUUCGCGCGACAUAACAUUUCGCUCUCUCACUUCUGCUCUAAUUAAAAGUUGCACUCUCCAGGCUCCGUCGAAUCUGUGAGCUCGUCCAACCUGUAAGUAUAAACCCUAUCUUCCCCUUGUAAAUUCAUUGAAUGAUAUUAGGUUGUUUUGUUAAAGGGUUUUAUGUGUAUGCUUUGCGAUAUGUUAAUAAUGUGCUUAUAGGUAUGGGUUCAUGGAUUUUCUGUUUAAUGGGUUCAUGGAUUACAUUAUCUGUUAUGUUGAAUUGGGAAUGGAUUUAAUUUUGUCGUAUCUUUUAAUCACCCUAUGUUAUGUUGAAUUGGGAAUGGAUUUAUUGUUUUCAUGCUUGGUUUCAUGUAUAUGUUGGUUUCUUGCUUGGUUUCAUAUAUAUGUUGUGUUCUUAAUGGGUUUUGUGUUCUUGAAAAUAAACUGAGACACGACGAAUUUUAAGGCUUACGACGACGAUUACACGACGGUUUUUUUAAACUACCGUCGUUGUAUUACUUAUACACGACGGUUUUUUCAUAAACCGUCGUUUGUAUUACUUAUAAUAGACGACGUCUGUUGAAAAUCCGUCGUCUAUAUAUGCCAAAUACGUCUGUUUUUGUUUAAAACCUGUCGUCUCUGUUGUGUAUUACUUGCGAUUAGAUCAUUGUAUAAUCUGCUAUAGUGAUGGUCAUUGCCUGUAUUUUCACUUUAUUAUAGAUAAUAGGUUAUAGUGUCGGAGAUGGAUAAGUCAUGGAUGCACUCGGAUAGAAGAUCGAAGGCAUAUGAAUUUGGGGUGGAAGCAUUUUUGAACUUUGCUGUAGAAAAUCUUCUAACUACAACACAUAUCCGUUGUCCAUGUGUUAAAUGUGUUAAUUUGAAGUUGUUUGGGGUUGGAAUUAUAAGGGAUCACUUAUACUUUAAUGGAAUUGACCAAAGCUAUAAGAAUUGGACAUUUCACGGAGAACCUUGGGAAGCAACUACUAAUGCUAGUAGAAAUGUUGAAGAAGAUGAUGGCCAUAGUAGGUACAGUUUUGUGUCUGAAGAAAUUGAUAUGGAUGAUAAUGAUUUUGGUGAUUUUGGUUCGGAUCCGUAUGAGUUUGCCAAUGUGAUUGGGGAUGGAGAUCAACCAGUGUACCCUGGUUGUAGAAAGUACACGAAGUUAUCGGCAUUAGUGAAGUUGUAUAAUUUGAAGGCAAAACAUGGGAUGAGUGAUGUCUGUUUUACAGAAUUAUUGAUACUUCAAGGCGAUUUGCUUCCAGAAGGAAAUACAAUACCAACCUCCAUGUAUGAGGCUAAAAAGACUUUGUGUGCAUUGGGUAUGAGGCUAAAAAGACUUUGUGUGCAUUGGGGCUGAGUUAUGAGAAAAUGCACGCAUGCCCCAAUGAUUGCAUCUUGUAUAGGAAGGAGUAUGAGGAUUCAACUAAUUGUCCUACUUGUGGUAUCUCAAGGUGGAAGGAAGGCAAAGAUUCAAUCUUGAAAGAGGGUGUGCCAGCGAAGGUGGUGUGGUAUUUUCCCCCAAUUCCAAGGUUUAAAAGGAUGUUUCAAUCACAUGAGACAGCUAAGAGUUUGACUUGGUGGCAUGCUGCUAGAAAAUCAAUUGACGGUCAGAUGUCUCAUCCGGCGGAUUCCCCGUCUUGGAAACUUCUUGAUGAUAAAUGGCCUGAGUUUGGUAAUGAGCCGAGAAACUUGAGAUUGGCUCUUUCAUCUGAUGGAUUCAAUCCCCACAGUUCUCUAAGUAGCAGAUAUAGUUGUUGGCCGGUUAUCUUAGUUACAUAUAAUCUCCCUCCAUGGCUGUGCAUGAAACGAAAGUUCAUGAUGUUAACCUUAUUGAUUUCCGGUCCUAAACAACCCGGAAAUGAUAUAGACGUCUACUUGGAGCCUUUGAUUGAUGAUUUAAAAUCCUUGUGGGUUGGGAUUAGAGGAGUGUAUGAUGCACAUAAUGGAGAAUACUUUACACUCAGAGCUGCAUUAAUGUGGACAAUUAAUGAUUUCCCCGCCUAUGGAAACUUAUCUGGUUGUGUUGUUAAAGGAUAUAAAGCUUGUCCAAUAUGCGGCGAUGAUACACCUAGUCACAGGUUGAAAAAUGGCCACAAAAUUUGUUACAUUGGGCAUAGAAAAUGGUUACCAAUCAAUCAUCCAUAUAGGAAGGCAACGUGCAGCUUUAAUGGGAAACCUGAAUAUGGCAUACCUCCCGAGCCAUUAACCGGAGAAGAAGUGCUGCAUAUGGUUGAAAAUGGUGACAGAGUUUGUUGGAAGAAGAAAUCAAUAUUCUUUGAUCUCGAGUAUUGGAAAUACCUUCCUGUGAGGCAUGCCCUAGAUGUUAUGCACAUUGAGAAGAAUGUUUGCGAUAGUAUCAUUGGUACAUUGCUGGAGAUCCCUGGAAAAAAUAAAGAUGGGAUUGCUGCUCGAUUAGAUUUAUUGAACAUGGGGGUCAAAACUGAUUCGCAACCCGAGUAUGGAGAAAGACGUACUCGUUUGCCUCCUGGGCCUUGGAAUUUGUCAAAAGCAGAGAAGAGAGAGGUUUGCAAUUCUUUCUAUGGUAUGAAGGUCCCUGAAGGUUAUUCUUCAAAUAUUAAAAAUCUUGUAUCUUUACAAGAUUCAAGACUUCUUGGCCUUAAAUCACAUGAUUGUCAUACCUUAAUGCAACAAUUGCUCCCUGUGGCAAUUCGUUCUGUUUUGGAGAAGCCUGCAAGGUAUGCAAUAACUCGUUUGUGCUUCUUCUUCAAUGCUAUAUGUGCAAAGACUGUUGAUGUUUCCAAGCUAGAUAAGUUGGAAGAAGAUGUAGUAGUUACUCUGUGUUUGCUUGAGAAGUACUUUCCCCCUUCAUUCUUUGAUAUCAUGGUUCAUCUAGUAGUACAUCUUAUCAGAGAAGUUCGUCUAUGUGGGCCAGUAUAUUUUAGGUGGAUGUAUCCGUUUGAAAGAUAUAUGAAAGUGCUGAAGGGGUAUGUUCAGAAUCGUACUCGUCCCGAAGGUUGCAUUGCUGAGCGGUAUAUAGCUGAAGAAGCGGUAGAGUGUUGUACUCAGCAUUUAUCUGAUGUUAGUACAGUUGGAGUGCCUUCAAGCCAAAAGAUGGGACUUUCAAAGCCAUUAUCAGGUUGCACAGUGAGCGUAGUUGAUCAGGACCUGUUGAAUCAAGCACAUCUAUAUGUCUUGGAGAAUACGGAGGAAGUCCUACCUUAUAUCGAGUACGUAUGAGCUUUAUUCUUUAAGUUUCCAUUUUAAAUUAUUUCUUAUGUUUAUCUUCUAUAUUUAGGACCGUAAUGCUUGAAUUUUUCGUGUCAUGUAGGCAACAUAUGAUUCACAUCAAGACUGCUUAUCCAAAAUUUAGAAAGAGAACAAAGUGGCUGCAGGAUAAGCACAAUAGCACUUUCAUUCAAUGGCUACGCUUCAAGGUAUAUAUUGUUGAAUAACAUAUUUCUCUUUUAAUUUUCUUCUUAUUUAUAUGUUAGAUUGAAUUAAGAUAUGAUUAAUUUGCAGGUUCAAAGUGAACUUGAGGAAGACAAUCAUGGCGUAUCAGAAAAUUUAAGGUGGCUAGCAGCUGGUCCAAACAUGUCAGUGCCAUUAUAUAGGAGCUAUCUUAUUAAAGGUAUUAAAUUCAAUAUCAAGGCACAAGAUGAUGUGCGGACAACUCAAAAUAGUGGAGUUUAUUUACUUGCACAUACCAUGCAAGUUGCUAGUGCCAAGGAUAAAAACCCAAUUCUCUCAAAUAUGGGUUUCUAUGGUGUCAUUCAAGAAAUUUGGGACCUUGACUACCAAAAGUUUACAAUCCCAGUCUUUAGGUGUGAUUGGAUAGAUAGUUCUGGUCUUGUAGUCGACGAACUUGGAUUUACCCUUGUAGAUUUGAGUAAAAUUGGACAUAGGAAUGACCAAUUUGUUUUGGCUUCUCAAGUCAAACAAAUAUUUUUUGUUGACGACCCGAUGCAUCGUGGUUGGUCGGUAGUGUUAUCAAUGCCUAAUAGAGAAUAUAAUGAUGUUAUUGGUGAUGAAGUCUUAGGUGAUGUGAUAAUUGAGUGUGAGCCAUUUACUAGAGGGAUGCCAAAUGUUGACACAUUUGAUGAACUGGUGGGUGAGUUAGGCGGUCAAAAUAUUCGAGAUGGGUGUGAAGAUAUAUGGAUUGAAUGAUGCUUAUGUAAUUGGCAGUGUAUGACAUUAAUUUUGUAAUAUAUUGUAAUGUGAUUUCUUCACUUUCUACGUUCAAAUAAAACACGACGUUAUUGUGAACCAGUUAUUCAGCAUAUUUACCGACGUCUUAAAGCAACGUAACAAUGAAGAACCACGACGCAAUUGUGAAGCAAUUAUUCAGGAUAUCACGUCGGGGAAGGAUUAAGAACCGCCAUGUAAUUCAAAAUAACACGACUCCAAUCCCAUAAUACCGACGUUUAAAAAACGAGAUAUAUAAUCUGAACGUUAAAAAAUACGACGUCAUCAUACAUUUUCCACGUCGCAAGUUCUUUUAUAAACGAAGAGGAACGAAAUGAAUUCCGACGGAAAUUCAUUAUAACCGCCGUCUAAUAACAAUUAAACGACGUUAUUUGUAAUACGGCUCUCAUCAUAAUCAACGCCGUCUAUAUGUUCUGUAAUACGGCUCUCAUUUAUUUGGAACCGACGUUGUUUAGAAGUUCAACGUCGUCUAUAUUAUUAAGUGCGUCGUGAGUAAUGAUGAUAGAUAUAAAUACAACGUCGACUAUAUAAAUGCCACCGACGUUGUUUCGCAUUUCAACGUCAACUGUAUAAAUACAUACGUCGUAAAUAAUGACACUGACAACUAUUUCCACGUCAUCUUUUUUAGAAAAAUCGAAGUGGAAAAUUUAUUUCACGACGGUUGUUUGUAAAUAAGAGACGUAGUAUAUUUCAAUAACGUCGUCUUCUCAUGUAUUUAAAGACGUCAUAUUUUUUCUUGUCGUGUAAAUUAUAUUUAACGGCGUAAAAUUUUAGUUGUCGUCGUUGUAUGUAUAUCUUGCGGCCUUGUUCUUUUAACAUGUGUCAUAUUUUUCCUUUUCAACGACGGUGAUUUGUUUGAGUUGGUCGUCUAUUCUCAUCCUCGACUAUUUUCUAGAACUUUAGCAGACUAAACACGUCUGUUUUUAUUAUUUUCCGACGUUGUUUUAUUUAACAACGUCUAAUAUUUAUCGUCGUUGUUUGUUUCUGAAAAUAUGACGUAUAAAUUUUGUAAUACGACUCUCAUAUAUUUGUAACCGACGUUGUUUCGUUUUUCAACGUCUACUCAAUAAAUACAUACGUCGUAAAUAAUGACACUGACAACUAUUUCCACGUCAUCUUUUAUCGAAAAAUCGAAGUGGAAAAUUAAUUUUACGACGGCUGUUUUUAUAUAUGCGACGUAGUAGGUAUCAAUAACGUCGUCUUCUAAUGUAUUUAAAGACGUCAAAUUUUUUAUUGUCGUGAAAAUGAUAUUUAACGGCGUCGUUUUUUUAUUUCCGUCGUUGUAUGUCUAUCUUGCGGCCUUAUUCUCUUAAUAUGUGUCAUAUUUUUCCUUUUUAACGACGGUUUUUUUAGAGAGUUGGUCGUCUAUUCUCAUCCUCGACUGCUUUUUUAGAUCUUUUUGCAGUACAAAGACGUCGUUUUGUAUUUGUUGAUGACGUUGUAUAUUUUAACAACGACGGUGAUUUAGCGUCGUGGUAUAUGAGGGAAAAGAUGACGGUGGAUUCCACGACCAUUGAAAAAUCGAAUACACGACGGUGAUUUACCGUCGUCUUUUUGCUUUUUUGUAGUAGUGAUUGUCCAAUUUCAUUGGCCAAUCGAUAUUGGAUUGAGCCCAAAACUUGGUCAACAUCGUAAUAUGGUGGGAGGAUUCAUUUGGUGAGUUUUGAGUGAAAUCCAAUGGAUAAAACUACGCAAUACACCUACCACUCCGUUUACAGAACGAACUUCGUAUUAGACGUUGUUAAAUAAAACAACGUCGAAAACAAAUAAAAACAGACGUGUUUAGUCUGCUAAAGUUCUAAAAAAUAGUCGAGGAUGAGAAUAGACGACCAACUCAAACAAAUCACCGUCGUUAAAAAGGAAAAAUAUGACACAUAUUAAAAGAACAAGGCCGCAAGAUAGACAUACAACGACGACAACUAAAACACUACGCCGUCAAAUACAAUUUUCACGACAAGAAAAAAUAUGACGUCUUUAAAUACAUGAGAAGACGACGUUAUUGAAAUCUACUACGUCUCUUAUUUACAAACAACCGUCGUGAAAUAAAUUUUCCACUUCGAUUUUUCUAAAAAAGAUGACGUGGAAAUAGUUGUCAGUAUCAUUAUUUACGACGUAUGUAUUUAUAUAGUUGACGUUGAAUGCGAAACAACGUCGGUGGCAUUUAUAUUGUCGACGUUGUAUUUAUAUGUAUUCAUUACUCACGACGCACUUAUUAAUAUAGAUGACGUUGAACUUCUAAACAACGUCGGUUCCAAAUAAAUGAGAGCCGUAUUACAGAACAUAUAGACGGCGUUGAUUAUGAUGAGAGCCGUAUUACAAAUAACGUCGUUUAAUUGAUAUUAGACGGCGGUUAUAAUGAAUUACCGUCGGAAUUCAUUUCGUUCCUCUUCGUUUAUAAAAGAACUUGCGACGUGGAAAAUGUAUGAUGACGUCGUAUUUUUUAACGUUCAGAUUAUAUAUCUCGUUUUUUAGACAUCGGUAUUAUGGGAUUGGAGUCGUGUUAUUUUGAAUUACAUGAAGGUUCUUAAUCCUUCCCCGACGUGAUAUCCUGAAUAAUUGCUUCACAAUAGCGUCGUGGUUCUUCAUUGUUACGUUGCUUUAAGACGUCGGUAAAUAUGCUGAAUAACUGGUUCACAAUAACAUCGUGUUUUAUUUGAACGUAGAAAGUGAAGAAAUCACAUUACAAUAUAUUACAAAAUUAAUGUCAUACACUGCCAAUUACAUAAGCAUCAUUCAAUCCAUAUAUCUUCACACCCAUCUCGAAUAUUUUGACUGCCUAACUCACCCACCAGUUCAUCAAAUGUGUCAACAUUUGGCAUCCCUCUAGUAAAUGGCUCACACUCAAUUAUCACAUCACCUAAGACUUCAUCACCAAUAACAUCAUUAUAUUCUCUAUUAGGCAUUGAUAACACUACCGACCAACCACGAUGCAUCGGGUCGUCAACAAAAAAUAUUUGUUUGACUUGAGAAGCCAAAACAAAUUGGUCAUUCCUAUGUCCAAUUUUACUCAAAUCUACAAGGGUAAAUCCAAGUUCGUCGACUACAAGACCAGAACUAUCUAUCCAAUCACACCUAAAGACUGGGAUUGUAAACUUUUGGUAGUCAAGGUCCCAAAUUUCUUGAAUGACACCAUAGAAACCCAUAUUUGAGAGAAUUGGGUUUUUAUCCUUGGCACUAGCAACUUGCAUGGUAUGUGCAAGUAAAUGAACUCCACUAUUUUGAGUUGUUCGCACAUCAUCUUGUGCCUUGAUAUUGAAUUUAAUAAGAUAGCUCCUAUAUAAUGGCACUGCCGUGUUUGGACCAGCUGCUAGCCACCUUAAAUUUUCUGAUACGCCAUGAUUGUCUUCCUCAAGUUCACUUUGAACCUGCAAAUUAAUCAUAUAUCUUAAUUCAAUCUAACAUAGAAAUAAGAAGAAAAUUAAAAGAGAAAUAUGUUAUUCAACAACAUAUACCUUGAAGCGUAGCCAUUGAAUGAAAGUGCUAUUGUGCUUAUCCUGCAGCCACUUUGUUCUCUUUCUAAAUUUUGGAUAAGCAGUCUUGAUGUGGAUCAUAUGUUGCCUACAUGACACGAAAAAUUCAAGCAUUACGAUCCCAAAUAUAGAAGAUAAACAUAAGAAAUAAUUUAAAAUGGAAACUUAAAGAAUAAAACUCAUACGUACUCGAUAUAAGGUAGGACUUCCUCCGUAUUCUCCAAGACAUAUAGAUGUGCUUGAUUCAACAGGUCCUGAUCAACUACCCUCACUGUGCAACCUGAUAAUGGCUUUGAAAGUCCCAUCUUUUGGCUUGAAGGCACUCCAACUGUACUAACAUCAGAUAAAUGCUUAGUACAAAACUCUACCGCUUCUUCAGCUAUAUACCGCUCAGCAAUGCAACCUUCGGGACGAGUACGAUUCUGAACAUACCCCUUCAGCACUUUCAUAUAUCUUUCAAACGGAUACAUCCACCUAAAAUAUACUGGCCCACAUAGACGAACUUCUCUGACAAGAUGUACUACUAGAUGAACCAUGAUAUCAAAGAAUGAAGGGGGAAAGUACUUCUCAAGCAAACACAGAGUAACUACUACAUCUUCUUCCAACUUAUCUAGCUUGGAAACAUCAACAGUCUUUGCACAUAUAGCAUUGAAGAAGAAGCACAAACGAGUUAUUGCAUACCUUGCAGGCUUCUCCAAAACAGAACGAAUUGCCACAGGGAGCAAUUGUUGCAUUAAUGUAUGACAAUCAUGUGAUUUAAGGCCAAGAAGUCUUGAAUCUUGUAAAGAUACAAGAUUUUUAAUAUUUGAAGAAUAACCUUCAGGGACCUUCAUACCAUAGAAAGAAUUGCAAACCUCUCUCUUCUCUGCUCUUGACAAAUUCCAAGGCCCAGGAGGCAAACGAGUACGUCUUUCUCCAUACUCGGGUUGUAAAUCAGUUUUGACCCCCAUGUUCAAUAAAUCUAAUCGAGCAGCAAUCCCAUCUUUAUUUUUUCCAGGGAUCUCCAGCAAUGUACCAAUAAUACUAUCGCAAACAUUCUUCUCAAUGUGUAUAACAUCUAGGGCAUGCCUCACAGGAAGGUAUUUCCAAUACUCGAGAUCAAAGAAUAUUGAUUUCUUCUUCCAACAAACUCUGUCACCAUUUUCAACCAUAUGCAGCACUUCUUCUCCGGUUAAUGGCUCGGGAGGUAUGCCAUAUUCAGGUUUCCCAUUAAAAGCUGCACGUUGCCUCCUAUAUGGAUGAUUGAUUGGUAACCAUUUUCUAUGCCCAAUGUAACAAAUUUUGUGGCCAUUUUUCAACCUGUGACUAGGUGUAUCAUCGCCGCAUAUUGGACAAGCUUUAUAUCCUUUAACAACACAACCAGAUAAGUUUCCAUAGGCGGGGAAAUCAUUAAUUGUCCACAUUAAUGCAGCUCUGAGUGUAAAGUAUUCUCCAUUAUGUGCAUCAUACACUCCUCUAAUCCCAACCCACAAGGAUUUUAAAUCAUCAAUCAAAGGCUCCAAGUAGACGUCUAUAUCAUUUCCGGGUUGUUUAGGACCGGAAAUCAAUAAGGUUAACAUCAUGAACUUUCGUUUCAUGCACAGCCAUGGAGGGAGAUUAUAUGUAACUAAGAUAACCGGCCAACAACUAUAUCUGCUACUUAGAGAACUGUGGGAUUGAAUCCAUCAGAUGAAAGAGCCAAUCUCAAGUUUCUCGGCUCAUUACCAAACUCAGGCCAUUUAUCAUCAAGAAGUUUCCAAGACGGGGAAUCCGCCGGAUGAGACAUCUGACCGUCAAUUGAUUUUCUAGCAGCAUGCCAAGUCAAACUCUUAGCUGUCUCAUGUGAUUGAAAAAUCCUUUUAAACCUUGGAAUUGGAGGAAAAUACCACACCACCUUCGCUGGCACACCCUCUUUCAAGAUUGAAUCUUUGCCUUCCUUCCACCUUGAGAUACCACAAGUAGGUCAAUUAGUUGAAUCCUCAUACUCCUUCCUAUACAAGAUGCAAUCAUUGGGGAUGCGUGCAUUUUCUCAUAACUCAGCCCCAAUGCACACAAAGUCUUUUUAGCCUCAUACAUAGAGGUUGGUAUUGUAUUUCCUUCUGGAAGCAAAUCGCCUUGAAGUAUCAGACAUCACUCAUCCCAUGUUUUGCCUUCAAAUUAUACAACUUCACUAAUGCCGAUAACUUCGUGUACUUUCUACAACCAGGGUACACUGGUUGAUCUCCAUCCCCAAUCACAUUGGCAAACUCAUACGGAUCGGAACCAAAAUCACCAAAAUCAUUAUCAUCCAUAUCAAUUUCUUCAGACACAAAACUGUACCUACUAUGGGCAUCAUCUUCUUCAACAUUUGUACUAGCAUUAGUAGUUGCUUCCCAAGGUUCUCCGUGAAAUGUCCAAUUCUUAUAGCUUUGGUCAAUUCCAUUAAAGUAUAAGUGAUCCCUUAUAAUUCCAACCCCAAACAACUUCAAAUUAACACAUUUAACACAUGGACAACGGAUAUGUGUUGUAGUUAGAAGAUUUUCUACAGCAAAGUUCAAAAAUGCUUCCACCCCAAACUCAUAUGCCUUCGAUCUUCUAUCCGAGUGCAUCCAUGACUUAUCCAUCUCCGACACUAUAACCUAUUAUCUAUAAUAAAGUGAAAAUACAGGCAAUGACCAUCACUAUAGCAGAUUAUACAAAGAUCUAAUAGCAAGUAAUACACAACAGAGACGACGGUUUUUAAACAAAAACAGACGUAUUUGGCAUAUAUAGACGACGGAUUUUCAACAGACGUCGUCUAAUAUAAGUAAUACAAACGACGGUUUAUGAAAAAAGCGUCGUGUACAAGUAAUACAACGACGGUUUUUUCAUAAACCGUCGUGUAAUCGUCGUCGUAUGCCUAAAAAGGCGUCGUGUCUCAAUUUAUUUUCAAGAACCCAAAACCCAUUAAGAACACAACAUAUAUAUGAAACCAAGCAAGAAACCAACAUAUACAUGAAACCAAGCAUGAAAACAAUAAAUCCAUUCCCAAUUCAACAUAACAUAGGGUGAUUAAAAGAUCCGACAAAAUUAAAUCCAUUCCCAAUUCAACAUAACAGAUAAUGUAAUCCAUGAACCCAUUAAACAGAAAAUCCAUGAACCCAUACCUAUAAGCACAUUAUUAACAGAUCGCAAAGCAUAUACCUAAAACCCUUUAACAAAACAACCUAAUAUCAUUCAAUGAAUUUACAAGGGGAAGAUAGGGUUUGUACUUACAGGUUGGACGAGCUCACAGAUUCGACGGAGCCUGGAGAGUGCAACUUUUAAUUAGAGCAGAAGUGAGAGAGCGAAUGUUAUGUUGCGCGAAAUCUGAAAAUUUUAGGGUUCAGGGUUAGAAGUAUAAGAAUAAGAGCCAAAUAUAAAAAAAAUUAGGGCGCGCGAAAAUUUUUAGAGCGCGCGCUCUUUAAAACGUCGAAAGAAAAACCAUGGCGAAAGUUCUACAAGAACCGACGUAAAUGUAAUAUUCCACGACGGAAACACUGAACGUAACGCCGUUUAUUUUGACGCUUCAUUUUUCGGAUUAAUUUUAAAUUUAUUUUGAAUAUUUUGAUAUAAAGACGACUGAAAAACCAUGUCGGGGUUAAGAAAUUGAAAACGUUGUAAAUUAUAAUAGACGACUUACAUAUUAAAAUGACGUCGUUUAAAGUGGAAACCAUGUCGGAUAUUUUACUGCACGACGUAACAUAUGUAUUCCACGACUCAACCACCGUCGUUAACAAUUAAUACCCUAAACCCUUAAAACUAAAUUAUAUAAUUUUAAAAAUUAAGUUUAUAAAAGGGUCUAUGGUUUUACAGCCUAAUAUAUACCCUAGACUACCCAAAAAUUAUACUUUAAAAAUAAACCCCAAUAAAUAACAACCCUAAUCUCUAAACCCUAGACUCUAAACCCUAAACCAUAAAACUAGAAGUUAUUUUAUGACUCAUCAAAAUAAUUUUGUUUUGGAUGGUCAUUUUAAAUUUUUGUUAUUCAAAAUGAAUUUUUUCAAGGUUUAGGGGGAAGAAAAUAUAUCAAUGACUUCAUAGGAGUUGACUUUGCAUUUUUCUGAUUUAUUUUAAAUUUAUUUUGAAUAUUUUGAUAUAAAAAUAAUAAAAUAUUCUUAUCACAACAACAAACCACGUCGGUGUUAAUAAAUUGUAGACGUUGUAAAUUGUAAUAGACGACUAAGUUGUUAAAAUGACGUCGUUUAAAUGAGAAACCAUGGCGGAUAUUUAACUAUCCGACGUAAAAUAUAUAUUCCACGACUUAACCGCUGUCGUUACAAAGUACUACCCUGAACCCUUAAGAAAUUGAAGACGUUGUAAACCAUAAACGACUCAAUUGUUCAAAGAACGUCGUCUAAAUAUCCUUUUACGUCGGAUUUGUUUAAAACGAAACAACAAAAAACGACGGUUUUUGACUUUAUUAGGUCGUUGGAAAUGUAUUACACGUCGGUUACGCAAUUUGUAUGUUUGUUUUUUUUUUAAUUUAAGAAAACCUCAACAAAUUUUUACAUUAUAUAUUAUAGACAAAAUUUGUACAUUAUACAUAAAUAUCAAGUGUUCAAUAAUUCCCCUAUUCCAGGUGAAGGCAAACAAACUCUGCCCAUUCAUUCCGGACUUCAUCAAUUGCUUCUUGGGGGUAUGGCGCUUCCUAUUUUCCCUUGGCAUACUGCAUAAACAAUGACUAUUAGGGUUUAUAAAUAAAAAGAAAUUCAAUCACAGACGACGAUAUUUUUCAUAACCGACGUACUAUAUCUAUUCAACGACGGUAAUUUUACAUGACCGUCAUUGAUAAUACAAAAAAAGACGUAAAAUGUAUGAAGGUAAUUUCUUCUUACCUUCUUCUCAAACCCCAAGGAAGGAUCCAUGAUGAUGUCCCUCAUGAAGCGCAUCACAUAAUACCCGCAUUCGACACUGCUGGGUUGCUUUGGUGUGCCUGACAGAGUUUUCCAAAUGACUGCCUUACGGCCUGGUCUAGCUAUGUGAGAAUUAUAAAUUUUUAUAGCACUGUUCACAAUGUUUUUGGCCUCUUCAUCGACCACACGAUUUCCUGGCAGAGGAUCCAGAAAAUAGACGGUUUCUCUCUUUGCUCUUACAAUCAGCAAGAUCCAAUGACGGCUGCACAAAAUUAAUAUAAAAACGACGGUUAUUUACAAAAAUGACGUAUUAUAAUAUUUCACACGACGAAAUAAAGUAGCAAUCGACGACAUUAUACAUUUAUCACGACGAUAAAUAACUACCGACGUGGUUAGUAGUUUCAAACGACUCAAUAAAAUAAAACACCGACGUGGUUAGUUUAUACGCUGUCAUUUAUUGAAAAUCAUAAAAACAAAAUCCUGUUAAGGAGACUAACCCUGGAUUGUAAGGCAUCAGGAAAAUCUGUUCACCGUCAGUCCUCUGAAGUCGAGCUGCUAGUAGGCGUGAUCUGUCAGCUAUUGUGCCAGAGCUAGCACUAACUGUAGCAGGGUCGAUAAAGCCAACCAUGCUGCACAUAUUUGCUCGUUUCAAAACAUCGUGUAAGUACCUAAAUAUAUAAAAUAAUAUAAACAAGUCAGCACAAAAAAACACACGACGGUUAUGUAUAACAAAACGACGUAUUAUAAAAUUUCACACGACGUACUGAAAUAGACAACGACGUUAUAAUAUAUUUAUCACGACGGUACAUACUAACAACGUGGUUAGUUAGUUAAGACGACGCAAUAAAUAAACCAACGACGUAUUAUUUUAGAAUGACAAACCUCAUAUAUACAAAAAAACACACGACGGUUAUGUAUAACAAAACGACGUAUUAUAAAAUUUCACACGACGUACUGAAAUAGACAACGACGUUAUAAUAUAUUUAUCACGACGGUACAUACUAACGACGUGGUUAGUUAGUUAAGACGACGCAAUAAAUAAACCAACGACGUAUUAUUUUAGAAUGACAAACCUCAUAUAUACAGCAAUGACAGUGGCUCCUAUUUCUUCCAUGCCUGCAAAUUGUGUAAUAUCUUCAGGCAGGAGGAAGGUAUCGCGCUCUAGACCAAACACCUCCUUAUCAAUUGUAAAGUGCAGGGUCUUAUCCUGAGGCACGAGUGUCGUUUCAACAACUUGAAUAACCUGUUUAAAGAAAUAAAAAAAAUGACGUGGUAAUUCAAUAAAAACGACGGUUUAAGGAAUAAAACGUAAAAAAAAUGACGUGGUAAUUCAAUAAAAACGACGGUUUAAGGAAUAAAACGUCGUCUGAAAAGAAUUUAAACGACGGUGAAGAAACCGUCGUGGUGAAUAAUUUAUUACGUCUUAGAAAAAAAUUCCGCGGUCUAAGUUUUAAACAAACGACGGUUUAAAGAAAAAUAUCGACGUCUGAAAUUUUGAAAAACAAAUAAAAAAGGCAAAGUUAUGUGAACAUACCUGGUCGUCAUCUUCUUUCUCCUUUUCAUCUUGUUUUUCUUCUUUCUUCUCUUCAUCUAUUACGUCGGGAAUGACUAACUCCGUCGUCUAAAAACCACAAAGUUUUAAAAAUAACGACGUUUAAUGGCGUGUAAAACAAGUAAACUAAAUACGACGUGGUAUUGAAAUACAAACGACGGUUUAAUUUUAAAAUCGUCGUGGUAUGUAUUUCAAACGACGGUUUUAUUAAUAAUAACGACGUCUAAUGGUUUUAAAAAAAAACAGAGAAUUCAAAGUUCAGAUAUGUUACCUUUUCUUCCUGAUGUUUCCCAUUUUUGGCAGUAUCAUCCUCAAAAUGUAGGGAUCUCACAUCACCUCCAGAGCAGCUUGCUUUGUCAGACAUUGGAUUUUUGGGACUUUGGCUAAUUCUGGGUUUAAGCAUGGUUGGAUCAAAAUUGGGAAUUAAUUGGGAAAGCUGACUCAGGAAAUGCUCCCUCUCAGCCUCUACCAAUUGUUUCGUUCUAGCCUCCAUCCUUAAAGCCUCUUCCCUUGCCUUAGCUUCCAUCUUUUUAGUCUCUUCUUGAAGGAGAACUCUUAAACUGUCCUUCAAACGGUCGUCAAAGCUCACUCUCUGUGGUUUGGGUAAAUUGAAAUAUUGCCUUGGUGAGAUCCCAGCACCUACUCCUCUCACUCUGCCUGGAUGCUCGGGACCCAAAGCCAUGGUCAGCACAUCAUUGCUGCCAGAUACAGUGACUUUGCCUUCCGAGACUUGUUUUUGCAAUUCAUCCUAAAACAAAGAUAUAUAAAAAAGUAAGAACAAAAACACACGACGGUUAUUUAUAUACAAACGACGUAUUAUAUAAUUUCACACGACGCAAUAACAUAUAAAUCGACGUUAUUAUAAUUUAUCACGACGGUAGUUAUACUGACGUGGUUAGUUUUUAAAACGACGAAAUGAAUAAACCACCGACGUCUUAUGCUUUAUUUACAGAUAACAGAGGGAUGAUUCAAUAUUCACACCUUUAACGACCUUGUUUAAAACAUUUCGACGUAGUAAUUCAAUACAAACGACGCGAAAAUGAACCACCGACAUCUUAUGCUAUAAUUACAGAAAACAGAGUAGUGAUUCCUGAUUUAGACCUUUAACGACGUUUUCUAAAAAAUUUCGACGUGGUAAUAUCAUUCACACGACGCAAAAAAUAACAUAAGACGUAAUAAGAAUUAUUCACAGUUUAAUAAAAAUUUAAAACAAAGUGAGUAGGCUUACAAUUAAUUUUGCUUUCUCUGCCACCUUUGGAUCCGGGAUGUUACCAUGUUUGUCCUGUCUAGCUCUCUUCCAUAAGGUAGAUCGAUCAAUUUCUACCCCAGGCAUGGUUUCCUCCAAUUGAUCCUCCAAACCAGCAUAUCCUUUUUGAGACAAUCGAUGAUUGUACUCAAGUUUCUCCCUAAUCUGUACAUGUUGAGAAUGCACAGACUCAAAAUCUUUAGAUAACCUUGAAGCUACAAAGGCAUCCCAUUGUGCUUUCUCUAUGAAUUUAUAUGCUUCAGGGGGUUGGCUUAAUCUCUCCCUGUCAUUGGUGUAUGGAAGGAUAUAAUGCCUCGUUAGUGUAGACUUGAAAUCCUUCCAUUUCUUGGCAGCAGAAGCUAACACAGAGUUCUUGCCCCCUUGACCUACCACAAAAGCAAUGUCAACUGCUUCCCAAAUCUGCUCCUUUAUAUCCUUGGGGAUUUGAGCCCAUUUCAUGUCCACAAGUGGAACUCUGGAGCGUGCCAACACACCAAUGUAGGACUGCAUCUCACUAUGUGCUUGGCCAAUUCCUUUCCCCCUUUUAUUGUACUCAACAAUUGGCCUCAGUUUCUGAAGUUUUCUCUUCACAACACGAGGCAUUGUGCUCAUACCUCGACCAGACUUUGAAUCAUCAGAGAUUGUUGUCGUGCUGGUUGGUUCUGUCUCAGCAGAUGAUGAAGCAAACUUCAUCUUCUUCGAAGGCUUCACUUGAGGAGGUACCAUUGCAAGCUCCUUACCUCCAUUUUUCUUGGAGCCAGAAUCCUUACUUUGGUCUUGGUGAGAAACCAUUUUUACAGACAAAACUGCAAGUGAAAAUAUUUCAGGAAAAGAUUAAGAACACAAACGACGGUUAUUAAUAAAAUACGACGUAUGAUAUGAUUUUAAACGACGCAAUGAAAUAAUCUCAGACGUAAUAAAUGUUUAAAACCAAGGUAAUUAAACAACGACGAAAUAAUUAACUAUUAACGACGUGAUAAUUAACUAUAAACGACGAAAUAUUUAUAUAACGUCGUGGUAUUGAUGUUCACACGACGUCAGUAGUAAUAUACCGUCGUCUAUAUAAGGAUCCAAAACCCUUCUUUCUUUCUCUGUGAAUGUUUGAUUGCAGAUUUGAUUUUUCUGAACCAUGGUUUUUGUUUUCUAAUUUGAUAAAAUACAAGGCCAAGAAAGAAAGUUUUGGAAUCUUAUAUAGACGACGGUAUUUUAAUAUGACGUCGUGGUAUUAACAUUCACACGACGUAAAACAAUAAGAUACUGUCGUCUAUAUUAGAUACCAACCCUACUUUCUUUUUCUUUAUAUUUUAUCAAGUUAGGGAAAAACAAAAACCAUUGUUCAGAGAAAUCAAACCCGCAAUUAAACAAGCAAAUAAAAAAAAGACUAUAAUUUUAAAAACAACUUUGUCAAUUUUCAGACGACGCUAGAACGACUGACGAACCGUCGUGGUCUACAUAUUUAACCACGUAAAUAAGAAGCUACCGUCAUCUUAUUUAGUUGAGGUAGUUGUCUUCAAAGUUGGAAACUUUCCAUUUUAUCGAACUUGGAAAGAAGUAAAAUGAUUUUGGCCAGAAAAAAGGUAAAAAGAUUUUUCAAACAAAAAACGUAUGAGCAUGCAAAACAGCAACCAAAAUAGUGAAAAUGAAAGCUUACCUUUUGCGUGCAAUGAAAGCAAGAGGAAGAUUAUGUUUAAGUUCAGAGACGACGAAGAAGACGAGAGGAAGACGAUGAGAUACUCUGACAGUGCUCUGACAAGGAAAAAAGUCUAAAGUUUUCUCUGGGAGAUUGAAAUUUUUAAUCGGGUUUGGAAACAGCACAUGUGUAUGUCAGGUAGACGAAAAGUUGCUUACAUAUAAAACCAUUUCAAAAAAAUAAUACGGCGGUUACAUAUAACUACGACGUAUAAAUUACAAAAUACGACGGUAAAUUUAACUUCGGACGUGGUAAAUAAAUACGACAGUAGUGUUGUAGGUACCGUCGUAGUAAACUCAAAAAUUAAAGUACAUAAGUAAUAACUCGCGUCAUGGUAGAUUAUUUAACACGUCGUUUUUAUUAAUGUACCGACGUGGAUUUCUGUAAUAUACGUCGAUCAUACCGACGUUGAUUUUACAAUUUAAACGGCAGUUUUUUUGUAAGGACCGCCGUUGGUUUUAAAAAUUUAUUCUAUAAAUUUGUCGCUUUCAUUCAUUUUCCGUUUACAUUUAGGGUUCCAAGUUCUUCCUCUCUCAGUCUCUCACGUCUCAAAGACAAUAAUUUGGAUGUCUUUCUCAAAGAUAAAUUGAGCUUACUCGCAUCAAAUAUAUGUCCACAAGAAGAAGCUUGUCGACUAGCCUUCUCACUUCCUUGAUCAAGCCUGAUAGGACACUUAGUGCUUCUGAAUACUCCUUGCUUUCCAUCAAAAGAGAUGCAAGCCUGGCCUCCACUCGCUGUCGAAGGAAAGUUCGCUUCUCAGGGAAAUCUGCUUGAUUUUCUUGGCUAAGAAGAUCCGUCAGAUUUGUGAUAGCCUCUUCCUUUAUCCGUAGAGCUUCAGAAGAAGAAGAUGGGUUUCAAGAAUGCGAUAAAGAAUAGAAAUGGCUUCAGAUGGCCUCUAAAGCAUGAGCAAUCGAAUCAGUAUUUGCUGGGAGAUAUGAUGAAGACAUUGUCAAUGCUUUGAACUAUACAAGUCCUGCAGAAAGAUAAAGGACCAAACAGUUAAAGAAACUGAAACAACGGCGGUUUUCUGUUCUACCGUCGUCUUUUCUCGUCGUCUAUAUUAAGGUAAGAUGGCGGUAGAUUUAUAAUUACCGACGUAGAUUAUUUUGUUAAACGUCGUUAAGUGUACUACAACCGACGUGGAUUUUAUUUUUAAAUUAUAAAUAGAGUUUUUUUUCCCGAAUUCUUUCAGUUUUAGUUUUCAAUUACAAAGCGUGAUAAAUAGAUUUUUCUUUCCCGAGGAAAUUUAAAAUGAGGGAAAUUAAUGUUCUAGAAUUUGUAAACUAACACGACGCAAUAUUACUAACCCGAGGAAAUUAUAAAUAGAUUUUGCUUUCCCGAAUAAAUUUUAAAUUAAUUCAGUUUGAAACAACGACGGUUUUUUGUUAUGCCGUCGUUUUUAACUAACACGACGCAAUAUUUGUUUUGCGACGUGGAAUCUUUUCAUUUAACGUCGUUAUGUUUAAUAUAACCGACGUAGAUUUGAAUUUUUAAAUUAUGAAUAGAAUUUUUUUUCCCGUGACCUUUCAGUUUAUUUUUCAAUUACAGUGCGUUAUAAAUAGAGUUUUUUUUUCCGGAGGAAAUUUAAAAUGAAGGAAAUUAAUGUUCUGGAAUAUGUAAAGUUUCUUUUUUGGAGGACAGAUUUAAAUAAAAUAAGAAUAUAAAAACAACGACUGUUUUUUUAUUACUGUCGUCGUUUUUCGUCGUCUUAAGUAAGACUAAGACGACGUAAUAUAUUUGUUUAGCGACGUUGAUUUAUUUUUUAAACGUCGUUAGGUAUAAUAUAACCGUCGUUGAAAAUUGUCUCUCUGAUUGCAAAUUUGCCACGACGUUAGGUAUAAUAUUUGUAGAUACACAAACGCACAUACAUCAUCAACUUCCAAAAAAUUGUCUCUCUGAUUGCAAAUCUGUGUCAUCUGUUAAGAUUAUGAUGUGGAACAGAGUUCCAUCUGGUAAGAUUUUGUAACCCUUGGGAUCUCAAACAAAUCUGAUUAUGUCGGCGGUUUUCUAUAUAAACCGUCGUGGUUAUUUCAAUUCUUGUCAUUAAGUAGAUCUACCGACGUAGGAUAAGAAAAUCAAAGAAAAAAAUUGUUAACAAAAAUUCUUAUUAAGACGACGGUUAAAAUUAAAGGUACGACGUAUAAAAUGAAUACAUACGACGUUAAAUUUUAUUGUACGAUUUAAAGAUAACGUCGUAGAACUAUACGAGAAUGACGUCGAUAUAUUUAUAUUUUUCGUCGUUGUACAUUAAUUUAAUACGGCGAUAUUUUGUAUUUUAAAGCCGUGGAUUUGUUUGUAAUUAUACGGCGUCUUAUACGAAAACCUCGUCGUGUUAUUUUAUGAGUAAAAACGGCGGUUUUUAUUGAAAUCGUCGUCUUUACUUUCUACGUCGGUCGAUUCAUAACUUCUGCCGUUCUUUGUUGGCAUUGAUUUUACACUGCGGAAAUCUGUUUCAAAUAGACGUCGGUUGUUUAAUUAGGUACGUCGUUGUUUUUGAACAGCCAUUUGAAUCUCCAUUUUUUAGUUGUCUAAGGUUGUAUUACACGACGGUGUUUUUAGAACCGUCGUCUUUUUAAAAACCACGACGGUUUUCACUUAGACCGUCGUUGUUUUCUGGUCGUCUUUUUCACUUUUUGUAGUAGUGGAUGGAAUAUUGCUUUUGGUGCUGGUGCUGCAUAUCUAGAUGGAAUAUUGCAAAACGGUGAUUUGAGAUGGAAUAUGGGCUGGUGCUGGGUUUGUAUGACAGUUGUUGCUGCGGAAGCGAUUGCUAGGGUUAGGGCAAAAGACAGUCAAGGUCGACUGCUCUGAUACCAUAUCAGAUUGGGUAAAAAAUAAUACUUCAUUCAUAUUGAUAUAUAACAAUAGGAAGGUUAUAUUUACAGAGCCUAGGAAAUUAUUCUAGGAAAGUAAUUAUGUUCCUAUAAUCUUGCAGAAUCAAAUAGUUGACUUAGACUAAUUAGGAAUGUACAGCUCACUGACAAUAAUUGCUGACCAUCUUGAUACCAAUGAGCAGCCUAUGUUGAAAUCUCCAUUGACAAGGGAGAAGCAAAUGGCUGCCAUUUAUACUCGUAAAAUUUUCUACAAGUUUCAAAAAGAGUUGUGGAAAUGUUUGGCAUGUGUACUUCAACUUGCAAGGGAGGAUGACAAGUUAUGUUAUAAGGUAAUGGAGAGGAAAAAAAUGGUAGCUUCAAGUUGAAGGUGCGAGAAGUCAUGGUUGACAAAGUUGCAGACUAUGCUUCAUGUAUAUGUAAGAAAUUUGAAUUUGAAGGAAUCUUAUGCAGGCAUGUGUUGGCAUACAUGAAAAUGAAACAAACUGAGUAUUUGUCAAAUAAAUAUAUAUUAAAGAGGUCGACAAGAGCCGCAAAGUCUGACNNNNNNNNNNNNNNNNNNNNNNNNNNNNNNNNNNNNNNNNNNNNNNNNNNNNNNNNNNNNNNNNNNNNNNNNNNNNNNNNNNNNNNNNNNNNNNNNNNNNNNNNNNNNNNNNNNNNNNNNNNNNNNNNNNNNNNNNNNNNNNNNNNNNNNNNNNNNNNNNNNNNNNNNNNNNNNNNNNNNNNNNNNNNNNNNNNNNNNNNNNNNNNNNNNNNNNNNNNNNNNNNNNNNNNNNNNNNNNNNNNNNNNNNNNNNNNNNNNNNNNNNNNNNNNNNNNNNNNNNNNNNNNNNNNNNNNNNNNNNNNNNNNNNNNNNNNNNNNNNNNNNNNNNNNNNNNNNNNNNNNNNNNNNNNNNNNNNNNNNNNNNNNNNNNNNNNNNNNNNNNNNNNNNNNNNNNNNNNNNNNNNNNNNNNNNNNNNNNNNNNNNNNNNNNNNNNNNNNNNNNNNNNNNNNNNNNNNNNNNNNNNNNNNNNNNNNNNNNNNNNNNNNNNNNNNNNNNNNNNNNNNNNNNNNNNNNNNNNNNNNNNNNNNNNNNNNNNNNNNNNNNNNNNNNNNNNNNNNNNNNNNNNCGAUGGUAGAUUGACCUUGCGAAGGCUAUAUCUAAAGGAAAAGCAAACAGAGCCAUGCCACUAGAAUACAGAUUUUUGUUUUGUAAAUUUUUUAUUAAGUUAUUCGGUGUUGAUUUUUCAAGUACUUAUCAUGAAAAAAAUGAAAAAGUACGAUUUAUUUAUUUUAUUUUUUAAAAAACACUUCUGAAUGAAGCCAAUUUGGCCAUCUAAAAAGACUAUGUUUUAGCGGCUAGCUAGCAAUCUUCUUUCUGUCCAAACAGGACGCAUAACUAAGUCCAAAUGAUAAGACUUGUCGGAUUGGGAGGCUCUCCCUCCCUCCUUCAACUCUUAUGUGUGUGUGUGUGCGCGUGCGCGAUUAGAACCAGUGUUUUCAAAGGCAUGCCUAGGCAUGCGUUGAGGCGCGCCUCGGAGCGAGGCGGAGGUGAUUCGCCUCAGGCGCAGCUCAGUUUAGCGAAUGUUAUGAAAGGCGUACGCCUUGAAGUCGAGGCGGUCCGAGGCGGCCGCUAAACACAAAUGCGCUGUAAAAGGCGCAAGCCUCGCGAGGAAGACAGACUUCCUUUAUUUGAAAAAUCUGAUUCCAGACGACGUCAUUUGCACGGGCUGUGUUGUUUUGUUUCCCUUUAGUUAAGCUGUGCGUUUCAGUUUUAAGUUUUAAUAUUAGACACGCACCGUUUUGUUCAAAGGAAACUAGUUUACCCAUUUAUUCCUUCCCUCUCCCAAAAGCCAAAGUUCCUAAACAGACCAACAGAAACCGCCUCCCUCCUUCCACCAUCAGUUCAGUCCACCUCCAUAAUCUACUCUUUUAUCUAUUCGAACUAGGUAGAAAGGCACUAGACUUAGAGAGAUAAUUUAACCAAAAGGAUAUAUAGUAAAGAAUUGAGCAAUAGUAAGAGAAAUUUUGAAAUAAACAUGCUUUGAUGGUUAAUUUAUAUUCUAGAGUGGCAUUUAAUACAUUAAAUAGCUGUUUUAUAUUUUUGUAAUUAUAAUAACUCAAUACCCGAAAGGCUUACGUUUCAACGCUUUUAUACCUNNNNNNNNNNNNNNNNNNNNNNNNNNNNNNNNNNNNNNNNNNNNNNNNNNNNNNNNNNNNNNNNNNNNNNNNNNNNNNNNNNNNNNNNNNNNNNNNNNNNNNNNNNNNNNNNNNNNNNNNNNNNNNNNNNNNNNNNNNNNNNNNNNNNNNNNNNNNNNNNNNNNNNNNNNNNNNNNNNNNNNNNNNNNNNNNNNNNNNNNNNNNNNNNNNNNNNNNNNNNNNNNNNNNNNNNNNNNNNNNNNNNNNNNGAGCUUGGCAACAAACCCCAUCUCUCUCUCACCAAGCUUUCUCAAAUCCAUGGCCCCCAUUAUAACUCUGCAACUCGGCCAAAGUAACAACGGUGUUUGUUUCUUCACCAAACACAGCCAAACAAGUCCUCCAAACCCAUGACCAAUUCUUGUCCAACCGAAUCGUUCCAGAUGCAAUCCAAGCCUGUGACCUUCGCCAGGACAGCCUGUCAUGGAUACCACCUUCAGCCAAAUGGAGAAGCCUUCGACAAAUAUGCAACUCUCAAUUGUUCGCCGCCAAAAUCCUCGACGCCAACCAACCAAACUGCCGUGUAAAAGUACAAGAGCUCAUAUCUCAGGUCAAUGAAAGUGCGGUCAACGGUGAGGCGGUAGAUAUUGGAAGGGCCGCUUUCAAAACUAUGCUCAAUCUGCUGUCUCGUACAGUUUUCUCAGUGGAUUUGACUGACCCAAGUAGCGAGAUGGCCAGAGAGUUCAAGGAUACUGUGUGGGGUUUGAUGGAAGGGGCAGGGAUCCCAAACGUAGGGGACUUUUUUCCUGUCCUUAGGAAAAUUGACCCCCAGGGCAUUAGGCAUGAUCAAACAUUUCAACAAGAUGGAACAGCUUUUUGACUGCAUGAUUAGCCAAAGAUUGGCAUCAAGAAAAGCCCAUGAUUAUGUCACAACCAAUGAUAUGUUGGAUACUCUUCUGAACAUCAGUGAAGCGAACAGUGAGGACAUAGACAAGACCAAAAUUCAAAAUCAUACACCAGGAUAGGAAUCCACCCUAUAAUAGAUAUGGUUUUCUAUAUGGGUUGCGCAUAUUGGUCCAUUAAAGUUAUUUGUUCAAUCUCAUCAAGACAGAUUGGGAAAGGCAACUGGGGUGAUUUGAAGAAAAUGGAGCCAUCUAAAUUCUUAUCAUGUGCAUGUCGGUACGAAAUUUAUGGUCUGCAAUCGAAAGAAUUAGAGGCCUGCAACCUGCUCAUUACUUAUGGACAAGGGAAAAAGACAUGUUGAGAACGUAACAUGCAUCGAAUAACCUUUUUUUUUCACGGAAACGCCAAGCAAUUUAAGGUCAAUUUUAUCGUGCACGACAAAAAUUAAGACGGAAUCGCAGAGAAAAGAAAGAAGCCACCGAGGCCCGCGGUUAAUAUAACCAAGGAUGAAACAAUACAAAAAAAAAUCCACAGCCAACAGGUAGCAAUCAAAGGACCACCAACUCUACUGUUUUUUUACUAGUACCAUGUUUAAGGUGAUCAAAUCUUGUAAGAAUUUUCUUCGUGGGCUUGAAACUUCAGAUUUUCUCAAGCUAUUUAAACACAAACACCGCCAAUAUAAUUAGUAGCCCUAUUGUCAACAAUGGUAGGAGCCCCAUAAAGCCAAGACAGUCCAAUUACUCCAUGCACCCCAAUAAACCUUCCUCAGAAAAAAACUAUCUUCAUAGUUAAUUCUGCUGGACGUUCUGACAACAACCAAUUGUUAUUGAGAUUCGAACUUGAUGAAUGAUUGAGAUAUAUACACGACAUAGUCUCUAUUUUUAUUUUUUUUUAAUAAAAGCGAUCGAUAUUGGGUGGGUGAGAUUCAAACACAAAAUCUUGAGUGCAAGGAAGAUAACUGUUCAAAAUAUGGAUGGCAAUUUUUCUCAUGGGUAAGGGUCCUCGCAUGGAUUCGACCCUAAUAGUCGGGUAAGAAAGAUAAAAAAUGGGUAUGGGGACGGGUACGAUAAAUUUUUUGGGUAUGGUGUUAGGGGAGGGGGAGGGACAGUAUUUUCAUCCCCUACUCGAACUCUCCCCGUUUAGAAUAUACAUAUAUAUAUGUUAUUAAAGUGAUUGUGCCGACUAAAUUUUAUAUUAUAUAUUUAUGAAAUUUAUACAAAUCUUAAGCUACACUACUUAUAUAUUUAGUUAACUUCUCAGUCAAUAUGUAAACAUUGUACGUAGAUAAUAUAUUAUAUGUACUCAUUAUCUUGCUCUAGUCCUAUUUUUUUUCUUUCAAAAAAAGUAGUUUUAUAUUGAUUUUUCUUCCGUACAUAAUGGGGCAGGUCGGUGAACCAAUUCCCCAUUGAAGGUGGGGAUGGGGAAUCCCAAUAUGAAUAUUGCGGUAAUGAAGGUGGGAAUGGGGAAAAAAACUUAACGGGGUGGGGAUGGAAAUGGCAUACCUAGUUCAAAACCACUUGAGUUACACAGCAUGAGACAGAUAAAGGCUGGUGAGGAGAAGGCUCGGCAAGCAGUGAUGAGGCUCACAGAGGAAAUAGAAAUCUAGCCAUCACUGCCAAGGGAGAUAAAUGGAGCUGCCGUGGGUUUCCACGGGAGAGCUCAAUGGAGGGGACGGUCUGCAAUGAAGAUGGUGCAACGGAGACACAAAAAUAACGGGCUAACAGAAGAAAAGGUUGCAGUGGUAAAACAAAGGUGCGGUUACAGCUAAGGUGGAAAGAAAAAACAUAUUCAUCUUUGAGAAGAGGAGAUGAAAAAGCACAUAUAAACAAACACCCCUAAGGGUAAGGAGCGAGGAGCGCCAAUGACUCUCAAUGUUGGCAAUUGGAGGAUCGCUAAUCGGCGUUAGCCAUUAGCUCUGAUACCAUGUACAAAAAUUUUCCCUUAGUCAUUCAUAUGAUCAUUAUACUAUAUAUAUACAAGUGUGUAGAGAAUAAUCUACAGUUACAGCAAGCCAUGAUCAUAAACUUAAAUAUGGAGUUAUGGCCUAAUAACAACAUAACUGACCAUUUUCUAUCAUUAGUAGGAUUAAUUAUUGUAACUCCCUAAUAAUAACAUAAAUCCAUUUAUUGUAGAAACCAUAGCUAGCUAGGUUUGGUUCUGUCACGUGCUCUCUCAUGAGUGAGUGGAGAUGGUUACAUGGUUAUUAGUUGUUGCAUAAUUGUAGGAGUUUGCAUGUCUUUAGUUGUUGAGUAGUUUUAGGAGUCAUGUUAUCCACUUUUAUAGUGGGCGUCAUGGGAAAAGUUUCCCCCUUUCUAAGCUUUCAGUUAGAGUCCUUGUUUGUAUAAAUUUCAGUGGCUUUUCAUUAAUGAGAUAUCAGAUAUUAUCCCUUACUGUUAGCUUGUCUAACUUGGAGGUUUUGGGUUCCCUCGAAGCAACCCUUAUCGUCUAAUUGUUAUCCCAACUGAGCCUUCUAAAUAUUGCUGCAGCCAUAGGUGGCCGUAAGAAGAAAACUACAUACCAAGUUCCUAUACCUAAUCGCCCAAUCACACGAGCGCUGUCCCAAGCACAUAACAACUUGGUAUCAGAGUUGGGCAUGGAGGAGCAACGGGUAGAAUGCUUGGAAACUGAAGUGGGCUCCCUAGCCACUGGACAAGAAAGAAUACUCAAGGAGAUGCAAUAGAUGUUCGCAGCCAUGAAUGCUCGCUUGGAUCAAAUUUCUCGAACCGGUGAUUGAUCCAGUAGUGCUUUCAAUGGUGGUGGAGGUCGAACAUUUGGAAGUGGAUCCACCACUCCAAAUUCUGGCAACUCUUACCUUCCUAAAAUGGUGAAGCUAGACUUUCCUCACUUCAACGGAUUGGAAGAUCCCACAAGUUGGAUAUGUCGUGCUGAACAAUUCUUUGACUUUCACCACACUCCAGAAACGGAGAGAGUUCCGUUAGCUUCAUUUAAUCUUGAAGGGGAUGCGCAAUUGUGGUUCCAAUUGAUGAAGGAGGAAACCCCGAUCACCACAUGGGCAACUUUUAAGCAGGGACUACAUGACAGGUACGGUCCCACCCAAUUUCAAGACUUCUUUGGUGAUCUGACAAAGUUGCAACAAACAGGUUCAGUACGAGAUUAUCAAACCCAGUUUGAGAAAUUAUUGAUUAGAGCAGGACGACUCACUCCAGAUCAACAAGUUGGCUGUUUUGUGAGUGGGUUGAAGGAGAAUAUCAAAACUGAUGUGCAAGCGUGUAAGCCGCAAACACUCUCUGCUGCUAUCGGUUUUGGCUCGCCUGUAUGAGUCUCGCAACCAAACAAAUAGGCGAUACUCACCUUCGGAUGUGAAGCAGCCCUCUACCAAUAUUGUUACGAAGUCUGACCGUCGACAAAAUUUCAUGCCAAUUAAGCGGCUGUCUCCAGCCGAAUUAAAGGAACGAAGAGACAAAGGACUUUGCUUCAAUUAUGAUGAAAAGUUUAGUCCUGGACACAGGUGCAAAAAAUUAUUUCUCACUGAAGGUUGUUGGCCUGAUGUAGAAGACGAAGCGGAGGGCGAAUGUAAUGCUGAAGUUGACUUGGCUGGAGAAGAAUUACCUGAAGUAUCUAUUCAUGCAAUAUAUGGUGCUCGGACUCCCCAGACAAUGAGGGUGCAUGGCAACGUGGGAAACAUCAAAUGACUUUCUUGGUCGAUUUUGGAAGCACACAUAAUUUUUUGAGUAGUAAAAUCGCUCGAAAGGCUGGCAUUAAUCCCACUGGUUUUGGAAAGUUUGAGGUUUCGGUUGCAAAUGGCGAAAAGCUUGCAAGCGAUGGGCUUUGCAAAGGAGUCUACAUUCUAGUUCAAGGUGUUCCUAUAACUGUUAAUAUGUACCUUCUUCCGUUGGAGGGGUGUGAUGCUGUUCUGGGGGCUCAAUGGUUGAGCACGUUAGGGCCAAUUCUUUGGGAUUUCUCUCAAUUGCAAAUGAAGUUCAAUGUGGGAGGGAAAACAGUGGUUCUUAAAGGGGUGACACCACAGGAUAAAAUUGUUAAUGAGCAUGAGAUUUGUAAGGAGUUGAAGAAAAAGAAAGAAGGCGUCAUUCUGCAAAUCUACUCACUUGUUUUGCAAGACCAUGACGGUACAUCAUUUCCCAAACUUGAUUUGAUUAAUUCUGAUUUAAAGCAUCUUUUGCUACUUUUUGAUGAGAUAUUUGUUGAACCACGUGGAUUACCACCACCAAGAUCCCAUGACCAUGUGAUACCGCUAAAGGAAGGUAGUAAUCCGGUGAGUGUGAGGCCUUACAGAUACCCACAAUUUCAAAAGAACGAAAUUGAGCGGUUGGUGGCAGAUAUGUUGAAAUCAGGUGUGAUUCGGCCUAGUCAAAGUCCAUAUUCUUCUCCUGUGUUAUUGGUUAAGAAGUAUGAUGGCUCAUGGCGACUAUGUAUAGACUAUCGAGCGUUGAACCAGAACACCAUCAAAGACAAGUUCCCUAUCCCUAUCAUUGACGAACUGCUUGAUGAACUUCAUGGUGCCAAAUAUUUCACCAAACUGGAUUUGCGUUCUGGAUACCAUCAAAUAAGGAUGCAUCCAGAUGACAUAUCCAAGACAGCAUUCCGGACACAUCAAGGGCAUUAUGAAUUUUUGGUGAUGCCAUUUGGCCUCACCAAUGCACCCUCCACUUUUCAGUCACUAAUGAAUGAAGUCUUCAAAGAAUACCUUCGUAAGUUCAUUUUGGUAUUCUUUGAUGAUAUUUUAAUUUAUAGCUCAACAUGGGAGCAACAUUUGGAGCAUAUAAAAAUUGCGUUGUCUAUUUUGAGGGCUAACAAGUUGUUUGUGAAGGAAGAAAAGUGUGCAUUUGGACAGGAAGAAGUAAAAUAUUUGGGGCAUGUUAUUUCUAGCAAAGGAGUUGCUGUAGAUCCAGAAAAAAUUGAUGCUAUGCUGGAGUGGCCCAAACCAACCACUGUCAAAGCUUUACGUGGGUUCUUGGGCCUAACUGGGUAUUACAGAAAAUUCAUUCAAGACUAUGGCAAGAUUGCUAGACCAUUGACUGAGAUGCUUAAAAAAGGAAGUUUCAAAUGGAGUCUCCAGGCUGAAGAAUCAUUUGAGAGACUAAAAGAGGCGAUGACGAAGGCUCCUGUUCUUGCUUUACCAGACUUUAACAAGCUAUUUAUUGUGGAGUGCGAUGCAUCUGGAUCUGGAAUUGGUGGAGUUCUAAUGCAAGAAAAACGCCCAAUAGCAUUUUUCAGCCAUGCACUACAAGGUAAGACUUUGUUCUUAUCUACCUAUGAAAAGGAGAUGAUGGCUUUAGUGUUUGCAGUGCAAAAGUGGAGGCCAUAUUUACUUGGGCGAAAAUUUGUUGUGCGGACUAAUCAAAGAAGCUUAAGGCAUUUGUGGGAGCAGAAAAUUACUACAACGGCCCAAGAAAAAUGGCUUGCCAAGUUGAUGGGCUAUGACUUUACCACAGAGUACAAGAAGGGAAAGGAAAAUUUGGUGGCCGAUGCUCUUUCAAGAAGGAAUGCAAGUGGAGUGGCAGCCAUCUCAACCCCUGUGCCGAAUUGGUUAGAUCCAAUCAAAGAUGAGGUACAAAGCAACCAGACCACGCAAGAGUUGGUGGACAAGUGUGAACAAGGUGAAGCGGUGGGUCCUUGAGAAUUUAAGGAUGGCAUACUCCACUUCAAAAAUAAAAUUUAUUUAAUGUCAGAUUCUUCUCUAAUACCUGUCAUAGUGGAGGAGAUGCAUUCAAACACACAUGAGGGUUACCACAAAACCUUGCAGAGAGCAAGGUCAGUCUUUUACUGGCAGGGAAUGCGAAGCAGUAUCAGAGAAUUUAUCAAGCAAUGUGACACUUGUCAAAGGAAUAAAGGAGAAAAUACUAAGCCAGCAGGACUUCUUCAACCUCUCCCAAUUCCUUUACAGGUAUGGACCGACAUCUCAAUGGACUUUAUUGAUGGCCUUCCUAAAUCCAAUGGGAAAACAACUAUUUUUGUUAUAGUUGACAGACUCUCAAAGUUUGCCCAUUUCAUUCCGGUCUCUCACCCAUAUACUGCUACAACCAUAGCUCAAAUAUUUUUUGACCACAUCUUCAAACUAUAUGGUAUGCCGCAAAGUAUUGUUUGUGAUAGGGAUCCCACUUUUACAAGCCUUUUUUGGAGGGAAUUAUUCAAAUUGCAGGGAACAAGCUUCAAUUUUAGCUCAUCUUAUCACCCCCAAACUGACGGACAAACUAAAGUGGUAAACAGAACUGUUGAAAUGUAUCUAAGAUGUUUUACAAGUCACAACCAAAAAGAAUGGGUGCGAUGGAUUCCUUGGGCUGCAUAUUGCUACAAUACCAGUAUACAUGCUUCUACCAAAAAGACUCCAUACGAGAUAGUUUAUGGGAAACCACCCCCGAAUUUAUUGUCCUAUGUUCCAGGAACCACUCAAGUGGAAGCCGUUGAUCAGGAGCUACGCAGCAGAGAACAAGUCCUCAAGGACCUGCGAGAACACUUGCUUGUGGCUCAAGAGCGCAUGAAAAAGUUCUACGAUGCCAAGCAAAUUGAUAAAAGCUUUGAGGUUGGUGACUUUGUCUAUCUGAAAUUACAACCUUAUCGCCAAAUGUCUUUGUCACUACGAAGAAAUCUGAAGUUAUCACCAAGAUUCUUUGGGCCAUAUGAAAUUCUCUAGAGGGUGGGACAAGUGGCUUAUAAAUUGAAGCUUCCUGAGGGGUCCAGAAUUCAUCCAAUCUUUCACGUGUGAUUGCUCAAAAAGAAGGUGGGCACUAACGUGGCAGUCCAAGACUCUUUGCCUGCACUUUCAUAUGGAGAGGAUACUCUUUUUCCCAUGCCACAAGCCAUCCUUGGUCAACGAAAAAGGAAGAAUCAAGAAGAAGUCUUGGUACAUUGGAAAGGCUUGUCUCCAGCAGAUGCAACUUGGGAAAAUUUGAAGGAGCUGCAACUCAGAUUUCCAGAUGUCAACCUUGAGGACAAGGUUUUUUCGAUGGGGAAGGAAUGUCACGUGCGAUCUCAUGAGUGAGUGGAGAAGGUUACAUGGUUAUUAGUUGUUGCAUAAUUGUAGGAGUUUGCAUGUCUUUAGUUGUUGAGUAGUUUUAGGAGUCAUGUUAUCCACUUUUAUAGUGGGCGUCAUGGGAAAAGUUUCCCCCUUUCUAAGCUUUCAGUUAGAGUCCUUGUUUGUAUAAAUUUCAGUGGCUUUUCAUUAAUGAGAUAUCAGAUAUUAUCCCUUACUGUUAGCUUGUCUAACUUGGAGGUUUUGGGUUCCCUCGAAGCAACCCUUAUCGUCUAAUUGUUAUCCCAACUGAGCCUUCUAAAUAUUGCUGCAGCCAUAGGUGGCCGUAAGAGGAAAACUACAUACCAAGUUCCUAUACCUAAUCGCCCAAUCACACGAGCGCUGUCCCAAGCACAUAACAGGUUCUCCUAAUAUUUGAUGGGCACAACUAUCAGAGGGUGAGCCAUCUGUAAACUGAGGCCAAACUUCUCUUCCAUGUUCAUUUUUCCCGGCACAACUCCAUCUUCAAGCUUCCAAUUAUCAAACGAGUUAAUAAGCGAACCCAACAUCAAAUUCAACAUUCUCAUCACCAAAGGCAACCCAAGACAUAUUCUCCUCCCGCCACCAAAUGGAAUAAGCUCAAAGUUCUGGCCAGUAAUGUGGAUAUUGAAUCCAAAAAACCUCUCAGGGAUAAAUGAGGUAGGAUUGUCCCAAAUGCUGGGGUCUCUGCCGAUGGCCUAUGUGUUGACCAAAACUUGUGCACCCUUUGGUACAAUGUAACCGUAGAUUUCUACGUCUACUUGGGCUCUGCGAGGAAGAAGAAGUGGGACAAUUGGGUUCAGCCGGAAGGUCUCUUUUAUUAUGGCUUGUAAGUAAGGGAGCCGAGUGAUGUCUGAUUCUUUCACUGGUUUUCCUUUGCAAAUGACCUGCUUCAGCUCCUCUUGAGCUUUUGACAGCUUUUCAGGGUUGCGUAAUAGCUCCAGCCAUUGCCCAUUGGCCGCACCAAAUAAAUCCUAAUUCACCAAAAAGUUAACUAGUCAAUAAAUUAAUAUGGGCACAUAGACAUAUAAUGAGCAAAUAAAAUUAUAUAUAUAUUUUUAUACAAGCAAUAUAGGGGAAUUCGAAUACAAAACAUUGAUCAGUGUAGACAUUGAUUAUAGUACUAUCAUAAACAAAAACAAGAACAACAAUAAUAAGUUAUAAUUAUAAAAUAUAAGCAGUUUAAUUAUGAAUUCAGACAAGGUCAUCAAGAACAAUUAGUAGAGCUGGAGUAGAGUAGUAAUAUAGCAAUAAGUAGCAACUAACCAGAAACAAAUGUUGAGUUUCAGACAUGUCCAUAUCCUCAUUUUUCUCUUCGCUCAUGUUUAUAAGAGUAUCCAAAUAUCAUUCCCUGUGACAUAAUCACGUGACUUCCUUGAUUCUAACCUGUGGACGAUCAUGCGGUCAAAAAGAUCAAUCAUCUUCCGGAAGUGCUUGCCCAAACGGCGCCGUAUCCCCAUGGGAUCAACCUCCUUAAGCACAGGAAAAUAAUCAGCCAAGUUUGGUUUCGCAAUAUCCUCCAUAAUACUCCACACCAACUCCUUGAACUCUCUAGCCCUCUCACUGUUCGGGUCCGCUAAAUCCACCGAGAACACAGUCCGCGACAUCAAAUUGACAACUUCAACCGCCUUACCUUUCACAAUGCUUUCCUUAACGUCAGCUAUGAGCUCCUGCACUUUUCGGUGACGGUUGGCUUGGUUGGAGUCGAGAACUCACUAUGCCAAAAAAGGCCUUUAGCAACGGAUAAAUCUGUUGCCUAUUACCCACGAGGUAUGUAAUAGGCAACGGAUAAUAUCCGUAGCCUUUUAUAGUUACAACAUCGGAUAUUUGGUAAAAUCUGAUGCGUAAAUGAUUUCCGUGUGCCAAAAAAAGUUGACUUCUGAUGCCUAAACCUGAAACAGCAUCAGUAGUUUCAAAAAGGAGGAGGCUAAACAGGUAUUAUAGCAUCAGUGGUAUCUGCUAUACUGAUGCAUACCACUGAUGCGUAUUAUCAAUUACAACAUCGCAAAAACAAAAUAGUGUUGUCACGAAUUAUAUUAUACGUCAUUGCUUUUUCUAUUUUGCGGACGUGAAAAGCCUCCAAUAGUGUUGGUUGUUAUAUAAAUGCUAUGCUACUUCUAGUUUUAGGCAUUAGUGAUCAUAAAUGUCUGGUUGUUAUUUUUAUCUUUCAACUUCAGUUAUUUCUGAAAAACUGAAGUUGUUAUAAACAUAGGCAUCACUUAUGUAAGGAAAAUGUAAGGAUUUUGCGUGUUUCACAUCACACUUUACUGGGUUACUGCCUUAAUAUAUCAAAAAGGCAUCAUUUCCAAAUCAUGUUGUGUUGCCAUUGCUCAUUAAAAAAAUAUAUUAUAUAAACAAUAAUUUAAUAUAUCCAUACUUGUCUAUAUAUAUAAGCAAAAUACUUGAAUGAUCCAUACUUGUCACAUCCAAAUCACAAUUUUUCCAGCCCUACACCACAAAUUAUCUGUACUUGUCUAUAUAAGAAAAUUACUAAUUAGAAAGACAUGUAAAAUGGAGUGUUUAGCUCAAUCAAAAAGCCAUUCUAGGACAUGAGUUGCCAAUUCUUUUCGCACCUCAUCCAAUUUCAUUUGGGUGUACGUGUCCUUCCGUCUAGCUCUAUAUGAAAAGAAGAAGAAAAACAUGUAGAAUGUAAACACAAACAAUGUGUAAUAUGAACAUAAGAUAUGUUGUCACUUCAAAUUGACCAAUAUGCAAAUUUAUGAAAUCAUAAUGGUGAACAAGAAAAUCUAAUUUGUCAACCAAUCUUGAUGUAGAACGGAUGGCAGAUUUUAUCGCGGUUGAGCUAGAAAAAGGACGUAGUGGGAAUUUGUAAAUUUGUUGUCCGAGCUCCGAUUAGGACGCAAAAUACCAUUUCGGAAAGGGAACGACGCCACGAGUUGAACACACAGCUUUGCUGUGAUGUACGAUGGAUUUUGGCAUUCUGAGGUCGUUUGGCCUUCCAAAACUGCAUUCAAAGUUUCAUAGUUAAUUCUCCGAAUAAAUUCUGUUUUUAAGUUUUAAUGUAAUAACUCCCCUAGCAGUUCAAGGGUUGAGAGUUGUGUAUUUAGACAGGUUUAUCUGACGUUUCUGAUUAUCUCAGAUUUUAAUAAAAUUAUCCCACAAGAAUUCAUCUUAAUUUCUGGUGGAAUCCAGAUUUCUUGUUACUCAAGGUUUCGCUUGAAACCCUUGUUGCUUGUGCUGCGUCAAAUCUAAUUAGAUAACAAGAAGUCAAUAAAUGGAUCCCACUUCAUGCUUCAACUAGCAAUUAAAUGAUCAUGUGAUAGGAUAGAGAGCUGGACAAGAACAGCUAGCAUUUCUUCUUAAUUCAAUGGCUAGGCAGGCAGUGUUAUCUUUCCUCUUGAUUUUAACAAUCUAUUUUUUAAAUAAACACAGAACAAAUUAGUUAAAUGACAUUUAACUAAUGUGACUAUUUUAGUAUUUUUAGUUUUUUUUUUUUUUUUUUUUUUCAUUUGACAAACUGAUCAUGAAGAAAUAGUGGACGCUCUGGGCAGUUGACAUCAUGCAUACCACAUUUGUCUACCUGCAAUCUACCAUAAUUACAUUAAAUCAUAAUGUACACAUAAAUUUCACGGGACAAUAAUGCAUCUACAUACCAGAUGGUUCUUCACAAAAUUCAUCCAGACCUGCAAGGUUUCUGUACUUAACCUUAGAAAGUAGCCUCACUUAUGUUCAAGGAAACACACUACACAGAAAUCAGAUUGAUAAUGAAGCUAUGUUUCCCUGUUUGUGUCAUCUUCAAAUUGCAAGAUGUUUUUUCAUAAGAAACCAAACCUGUAAGCAAAUAAAGAGGGACUCAACCAACUACUUGAUGAUCCUCAGCGUAUAACUCAUCAAAUCUAAAACUAAAAACUAAACAGCAAUCAAUAUGAAACAUAUACAGAAUUGAAAUUCUUAUGUAAUUAGUUUAAAAACCUAAAUUUCUGCCAAAUACCAAGAUAGAUUCGACCCCAAAAACCAAAAUAAAUUAAAACUGAAAUGAAAAAUAAAGAAUUCUUACCAGAAUGUGGAGCAGUCAGUGGUCAUGGGGUAGUGGCGUUGAUCCUUGGCAGCAGAGGAAGAGGAUUAAAAAAAUUAAAAUGGAAAAUUAAAAUCAGAAAGGAAAAAAAUUCUGAAUCAUAAUCAAAACAAAGCACCUGCCUCAAACACUGUGUUCAGACCUUUCAUCAUUUUCAGGCAGAUCCAUACGAUCAGUCGAACACCAGCUAUCUGCCUCGCCAAUCGCAAUUAUCUAGCUCAGAAUAACGAGCUUGGGGUUGAGGUUGCAGCUAAAGAAAAAUUGAAGUAAAUGACUACUAUGUUGCUACUCUUACUCUUGCCUAGUAUUCAUUGUUUUGUUUUUUUUUCGUUUUCAAAUAUUCAUUGUUUUUCAAAUAAAUGAAUUACAUUCCUAAUGGAAAUACUUAUAUUCAACACUUCCGAAAAUAAUGAGAAUACACCAUACACAAUAAUUCCAUUAAUCUUUUCAUAAUGAAAAUACAGAAAGUGUUGCAAGUGGUGGACCUAUCCUUAGGAGGACUAUUACAUUAAUAUUUUCAUACUGAAAAUAGACCAAGUAUUGCAAGUGGUCAACCUUUUUAACAAGGAUAUUACAGUUAUGAAAUUAAAAACUAAAAACUUACUUGGAAAAGAGAAAAAAAAUACAGAAUUUCAUUAAGCUCCACCUUGCUAUUCACCAUUAACUGCCAUUCAGCUCCUCCUUGCUUGACUUGAUUCGCCAUUGAGUUUCUCCUUGCUUGACUGGAUUUGCCACAAUCACUCAACUGAGUAUUGGCCUUCCUCUGGCCAAAAGGUAAUUGUAAGGUACUCUCAGCAUGCCUAUAAAUUGGAAACCAAACUAAUUUGCAUAUUAUCAUUCAUUUAAGUGGUUCUCUCAAGAUCUGGAAGUGAGUUUUCACAGUAUAACUCACCCUCGUAAGAACUUUGCAAGAACAGACAAUCUUUUAGCACCGGGUCUCCCAACUUGCUUGCAAUGAUCACAUAUUAGUUUACCAUAUAGUAAAAGGAUUAUUUCUCCAUUGUUACAAAAGAAGCACUACUACAUUUUACGAUUUGCGCGACGAAGACAAUUUCGUCGCGCAAAGUUGAAUUUCGUCGCACAAAAUCAAGCGUGACAGAAACUUCGUCGCGCGUAAUCUGUCGCUCAAAGAUCGUGAAGAAAGACUUUGCCCGACCGAUUGUAUCACUCGUCGCGCAAAUUUGUGUGACGGUUACCGUUCGUUACACCAAAGGUUCAGAGACGGCGCAAUAGUUCGUCGCACAAACUUAUGUGCGACGAAAGAGAGUUCGUCGCCACAACGAUGCGCGGCGAAUAAUAUUCGUCACGCAAUACGUCUCGUAUAUAUUUGCGGCACAAAGAGAUCUUCGUCGCGCAGUUCGUGUCUACAAGUAUUGCGCGACGAAAGAUCAUUGUCGCGCAUACGAAUUUUGCGCGACGAAAGUUUUUGUCGCGCAGAACGUGUCGUAGAUAUUUGCGGCACAAACAGAUCUUCGUCGCGCAUUUCGGGUCAACAAAUUUUGCGCGACGAAACACUUUUGUCGCGCAAAUCCUUUUUGAGCGACGAAAAUUUUCGUCGCGCAAAAUUAGUAUAUAUAAUUAUUAUUUAUUUUCAAUAUUACUUUUUAUUUUAUUUUAUAAAAAAAUAAAUUUGGUUUUUUUUUGGGAUAAUAAAAUGAAAUUCCAAUAAAUAAAUAAAAAAAAAUUGUAAAGAACAUAUUUAUUAUAUAAAAUAAAUGUAUACUGCAAGAGAAAUAUGUAAAAAAUAAUUAUGAAAAUAAAAAAACUAAUCAAAUAAUGUUCCAAAAUCUACAUUAUCGUCUGGCACAUGCGGUUCAGAGGUCUGGGGGUCUACAGGGGCCGUCGUCUGGCGGGGAUGCUCGGGAUGGACGGGCUCGGAGGUCGGCGCAUCAAAAUGCGGGACUGGAAUGCCGGACUGUGCGAGGAACUGCAGAAUGACCGACAUCUGACUCUGAAGAGUGGCCACCUGUACUGUCAAAGCAGUGACCUGACUGUUUGACUGCGCCGAUGAACGGGAUCUGGGUUCCCUCCGCCUGGCAUUCCCCAUCCCUCGACAAUAUGUCCCCGGUCUCCUCCCGAGAGUCUGAUCCAAUGUCUCCGUCAAGAUCUGAAACCCAGCAUCCUGUGGAGGAUCCACAGACUCGAUCGGAGUAUCGGGAGGAAGUUGGGAGGCGGACUCCUGAAGAACCAACUGGCUCUUCUCCACCAUCGUCGUCUGUUUAGCAUAACAUAAAAUAUAAAUUAAAACAUUCAUAUAAUAACCUUUAAACUUGAAUGCGUAACAUAAUAAUUAAAAUGAAAUAAUACUCACAUGAAGGGACUCGGCCAACUCAUUCCCAGGUCGAACAUAAACAUCGCCAAAGACGUCGAUCUCUGGGAAUUUGGACCCCCCCUAAAUUGAACAAGAGAAGAAAAAUAUUAGUACGAAAAUCAUUCUUUAUGAAUAAUUAAAAAUUAAAAAUUAAAUAAAAUUUAUUUUAUUAUUACCUGCCGACGUGCAUCCAUCCUAUAGGAGAAGGGCCUGGAACCGGAAUGAUGGAGAAGAGUCUUCUUCUUCCUAUUGCCCUUAUUGGCUUUAUUUUGUUAUACAAAAAAUAAAACGUAUUAGUUGAAAUUGAAAUUAAAUAUAAAACAUUAAAAAAGAACAUUAAUAAAAAAAUAUAUAAUAAAUUUGAAAUUAUAAAUUACCACAAAAGCGGGCACCUGAAAAUGAGUGCAGAGCCACGCCCAACUAUCCUCCCACCCCUCCAGCUCCUUCGGGCAACCCUCCUGAAGAGCGACUUCUGGAUCAUCAAACGCCUCAAAAUAGUGGUGCAAGUCGCUCUUCCACUGUUUGUACCUCUCAGCGAAGAGUCUGUUGACGUAUACCAACGACUCGUCGUCCAGGUCCUCCAAGUUAUAGUUCGUCUGCAAUAAAUUAAUUACAUACAUUUAAAUAAUAGAAAUAUAAAAUUUGAAAGAAAAAGAAUUAAAAGGCCUACAUACCGACAACUGGCCGCGAACCUCCGUCUUGGUCUCGUCAGGCAUCACCUUCUAAGACUUCCAUUUCAUCAGGCAAUGGCUUCGAAUGACAUGACCAAUGUCGUGGGCCAAGGAGCUAUGCAACUCUGCCGUCGGUGCAGCCCGAUGUCGCUCGUCGUAUCCGAUGUUGAUACGACUGUUGGUCACCCGGGGUAACCUUCGCCGUCUUCAACUGCCGACACGGCCCUCGGGUGUUCUUCUUGGCUGCAAAGAAAGAUGACAUUAAUGUUAAAUAAAUAAUAACUUUAACUAUAAAAUACACACACACAAAUAAAAACAAAAACAAAAACCAAAAUAUAAAUAACUGGAGUUUAAGGAUAUCUAUACCUGGCUGUGACCCCGACGCAUCAGUGGAUGUGGUGUCGGUGGUGCUGGCGGGCCGAUGACGCCGUCUGGCGCUAACAGGCUGUGCCACUGAUGAAGCUGUGCCGUCUGGCGCUAACAGGCUUGGGACCCCCCGGGACCAACUGCCAAGUGGUCCAUCAGUGCUGGCGCAGUGGCAGCAGCUGUCGGGUGAGCCGGGGGCUCCAAACUCUGCGUAGUCGUCACCGCCCUACGACGUCUAAUCAGGUCUGACAUCUGCACAAUUUCAUUAAUACACGUACAAAUUAAUAAAAUAUACGAAUAUUUGAAAGCACAUACAAUUUUAUUAAAAUUCUUUGACCUAGGGUUGGCGAGUUCGGAGUAUCCGAGACUCCGAUCCACGAUCCGUCGAAUCCUAGAUGAUCCUAGAAAUACAAGGUACACCAUACGUGAGUUUGAGUUCGAUCCAACGGUCCGAACAUAACAAACCCGAAAAUCGCACAAUAGGCAAAAUCCGUUCGAGACUCAAACGGCAACGAAAUUCCAAUCCGAAAACACCUACGCACUCGUGACAAAUAGGGGAUUGCACUGGGACCCAAUGCAGUGGUGCUACAGUACCCCACGUGCCACCACACGCGCCGGCAGCGCGUGGGUGUCCAAAGCGAUACCAAUCGCAGGAAAUUUCUAAAAACUAAGGGCCAAGGUUCCUACCCUAGGUUCACAACAUCAAUUGGAGCCACUUUUAUUCUCGGACCUACCCCGAAAAAUGGCCAGAAGUGGCCGGAAUUUAAAUUAAAAAACCGGCCGAAAUUAGGGUUUUGAAAUCGACUGACCUAUUGCAACAAUUACGUAAAUCCUACCCAACCAUCAGCUAAAGCAUGUAAAAUAGGACAGAAACCAUACCUCAAUUGUCGGAUUUGGUCGCCGGAGGAGAGAGAACGACGGCGGCGGAGAUUCGGUGAAAAUCGAGGAAAUAACGGCGGCUGGCUCGACGGUGACGGCGGGGAACCUCCGGGGUACCAGCGUUGCUGCGGCGCCGUCCAAAAUGCACUGGGGUAGGGGCUGAGCUGACGGCGGAGAGAGAGAGAGAGAGAGAGAGAGAGAGAGAGAGAGGCAGAAAACUGAAGCUGGGGAAGAAGGAGGCUGUCGCGUCGUUUCGGCAAUUUUAUUCGAGUUUGCGCGACGAAGAACGAAAAGCGUCGCGCAAAAUAUUUUAAUUGACACUUGCGCGACGACAUAAUUAUACCAUACGCCGCGCAAUAUUGUAAAUCCCAAAUUUUGGUAUCACAGUGGUUUUUGCGUCAUGCACACUAUAAUAUAUUUGUCGCGCAAUGUUGUCAAUCCGCCAAAAUUUUGGGACUUAGGGUUUAGUGGGCGAGUUUGAAAACUUUGCGCGACGCUGACCUUGUUUCGUCGCGCAAUGUUGUCAAUCCGCCAAAAGUUUGGGACUUAGGGUUUAGCAGGAGAGAUUGAAAACUUUGCGCGACGAGUAAUUGUUGUUUCGUCGCGCAAAUCCUGUUUCUGUAAACUCUCAAAUUUUUUUGGCUAAGUGUCCGAGGAGAAAAGGGUGGCUGAGAUUGCGCGACGAAGAACACUAGUUUCGUCGCGCAAAUCCUGUUUCUGUAAACUCUCAAAAAUUUUUGGCUACGUGUCCAAGGAGAAAGGGUGUGGCUGAGAUUGCGCGACGAAGAACACUAGUUUCGUCGCGCAAAUCCUGUUUCUGUAACUCUCAAAAUUUUUUGGCUAAGUAUCCGAGGAGAAAAGGGGUGGCUGAGAUUGCGCGACGAAGAACACUAGUUUCGUCGCGCAAAUCCUGUUUCUGUAACUCUCAAAAUUUUUUGGCCAAGUGUCCGAGGAGAAAAUGGGUGGCUGAGAUUGGGCGACGAAGAGAAACGUAACCUGUUCGUCGCGCAAACUCUUAACCCUAAACCCUAAACCGCGGAAAACAUAAACCCGAAACUAGUUUUAAUGAUCCAACCGGCAAACGUUUUUUUUAUAUUUCGAGAUCGUAUACGCUGAAAAUCUGACAAAAGAAACGUUAGGAAAUCAAGUAACGGUACAAAACUUUUCGACGGUUCUAAAUGAAAAGUUAUGAUUUAACGGUUAUUUUAACUCCAAUUUUGAUGAUUUUUUAAUGCUACUUUUCUUGACCCUAUAUGAAUACAAUUACUGAAUUUGAUCUUCAAUUUAAGAUGUUUACACUGGGGUGAUACCACAUAAUCUUAUGUUAUACUUAACGAAAGUAUAAGUAAACUAUUCAUUGUUGGUGAAUAUAUGGUUUUGAUGGCAUACGCAUUCUACGAAAGUAGUUUCAAUAAUCCAGCCGUCAAACGUGUUUGUUUAUAUUUCGAGAUCUUAGGCCCCAAAAAUCAGAAAAAAUAAACAUUCAGAGAUCAUGUAUCGGGACAAAACUUUUGAACAGUUAUAAAUAAAAAGUCAUGAUUUAACGGUUAUUUUAACUCCGAUUUUGAUGAUUUUUUUACAGCUACACUCCAUGACCCUAUAUGAAUACAAUGAACCAACUCGAUCGUCAAUUUCGAAUAUAUAUGUGUAUAUAACAUAUAUUAUAAAAGAAUAUAUAUUUGCGCGACGAGUUUCAUUAUUCGUCGGGCAAACUUCCAUCGCGCGAUGGAUAAGUAUUUGUCGUGCAAUGUUUUGCCUUUAGGCGACGACAGUUGUCGGUCGCGCAAACUGUGCGCAACGAGGGUUUCUUGGUCGCGCAAAAUUGCAUCGCGUGACGGAUAAUAAUUUGUCGCGUAAUUUUUUCACUUUGCGCAACGAACAUAUUACUGGGUCGCGCAAACUUUGCGCGACGAGGUCUUCAUCGUCGUGCAAGAGUUUUCAUUUUUGAAAAAUGUUUGGUGUCAAUAAUUUUCAAACUUUGUAUGAAAAUGGUUUGGAUAUAUUUAUUUAUCAAUGUUUAUAACUAAUGUUUUAUCAUUUUCAUUUUGUAAAUGUGUUUUGUCAAAAAAAAAAUUUAAAAAUUAAUAUUAAAAGGGUUUGGAUAUAUUGAUUUACCAAUGUUUUAUAACUAAAUUUAUUUUAAUAAUGUUUUAAGGUUUGGAUAUAACAACUACAUAUAUUCAAACUUUUGUAUUACACAAAGUCUGUACACUAACAUAAUAAAAUUACAAAAAAUUUAAUUAUUCAUCAUCUGAACUAUAGUAACUUUCGUUAUCGUCGCUAUCAUCACUUUCGGUCUCCCAAUCCUCCUCCUCCUCCUCUAUAACUACAUCAUCUGCGUUGCUCGGGCCCACUGCAACAUCGAAUCUUGGAAGAUCCCCAAGGUCAAUUGUAAUUGACUGAAUUGGUAUUUCGAUUGAAGACACUCCUUGUAUUUGAAACGGUUCUUGUAUAACAUGUGUAUCUCGAAGUGUUUCCACAUCAUUUUCCAUUGAAGAUUCUAAACGUUGGUCAGCCACAUUGUCGACGUCGUUGUCAGUUGGGUCUAGUUCUGGUAUAGCAUACACGUUCCUAUGAUCCAUCUUCUAAACAACUUUCCAACUGCUCCCAACUUUAGGGUCAUCUAGAUACACAAUUUGUGUUGCCAUGUUUGCCAAAAUGUAAGGGUCGUCAUCAUACCAAGUUCUGUUAAUGUUCAUAGACAGUAAGCCAUGGUUGAUUUUAACACUUCCCGUCCUAUUUGGGUUGCUAUCAAACCAUCGACACUUAAACAUGAUCACGUGGUAUCGAUCUUUGUAAAGCAAUUGAACGACAGUUGUAAGUUUGCCAUAAAAAUCAAUGUUCGUACUUUCGCCUCUACCUGGGACAUGGACACCGCUGUUUUGCGUACACGACUUGUCAUCUCGUGCAGCCCCCAAAAAUUUGACGCCAUUAAUAUAACAACCCGAAAACAAUUCAGCGCGAAUUGGGCCGAACGCCAAGUUAUAUAACUCAUCACUGUAAGUGGGGGAAUUCGAUGAUUUCAACUUAUUCACCUAAUAUAAUACAAAACCAUUCACAUGUUAGUCUGACAAAAUUAAAUACUACAAUUUAUAUUUGUCAAAUACAAAACACUUAUAACUUACAUAAUCCAAAAACCAUUGUGGAAACAAUUCACGGUGUUUCUGGGCAACUAAAUGUGAUGGAUGUUCUCGCGCCAUCGUCUCUUCAUGCUCAUCUAAGUAUGCCAUUAUCUCAUCACAAUUGUUCAGUACGAACCAAUGCGCUACCUCCAUGUCAUUUCUAGAAAACGACUCUCCUCGUCCAGGAUCUCCAAAUGGUCGUGCGCUUUGGGCAAAAACAGAAAGUUUUUCCUUUCUCAUACCUCCGUUGUUAUUGCGCUGAAGACGAUUGAAAGCCGUCUCUACAUCUUUUAAAUACAUUCCACAGAAAGUAAGCGACUCAUAUUGAACCCAUGCCUCUAUAAUUGAUCCUUCGGGCUUCGCCCUGUUGCGUACACUUAACAAGUCUCAAACUUGCAUAGGACUUGGACAAUGUCAUAGCGCAACUGAAACAUGUCUGUCUUUCGCAAUGUUUUUGCCGUCAGUUGGGAAAAAAAUCUGGACAACAACAUGAUUGGCUUCACAACAUCUUUCGGCAAUAGAUGUCGAAUACCCACAGGAAGUAGGCGUUGCAUAAACACAUGGCAAUCAUGGCUCUUCAGUCCAGUAAAUUUACCCCCGUCAACAUUCACGCAACGUGCGAUAUUAGAAGCAUACCCAUCAGGAAACUUUACAGACGAUACAAACUUUAGAAACUCUUUUUUGUCAUUCGGUUUCAUAGAAAAGAAUGCAAGAUCCCUUCUAGCUUUAUCACUGUCCCUGUUCAUCCAUAAACCCCUUCGUAUGCCCAUUCUUUCCAAAUCAAGACAGGCUUUGAUUGUGUCCUUUGUCUUGCCCUCGAUAUCUAGAAUCGUGCCCACCAAUGUGUCAAAUACAUUUUUCUCAACAUGCAUCACAUUUAGAUUGUGCCUCAAUUUGAGUUUCGACCAAUAUGGGAGCUCAAAAAACAUAGGCUUGUGAGUCCAGUUCAUAUGUGUAGAAGGUCUGAUCCGACUAACUGUUUUUCCGAACGGAGCAAAAUCCAAACGGUUAAGCUGUUCCAAGAUCUCAUCACCGGACCAUUCUCUAGGUCUGAGGCGACGCUCUGUGUUCCCGUCGAACUCUUUAUCUUUUUCCCGCCACUCGUGGUCCCAUGGCAACCAUCGCCGAUGACCAAGGUAACAAACUUUUCCCACAUGCCAACCAGAAGUUACAUCUUCCUUGCAUAUAGGACAUGCCAUAUAACCCUUUGUGCUCCACCCAGAAACCAUUGCAUAUGCUGGAAAAUCAUUCACAGUCCACAUAACUGCUGCCCGCAAAGUAAACAUCUUCACAGUUGAUUUAUCGUACGUGCGAACACCGUUUGUCCAUAAAUCCUUCAGCUUAUCAACCAGCGGCCUUAAGUAAACAUCGAUUGACCUCCCAGGAUCCUCAGUUAUCAAAACAGUCAUCAUCAUGUAUUCUUUUUUCAUGCAUUUCCAAGGCGGCAAAUUAUAUGGGAAUACGAAAAUCGGCCAAGUGUUGUGGUGUUGGUGUAGAACCUCAUACGGAUUGAAUCCGUCAGUGGCAAGUCCCAAUCUCACAUUUCGGGGAUCAGCAGCAAACUCAGGGAACGUUCGAUCGAACUCUUUCCAUGCCUCCCCAUUUGCAGGAUGCCGCAUCACAUCAUCGUCUACCCGUUUUUCCUUAUGCCAUCUCAUGUCUGUGGCAGUAUGCGUCGACAUAUACAAUCGCUGCAACCUAGGUUUCAGGGGCAGAUAACGCAUGACUUUUUGUGGGAUCUUAGUCAUUCUAUUCUGAGAUGUCAUUUUGAACCUCGACUCAUUGCAUAUAGGGCAUGUCUCCAACGUUUCAUGCUCCUUGUAGAAUAACAUGCAAUUAUUUUUGCAAGCAUGAAUUUUUUCAUAACCCAAUCCAAGACCAUUCAACACCUUCUGCGCGUGUUUAUGGUCUUUCGGCAAACAAUUGUCCGUCGGAAGCAUUCUCUUGAAAACUCCCAAAAAGUAAUCAAAACACAGGUUCGAGAUACGAUACUUUGUUUUUCCGUGCAUUAGCUCUACAAUGGCCGUGAGAACGGAAAAGCUCUCGCACCCCGAGUAUAGCUCUUGGUUGGUAUUUUUUAACAGUUUUUCAUAUUGUUCAAACUCCGCGCUGUCUAUUGGUGUAGGCACGUCAUCUUCCCUUUCGUGAUUGAUGUUGGUUGAUGCAAAUGGAAAAGCAUCCUGUAUAAUAUCCAUGACUUGAUCAUUAUGAUCCACAAUAGGUUCAACACUGUCCAUUCUUGUGGCAUUUGAAGACGAAGCAUGGUCUAAUUGUUCCCCAUGAAGGUUCCAAAUGCUAUAUGUCUCAAUCAUUCCAUUCCUUACUAAAUGAAAUCCAACAUUUUCAAUUGUCUCCCACAACGUGUUAUUACACCUCCUACAAUGACAUCGGAUUCUAGUUGCACCCGGGUUGUGUCUACGUGCAAACUCAAUAAAAUCCUCGAUCCCAUCCAAGUAUUCGUCUGCACAUCUAUUCGGGUUCUGUAUCCACCUUCUGCUCAUAAUUCCUAAAACCACAAUCACAACAUAACAAUCACAACAACUUCAUACGAAGUUAUAAUGUCACCUUAUGCCUCCGGUAAGGGCCCUAUCCCAUUCGGGAAUGCAUAGUCCUGUCACGUAACCUACGGCUACAUGAGAUUAGAUUUCGACAUGGAUGAAUUUCGACAGCAUCUCGAUACAGUUCUUGAGGUGGGCAUAGGUAUAAAUACCUACGUACCACCCGAAGAACGUACUGAGAUGACACCGAAAUCUCCACAAUCGAAACCUAAUCUUGUAGCCGUAGAUUACGUAACAACACUAUGCAUUACCAAACUGUCCAAAUAGUGGGACAAUUCAAGAAUUAAUUGGACCGCAGUCAUGCUUUACUCAUCCAUGCACGAAAUCCAACUAAUCUCGAACGGGAAACUAAAUGUUACAAAACAUACAAAUAAAAGUACGAAGUUAAUUUCAAUUAACUUCGUACAUCACAACACAUUGUGCUACGUCACGUACAAUUUAAUAACAUAAUAUAAAUAUAACUUCACAAAAAAAUAUACACAUAACAAAUUAACUUUAACAUUUUUAAUAUAUAAAAUGAAUAAAAUACCUUAUCAAUCGUUCUCCACAAAUUGCUAAUUACAAAUAUCCCUAACGAGAACAAAAUUAAUAGCGUUAGUACGAAUUUACAUUAAUACUUAUAAAUUAACGAUAAAAAAAACUUACCCAAUCAACGUACUGAAUGUCCAGCAGAGGCAGCAACAGAGAGGUUGAGAGAGACGCAGAGGCAGAAAGGAAAUCUGUUUCCUUUCUGCCUCUGCAAUGGCAGAAUUCUGAUAUGAAGAAGGACUUUGCGCGACGAAACAUAAAUUUCGUCACGCAAAAUACCGUCACGAAAAACCAUUUUUCCGUCACACAAAACGUGAUUUUCCGUCGCGCAAAAACUUGCCGACAAAAAAACUUUUGCGCGACGCCAUAAAUUUUCGUCGCAAAAACAAUCGUCGCGCAAAUUCUAGAUAUCAUCGCGCAAAAACAAUACUCCGUCUCGUAACAUUACAUUUCGUCGCGCAAGAAUGUACCGACAUCUGCUUUACGCGACGAAAUAUAAUUCGUCGCGUAAACAAAAAUAUCUCCUCCAUUUAUUUUUGCGGCUAACCUUUACGCGACGAAGUUUAAGAUCGUCGCACUAGGUUUUCUUACGCGACGAUUGCUCUCGCCGCGCAAGUGUUUGGCACCAAAAAAAAACUUGGGUGUUUUGUCGCUCUCUUUGCGCGACGAAAGUAUGUGUCUGUCGCACGAAGAGUGUUUGCGCUUCGAAAGUUUUGGUCGCGCAAGUUUUCACUUUUUUGCACGACGCAAAUUUUUUCCCGUCGCUUUAUUGAAUUUUACGCGACGAAUUUUGAUUCGUCGCGCAAAAGCUUGUCGCGCAAAUAGAAAAACGUAGUAGUAAAGUAACUUUCUGAUUUGAAUGAGUAUGACAAUAUAGCAGUUAAAUUUCGCAUUGAAGAAACAAAUGGGAAUCAAUGUAGAUAAUCUCUUGGAGUUAUUUAAGUCAAUGAUAUAUCAAGAUCACAUAAGCAGUCAAGAACCAAUAACAAUUUGAUAAACCCAUGUCAAAACACAGAGAUAUGCACCAACCUAGCUGUGGUUUUCAAACAGAACAGCCUAUAAAGCUUUAGCCCAUGGCCUUAACUAUCUGUCCACUGAACAGCCUAAUAAGCAGACUAAUUCAUCUGAGUUAGCUUACUGUUAAAAUUGUUGAUAUUUAAUGGUUAGGUCCAAGUCAGCUUGUUUAACCUCUCUUUCAAGUCUGUCACGUCACACUGUUUACACUAUUGGGUAGCAGUUAAAAUUAAAAUCAGAAGUACACCCCACCUGUUCGACCAUAAACAUAGUAAGCAAGACUUUGGAACUGCCCCUGGCAAGUAUAUGUUUCGCAGUUAAAACUAUAAAGAGUAUAGAUCAAAGAGAUAAGCAACCAGAUGGGCCAGAAUUACCAUUUUCAUGAAUGAGCAUUCAGUGGUUUUUUAUUAUCUACACCGUGUAGGCAACAGAGGAUUCUAAAAAAAAGUCCAAAAAUAAGAACAUUUAGGCAGAUAUUUCCAAUGGCAUUGACCAAAAGUCCCAAAGGGUUUGCAUAUGACUUCAUAUAAACUGGACACCAGUAAUUAGUGAAAUUCAAUAUUUACAAGAUCUUGCUGAAAACCUUUAGCUAUACUUUCCAUUCUAAAAAACAAGAGGAAGCUGUAUUCAGAUUUCACAUGAUUUUUAUCAAAACGUUGAUGACUAACAAAGCCAUUAUUAUCUUAAUUUCAUAAAUAGAAAUCUUUAAUGCUAACAAGAGCUCAGCAUAUAUAUACCUUGCUUGCUAGAGUAAAUAUGCCCAAAAGGAAAAGAUAUGAAUCUUUCACAAUCAUCAGUUAAAGCUUUCAUUUCAAAAGAAAUCAGUACUCAUUAUAUGCAUGUCUGUAGAGUACUCAAAGCUUAAUCAUAAUAAUGAUUGAAAGUUAUAUGCGUAUGAUGUAGGCUUAAAUGUGGACUGUUACUGAGAACACAAUAUAACAAGAAAAACAGAGUCUUUGACUAGUGCAAAGAGAGAUACAAAGCAACGUCAAGCAAAUAACAGUACAGUAAAUCAAAGCUUAUUUGUGUUUGCUUUGAGAAACAAAGCUUCUUUUUAUUCAACAAGAGGAACGAAAAAUCAAAGUAAUAGUCAAAGCAAAUUUGGGUAGACUAAAGGCUAGUUUGGUAUGGCUAUGUUUUUUUUAAAAAUUGCUUCUGCUAUGCUGCGAGAAUAAAAAGCUGUGAAAAAAAACAGCUAGACGUUUGGCAAAUUGUAUUAGAAAAAGUGCUGUGAAGAAUCAAAGUGUUUGGUAAAUUUUUAUUAGAAGUGCUUUUAAUAUGUAUAUUGACCAAAAAGGAUAUCAUGAUGAAAUUGUUACUUAUUUUGCCACAAAUUCUAAAUUUUUAAAGUAACAAAAUUAGUUCCAAUUCCAAAUAUUGUUACCAAAAAUAUAAAAAUAUAAACAAAAUUAAAUUAAGAAAGUAACCUGAAAAAAUCCCUUCCCACACCGUACCCACCUGCAUCUCUCUCUCACUCUCUCUCUCUCUCACUCUCUCUCCAUUGCCCCAAAACACCAAGAGAAGAAACCCAGAUCAAGAAUUUUGAAACUCAACCCAAACCGAGAUAAAAACUGUGUUGUCAUCAAAGAAAACAAGGAAAUCAAAUCCAAAUGAAAAUUUUGUUUUCCUGUGGUUUUGAUUUGAGUUUCAACUUUCCCUUGAUUUUGGUUUCCAAGAGAAGGUCAACGAAUUGUUGGUGGAUUCAAGAUUCAGUUUUUUGUGAAAAUCGUUGAUCAAGGAGGGUAGAUGCAGUGAAUGAUUGAAUCUGUGUUGCUAUCGAUUUUGGUCCUCCACAAUUCGCAUACCGAUGUUUGAAGAUAUAUUUGGGGUUUGGAUCUUUUGUGGUUGGAGUGGAGAUCAUUGACUGCGGAGCUAGGGUUGAGGUUUUUUUUAAGCUGUGGUUUGGAUUUUUGUGGCUGGAGUGGAGAUAACAGCAUGGAGAGCUAGGGGCUAGGUUUUUUUUUUUUUUUUUUGGUAUGAAUCGAGUUGCAGACAGAAGUCGAUUUGCAAGAGAGGAGAAGAAGAAUCGAGUUGCAAGAGGGAUAAAAGCUGUCAAUUUAGAAAAUUAAUAGGUGUAUUAUGGGAAACGUGAAAAUUCAUUUAAAAGAACCGGCUGUUUUUUUUCAAAGCAACUUUAAGAAGCAGCGUGUUGGCUGCUUCGAGAUUCUGCUGUGGAUCACCGCAGUUUUUAAAAUAAGCAGCCUUCAAUUGUUUUACCAAACGCUUUUGUUUCCAGAACUUUUUUUAUAAGCUGCUUAUUUAUUAAGCGCAGCAAUCCCAAAUGCCACCUGAACAUUAAAGUUAAUUUUUGUUUUCUUUUAGAAACUGACAUAGUCCAAACCAUCAAGACCCCAGCCCAUGUAAAGUGGGUGAUACCAAUUGCAUCUCAAGCAGCAAUAUAACUGUUGUCUCUCGUGUCAAAUGUGAAUUUGCAAACGCUGGGGGGGGGGGGGGGGGGGGGGGGGGNNNNNNNNNNNNNNNNNNNNNNNNNNNNNNNNNNNNNNNNNNNNNNNNNNNNNNNNNNNNNNNNNNNNNNNNNNNNNNNNNNNNNNNNNNNNNNNNNNNNUGGGGGGGGGGGGCGGGAAGAGAGAGAGAGAGAGAGAUACAGACACAGCUUCAACUAACUGCUUAGCUCUAAUACGUUUCAAUUAUAUACAUAAAACCCCAGAACAACUAAUAUGGCCCCAUCAAAAAUUUAUUCAUCUAUGAAUUCAGCUCAAGUUUUAUGGUCCUUGAAACAAGAACUCAACACCACAAAUUGAGAACUAUUAUGCAAUAUAAACAAAGCUCAUGCUCCCAUUUUCCAGAGCACAAUUCUUAUAUGUUAAUUCAACCCCACGGAAAUCACAUGCAUCAUCUCAAAAUGUAGAUUAAUAAGAAUUGAUAAAGCACUCUGAUUGAGCGUCCUCUAAUCUGUACUACUAGCUACUGCCAAAAUAACAUAAUGCAUAAAAUUUAGAAUCUCAUUCUCUUUUCAUUACCACAGCUUUCUCAGCUAGCAAACAGAAAAAUCGUACAUUCAAAACUAAGAAAGAGAAACAAAAAUAAAGCACAAUAAACAAAAAAAUCUGUGAACUUACUCUCAUUUUUCUCUCCACCAGAUGUAGAACAAACCCAAGAAAUUAAUGUCAGAGGACAAUCUUUUGGGGCAAAUUCAAGUGCUGCAACCAAACCCACCACAAAAAUAUCACAACCCCAAAAGCUCCUCCACGAAAUCCCCAACGACUCACCAAGACAAAAAUUAUUUUAGAGAGCGAGGGAGCUGUAGAGAGAGAAGGGAAGAGUUCCUAGAGGGGUUUAUCAACCAUUGACGGACGCUACCCGACUAGAAAGACUCUACUAAAAUUUGAAGUUUUCUCAUGCAUCAUCAUGGCAAACUAUAUUAAGAAUAUACAGACAAUAGGAACAGGAAUAUGCCUUUUUUCUUUCACAUAUCUUUUUCUUUCACUAACUCUGGUUUUAAAAGCUUACAAAGUAGCCCCAAAAAUCAAACUUGAAAACUUAGAAAUUAACCCAAACUAAUUACACUAACAGCUAUAGCGUGAAGAGGAUAUGGAUAUCCAUACCUCACUCGAACCUUUCGAAGGUCGCCGCGGCUCAGGGAGGAGCAGGGGUGGCAGGGCUUUAGCCCUGACAGAAACGCCAGCCUUGAUCAGAGCUUCUGUGAGAGAAAGAGGCAGUGAUGGAGGAGAGAGAAGAAAGAGAGAGUUUGAGAGGGACUGGAAAAAAAAUGUGAGGGAGAGGGGACUGAAAAAAUUGAGAGGGAGAUGAAAUCUAGGGAGAGAGUUUGAGAGGGAGAGCGUGAAAACUUUUAAACUAGCGUUGACUACCCUUUAGGCACAGGUGGCUUUUAAAAAAAAAUAAGGUCCCUCUUAAAAAAAAAAAAAUAGGCAAAUCACUUUAGGCAUCUAUGAUUAUGAGAGAUGAUGCUAUAAGAAUCAAAGGCAUCGUCAUAAAAAAAAUCAAAAAUUCAUACUAAUGUCUUUGUACCUGUUUAAUUUCGUUAUUUAUAAAAUCAAUGUCUAAUGUACUAAUAGCAUCGAUUUUCCGUUUUAUUGAUGCCUAUGUAGUGUUGCUGACAGUGAAAUUUGGCAUAAUGACUUUGGCUGCGAAAAGCUGGGAGUUGCAUAUUUUGUAGAGGUUUCUACAAGGGGGGGAAACCGUUGGCCAGGGCAUGCCGUACUUAGCAUGCUUGCAGGCUUGGACUGCAUUUGGGAUAGUUCGGUUGCAGAAGAAUUGGUUGUGGGUGCAGAGGCCUUGUUUGGCCACGGCGGAUGAAGAAACUACAACUGUUGUUAUUUGGCCGAGUUGUAAGUCAUAAUGGGGCCAUAGCAUUGUGAAAGCUUGGUUAGAGAGAGAUGUGGUUUGUUUCCUGUUGACAUGAGUCUCCUAAUUAAUCAAGGAGAUUUACUUCCUUGAUUAAUUAAGGGAUUUACUUUCCUAUUUUUUAUAGUUGAUAAAUCAUUGUAUAAUUAAGAGAUACUUUCCUAAUUCUUUACUAUAUCUAAUUCCUUGUAUAACACCCUGUAAACUCUAAACACAAUUUUUUUACUGAGAAGAAUAAAGUUAACCUAAUACAUUCAAACCAUAUUCAUAUUUUAGCAUGGUAUCAGAGCAAUCAAUCCUCGAUUGUCUCUAAAUUCUCAUAUCAAAUUUUUUCUUCAAACACACAUCCUAAAUCCUCAUAUCAAAUUUGUUAAUGUAUGCAUUUUGGGUUUUUCUUUUGCUUCCCUUGACAACUUUGUAAUAGGAUUUCUAUUGUUAUUUAUCAAGCUCAAGUUUAGAUUGAGAAUAGCUUCUCUAGGUGUUCUUAACUAACAACUAUCAUAUGGAGGUUCAUGCAAAUUGGCAAAGGUAAAUUGUGCAUUGCAUAACAAUGCAUUAUACUGUUUUCAUAAAAUGAUGACUAGUCAUCUGUUUCUUGGAUGACUAGUCAUCCUUGCUCUCCAGCUUGAUAACCAACUUUUUUGUCCUAUUCUUUUUUCUCUCUUGGCUGCCACAUGGGAUUCUGAUCUAAGGGAAUUUUUGGUCUGUAAAGGCCUUGCGAUUCCUCUUUGGGAAGCCGUCACUUUUGGGGACAAGUUUUGGAAAGUUUCAUAGCAACCUUCCUCAAGAGUAACCUUCAUAUUUUUCAUCUUUGAGUUUUCCAAAUUGUUUCUUUUUGAAAACUGCAUUUGAAAUAUGAAAACUUCAUCUUGCUAGAUCAAACACUCUAUCAUAUACAUCUAGGUCAGAUUCAAGAUUGAUUUCUUCAAGAGUAUGGUUUCUUGAAGAAAUUGGUCAUUUUCUCCAUGAAUCCAAAUUUCAUUUUUGUCUGAGUUAGAGCUUGCAAGCUAGUGCCAUGGGAUGAAAGAGCUGGAGAAGGAGCUGUCAUUGCCAUGAAGAACUGAGAUUCAAGCUUUGCUAAGUUGGAGAAGAAGAUUGCACAAAGGAGGUAUAGCUCAUCUUCCUAAAUAGACCUAGGAAUUUCUUGAGCUUGCUAGUGUUCUUUGUAAGAAUCAUUUUGCUUAGUGGAUUGCCUAGUCGGUUGAUGACCCCCAAUUUUUCCCAAUGGUGGGUUUCUGGGUAAACAAUUUCUGGUUUCCAUCUCUGUAAAUUUUCUGGGUUUGUGUUCUUGAUAGUUGACUAGUCAUCUGAAUUUGUGCGGUUGACUAGUCAUCUUUUUCUGCUGUUUGGUGUUUGUUUGAUUAUGUUGUCUUCACACACUUUCACCAUAGUUGUUGCUAGCACAGGGGAUGCCUAGAUUGAUGGGUCCUUCUGAGUGCCUAGGUUGUCACUAGUAAUUCUCUAGGCCUGCAGGUACAUCUUGGUAUGCUCUGUUUAUGUUAUUGUUUGGUAUAAUUCAUAUCUAACAGUUGACUAGUCAUAAGAGUAUUUGGUCAAGAUCUAGAGUGUGUGAAGGUUGUUGUGUUCUUGAUUGAAUAUCUUUUAAAUUUACCCCUCGUCACCUAAGUACCAAUUUCAAAAUUUCUUCACACCCAAACCCUAAAUCAAAUUCCUCAUAUUUCCAGCUUCAGAUUCAAAUCUUCAUACCCGAAUCCUCAUAUCCUCUUAUCACCAAACCCUAAACACAUCUUUUUCCUCUUCUCUUAAAUCCUUCCGCUGCCAUGAAUAUCGUCUCAUAUUCCCAAACCACUGCCUCCACUUCGCCAUCCUCUAAAUUGCCACAACAGGUUCUCACGGUUAUGUUUUGCAUAGUUCUUCAAAGAAACACAUUUGAGUCAUUGACACUAGAGCCACUGAUCACAUGACCUUUGAUCCUGGACAAAUUACCUCUCAUACACCGUCUUCUCAACCGGUGGUGUUUAAUGCCAAUGGUACCCCCUCCCCAGUAAUUGGGGAGGGUUCCCUCUCUCUCUGUGACUCCCUCACUUUGGAUUCUGUAUUGAUUGUUCCAUCCUUACAUCAUAAUCUCUUAUGUGUUGCCCAAAUUACUACGGCUUUGAAUUGCACUGUAACCUUUUGCCCUACUCAUUGUGUUUUUUAGGACAUUCUCAACAACAAGACGAUUGGUUGUGGUACUAGGAGGGGCAAACUCUACUAUCUGGACUUGGCAUCUAACAGUGAAGCCAGCCUCAGUCACGCUUACAAAAUUGGGGGUACGAGUGUUGAGAAGCAAACUUCCGAAGUAUGGUUAUGGCAUUGCCAUCUUGGACAUGCUUCGUUUGGAUAUUUACAUAAGCUAUUUCCUUCCUUAUUUUCCCAAUUAGAUAUUUCCAGUUUUACGUGUGACAUCUGUGAAAUAGCCAAGAGCCAUUGGGUUCCUCUUCCCUUAAGUUCACAUAAAAGUUUGGUUCCUUUUUCUCUUGUUCAUUCUGAUGUUUGGGGCUCGGCUAAAAUUACCACUCUAGGGGGAGCUAGAUGGUUUGUCACGUUUAUCGAUGAUUACACACGUAUGAGCUGGGUUUCCCUUCUCCAAGCAAAAAGGGAAGUCAGUUCUAAGUUUCAAUAGUUCUAUCACAUGGUGGAGACCCAAUUUCAUACUAGAAUUCAAGUUCUUUGGUCUGACAAGGGAGGAGAAUUUCUCAACCAUGAUCUUAAUCAGUUCUUACCAGAUCAUGGCAUCAUACAUCAAAGCUCAUGCCUUUACACUCCCCAACAGAAUGGUAUGGCUGAAAGAAAGACACUUAUUGGAAGAGGUUCGUGCCUCUCUCUUUGGUGCCAAUAUGCCUCUGUCCUUUUCGGGAGAAGCCGUCCUCUCUGCAGCAUAUCUUAUCAAUCGGACUCCCUCCAGUAUCCUUAAUUUGCAAACCCCCUUCAAACACUCUACCACCAUAUCCAAAUACCUCAUACCAAAAACCUAGAACCACAGAUUUUUGGCUGUGUGGUCUUUGUCCACUUAAAUGAUCACCAACGCAGCAAAUUGGAUACUCGCGCCGAAAAGUGUGUUUUUAUUUUGUUACGCACCUCAUCAGAAAGGUUACCGGUGUUAUCAUCCUCCUAGUCAAAAGGUCUAUACUUCUAUGGAUGUUGUGUUCCGAGAACACGACAUAUAUUUUUCAGCCGUACAAGAGGAGCAUCGUGAUGCCAACACUUCUCAAAUUUCAAGACUGUUUCCUUCAGAAUUGUCAUAGACUGAAAAUGACCGGUCGCAGAAUACAAGUGACCGGUCGUCGGAGACUCUGCUUGAAAAAGACCGAUCGCCUCAUGAAAAUCUGAAUCUACUUCAAAACGACCAGUCGUCAGAGUACCACGAUCGGUCGUCUCCCUGCUGUCAAACUAAGGAGGAGAACAUUGAGUAGUUUUUGCCCGCUCAGUAAUUCUUCAGCUCCAGUACCACACUAAUCACCUGCUGAGGAUGUCAUUCAUGUAACAUCUUUUUCAAAAACUUAUAACAUUAAUGAAAUAUCCCGUGAUGAUUUAAUUUCAUAAGGCACAGAGCCUGCAUAUCAGAUUCCAAAACGGAAGAACUAUGGAAAACCUCCAGUUCACUACGAAGCAGACCUUAAUGCAAAAGGGAAAUAUCCUAUCAACGAUUAUGUAUCCCAACAACAAGGAGAAUCAAGUUUGCAAGCUUAGAAAGUCAUUGUAUAUGUUAAAGCAAUCCCCUAGAGCAUGGUUUGGCAGAUUCACUAAAUCCAUGAAGAAUUUUGGAUAUAUAUAGAGUAAUGCAUAUCACACCUUGUUCUUGAAGCGUGAUGUAAGAAGACUUAAUGCAUUGAUUGUUUAUGUGGAUGACAUAGUCGUAACUGAAAACGACACAGAAGAGCAAUUGAAACUGCAAAAAUAUUUGUCUCAGGAAUUUGAGAUGAAGGAUCUAGGAGAUCUGAAGUACAUUCUAGGAAUUGAAGUAGCCAGGUCCACAACUGGUAUAUUUCUGUCUCAAAGGAAGUAUGUAUUAGAUCUGCUCACUGAAACAAGAAUGCUUGGAUGGAAACCUGCUGAUACAACCAUCGAGAUGAAUUACAAGUUAUGUGAAGACAUGGAUCAAGAACCAACCAAUAAGGAACAGUACCAACGCCUUGUUGGAAGGUUGAUAUAUUUAGCUGUCACAAGACCAAAUAUUGCAUAUGCUGUGAGUGCGGUUAGUCAGUUUAUGCAUUCACCCAGUGUGUCCCAUAGGAAUGCAGUUGAUCGAACCUUAAGAUACUUAAAGUCAGCACCUAGGAAAAGGUUAACGUUCUCAAAAAAUAGAGAUUUCGAAGUUGUUGGAUAUACAGAUGCUGAUUGGGCUGGCUCCAUUACUAACAGACGCUCUACUUCAGGUUACUUCACUUUUAUGGGAGGUAACCUAGUCACUUGGCGGAGUAAGAAACAAAAUGUGAUUUCUCGAUCUAGUGCUGAAGUAGAGUAUCGAAGAAUGGCUCACGGAGUUUGUGAAUUACUAAGGAUCAAAAGACUAUUGACAGAAUUGGUGUUCAAGCCAGAAAAUCCAAUGGAGUUACAAUGUGAUUACAAGUCAGCCAUCGAUAUUGCCCAUAAUCUAGUUCAACAUGAUCAAACUAAACAUGUUUAGGUGGAUAGACAUUUUAUCAAAGAAAAAUAUGAGAAGAAAAUCAUCCGCCUAUCAUACGUAAAAUCAGAAGAUCAGUUGGCAGAUAUCUUAACCAACGCUGUUUGUGGAAGAGUAUUUUAUGACUCACUUACCAAGUUGGGCAUUGGUGACAUAUAUGCACCAACUUAAGGAGGAGUGUUGACGUGAAUCUCCUAAUGAAUGAAAGAGAUUUACUUCCUUGAUUAAUUAAGGGAUUUAAUUUCUUAUUUCUUAUAUAGUUGAUAAGUCAUUGUAUAACUAGGAGAUACUUUUCUAAUUCUUUACUGUAUCUAAUUCCUUGUAUAGCACCCUGUAAACUCUUAUAUAUACCUCCUUAUGGAGAAGAAUAAAGUUAACCUAAUACAUUCAAACCAUAUUCAUAUUUUAGCAUUUCCAAGCUCUAGAAGAUUGCCAAUGAAAGGAAAUGGGUUUGGUCCAGGUGGAAGGCUUGUGGGAUUUGAUGAUCUUCUUGCAAAGGAAUAAAAGAGGGCAUGGAUUGAAACUCAAGAAAUCCAUAAGACACAAUAGUAUGAAACUCAAGAAAUCCAUCUCUCUCUCUCUCUCUCUCUCUCUCUCUCUCUCUCUCAGUUUCUUUUCUCCCAACUCAUCUAAUUUUCUGUUACAUAUUAUGCAUUAUAUAUAUGUGUGUAAGGGUGGGCAUCAAAACCGGAAUACCCAAACCAUCCCAAAACCGUUCCAAUCUCGUGCCGUCCUGUUUGGUGUUGACGUGUAAACGGGAUGAUAUUGUUGGCGUGACUUGUGGAUAUUGACUUACUUUCCUUACACACCAAGAAUUCCUAUUAUAAUUGUAAUUGAUUUACUUUAAUUCCUGAUUUCCUACUGUAAAUAGAUUUAAGAAUUUAUUAUUUACUUGCCCAUUCAGGUUUCGUUGUAUUAUAAAUAUAACCUCCUACAAGGAGAAGAAUACACAGAAAAUUCCCACAAACAAAUAUUCUCUCAUAGUUUUCAUAUUUUAGCAUGGUAUCAGAGCCAGGUUCUUGGAAUUGCUGACUCUAGUUUCAAACCCCCGCCGCCGCUAUGGGGGUUGAUGAUUUUUUCAAACCUUAUGGAGGUAGUACCACCGACUCCUUCUCUCAUUCUCAACCAACCAUCGUUGAGUUGAAUGCCCAGAUGGCUCCGCCCAUACAGAUGCAGACUUUGACCCUGAACCCGAUCUAGAAUCAGGAUCCUCUUUUGACGACCCCGACCCCGACCCCGACCCCGACUAUGACUACGACGACGAAGACCCCGACCCCGACUACGAAGACGACCCCGACCCCCACUCCGAUGAUGACCCCAAUCCCGAAUUUGUCUCUGAUUCAGACCCCGAUCCCAAUUUCGACUCCGACUCCGGCCCCGACUCAGGCUCAGAUUCCGAUCCAAAUUCCUACUCAACCUGUAUCCUAUGCAUCUUCCGCUGCACAGAUUAUGACUUCUAGACUAACGACCCAGACACAUGGACCAAAUUGCGCAUAUUGUGGUGAUCCGAGACACACUUGUGAGACUUGUUUUAAAUCGCAUGGCUACCCCGAUUGGUGGGCUACUCUUACAGAUCGAGGACAAUGCAAUAUGACCAGUAAUGGUACUAGUUAUGGAUUCCAUACUUCCGAUAAGAUUGAUUCCAAGAGCUGGAUAAUUGAUUCUGAUGCAACUGAUCAUAUGACGUUUGACCCUGAUGAUUUUCUGAAUACUACACAACCUCGACGAACCUGUAUUGCAAAUGCCAAUGGUGUUACUUAUCCUGUGAUAGGGGCUAGCACUGUUGCACUCUCAUCCUCUCUCACCAUGUCUAAUACUUUACUUGUUCCAUCUUUAUCCACUAAAUUGUUGUCAGUUAGUCAGCUUACUGAAUAAUUGAAUUGUUGUGUACUCAUUUACCCGAGUUUUUGUUUGCUUCAGGAUAUUCACACUAAGGAGAUUCUUGGUCGUGGUACUAAGAGAGGGGGGCUAUAUUAUGUCGAUGACUUCAGUCCCGGCGUGGCUAACAGUGUGACACAUCCCUUUGAUAGCAAACAAAAGCAAAUCUGGUUGUGGCAUCGUCGAUUGGGACAUCCAUCUUUUAGUUAUAUGAAGCAUCUUAUACCAGAUUUAUUCUCAGGUUUCAAAGACUCCGAUACUUGUAUUUUGGCCAAGAGUCACCGUGUGCCGUACCCGUUGAAUACGAACAAGUGUACUACUCCAUUUACGUUAAUUCACUCUGAUGUCUGGGGACCUUCGCCUAUCACUGCUCCUUCUGGUGUUUGAUGGUUUGUCACAUUCAUCGAUGAUUGUACACGAAUGACAUAGCUUUAUUUGCUGAAGAAUAAAAAUGAAGUGUUUUCCCGUUUUCAGUCCUUCCACAAACAGAUGAAAACUCAGUUUAAUGCUCAAAUCCAGAUUCUUCGCUCAGACAAUGGUGGAGAAUUUGUCAAUCAUGACUUUCAGACUUACUUUCAACAACAUGGAAUUAUCCAUGAGACGACUUGUUCUCAGACACCACAACAAAAUGGUGUUGCUGAAUGAAAGAAUCGACAUCUUCUUGAAACCGCCUGAGCACUUUUGAUUGGCGCUCAUGUUCCUCGCCAUCACUGGGAUGAUGCUAUUGUCACUGCAGUUCACCUAAUCAACCGCAUGCCUUCUGGUGUAUUGACCUUUAAAACUCCCUUAUAGGUGCUUGCACAACACAGACCUCUGCCCUCUGUUUUGGUACUCACACCCCGAAUCUUUGGAUGUGUGGCUUUCGUUCAUCUCCACAAAAAUCAACGUAGCAAACUUGAUCCCUGUGCGCUUCGUUGUGUUUUUGUGAGUUAUGCCACUCAUCAGAAAGGUUACCGUUGUUAUUACCCUCCUACCCAAUGAACCUAUGUCACUUUGGAUGUGACCUUUUUGGAAUAUGAACUGUUCUUUCAUAACCCAUCAUCCAAUUCUGCUCUUCACGGGGAGAUACGAAGUGAAGAGCAGAAUUGGAGCAACUUGGAAAACAAAGAAAUUCUUCUAUGUACAGAAAUGAUUGAUCAUCCCGAGUCUGGAGCACGAGAUUACUCUCUGUUAAAAAGCGACCAAUCGCCCAUUCAUAGCGAUCAAUUGCCUGACCCACCUGAUCCAUGUGAAGAUAUUUUUGAUCCAAGUCUCACACCUACAGACAAUACAGAACAACAAGAUGAAGACCCCCUUCUAACUUAACAGUACCAACAGACCAAUCUCCUGAGAAUAUCCUUGAGGUAACUACUCCUACUAGACUUGUCCAUUUAGAUGAUAAAACUCUUGGAUAUCAAUUACCUUUCAGGCAAAAUCGUGGGAAGCCACCAAACCGUUAUUCACCUGAUAUUGGCAAGACAUCCAAGUGUCCAAUUGCAAAUCAUGUAUCCACUGAGAAGCUGUCUGAACCACUCAAGGCUUUUGUGCAUCAGUUGUCUGCUAUCCAUAUUCCAACCAAGGUUUCUGAAGCAUUGAAAGAUCCUAAGUGGGUCCAAGCUAUAAAAGAGGAGAUGAAAGCUCUUGAGAAAAAUCAGACUUGGACAUUGGCGACUAUACCACGAGGAAAAAAGACUAUCGAUGUAGAUGGGUGUUUACUAUAAAACACAAUACAGAUGGAUCUAUCGAGCGAUACAAGGCAAGACUUGUGGCAAAAGGGUACACACAGACCUAUGGUAUAGACUAUGAAGAAACUUUUGCACCAGUUGCAAAGUUAAACACCGUCAGAGUCUUAUUGUCCCUUGCAGCUAAUUUGGAUUGGCCACUACACCAGUUUGAUGUAAAGAAUGCUUUUCUACAUGGCGAACUCACGGAGGAGGUGUACAUGGACAUUCCUCCUGGAUAUAAUACUACUCAGACUGGAACAGUUUGCAGGUUACGAAAAGCAUUGUAUGGAUUGAAACAGUCACCACGUGCAUGGUUUGAACGGUUCACCAUGGCAAUGAAGAACAAUGGUUUCAAACAAUGCAACUCAGGUCAUACUCUAUUCUUGAAACAUCGAAAAGGGAAGGUAACAGCAUUAAUAAUCUAUGUUGAUGAUAUGAUUAUUACUGGGAAUGAUAAACAGGAAAUAUCACAGCUACAAGACUAUCUGGCUACGGAGUUUGAGAUGAAGGAUCUAGGUGGACUCAAGUAUUUCUUGGGAAUUGAGGUGGCUCGAUCGCAGCAAGGCAUAUUUCUCUCUCAAAGGAAAUAUGUCUUGGACUUGUUGACAGACACAGGAAUGCUAGAUUGUAAACCUGCGGACACUCCUAUUGUUCAGAAUCAUCAUCUUGGAGAAUAUCUGGAUCAAGUUCCAACUAACAAAGAAAGAUACCAAAGGCUAGUGGGAAGAUUGAUCUAUUUGUCACAUACUUGACCAGACAUUGCUUAUGCGGUGAGCGUUGUCAGUCAAUUUAUGCACUCUCCAAGUGAAGACCACAUGAAUGCAGUUCUUCGGAUACUUAGAUAUUUGAAGUCUGCACCUGAAAAAGGACUUAUGUUCUCAAAGCAUGGUCAUCUAAAUAUUGAUGGUUAUUCAGAUGCAGAUUGGGCAGGUAAUGUAACAGAUAGAAAAUCCACAUCGGGUUACUUCACAUUCGUGGGAGGUAAUUUGGUGACAUGGAGGAGCAAGAAACGGAAUGUAGUAGCUUUAUCCAGUGCAGAAGCCGAGUUCAGAGGCAUGACUAAAGGGAUUUGUGAACUUCUUUGGUUAAGAAAGUUGCUUAUUGAACUCGGGUAUAAACCUACAUCCACAAUGAAUCUCUUUUGUGACAACAAGGCUGCUAUAGCCAUUGCACAGAAUCCGGUUCAACAUGAUCGUACUAAACAUGUUGAGGUGGAUCGACACUUCAUCAAACAGAAGCUUGAGGCUAAAGUGUUUCAGUUUCCUUUUGUGAAAUCCGAGGAUCAAUUGACAGAUAUUUUGACAAAGGCGAUUUCCAGUAAAGCAUUCCACAAUUCACUGGAUCAGCUGGGCAUUGGCGACAUCUAUGCACCAACGUGAGGGGGAGUGUUGGCGUGACUUGUGGAUAUUGACUUACUUUCUUUACACACCAAGAAUUCCUAUUAUAAUUGUAAUUGAUUUACUUUAAUUCCUGAUUUCCUGCUGUAAAUAGAUUUAGGAAUUUAUUAUUUACUUGCCUAUUCAAGUUUCGUUGUAUUAUAAAUAUGACCUCCUACAAGGAGAAGAAUACACAGAAAAUUCCCACAAACAAAUAUUCUCUCAUAGUUUUCAUAUUUUAGCAGACAUCGUGUCAUCCUGUUACUGUUUGGCACGACAUUGGUUUCACAUUUGUGAUCCCGAUUGGUGUCAUACCGUACCAAACAGUACAUUUGUUUUAUUAAUCCUAAUUUAAUUUCAGCCUACUCUCCUCCACAGAUUUCUUCGACUCCUCUCUCUCUUUGUUUCUCUGCGUCCCUUCCUCUAUCUAAUUCUAAUUCUUCUCUUCUCUUCUCUCCUCCUUUCUCAAUCUUUCUUGAUAGAAAUGAGGUCUUUUUGUUCUCUUUUCCUUUGAUGGGUUUUUGAAAGAAAAAAAGGUUUGUUCUCUUUUUGUUCUCUUUUCCUUUGAUACGCAUCCUUCCUGUUACAGUUGGAUCCUUUAUCCUGGAUUAAAUUGAUUGUCUUCAUCUAAUGAUAUAUUGCAAAUAUCUGGAGACUUUCUUUUAUGAAAUUUAGGUAGGUAUUGGAGGUUUCCUGUGCAGCUGCCAAAUUUCACUUCUUUGGUUUCUGGAUUUGGACUUUACGUUUUCAAUGACAUUUUACACGCAUUAGCAUUUUGGGGUUAUCUAGAAGUCGAGUUUUCUGGAUAUGAGAAGUAAUGGUAGUUGGGUUUUCUCUUUUAAUUGAAAAGAACACUACUUUAUUACAGGUUUAGGUGUUUGGUUAAGUUUAGAUCUUUAACAAUAUCAGUGGGACUCUUGCUCCUUUUAAUCCAUCACUGCCAGUGUUUGGUUAUGAAAUUUUGCAGAUUGUUUACGGUAUCAGCAUUGAUAUCGAAUUAUAUCGAUCUCGUUUAGGUUUGGUAUAGUUUGAACGUGUUUUCAAAAACAACCAUCAUGUCUCAUCCCAUUUCGAUUCCCCUAUUCAAGAUUGACACCGAAAUAACCUCUAUUCUGUGUCAUCUCGUAUCGUGGCCAGCCCUAUAUGUGUAUAUCUUUUAGGAGACAUAUAGGGAAAGUCAACUAUUUAUAUCUUUUAGGAGACAAAUAUGAAUAGCCACUUGGCGUGACAUCAGGAAUUUGACGGUAUAUCUACUAGUUUAUUGGUAUAGUUCAUGGCCGUGAAUUAUUGAUAAAGGAAAAAGACAAGGAAAAAUGUAUAAAGUAAUUUCUUUUUGUUGUAAAAUAACUGGGAUAUGUGCGAAUAUUGAGCUGCACGUAAAGUAGAUGAGACACAGUAUUUAAAGAGGUUCGGCUAUGCCUACGUCCCCGGAGAGCAGCAGUAGUAACUUUUCCACUAUGUAAUAUAAUAGGGCUACAACUUUAGUGUUUACAAUAUGUAUGGCUCACUCAAUUUUCUCUCUUGGAGAAUUUCUCUCUUGCUCUCUUUCCUCUCAACUCACUCACCCUCUUUCUUCCUUCUCUUCCUCUUCUCUCAUUUCAUCUUCUCAUUACAAGCAAAUAUAAUGCCUAUUUAUAGGCAAAGCAAAUGGCUUGGUUUGGUGGGUGUGUGAUUUGGUUUGGUAGGUGUGUGGUUUGGUUUGGUAGGUGUGUGGUUUGAUUUGGUGGGUGUGUGGUUUGAAUGUUAGAGCAUGUGGGCUUCACCCAUUCUUCUUUACAACACUCCCCCUUGGAGACCACAUGUCCCUAGAUUGGUUGCCUCAUUAAAACCUUGCUUGGAGAAAAACCCAGUGAGGUAGAAAACUGAUGGAAGGAAGAAAAAAGAGUACAGCAAUCUGUAUAGCAUACUUCUGGAUGCUCCCCCUGAUUAAUAUCUCCCCCUGAUGUCUUCAUGACUAUCUUUUGGAGUGAGAAUCUUUCGGAGUGAGUGGAGGAUAUAGCCAUUAAUAAUUCUUGUAGUUGAGUAAAUAAAUAUAUUUCCAGUGAGCUAUCUCUAUGUAAAUCAUAGAAAUUUUCAGAGUCCGCGUUUCUAACAAAACUUGGGCUAUUUGUAAGUUCACUUGAAAGAAUAUGCCCGUACAUGGUGUUAUGCGGAGAUAGCAUCAAAUAUACCUCACAUCAUCCCAAAAUGAUGGUGAUGGAGUUGAGCCCUAUCUGGAAAAUAUGAUGUCCGGUCCAAUAUACUUCCGGAAAAUCAUUAAAAUGUCCAACGGAUAAUCCUCAUAAAAAUGCUUCAAUACUUUCUUAGUAUAAGCAAGAAUCUCGUUGGCAUAAUGCUCGAUCCUUAAGUCGAGACAAAUAUUUCUUGAACUCUUCAGAAGCUUUAAUGUGUUGCAAACACAUUAUAAUCCAUGUACUCACUGAGACAAUUUAUGCACAUUAGUAUUGAGUACAGAUUUUGUGCUUCAGGCACAUGUCCUUCAGGGACUUGCUUCAUGCAAUUUCAAUCCUUUCAAGGAUUUUGUUUAAAGGGAUUAAACUUUAUGACACAUUAUAUAGCUUUAAUCCAGCUAUUUAUACAUCUUUAGGGAAUCGCUUCUGGCAAUAUGCUCUGUGCAUUUAAUACCCCUUAAAGAUAAUAUGUUGGUCUCCGUAAAUGUGUAAUAAAGGGGCACAAUUGAAUCUAUAAAUAUGGAGAAAAUCCAACGUUCCUUAUUUAUGCCAAAAAUAUUGUGUCAUACAAAGUAGGUAUAUUCCCUUCUAUUCCGAACACCCAAGUAUAACUUUCAGUAUUAACAUCUUUUGGGGUUCGUAAUGUGGGUUUGUUCUUUCACGUUCAUUCUCAUCUAUAAUGGAAUUACCUCAUUCCAUUUUGGCCAAUGAUAUUGUCGACAUUUAAUAAUUGAACGUGGUUCCAAUUAACGCAGCCCAUUGAUGAUUUGAGUAGCUACUCUAAAACCAAAAAUUGUCAUUCAUCAAUUCAUGAUCUCACCAUUCUCAUUUGCAUGCGCAUGCAUCAAUUAUAAGCAUUUCUUUGCUUUUGGGUACCCAAGCCACUUCAUGGGGCUUUUAUUAUGUGAGAAUGUGGAUUAUAACCUCCAAUGGAACGUUAUUUUACAGUAGGGCGUGGAUAAUCUCUAUUUAGGGAGUUGGAACAUUUAGAACCCAUAUAUCUGUCAUGCUGCAGGCAUGCCACAGAUUAAUACAUACAUGUCAAUUAAUUUCUGGGACUUUAACCCAUACUAUUUGCUACGCAUUAGGCGUGCACAAUAUCAAUAUUGACAUGUCAAAGGAUUGUCCUUUCGGGACUUCAAUCAACAUCAUUUGCUACGCAACAGGCGUGCAUCAUAUUGAUCACUGCUAUACCCAUGUUCUGUUCUUAUGGGACUUUAAUCUGUGCAAUGUAUUAUCAAUGUAUCCAACUUGCAAUCUGUAAAAUUUGCAUUAAUAAUUCAUGGAUACAUACAAGCCAUUCUUUUAGAACAGACUUAUCUCCCCAUUUGGUUACCUUUCAAGAUAAAAUAUCAAAUAAGUAUAUAAGCAUAUAAUAACACAAAUAUUGCUUACAUCCUUAGGUGGGAGAAACUUUUCUUAAGUAUCAUUCAAGCUCGUAUCGGCCCAAUAAAUAUAAUGUAGCGCUUGAUGAUCUAGUUAUAUCCUGCAAGAGCAAAAUCACAACUCUUUUCUCUGUCAAAAACAAAUAACUCUCAGGGUUAGGAUCACUCCAUGGAUUCUUUCUUCAGAUGUUCAUUCUAAAGAAAUAAAAUCUCUUAUGAACAGAGAGUUACAAAAAGAGAAAAAAUGCAAAAAAAUUGUGAUAUUGAUUGCAAGAGAAGGUAAGCAAUCAGGGAAGGAAGCUGGUGGGAGCAGACAACAAGCUCAGCAAUCAAGGAAGGAAGCUGGUGGGAGCAAACAACAAGCUCUCAUUUCUUCUAGUCUAGAAGAACUUCCGGAGAUUAGAGCAUAAGGUUGCCUUCACAGUUCCCUGAUGUGGCGAAAACGUGAUCAAGGAUAGUCUCGCUUCCUGAAUGGAUGAUCAGAGAUAGUCUUGCUUCUCGGGCAUGUUAAGUGCUCACUGAUAAGAAAAACAAGUAGAUAUCGCAUCACUAGGUAUGGAGAAAACUGGAUGUCUUCUGCAAAGAAAAUUUCGUUAGUAACAUAUUUAUACACAAAUAAGAGGAAUAGGUAGAACCGGUGAAUUUCAAAUUAACCAUAAGAAAAUUGCGAGAUUCUCGGGGUGCUUUUGAAAAAAUAGCUCUGUGAAAUCCGCAAAGCAAGAUCGGCUUUUGACGAAAAUAAUACUUUGAAAACGCCGAAAGUGCCGACAAACAUUAAUGGAGGCCACGUGAAGUUUUGGAAAAAGAGAAUAUGGGGAUCCGAAAAGAUAUUGGGAUCCUGAAAAACUGUAGCCAUAUUUCCUCCUAUAGAUAUUGCCUUUGCAAAACUUGAUUGGAGCAACUGCGUUUCAACUUAACUUCCUUCAUUUUCUGAAACUUUAGUUUUCUUAAGACUUUCUUCGAAACCUUCUUAAAAAUGGCUUCCUCUUCUUCCUGCCCAAAUUAUUUCAAUUUAAAUGAUGCUCCCACAACAAAUAGUGACGCCAAAGUUUGGCGUCCAUCCUUUGUAUCCCAAAAUCGUCAUCUCACAGUUAAUGAUUCUGUGAUGAUGAAUGAUGCUACUGCUGUCAUAGUAGCUAGGAAUUUCAUUACUCCAAUGGAUGAAAUGCUGUUAACAGGGAGAUCUGAGGAAGAGGCUAUUGAUGACUCAAUGGCGUUUAGCAUUCAGAGUGCUGCUUCUGUUUCUAACAUGGCUGAUCGUUUGCGUGCCAGAGCAAACGAGGUUGAGAGGUUAACAACUGAAAAUUCGUCUCUCCAAAGAAUGCUUCAUGAGUCUCAACAGGAGGUUGAGAAACUUAAAGGAGAGAAUAAUGCCUUGUUGAAACUGGUGAGUUCGUACUCUGUUGAUACACUGAGAAGGCUAGACAUGCUGCAGGUCUCCAAUGAAAGAAUUUUGGGAGACCACGAGAGGCUCAUGGCUAAGCUUAAGAGGCGUCGUCCUCUUCCUUCAGAGGCUUCCAGAACAUAAUGUAAUUUUAUAGAUUUUACAGGGCCUGCACCUUCAUGGCAGGUGGAAAAAAUCUAUCUGUUGUAUGUUCCUGUAAUAAUAAUUGCGCACAUUCUUAAACUUGCACCUGUGGUUUUUACGUCUUUUCAAAAUGACGGUUUGGAACCUUGUGCCUUAUAAGUUCAAAUAACCACAUUGACUCUCCCAAAUUUCAUAUUUCAACGUAUGGGAGUUUUGGCCUGGGCUAAACACAAACUCAGAAUUUAUUCGCCCUUUUCAAAUGGACAUGAAAUAUGAAUUGAGUAAAAGCCACGAUAAUAUCGCAAUAUAGUAGUGAAGAGCAUUAACUACUACACACCCACAAACUCAAGUUCGGGAUCUCUCAUACAUUUGGAUCCAUGGGCUUCUGGCCCAGAUAUAACAAAAUAUGUGGGGGGGCCUCAAUUCAUCAUUUGAGGUUUAUACUGAUAUUAUCCAUUUCACAGUGUAUUCUUAACAACCGAAAUUCACAAAAUAUAUUUCUUCCUUGAGGUGUCGAUUAUAACAUAAUCGAACUUUAUUAAAUUCAUCAUUUUCUUAUGCCAAAGAAAUAUGUGGCGUACCACAAUCUGUAAUAAUACCUCAAGGGUUGUUCAUUUAACUGUUGGAGCUUUAGGUUCUUAACACUGUUAGAUUUUGAACUUCAGGCCAAAAUCACAUAUUCUCAUGGUAUGGACAUUCAAUCCCCUUAGAUUUUGAACUUCGGGCCAAAAUCACAUAUUCUCAUGGUAUGGACAUUUUACAAUUUUUUGUACAUAUUUCUGGACUUCAAGCCCUUACAUAAUUGUCCAUAUUUUGAGGAACUUCUGGCAUCUCAUUUAAUUGAUCAUCCAUGAGUUUAAGAAACUGCAGGUUCCCUUUUGAAUAUAGUGACGGUUUACCCAAAAUGGUUAAUAUUUAUGCAUACGUCACUAUUCAUGUAUACGGUACUAUUCAUCAAAUCAUGAAUACGUAUCUAUUCAUGUGUACAGUACAUUUGCCAGUACAGUUAUUAUUCAUGUGUACGGCACUUUUAACCAAUACGGUACUGUUACAUCAUCAAGGAACUCUAGGUCCUUAUUUACAUGUCAAGGAUCAAGGAUCUUCAAGUCCGAUCUCUUGUUUACAAGUAUAGUACCGGAGAGACUGCCAGCUCUCAUAUCAAUAUCAUUAUCAAGGAUCUUCAAGUCCUAAUGUAAUUGUAUGAUGAGGAUCAAGAAACUUCCGGUCCUGAUCUGCAUACUGUAAAAAACUCAUCAUACAGAACAAUUAAUCCAUAAAAUAAAUUGUUGGUAAAUAAAUUACUAGUAUGGACGAUAAACUCGCACCAUACUUUAAAUAAAUGUAAAUAUGCGGUAAAAUAAAUUCAUAAAUUAAAUUGCUUGUUGUAUGGACGUUAAUCCCGCACCAUACCUUAAAUAAAAUUAAAUGUGUGGUAAAGUAAAUUCAUAAAGUAUGAGGGUUAAUUCCACAUCAUACUUUAAGUAAAAGUAAAUUUGCGAUAAAGUAAACGUGCUUGUAUGGGCACUAAUUCUGCUCCAUACAUUUAAAUAAAAGUAAAGGCGUGGACGAUAAACCCGCACCACCCUUUUAAAUAGAUAAUGUUGUAUGGGUAAUAAACCUACACCAUACAGUAAAUAAUGUACAGUAAAGUAAUUUCAUAAAGUAUGAGGGUUAAUUCCACAUCAUACUUUAAGUAAAAGUAAAUUUGCGAUAAAGUAAACGUGCUUGUAUGGGCACUAAUUCUGCUCCAUACAUUUAAAUAAAAGUAAAGACAAUUAUUUGUGGAUUCAUAUCAACACCACAAUCAAAUAAUAUAGUAGUUAAUGCUCUUCACUACUAUAUUGCGAUAUUAUCGUAGCUUUUACUCAAUUCAUAUUUCAUGUCCAUUUGAAAAGGGCAAAUAAAUUCUGAGUUUGUGUUUAGCCCAGGCCAAAAGUUCCAUACGUUGAAAUAUGAAAUUUGGGAGAGUCGAUGUGGUUAUUUGAAUCUAUAAGGCACAAGGUUCCAAACCGUCAUUUUGAAAAGACGUAAAAACCACAGGUGCAAGUUUAAGAAUGUGCGCAAUUAUUAUAACAGGAACAUACAACAGACAGAUCAAAAUGGAAGAGAACAAACAUUCAAUAGAGAUCAGUUCCUAUACUUCCUCUAUAUCUCAAUUCCCUCUCUCCAAUUCCUCUUGAUUUAUAACACGUUAUCAGCACGAUUAUCUCUAAAAUACCAGCUGGGAAAUUCUUCAAAGCUUCCAUCGUUUUCUUCCGCAAAUGAAGACCUUGCUGUCUCAGACUCUCGUCCAACCGAGCCCACACCUUCUCAGCCAUUUGCCAUUGGCCACCACCCUCACUAAAUUUUAAACAAUACUUGGUCUUUAUUCCAAAGUUGCUCAACUUUGCUUCCACACAUUCGAAGCUCAACAAGAUUUUCUGGAGAAAAUUUUGAUGGCAAAGACUUCAAAGGAUAUUCCUCCCAGCAAAGAUAGCCAAUAGAAUUGGGAAGAGGAACUUUUAAUUUGCAGUACUUUCCAAAGCUAGAAUCAACAUUGAGUAAUCUUACAUCUUUUUGAAAUCUGCAUGAUCCAAGCGUAGUUGUCCACUCUUAGAGCUGUUAAAGAAUAUUGCUUGAACCGUUUCAGUCCCCUGACAAUCAAAAGCACUCCAGGCCUUCUUCAAAGGCCAUCGCUCAGACCAUCCUCACCUAGGACCUGGCCGACGAGCUCGUCCUCAUCAACGCCAAACCAGAGACUAGAUAGCACGACGUGGAUGAACACGGAGAUUCUGGUGACGUGCAUCAAAAACUUCAGGCGAAACCGGGGACCCGUUUCGGGGAUUUUGAAAGGUUAUGUGGGUCUGAGCACCGUCGCCACCGACCUCGUCGAGAUCCAGAUCAACUCGUCCGUGCUUAACUACGAGUUCAUAACCCACAGACUCGGCCUCAUCCCAUUGACAUCCGACCAGCAAAUAGGUUCUUGGGGCUGUUGUCAGAUAUGGAGGUUUCAAACAAUAUUAAUUCUUCUCAGAGCAAAAGCUUUGGGGGCCUUGAAACUGCUGUGAGGUUAUAAAUAUUUUUAAAAAAAAAAAAAAAAAAAAACCAGAUAUGCUUUCAAACGAGGAGCCAAGUUGAUAUCCUUGAUGAUGGAUAUCGAUGGAGGAAGUAUGGUCAAAAAGCAGUGAAGAAACAUUUUUCUAAAAUGGAGGUAAGCCACUAAAAGUUGUUGACAGGUCGGUGUUGAUUUGAUGCAAGGCACUGGAGAUCGAGCCUAGUGGGAUACAGCAAGAUUGAUCAGCCUAGUGGAAAGAAGAAAAGCCAACGUGACAUAUCUAGCUUUCCACUAAUAUAUCAGUAUAAUAAUAUUAUACUAUUUGAUCGUGGUGUUGAUAAGAACCCACCAAUAAUUGCCUUUACUUUAUCGCAAAUUACUUUACUGCACAUUAUUUACUGUAUGGUGUAGGUUUAUUACCCAUACAACAGUAUUUAUUUAAAAGGGUGGUGUGGGUUUAUCGUCCACGCCUUUACUUUUAUUUAAAAGUAUGGAGCAGAAUUAGUGGCCAUACAAGCACAUUUACUCUUACUUAAAGUAUGAUGUGGAAUUAACCCUCAUACUUUAUGAAUUUACUUUACCGUACAUUUACUUUUAUUAAAAGUAUGAUGUGGAAGAUGUGGAAUUAACCCUCAUACUUUAUGAAUUUACUUUACUGCACAUUUACUUUUAUUAAAAGUAUGAUAUGGAAUUAACCCUCAUACUUUAUAUUUCCUUUUAUUUAAAGUAUGGUGCGGAAUUAACGUCCAUACAGCAAGCAAUUUAAUUUAUGAAUUUAUUUUACCGCACAUUUACAUUUAUUUAAAAGGGUGGUGCGGGUUUAUCGCCCACGCCUUUACUUUUAUUUAAAUGUAUGGAGCAGAAUUAGUGCCCAUACAAGCACGUUUACUUUACCAAUUUAUUUUACCGCACAUUUACAUUUAUUUAAAGUAUGGUGCGGGUUUAUCGUCCAUACCAGUAAUUUAUUUACCAGUAAUUUAUUUUAUGGAUUAAAUGUGCUGUAUGAUGAGUUUUUACAGUAUGCAGAUCAGGACCAGAAGUUCCUUGAUCCUCAUCAUACAAUUAUAUCAGGACUUGAAGAUCCUUGAUGAUGAUGUUAAUAUGAGAGCUGGCAGUCUCUCCGGUACUAUAUUUGUAAACAUGUGAUUGGACUUGAGGGUCCUUGAUCCCUGACAUGUAAAUAAGGACCUGGGGUUCCUUAAUGAUGUAACAGUACCGUAUUGUUUCAUAAUGCCGUACACAUGGAUGAUAACUGUACUGGAAAAUGUACUGUCCACAUGAAUAGAUACGUAUUCAUGACUUGAUGAAUAGUACCGGAUAUAUGAAUAGUGACGUAUACAUAAAUAUUAACCAUUUUGGGUAAACCAUCACUAUAUUCAAAAAGGGAACCUGCAGUUCCUUAAACUCAUGAAUGAGCAAUUAAAUGAGAUGCCAGAAGUUCCUCAAGAUAUGGACAAUUAUGUAAGGACUUAAAGUCCAGAAAAAUGUACAGAAAAUUGUAAAAAUGUCCAUACCAUGAGAAUAUGUGAUUUUGGCCUGAAGUUCAAAAUCUAACAGUGUUGAGAACCUAAAGUUCCAACAGUUAAAUGGACAAUCCUUUAGGUAUUAUUGCAAAUUGUGGUACACCACAUAUUUCUUUAGCAUAAGAAAACGAUGAAUUGAGGCUUCCCACAUAUUUUGUUAUAUCUGGGCCGGAAGCACAUGGAUUCAAAUAUAUGAGAAAUUCUGUCAGUGUAAACACUACAAAGAGAAAUAUAAUCCCACUCCCAAUAUUACAGUGGUACUUCUCAUCAACUGAUUAUUCUAGUUUUAUAACACGUUGUAAAAUAACUGGGAUAUGUGCGAAUAUUGAGCUGCACGUAAAGUAGAUGAGACACAGUAUUUAACGAGGUUCGGCUAUGCCUACGUCCCCGGAGAGCAGCAGUAGUAACUUUUCCACUAUGUAAAAUAAUAGGGCUACAACUUUAGUGUUUACAAUAUGUAUGGCUCACUCAAUUUUCUCUCUUGGAGAAUUUCUCUCUUGCUCUCUUUCCUCUCAACUCACUCACCCUCUUUCUUCCUUCUCUUCCUUUUCUCUCAUUUCAUCUUCUCAUUACAAGCAAAUAUAAUGCCUAUUUAUAGGCAAAGCAAAUGGCUUGGUUUGGUGGGUGUGUGAUUUGGUUUGGUAGGUGUGUGGUUUGAUUUGGUGGGUGUGUGGUUUGAAUGUUAGAGCAUGUGGGCUUCACCCAUUCUUCUUUACAACACUUUUUUCCUUUUUUGUCGAAAGCAUCAAGUAAUUUAAUGUUUAAUUAGAAGGGAGAUAAGACGAAAAUUGUAAACGAGCUCCACAGCCGCCAGGAGGCUAUUCAUAUUCAAACAAGCACCGCCUCCCUAGUGUUCAAGUUCAAUUGUUUUACUUCUGCCAUGUUAGAGCAUCUCCACCCCAAAGGGCUAAAGCAAAGGCAAGGACCAGAUAAGAGUUGUCAGCUUUGUUAUUUGUAGUUCUACCCUAAAGGGCUAAGGUUAAGGCUAAGGCAAUUACUAUUCAUUAAACUUUAUUUCCUAUUUUUUUGUACUUUAAACCAUUAAUUUUGAUAAUCUUUUGUACUUAAAUUUUUGGAUAAGAUUUUUAGUUGCCACGUGUCUUAUUACAGAUAAACUUUUUUGGAUAUUCAUUAAAAAAAAUUAUAAUCUCAUAUUUCAGAUAAAAUUUUCACCAUUUAAAAUUGUGCCACAUGUCCCAUGUCAGAUAAGAUUUUCAGAUUUUUAAAAAAAUAAUUAUGAUCUCAUAUUUCAGAUAAGAUUUUCAGAUUUUUAAAAAAAUAAUUAUGAUCUCAUAUUUCAGAUAAGAUUUUCACCCCCUAAAAUUGUACCACGUGUCCCAUAUCAGAUAAGAUUUUCAGAUAUUUAAAAAAAAUUAUAAUCUCAUAUUUCAGAUAAGAUUUUCACCCUCUAAAAUUGUGUCAUGUGUCAUCUCUAUCUUCUGAAUCCCCUAUAAAACUACACCAUCAACUCAUACCUCUCACACCAUCUCUUAUCUGUUCCUUCAUUUCUCAGAUUUUACAAAACGCAUUCUACUCUCAAUGUCAAACUUGAGGAAGGUGUUGGACAGGCAACAGAAAGAAAAGGAAGAAAUCUAGCGCAGACGUGCUGAUGAAGAUUGGGAGGCCGAUGAAGAAGAGGAAGAAAUGCUUGCAGCAGCGGUGUGUAUGCUUAAUCAAUCAAGGCAACACCGCCAUCGUCGUGCCCCGAAUGUGGACAAACAUAGGGAGUCUCGGGGUAAGAAUCUCUUGGAAGAUUACUUUAUCCCAAAUUCGUUAUAUCUUGUUUAUAAGUUUCGAGAAAGAUAUAAAAUGCAGCCACAUUUGUUCCAAAAAAUCAUAUAUGAUAUUUGUAAUUACGACACAUACUUCAUUCAAAAGUACGAUGCUGUUGGAGUUUUGGGUCUUCUCCCGGAGUGAAAACUUACAGCUGCUUUGCGGAUGCUUGCUUAUGGGGCAUCUGCAGAGCAGGUGGAUGAGAUUGCAAAGAUGGGAAAAUCAACUAUUCUAGAGUGCUUGGUGAGAUUCUGUUAUGCGGUGAAAAAUUGGUACACGAGGGAGUACCUUUGCAAACCCACGCCGAAGGACCUGCAAAGGCUUCUACAAAAAGCUGAGGCUCGAGGUUUCCCAGGAAUGAUUGGAAGCAUCGAUUGCAUGCACUGGUAGUGGAAUAAUUGUCCUACUACUUGGCAAGGAGACUAUAGGAAUCGAAAGGGCCAAAAAAGUAUAAUUUUGGAGGCCUUAGCUUCAUUCGACUGUUGGGUUUGGCAUGCCUUCUUCGGGGUUGCCGGAUCUCAGAAUGAACUCAAUGUCCUUGGUCAAUCCCCAGUGUUCGACGAGGUAUUGCGAGGUCAUUCCCCCAAAUCACGUACCAAAUCAACAAUACCUUAUACUCUGGUGCGUACUACCUUGCCGACGGAAUUUAUCUUAGGUGGACGACAUUCGUGAAAACAAUUCCAAAUCUCCAAUCUGAGAAGGAAAAAAGCUUUGCUGCCUUUCAAUAAGGUUACAGGAAAGACGUGGAAAGGUGUUUCGGUAUCUUGCAAGCUCGUUGGGCAAUUAUUAGGGGUGCUGCGGAGCAUUAUGAUGACUUGCAUCAUCCUCCACAACAUGAUUGUGGAGGAUGAUUAUGAUGCUCCAGAGGUGUUUGAACCUGAUCCCAUGAACACGACGUUGACAAGAAUAUAUGAAAGGUCGAUGGGACCAAAUGGACAACCAAUGGAGCCCGAACCAUUACUUCGGGAUGGUCGAUACAACAACCCCAUGAUUGAUCGUUAUCAAGAAAUGCAAUCUUCAUAUGUUCACGAGAGAUGUCAACUUGACUUCAUCGAGCACUUGUGGGAGAUGAAAGGCAAUCACAGUGGUUGAGGUCAAUUAGUGCUUUGUUUGGAAUUAUGCUUUGUUUUUAAUUAUGCUUUAUUUUGUGUGUGGUGUUUUUUGGAAUUAUGCUUUUUUAUUAUUAUUAUGCUUUUAAGUAUGAUUUGUUUUGUUUGUUGUUUGCAAUAAAUUAAGGUUUGUUUUUAAUUAAUCUUUGUUUUGAUGCUCAAAUAUUUUUAAUAAAUAGUCAUAUUAUUUAAUGCUUUCUUUAUUGAAUAAAAAGGAAACAAUACAACAAAUUAAUACAUAUGGUAAAGGUGUUUCAAUACAACCUAAUGGUUUUCAUCAUUUAACCAAUCUAUAUGGCUGGGUCCGUCGUCAUGGAAAAGUUUUCUUCUCAUCACAUCCCUUCGUCUUAACUUCUAAUAGGCCUUUGUUUCAGGAGACAUAAGGCUCGUAUCCAUGGCCAUGAUUUUCAUCUCUCUAUCAUCCAUGUCUUUUUCUUAUGCAUGCUGCUGUUGAAUUGCAAAUGCUUCCUGUGGUGCCAUGUCCGCUUCAUCUCUUUUCAAGUCUCUCUCAAUUCUUAGUGCUGUGUUCUUAGCUAUUUGCUCCAAUAAUUGCACACAUUCAUUGUUCGAAGUGCUCCCUCUCUUGGCCUUCGUCGCCUUUCUCCCAAUAGGUCUCUGUGAACGUGGGAGUCGUGACUCCGUUUCCAUUGGGGGGGUCCAAUGGCGAAUUGUGGAGCGGCGUCUCAUUCAACACAACUGGCGGACCUGUGGGAAUAAUGUUGAAUCUCGAACAAUCCUUCACAACUUCCCAACAUUGGAAAUGCAAGAAACUUUUUUUGUCUUGCCCUAUGGCAUUGAACCAAAGUUGUGCUGGUAUGAUCUAUUAAAAAUAAAUAAUUAGAAGUGCAAGAAAAGAAAAAAAAGAUUAUGCAAGAAAAUAUAAACAAUUUUGAAAUGCAAGAAUAAAAUUGAUUAUGCAAGAAAAUAUAGACAAAUUGGAAAUGCAAAAAGCAAAAAAAAAUUAUGCAAGAAAAAGAAAUAAAUAUGCAAUAAAUAAAAAAGUUUAAAAUGGCAAUUAUAAAUAUUUCACCUCAUCGGAUAGAUUUUGACCGCUUCGAAUGUUCUUCCUUGCUUUUGUCAAGGCAUUUCUCCGUUUUCCUAACUCUUUAUUCAGAAUUUUCCAUCUACUAGACAAGGCCAUUUUGAUCCGAAUGGAACCUGAUUUUUGACAAAAUUCUCCAUGAAUUUUGCUCAACAUAUGAGGGAACUUCAUCUUAUUGCCUGAGACAAGGCAAUGACUAACGAUCACUCAAGACCGACACAACGCAAUAUCUUCCUAAGUUGUCCAUGCGCCUCCAGCUUUGACAGAAGAUGCCAUUUAUUUUUUGAUACAAAUGGAAAGUACUAGAAAAAUGUGAGUGGAGAGUAAAAAAUAUUGGAAGGAGAAGAGUUUGUAUGAAGAAUCGGUGUGGAAAGUGAAUAAUGUGAGUGGAGAGUAAAAAAUAUUGGAAGGAGAAGAAAUUGUAUGAAGAUUUGGUGUGGAAAGUGAAUAAUGUGAGUGGAGAGUAAAAAAUAUUGGAAGGAGAAGAGUUUGUAUGAAGAAUUGGUGUGAAAAGUGAAUAAUGUGAGUGGAGAGUAAAAAAUAUUGGAAGGAGAAGAAAUUGUAUGAAGAUUUGGUGUGGAAAGUGAAUAAGAUUGUUAGGUAUUUAUAGGGAAAAAAUUCAGAAUUUUUUGGUAUUUUUAAAAAAAAAAUUCAGAAUUUUUUCGAAUUUUUUUAGCCAAAAAAACGAGGAUUGUCGGAUUUCUGUAAAAAAACCGAUCGAAGCAUCUGGGUUCAGACACGUGGCGCAUGCCCGUUGGAUUCUGUCAGGGAUGACAUCAGCGCUGUGCUGACGUCACCGCCCUCUGGCUGAAGCCCAGGCAAAACCUGCCCUUGGGCUUGCCCGAGCUGGUGGGAGCCAGGGCUUGCCAGGGCCUCUUCUCUCGCGCUGGAGCCGUUUUGGGCUUGCUCAAGGGGCCUCCUGCCGGUUUGCAUGCAUUGCUGGAGCUGCUCUUAGAGUAUGGACGUCUCAGCAAAGGUCAACUAUUUUAUACUAAAGAAUGGUUUAGGUGUAGACAAAACUGAGUGGGGAUAGUGCCUUCACUGGCUUACAAGAUCCACCACUGCUUGUAGGUAAAAAUCCUCUCUUUUUUUUGGGUCAAAAGUACCCUAAGUUCCCUUCAAAACUUUUCUUAACAGUACGGAGGACUUGAAUUUGGCCCACAACUUGGCCAUCAUGAAGGUAUUGGACCUUUAGACAUGCGCUUCAAGCGCAAGCCUAGUUUUUCUAAGUUUUCAUUUUGCAUCGCUAUUGAUUGGGAACUGCCAUCUAAGGUGGUUUCCCGGUGUAUAUCUGAUUGUUUUCUGCCGUUUGUUGUGGUUUUGGGCUUCGUUUCUCCUUGAAGGAAGGCUCGCCUAGAGUUUUUCUUAGGAUUACAGAUUACCCAAGCGGAGUCGCGCUGCGGAUGUUGGGGAUGCGGAGAGUGAGAUGAUGUAUGCGUCCAAUAUGGCUGCGCUGCCAUCUACGGACACAGUGCUACCCAAAUCGGCUUCUGGUUCUGAGAGCUUUAGGGAUAAGCACAUGAAUAAGGUAAAUUUGGUUCGAAAUGUUGGAAUUGAUGUUAAUUCUGUAGAGGCAGAAUAUGAGGGUUUGAAUGACGAUGAGGAUGUGAUUGUUUCUCGUGGAGAUCGUGGGCCGUUUAUCCAGUUUUUGGAUUGCGCCAUUGAUCGUCUUAGCAAACCUUGGUAGAAUGCACUUAUUAUCAGGCUCCUUGGGAGAUCACAUACCUACAACUAUCUCCAUGCUCGACUGCAACAAAAGUGGAGCCUAAAUAGAGGGUGGAAACUGGUUGAUUUGGUCAAUGAUUACUUUGUGGUUCGUUUUGAGCUUGAGGAGGAUCUCAAUUUUGUUUUGAUUGGGGGACCAUGGAUCAUUGCUGGUCAGUAUUUGGUUAUGAAAAAAUGGAGGCCUGAGUUUUGUCCUGCAAUUGAGAAGAUCAAGCAAGGUUGGAUCAACUCAACGACACCUUCCGACAGAUUCUUAUUAGUGAAGAUGACAAAAGAAUGACUUUUUACACUGGCCGCUUGGAUUCGUGUUUCUACUAUUCAAUUGGAGUGUUUCGAUGUGUGGACUUUGAAAAGAAUUUGGAAUUUUUUGGGGAAGUUGUUGAAGAUUGAUGCUCUCACUACUUCUCUGAAUCAGGGGAAAUUUGCACGACUUUGUGUAAAGUUGGAUUUGUCACGGCCUCUUGAGGCAUUUAUUCAAAUUAAUAAUGUUUGGUACAAUGUGGAGUAUGAAGGCCUUCCGGAUACUUGUUAUAUGUGUGGUCGAUAUGGUCACAAAAGGGAACACUGUGAUGUGCAAGAUGUUGCCCCUGUGGAGAAGACUGGUGUGAAGAACGUAUUUUAAACGGAUAAAAGAAGAUAUUUAUCAUUUGGAUAAACUUGGACAAUAUUAUUUUUUUAAGAUAUUUAUCUUUUGGAUAAACUUGAAUGAUCUUAUCUUGUUAAGAUAUUUAUCUUUUGGAUAAAUUUGGAUGCUAUUAUCCUUUUAAUAUUGAAGUUUAUCAUAUCCCUAUAACCACUAUAAAUAGGAGCAUAACCUUAUAGUUUCAAAACAUGAGAAAUUAAAGAGAAAUUUAGAGAGAAGAAGAAUUGUUAAGAAAAAGAGUGGGAGACUGAGUUUGUGGAUGCGGUGGAAAAUUGGAAAAACACCUUACAUUUCUAGCAAAAGCUUUGGUGUCAAGGCAAGGAUUUCUUGGGGAGCCUUUUACAAAGAUUGAUUUAAUUAAAUUUCGUGAGCAUUAUAUUAUGCAUGGCAUUACAGUUUGGUUAACAUUCCUUGUUAUGGGUGUUUACUUUUUACUAAUUAUGUGAUCAAUAUUGGUGUGAUUAUAUUUUGAUACAUGAGAUAAAUGAAAGAUAGAAUUAUAUCAUGUCAUGGAAAUUAGUUGGAGUUGUUGGUUGGAGAAAAUAAUGAUGGAAAAUAGGGUAAUGGAAAUAGUCUUUUAUGUAUUUUAGUCUAACUCUUGGAAGGUACUAAGUCUCAGGGAUCCCACAGUGCACAUAGUUUUAUUGGGCGAUUCGGGACUGACGACAGAGAGUUAGACAAGAUUACUAACAAAAGGGGAAUUGUGGGAUGAUUGAGAUGGGUGUUAGUCCAUAUAAAUGGGCAUUCGGGACCAAGUGGUAUAAGCAUGGUAUGGGACGUGCAGGUCUGCUUGUCCAGUUAUUUGAAUUAACAAGAAUAGAUGAAGAGCAUUGAUAAGUCUAUAUUAUAUAUAUAUAUAUAUUUUAUGCCUCCUUUGCUUAUUUAUUUAUUAAUUUCUUGGAUUAAAUUGGUUGUUUUUAAUUGCUUUUGUGAGAUUUGUGAAGGAAUUGUGAAAUAGGAGAAAGUGUGCUAAAAAAGGCAAGAAGAUGAAGAUCAAUUAAAAAGAAGCCAAGUCAUUCUUUUUGUUGCAAGGAAUGUUGUCAAAUUUCCUAGUUCAAGAUGGUGCAAGUCUUAUCAAGUCAAACAAGGAGAAAUAAAAAAGACCUUAUUUUAGAAGGAAUCCUAUUUUUAUAACAAUUGUAAUUAUUCCUUAGGUAGGAUUUCUAGGAGUUUUAUAAAUAGGGAGUCUAGGUCAUUGUUGAAAGGAUCCAUUACCCAUCAUCAAUCCUCCAUCAUCUACCCUAAAAUUCCUACACAUUCAUAAGCAUAGCCGAAAUACUCAAAAGAGAGAGAGAGUGUGUUUUAGAGAGACAAAGAAGACAACCUGGAGCUAAAGUUGCUGUCGUGCAGAGAUCAAAUCUUCAAUUGGUUACUUCUUUCCUAUGAUAUUAUUUGUCAUGGUUUUUAUUAAAGUUGUCAUGAACUAAUUUCUUCUUGCUAGGGCUACAAUGUAGCCUAGCCAUGAAUACUCAAUUACUUUAGUCAAUGUUAAUUCUAAGUAUUUUUCCAUGUUGAGUAUCUAUUACCAUGCUUAAUGCUUUGAAUAUUUGGCCAACAUUUAAUUGUUUUGAUGCUAAAUUGACGAUAGGAAUAUCCAAUUUGGGGUUGCUUCUUGUAAUAGAUGCCAUGAGUUACAUGAUUAGACAGGGAUGUUUGUCAUGACUUAUGUGGUUGUUUUGUAGGUUUUCCAAGGAAUUUAAUGGGUUCUUAUUAUCUUAAUUCCAUUACUAGGGAUAGAGUGGGUUGGUAAUAAGAAUACUUUUGGUAUAACCAGGGAUGGAGUAUCGAAUAAAGUAGGGAAAAUCAACUGUUAACAUAGAGAAUAAUUAGGAUUAACAUGCUAAGGGAAUUGGGUAGAAUUGGCUAUGGUGAAAUCAGAAGCUCUAGUGCUCUCAUAACUUGAAUCUCACUACUUUAUUUUUCUACGCUUGUUUUUAUUCAUUGUUUUAGUUAAUUAAUCAAUCAAAUCUCAUCAUCAAUUGUUCAAAUAAAGUCUUGGGUUAAUCACAAUCGGUACUUGGUAAAUUAAAUCACUCUUCGUGGAACGACACUUCACUCAUCACUAUAUUACUUGUGCGAAUUGUGCGCUUGCAAUAAAUAUCUCAACAAGUUUUUGGCGCCGUUGCCAGGGACUGUUUUAAAUUUUCUUAAUAUCGAUAUAGAUUGAUUUGGAUUUUAAGUUGAAUUUUUUUUUGUUUUUUUAGGUACUUCACCUAGUGCAUGAGUUUUGGGAGACAUUCGCAGAGUCUUGUGCUUGUACCAUUAGAUCCGGAGAUCGAGCGAACACUUCACAAGCUUAACAAACUCAAAAGGGGGAAGGACGCAAUAUUGAAAAGCCAUCACCUAUGGCUGAGGAAGCAAAACCAGUAAGGGACUAUGAUGUCUCAUCUGUAGUGGCAUCACCAUCGAGCAUUCGUCGUCCAAACAUUGAUGCCAAUAAUUUUGAAAUCAGACCAGCCAUAAUUUCAAUGAUUCAGCAAUCCUCCAUCUUUUGUGGUUUACCUCAAGAAGACCUUAAUAGCCAUACCUCUAAUUUCUUGGAGAUAUGUGACACAUUUAAGUGCAAUGGAGCUACCAAUGAUGCUGUUCACUUAAGGCUUUUUCCUUUCUCAUUAAAGGAAAAGGCAAAGUCAUGGUUGAAUUCUCAACCACCUAAUUCGAUUACUACAUGGGACGACUUGGCCAAGAAAUUUUUAGCUAAAUUCUUUCCUCCUGCAAAGACUGCGAAACUCAGGAAUGACAUCAUAUCAUUUGCUCAGAAUGACAUGGAACCUUUUUAUAAAGCAUGGGACAGAUACAAGGAUAUGCUAAGGAAGUGCCCACAUCAUGCCCUACCUACUUGGAUGCAAGUUCAAGCGUUCUACAAUGGUUUGAACAAUACAAGCAAAACAACAAUUGAUGUUGCAGCCAGAGGAGUUUUGAUGGGAAAAACAGAAAGUGAAGCGUAUAACUUGCUGGAAGAGAUGGCGUCAAAUAACUAUCAAUGGCCUAGUGAGAGAUCAACACCAAAGAAAGCUGGAAUUCAUGAGAUUGACGCCAUAUCUGCAUUAACUGCGCAAAUUUCUACUCUGUCUAAACAACUUGGUACUUUAAAUGUUAAUGCUAUUCAGUCUACUAAUUUAAGUUGUGAAUUUUGUGCAGGACCUCAUCAUGGCAAUGAGUGUGGAGCUAGUCCCUUCACAUCACCAUCUGAACAAGUGAACCAACACUACUACAAAAAGUGAAAAAGACGACCAGAAAACAACGACGGUCUAAGUGAAAACCAUCGUGGUUUAUAAAAAGACGACGGUUCUAAAAACACCGUCGUGUAAUACAACCUUAGACAACUAAAAAAUGGAGUUUCAAAUGGCUGUUCAAAAACAACGACGUACAUAAUUAAACAACCGACGUCUAUUUGAAACAGAUUUCCGCAGUGUAAAAUCAAUGCCAACAAAGAACGGCAGAAGUUAUGAAUCGACCGACGUAGAAAGUAAAGACGACGAUUUCAAUAAAAACUGCCGUUUUUACUCAUAAAAUAACACGACGAGGUUUUCGUAUAAGACGCCGUAUAAUUACAAACAAAUCCACGGCUUUAAAAUACAAAAUAUCGCCGUAUUAAAUUAAUUUACAACGACGGAAAAUAUAAAUAUAUCGACGUCAUUCUCGUAUAGUUCUACGACGUUAUCUUUAAAUCGUACAAUAAAAUUUAUCGUCGUAUUUAUUCAUUUUAUACGUCGUACCUUUAAUUUUAACGGUCGUCUUAAUAAGAAUUUUUGUUAACAAUUUUUUUCUUUGAUUUUCUUAUCCUACGUCGGUAGAUCUACUUAAUGACAAGAAUUGAAAUAACCACGACGGUUUAUAUAGAACACCGCCGACAUAAUCAGAUUUGUCUGAGAUCCCAAGGGUUACGAAAUCUUACCAGAUGGAACUCUGUUCCACAUCAUAAUCUUAACAGAUGACACAGAUUUGCAAAUAUUGCGUCGUGUUAGUUUACAAAUUCUAGAACAUUAAUUUCCCUCAUUUUAAAUUUCCUCGGGAAAGAAAAAUCUAUUUAUCACGCUUUGGAAUUGAAAACUAAAACUGAAAGAAUACGGGAAAAAAAACUCUAUUUAUAAUUUAAAAAUAAAAUCCACGUCGGUUGUAGUACACUUAACGACGUUUAACAAAAUAAUCUACGUCGGUAAUUAUAAAUCUACCGCCAUCUUAACUUAAUAUAGACGACGAGAAAAGACGACGGUAGAACAGAAAACCGCCGUUGUUUCAGUUUCUUUAACAUAUCUUUCUGCAGGACUUGUAUAGUUCAAAGCAUUGACAAUGUCUUCAUCAUAUCUCCCAGAAACUACUGAUUCAAUUGCUCAUGCUUUAGAGGCCAUCUGAAGCCAUUUCUAUUCUUUAUCGCAUUCUUGAAACCCAUCUUCUUCUUCUGAAGCUCUACGGAUAAAGGAAGAGGCUAUCACAAAUCCGACGGAUCUUCUUAGGCAAGAAAAUCAAGCAGAGGAUCAGGCACAUCUGAUCUUCAGAUUUCCCUGAGAAGCGAACUUUCCUUCGACAGCGAGUGGAGGCCAGGCUUGCAUCUCUUUUGAUGGAAAGCAAGGAGUAUUCAGAAGCACUAAGUGUCCUAUCAGGCUUGAUCAAGGAAGUGAGAAGGCUAGUUGACAAGCUUCUUCUUGUGGACAUAUAUUUGAUGCGAGUAAGCUCAAUUUCUCUUUGAGAAAACAUCCAAAUUAUUGUCUUUGAGACAUGAGAGACUGAGAGAGGAAGAACUUGGAACCUUAAAUGUAAACCGAAAAUGAAUGAAAGCGACAAAUUUAUAGAAUAAAUUUUUAAAACCAACGGCGGUCCUUACAAAAAAACCGCCGUUUAAAUUGUAAAAUCAACGUCGGUAUGAUCGACGUAUAUUACAGAAAUCCACGUCGGUAAAUUAAUAAAGACGACGUGUUAAAUAAUCUACCAUGACGCGAGUUAUUACUUAUGUACUUUAAUUUUUGAGUUUACUACGACGGUACCUACAAACUACUGUCGUAUUUAUUUACCACGUCCGAAGUUAAAUGUACCGUCGUAUUUUGUAAUUUAUACGUCGUAGUUAUAUGUAACCGCCGUAUUAUUUUUUUGAAAUGGUUUUAUAUGUAAGCAACUUUUCGUCUACUUGACUUACACAUUCGUUGUUUUUAUAUUCUUAUUUUAUUUAAAUCUGUCAUCCAAAAAAGAAACUUUACAUAUUGCAGAAUAUUAAUUUCCUUCGUUUUAAAUUUCCUCCGGAAAAAAAACUCUAUUUAUAACGCACUGUAAUUGAAAAAUAAACUGAAAGGUCACGGGAAAAAAAAUUCUAUUCAUAAUUUAAAAAUUAAAAUCCACGUCGGUUAUAUUAAACCUAACGACGUUAAAUGAAAUGAUUCCACGUCGAACGAAAAAUAUUGUGUCGUGUUAGUUAAAAACGACGUAGUUAAAUGUAACCGCCGUAUUAUUUUUUUGAAAUGGUUUUAUAUGUAAGCAACUUUUCGACUUACACAUGCACUGUUUCCAAACCCGAUUAAAAAUUUCAAUCUCCCAGAGAAACCUUUUCGUCUUUUUUCCUUGUCAGAGCAUUGUCAGAGUUUCUCAUCGCCUUCCUCUCGUCUUCUUCGUCGUCUCUGAACUUAAACAUCGAUCAUCUUCCUCUUGCUUUCAUUGCACGCAAAAGGUAAGCUUUCAUUUUCACUAUUUUGGUUACUGUUUUGCAUGCUCAUACGUUUUUUGUUUGAAAAAUCUUUUUACCUUUUUUCUGGCCAAAAUCAUUUUACUUCUUUCCAAGUUUGAUAAAAUAUACAGACAAAGAGGGAAAGUUUCCAACUUUGAAGACAACUACCUCAACUAAAUAAGACGACGGUAGACCACGACGGUUCGUCAGUUGUUCUAGCGUCGUCUGAAAAUUGACAAAGUUGUUUUUAAAAUAAUAGUCUUUUUUUAUAUGCUUGUUUAAUUGCAGGUUUGAUUUCUCUGAACAAUGGUUUUUGUUUUUCCCUUAUUUGAUAAAAUAUAAAGAAAAAGAAACUAGGGUUGGUAUCUAAUAUAGACGACAAAAUAUCUUAUUGUUUUACGUCGUGUGAAUGUUAAUACCACGACGGUGUAUUACUAUUGACGUCGUAUGAACAUAAAUACCACGACGUUAUAUAAAUAAUAGUUUACCACGACGGUGUAUUACUAUUGACGUCGUGUGAACAUAUAUACCACGACGUUAUAUAAAUAAUGGUUUUAAACAUUUAUUACGUCUGAGAUUAUUUCAUUGCGUCGUCUAAAAUCAUAUCAUACGUCGUAUUUUUUUAAUACCGUCGUUUGUGUUCUUAAUGUUUUCCUGAAAUAUUUUCACUUGCAGUUUUGUCUGUUAAAAUGGUUUCUCAACAACAAACUAAGGAUUCUGGCUCCAAGAAGCUUGGAAUGGUAGCUCCUCAAGACAAGUCUUCGAAGGAGAUGAAGUCUUCGAAGAAGAUGAAGUUUGCUUCAUCAUCUGCUGAGACAGAACAAACCAGCCAGACAACAAUAUCUGAUGAUUCAAAGACUGGUCGAGGUAUGAGCACAAUGCCUCGUGUUGUGAAGAGAAAGCUUCAGAAACUGAGGCCAAUUGUUGAGUACAAUAAAAGGGGGAAAGGUGUUGGCCAAGCACAUAUUGAGAUGCAGUCGUAUAUUGGUGUGUUGGCACGCUCCAGGAUCCCACUUGUGGACAAGAAAUGGUCCCAAAUCCCCAAGGAUAUAAAGGAGCAGAUUUGGGAAGCAGUUGACAUGGCUUUUGUCGUAGGCCAAGGGGGCAAGAACUCUGUUUUAGCUUCUGCUUCCAAGAAAUGGAAGGAUUUCAAGUCUACACUAACGAGGCAUUAUAUCCUUCCAUACACCAAUGACAGGGAGAAAUUAAGCCAACCCCCUGAAACAUAUAAAUUCAUAGAGAAAGCACAAUGGGAUGCCUUUGUAGCUUCAAGGCUAUCCAAAGAUUUUGAGUCUGUGCAUUCUCAACAUGCACAGAUUAGGGAGAAACUCGAGUACAAUCAUCGAUUGUCUCGAAAAGGAUAUGUUGGAUUAGAGGAUCAAUUGGAGGAAACCAUGCCUGGGGUAGAAAUUGAUCGAUCUACCUUAUGGAAGAGAGCUAGACAGGACAAACAUGGUAACAUCCCUGAUCCAAAGGUGGCAGAGAAAGCAAAAUUAAUUGUAAGCCUACUAUCACUCUGUUUUAAAUUUUUAUUAAACUGUGAAUUAUUCUUAUUACGUCGUAUGUUAUAUUUUCCGUCGUGUGAAUGAUAUUACCACGUCGAGAAGUUUUUAAAAACGCCGUUAAAGGUCUAAAUAGGAAUCACUACUAUGUUUUCUGUAAUUAUAGCAUAAGACGUCGGUGGUUCAUUUUGGCGUCGUUUGAAUGAUAUUACCACGUCGAAACUUUUUUAAAAACGUCGUUAACGGUCUAAAUAGGAAUCACUACUCUGUUUUCUUUAAUUAUAGCAUAAGACGUCGGUUGUUUAUUCAUUUCGUCGUUUUAAAUAAAUAACCACGUCGGUAUAACUACCGUCGUGAUAAGUUAUAAUAACGUCGGUUUAUACGUUAUUGCGUCGUGUGAAAUUAUAUAAUACGUCGUUUGUACAUAAAUAACCGUCGUGUGUUUUUUUGUUUAUCUUAUUUUAGGAUGAAUUGCAGAAACAAGUCUCGGAAGGCAAAGUCAGAGUAGAUGGCAGCAAUGAUGUGCUGACCAUGGCUUUGGGCCCCGAGCAUCCAGGCAGACUGAGGGGAGUUGGUGCUGGUGUUUCCCCAAGGCAAUAUUUCAAUUUGCCCAAACCACAGAGGGUGAGCUUUGACGACCGUUUGAAGGACAGUUUAAGAGUUCUCCUUCAAGAAGAGACUAAAAAGAUGGAGGCUAAGGCAAGGGAAGAGGCCUUAAGGAUGGAGGCUAGGACAAAACAAUUGGUAGAGGCUGAGAGGGAGCAUUUCCUGAGUCAGCUUUCCCAAUUAAUUCCCAAUUUUGAUCCAAGCAUGCUUAAACCAAGAAUUAGCCAAAGCCCCAAAAAUCCAAUGUCUGACAAAGCUAGCUGCUCUGGAGGUGAUGUGAGAUCCCUACAUUUGGAGGAUGAUACUGCCAAAAUGGGGAAACAUCAGCCAGAUGAAGAGAAGGAAGAAGAAAAAAGAGAUGAAGAGAAGGAAGAAGAAAAGGAGAAAGAAGAUGAAGAAAAGCAUGACGACAAGGUAUGUUCACAUAACUUUGCCUUUUUUAUUUGUUUUUCAAAAUUUCAGACGUCGAUAUUUUUAUUUAAUCCGUCGUUUGUUUAAAACUUAGACGGCGGACUUUUUUUAAGACGUAAUAAAAUAUUUAAACGACGGUUUUUGCACCGUCGUUUAAAUGGUUUCAGACGACGCUUUAUUCAUAAAACCGUCGUCUUUAUUGAAUUACCACGACAGUUUUUUCACCGUCGUUUAAAUACUUUUAAGACGACGUUUUAUUCCUUAAACCGUCGUCUUUAUUGAAUUACCACGUCAUUUUUUUUAUUUCUUUAAACAUGUUAUUGAAGUUGGUGAUUAUUCAAAUAUGGAGGCGANNNNNNNNNNNNNNNNNNNNNNNNNNNNNNNNNNNNNNNNNNNNNNNNNNNNNNNNNNNNNNNNNNNNNNNNNNNNNNNNNNNNNNNNNNNNNNNNNNNNNNNNNNNNNNNNNNNNNNNNNNNNNNNNNNNNNNNNNNNNNNNNNNNNNNNNNNNNNNNNNNNNNNNNNNNNNNNNNNNNNNNNNNNNNNNNNNNNNNNNNNNNNNNNNNNNNNNNNNNNNNNNNNNNNNNNNNNNNNNNNNNNNNNNNNNNNNNNNNNNNNNNNNNNNNNNNNNNNNNNNNNNNNNNNNNNNNNNNNNNNNNNNNNNNNNNNNNNNNNNNNNNNNNNNNNNNNNNNNNNNNNNNNNNNNNNNNNNNNNNNNNNNNNNNNNNNNNNNNNNNNNNNNNNNNNNNNNNNNNNNNNNNNNNNNNNNNNNNNNNNNNNNNNNNNNNNNNNNNNNNNNNNNNNNNNNNNNNNNNNNNNNNNNNNNNNNNNNNNNNNNNNNNNNNNNNNNNNNNNNNNNNNNNNNNNNNNNNNNNNNNNNNNNNNNNNNNNNNNNNNNNNNNNNNNNNNNNNNNNNNNNNNNNNNNNNNNNNNNNNNNNNNNNNNNNNNNNNNNNNNNNNNNNNNNNNNNNNNNNNNNNNNNNNNNNNNNNNNNNNNNNNNNNNNNNNNNNNNNNNNNNNNNNNNNNNNNNNNNNNNNNNNNNNNNNNNNNNNNNNNNNNNNNNNNNNNNNNNNNNNNNNNNNNNNNNNNNNNNNNNNNNNNNNNNNNNNNNNNNNNNNNNNNNNNNNNNNNNNNNNNNNNNNNNNNNNNNNNNNNNNNNNNNNNNNNNNNNNNNNNNNNNNNNNNNNNNNNNNNNNNNNNNNNNNNNNNNNNNNNNNNNNNNNNNNNNNNNNNNNNNNNNNNNNNNNNNNNNNNNNNNNNNNNNNNNNNNNNNNNNNNNNNNNNNNNNNNNNNNNNNNNNNNNNNNNNNNNNNNNNNNNNNNNNNNNNNNNNNNNNNNNNNNNNNNNNNNNNNNNNNNNNNNNNNNNNNNNNNNNNNNNNNNNNNNNNNNNNNNNNNNNNNNNNNNNNNNNNNNNNNNNNNNNNNNNNNNNNNNNNNNNNNNNNNNNNNNNNNNNNNNNNNNNNNNNNNNNNNNNNNNNNNNNNNNNNNNNNNNNNNNNNNNNNNNNNNNNNNNNNNNNNNNNNNNNNNNNNNNNNNNNNNNNNNNNNNNNNNNNNNNNNNNNNNNNNNNNNNNNNNNNNNNNNNNNNNNNNNNNNNNNNNNNNNNNNNNNNNNNNNNNNNNNNNNNNNNNNNNNNNNNNNNNNNNNNNNNNNNNNNNNNNNNNNNNNNNNNNNNNNNNNNNNNNNNNNNNNNNNNNNNNNNNNNNNNNNNNNNNNNNNNNNNNNNNNNNNNNNNNNNNNNNNNNNNNNNNNNNNNNNNNNNNNNNNNNNNNNNNNNNNNNNNNNNNNNNNNNNNNNNNNNNNNNNNNNNNNNNNNNNNNNNNNNNNNNNNNNNNNNNNNNNNNNNNNNNNNNNNNNNNNNNNNNNNNNNNNNNNNNNNNNNNNNNNNNNNNNNNNNNNNNNNNNNNNNNNNNNNNNNNNNNNNNNNNNNNNNNNNNNNNNNNNNNNNNNNNNNNNNNNNNNNNNNNNNNNNNNNNNNNNNNNNNNNNNNNNNNNNNNNNNNNNNNNNNNNNNNNNNNNNNNNNNNNNNNNNNNNNNNNNNNNNNNNNNNNNNNNNNNNNNNNNNNNNNNNNNNNNNNNNNNNNNNNNNNNNNNNNNNNNNNNNNNNNNNNNNNNNNNNNNNNNNNNNNNNNNNNNNNNNNNNNNNNNNNNNNNNNNNNNNNNNNNNNNNNNNNNNNNNNNNNNNNNNNNNNNNNNNNNNNNNNNNNNNNNNNNNNNNNNNNNNNNNNNNNNNNNNNNNNNNNNNNNNNNNNNNNNNNNNNNNNNNNNNNNNNNNNNNNNNNNNNNNNNNNNNNNNNNNNNNNNNNNNNNNNNNNNNNNNNNNNNNNNNNNNNNNNNNNNNNNNNNNNNNNNNNNNNNNNNNNNNNNNNNNNNNNNNNNNNNNNNNNNNNNNNNNNNNNNNNNNNNNNNNNNNNNNNNNNNNNNNNNNNNNNNNNNNNNNNNNNNNNNNNNNNNNNNNNNNNNNNNNNNNNNNNNNNNNNNNNNNNNNNNNNNNNNNNNNNNNNNNNNNNNNNNNNNNNNNNNNNNNNNNNNNNNNNNNNNNNNNNNNNNNNNNNNNNNNNNNNNNNNNNNNNNNNNNNNNNNNNNNNNNNNNNNNNNNNNNNNNNNNNNNNNNNNNNNNNNNNNNNNNNNNNNNNNNNNNNNNNNNNNNNNNNNNNNNNNNNNNNNNNNNNNNNNNNNNNNNNNNNNNNNNNNNNNNNNNNNNNNNNNNNNNNNNNNNNNNNNNNNNNNNNNNNNNNNNNNNNNNNNNNNNNNNNNNNNNNNNNNNNNNNNNNNNNNNNNNNNNNNNNNNNNNNNNNNNNNNNNNNNNNNNNNNNNNNNNNNNNNNNNNNNNNNNNNNNNNNNNNNNNNNNNNNNNNNNNNNNNNNNNNNNNNNNNNNNNNNNNNNNNNNNNNNNNNNNNNNNNNNNNNNNNNNNNNNNNNNNNNNNNNNNNNNNNNNNNNNNNNNNNNNNNNNNNNNNNNNNNNNNNNNNNNNNNNNNNNNNNNNNNNNNNNNNNNNNNNNNNNNNNNNNNNNNNNNNNNNNNNNNNNNNNNNNNNNNNNNNNNNNNNNNNNNNNNNNNNNNNNNNNNNNNNNNNNNNNNNNNNNNNNNNNNNNNNNNNNNNNNNNNNNNNNNNNNNNNNNNNNNNNNNNNNNNNNNNNNNNNNNNNNNNNNNNNNNNNNNNNNNNNNNNNNNNNNNNNNNNNNNNNNNNNNNNNNNNNNNNNNNNNNNNNNNNNNNNNNNNNNNNNNNNNNNNNNNNNNNNNNNNNNNNNNNNNNNNNNNNNNNNNNNNNNNNNNNNNNNNNNNNNNNNNNNNNNNNNNNNNNNNNNNNNNNNNNNNNNNNNNNNNNNNNNNNNNNNNNNNNNNNNNNNNNNNNNNNNNNNNNNNNNNNNNNNNNNNNNNNNNNNNNNNNNNNNNNNNNNNNNNNNNNNNNNNNNNNCCAUGACAUUUUCAGGACUUGUAAACUUAUCUCCUAGUAUUAAGCAUUCCUGUGAAGUCAUCCUUCAAGUUUCGAAUGGGAGAACUUGGUCUGUUGGUUUGAGCAAAGGAAGGCCCAGAUUCAGGCGUGGUUGGAUGGACGUUGUGCGUGACAAUCAUUUGGAAGUUGGUGAUCUGUGUCUUUUUGUGUUGAUUUCCAGCAAAAGUACACCUUUAUUUGAUCUUGUCAUUUUCCGCUCUGGAGAAGGUGCAAAGUGCACCAAUGAUGGGGAGCAAAUAGUACCUACGAAGGAAGAAACUGAUAAUGAAGAUGGAGAUUCGAGUGAUGAUUCUAGUAACGAUUCGAGUUAUAUUAGGUUGUUUUGUUAAAGGGUUUUAUGUGUAUGCUUUGCGAUCUGUUAAUAAUGUGCUUAUAGGUAUGGGUUCAUGGAUUUUCUGUUUAAUGGGUUCAUGGAUUACAUUAUCUGUUAUGUUGAAUUGGGAAUGGAUUUAAUUUUGUCGUAUCUUUUAAUCACCCUAUGUUAUGUUGAAUUGGGAAUGGAUUUAUUGUUUUCAUGCUUGGUUUCAUGUAUAUGUUGGUUUCUUGCUUGGUUUCAUAUAUAUGUUGUGUUCUUAAUGGGUUUUGUGUUCUUGAAAAUAAACUGAGACACGACGAAUUUUAGGGCAUACGACGACGAUUACACGACGGUUUUUUUAAACUACCGUCGUUGUAUUACUUAUACACGACGGUUUUUUCAUAAACCGUCGUUUGUAUUACUUAUAAUAGACGACGUCUGUUGAAAAUCCGUCGUCUAUAUAUGCCAAGUACGUCUGUUUUUGUUUAAAACCCGUCGUCUCUGUUGUGUAUUACUUGCGAUUAGAUCAUUGUAUAAUCUGCUAUAGUGAUGGUCAUUGCCUGUAUUUUCACUUUAUUAUAGAUAAUAGGUUAUAGUGUCGGAGAUGGAUAAGUCAUGGAUGCACUCGGAUAGAAGAUCGAAGGCAUAUGAAUUUGGGGUGGAAGCAUUUUUGAACUUUGCUGUAGAAAAUCUUCUAACUACAACACAUAUCCGUUGUCCAUGUGUUAAAUGUGUUAAUUUGAAGUUGUUUGGGGUUGGAAUUAUAAGGGAUCACUUAUACUUUAAUGGAAUUGACCAAAGCUAUAAGAAUUGGACAUUUCACGGAGAACCUUGGGAAGCAACUACUAAUGCUAGUAGAAAUGUUGAAGAAGAUGAUGGCCAUAGUAGGUACAGUUUUGUGUCUGAAGAAAUUGAUAUGGAUGAUAAUGAUUUUGGUGAUUUUGGUGAUUUUGGUUCGGAUCCGUAUGAGUUUGCCAAUGUGAUUGGGGAUGGAGAUCAACCAGUGUACCCUGGUUGUAGAAAGUACACGAAGUUAUCGGCAUUAGUGAAGUUGUAUAAUUUGAAGGCAAAACAUGGGAUGAGUGAUGUCUGUUUUACAGAAUUAUUGAUACUUCAAGGCGAUUUGCUUCCAGAAGGAAAUACAAUACCAACCUCCAUGUAUGAGGCUAAAAAGACUUUGUGUGCAUUGGGGCUGAGUUAUGAGAAAAUACACGCAUGCCCCAAUGAUUACAUCUUGUAUAGGAAGGAGUAUGAGGAUUCAACUAAUUGUCCUACUUGUGGUAUCUCAAGGUGGAAGGAAGGCAAAGAUUCAAUCUUGAAAGAGGGUGUGCCAGCGAAGGUGGUGUGGUAUUUUCCCCCAAUUCCAAGGUUUAAAAGGAUGUUUCAAUCACAUGAGACAGCUAAGAGUUUGACUUGGUGGCAUGCUGCUAGAAAAUCAAUUGACGGUCAGAUGUCUCAUCCGGCGGAUUCCCCGUCUUGGAAACUUCUUGAUGAUAAAUGGCCUGAGUUUGGUAAUGAGCCGAGAAACUUGAGAUUGGCUCUUUCAUCUGAUGGAUUCAAUCCCCACAGUUCUCUAAGUAGCAGAUAUAGUUGUUGGCCGGUUAUCUUAGUUACAUAUAAUCUCCCUCCAUGGCUGUGCAUGAAACGAAAGUUCAUGAUGUUAACCUUAUUGAUUUCCGGUCCUAAACAACCCGGAAAUGAUAUAGACGUCUACUUGGAGCCUUUGAUUGAUGAUUUAAAAUCCUUGUGGGUUGGGAUUAGAGGAGUGUAUGAUGCACAUAAUGGAGAAUACUUUACACUCAGAGCUGCAUUAAUGUGGACAAUUAAUGAUUUCCCCGCCUAUGGAAACUUAUCUGGUUGUGUUGUUAAAGGAUAUAAAGCUUGUCCAAUCUGCGGCGAUGAUACACCUAGUCACAGGUUGAAAAAUGGCCACAAAAUUUGUUACAUUGGGCAUAGAAAAUGGUUACCAAUCAAUCAUCCAUAUAGGAGGCAACGUGCAGCUUUUAAUGGGAAACCUGAAUAUGGCAUACCUCCCGAGCCAUUAACCGGAGAAGAAGUGCUGCAUAUGGUUGAAAAUGGUGACAGAGUUUGUUGGAAGAAGAAAUCAAUAUUCUUUGAUCUCGAGUAUUGGAAAUACCUUCCUGUGAGGCAUGCCCUAGAUGUUAUGCACAUUGAGAAGAAUGUUUGCGAUAGUAUCAUUGGUACAUUGCUGGAGAUCCCUGGAAAAAAUAAAGAUGGGAUUGCUGCUCGAUUAGAUUUAUUGAACAUGGGGGUCAAAACUGAUUUGCAACCCGAGUAUGGAGAAAGACGUACUCGUUUGCCUCCUGGGCCUUGGAAUUUGUCAAGAGCAGAGAAGAGAGAGGUUUGCAAUUCUUUCUAUGGUAUGAAGGUCCCUGAAGGUUAUUCUUCAAAUAUUAAAAAUCUUGUAUCUUUACAAGAUUCAAGACUUCUUGGCCUUAAAUCACAUGAUUGUCAUACCUUAAUGCAACAAUUGCUCCCUGUGGCAAUUCGUUCUGUUUUGGAGAAGCCUGCAAGGUAUGCAAUAACUCGUUUGUGCUUCUUCUUCAAUGCUAUAUGUGCAAAGACUGUUGAUGUUUCCAAGCUAGAUAAGUUGGAAGAAGAUGUAGUAGUUACUCUGUGUUUGCUUGAGAAGUACUUUCCCCCUUCAUUCUUUGAUAUCAUGGUUCAUCUAGUAGUACAUCUUGUCAGAGAAGUUCGUCUAUGUGGGCCAGUAUAUUUUAGGUGGAUGUAUCCGUUUGAAAGAUAUAUGAAAGUGCUGAAGGGGUAUGUUCAGAAUCGUACUCGUCCCGAAGGUUGCAUUGCUGAGCGGUAUAUAGCUGAAGAAGUGGUAGAGUUUUGUACUCAGCAUUUAUCUGAUGUUAGUACAGUUGGAGUGCCUUCAAGCCAAAAGAUGGGACUUUCAAAGCCAUUAUCAGGUUGCACAGUGAGCGUAGUUGAUCAGGACCUGUUGAAUCAAGCACAUCUAUAUGUCUUGGAGAAUACGGAGGAAGUCCUACCUUAUAUCGAGUACGUAUGAGCUUUAUUCUUUAAGUUUCCAUUUUAAAUUAUUUCUUAUGUUUAUCUUCUAUAUUUGGGACCGUAAUGCUUGAAUUUUUCGUGUCAUGUAGGCAACAUAUGAUCCACAUCAAGAUUGCUUAUCCAAAAUUUAGAAAGAGAACAAAGUGGCUGCAGGAUAAGCACAAUAGCACUUUCAUUCAAUGGCUACGCUUCAAGGUAUAUGUUGUUGAAUAACAUAUUUCUCUUUUAAUUUUCUUCUUAUUUAUAUGUUAGAUUGAAUUAAGAUAUGAUUAAUUUGCAGGUUCAAAGUGAACUUGAGGAAGACAAUCAUGGCGUAUCAGAAAAUUUAAGGUGGCAAGCAGCUGGUCCAAACAUGUCAGUGCCAUUAUAUAGGAGCUAUCUUAUUAAAGGUAUUAAAUUCAAUAUCAAGGCACAAGAUGAUGUGCGGACAACUCAAAAUAGUGGAGUUUAUUUACUUGCACAUACCAUGCAAGUUGCUAGUGCCAAGGAUAAAAACCCAAUUCUCUCAAAUAUGGGUUUCUAUGGUGUCAUUCAAGAAAUUUGGGACCUUGACUACCAAAAGUUUACAAUCCCAGUCUUUAGGUGUGAUUGGAUAGAUAGUUCUGGUCUUGUAGUCGACGAACUUGGAUUUACCCUUGUAGAUUUGAGUAAAAUUGGACAUAGGAAUGACCAAUUUGUUUUGGCUUCUCAAGUCAAACAAAUAUUUUUUGUUGACGACCCGAUGCAUCGUGGUUGGUCGGUAGUGUUAUCAAUGCCUAAUAGAGAAUAUAAUGAUGUUAUUGGUGAUGAAGUCUUAGGUGAUGUGAUAAUUGAGUGUGAGCCAUUUACUAGAGGGAUGCCAAAUGUUGACACAUUUGAUGAACUGGUGGGUGAGUUAGGCGGUCAAAAUAUUCGAGAUGGGUGUGAAGAUAUAUGGAUUGAAUGAUGCUUAUGUAAUUGGCAGUGUAUGACAUUAAUUUUGUAAUAUAUUGUAAUGUGAUUUCUUCACUUUCUACGUUCAAAUAAAACACGACGUUAUUGUGAACCAGUUAUUCAGCAUAUUUACCGACGUCUUAAAGCAACGUAAUAAUGAAGAACCACGACGCAAUUGUGAAGCAAUUAAUCAGGAUAUCACGUCGGGGAAGGAUUAAGAACCGCCAUGUAAUUCAAAAUAACACGACUCCAAUCCCAUAAUACCGACGUCUAAAAAACGAGAUAUAUAAUCUGAACGUUAAAAAAUACGACGUCAUCAUACAUUUUCCACGUCGCAAGUUCUUUUAUAAACGAAGAGGAACGAAAUGAAUUCCGACGGAAAUUCAUUAUAACCGCCGUCUAAUAACAAUUAAACGACGUUAUUUGUAAUACGGCUCUCAUCAUAAUCAACGCCGUCUAUAUGUUCUGUAAUACGGCUCUCAUUUAUUUGGAACCGACGUUGUUUAGAAGUUCAACGUCGUCUAUAUUAUUAAGUGCGUCGUGAGUAAUGAUGAUAGAUAUAAAUACAACGUCGACUAUAUAAAUGCCACCGACGUUGUUUCGCAUUUCAACGUCAACUGUAUAAAUACAUACGUCGUAAAUAAUGACACUGACAACUAUUUCCACGUCAUCUUUUUUAGAAAAAUCGAAGUGGAAAAUUUAUUUCACGACGGUUGUUUGUAAAUAAGAGACGUAGUAUAUUUCAAUAACGUCGUCUUCUCAUGUAUUUAAAGACGUCAUAUUUUUUCUUGUCAUGUAAAUUAUAUUUAACGGCGUAGUAUUUUAGUUGUCGUCGUUGUAUGUAUAUCUUGCGGCCUUGUUCUUUUAACAUGUGUCAUAUUUUUCCUUUUUAACGACGGUGAUUUGUUUGAGUUGGUCGUCUAUUCUCAUCCUCGACUAUUUUCUAGAACUUUAGCAGACUAAACACGUCUGUUUUUAUUGUUUUCCGACGUUGUUUUAUUUAACAACGUCUAAUAUUUAUCGUCGUUGUUUGUUUCUGAAAAUAUGACGUAUAAAUUUUGUAAUACGACUCUCAUAUAUUUGUAACCGACGUUGUUUCGUUUUUCAACGUCUACUCAAUAAAUACAUACGUCGUAAAUAAUGACACUGACAACUAUUUCCACGUCAUCUUUUAUCGAAAAAUCGAAGUGAAAAAUUAAUUUUACGACGGCUGUUUUUAUAUAUGCGACGUAGUAGGUAUCAAUAACGUCGUCUUCUAAUGUAUUUAAAGACGUCAAAUUUUUUAUUGUCGUGAAAAUGAUAUUUAACGGCGUCGUAUUUUUAUUUUCGUCGUUGUAUGUCUAUCUUGCGGCCUUGUUCUCUUAAUAUGUGUCAUAUUUUUCCUUUUUAACGACGGUUUUUUUAGAGAGUUGGUCGUCUAUUCUCAUCCUCGACUGCUUUUUUAGAUCUUUUUGCAGUACAAAGACGUCGUUUUGUAUUUGUUGAUGACGUUGUAUAUUUUAACAAUGACGGUGAUUUAGCGUCGUGGUUUAUGAGGGAAAAGAUGACGGUGGAUUCCACGACCAUUGAAAAACCGAAUACACGACGGUGAUUUACCGUCGUCUUUUUGCUUUUUUGUAGUAGUGCAAGUCUCUAAUUUUAAUCGACAACGGAAUAAUCCUUACUCCAACACUUAUAACCCAGGAUGGAAGAACCAUCCGAAUUUUUCAUGGAGUAAUAACCAAAAUGUACAGGGACCUCCACCUGGUUUCACACCUCAAGAAAAGAAGCAUGGAUUGGAGGAUAUAAUUACUCAACUUGCUGGAAAUGUCAACACUCUCUCUGUCAAUACAAAUCAAUUUAUGAGCAAAAUCGAGACGACCCUUCAGAACCAAGCUGCCUCUAUUCGAAACUUGGAGGUUCAAAUGGGCCAGCUAGCUAAUGUAUUGACAGGAAGAGUAAAUGGAGCUUUGCCAAGCCAAACAGAGAUUAAUCCGAAAAACCAAGAACAUGCGAAGGCGAUAACUCAUCGGAAUGGAGGCCAAUAAAAACAGCAGUAGACUUGGAUGAAGAAAAGAAUAUCCAGCAACAAACUGCAGAGACAUCAGAAAUUACUAACGGGCCGUCGUCGUCGUCUAUCACUGCUGGAACUGUUGCACAACUUGAUGAAAUUUCUCCAGAAAUUGAACCUGCUACUGUAGAUAAAUUAUCUCAACCUGCUGCCCUUGUAAAGCCAUAUGUACCGCCAAUUCCGUUCCCUCAACGUCUUCGAAAAAACAAAGUGGAUGCCCAAUUUUCGUAAUUUCUUGAUAUCUUCAAGAAAUUACAAAUAAAUAUUCCUUUUGCCGAUGCUUUGGUGCAAAUGCCGAGUUAUGCCAAAUUCAUGAAGGAUAUUAUAUCAAAGAAGAGGAAAUUGGGCGAACAUGAGAUAGUGAAAUUAUCCGAAGAAUGCAGUGCUAUUUUGCAGAGGAAGCUACCACCUAAGCUAAAGGAUCCAGGGAGUUUUACUAUACCUUGCACUAUUGGAACCAUUUACUUUGAAAAAGCUUUAUGUGAUUUAGGAUCCAGUAUUAAUCUAAUGCCUUCUUCUGUUGCUAAACAUAUUGGGUUGGGGGUAAUUAACCCAACCACUGUUUCUUUGCAGAUGGCAGACAGGUCCAUAACAUAUCCCAGAGGCAUAAUUGAGGAUGUGUUAGUCAAAGUUGAUAAGCUCAUUUUUCCAGCAGAUUUUUUGAUUUUAGACAUGGAAGAAGAUGUCGAAACCCUUAUUAUCUUAGGCCACCCCUUUCUAAAAAUCGGGAAGACAUUAAUUGAUGUGGACAAAGGUUUAUUAAUUUUUCGAGUGGCUGAUGAGCAGAUGACCUUCAAUGUCUUUGAAGCAACAAAGUACCCAGUGGAAUCAGACUCUUGCUUCCGAGUGGAUAUAGUGGAAAAAGUUGUCUAUGAACAAUUUAAAGAAGAACAUCCAUGUGAUCCAUUGGAGGCUUGCCUUGUGCAUUCCGUUACUACUGAGCAUGAGGAUCCUAAAAUUUCUGAGAUGGUGUACUUUUUGGAAGCAAUGAAACCGCGCCCCCCUGGAAGGUGGCGCGAAUUUGAGGAGCUUGGCGUCACAACCUCCAAGCCACAACCCAGUGUCAUUACUGCACCAACCCUCACAUUGAAGCCCCUACCUUCCCACUUAAGAUAUGCAUACUUGGGUAAUUUUGAAACUCUUCCUGUGAUCAUUGCUGCAAAUUUGAGUAAACUAGAAGAAGAUAAAUUACUACGAGUUUUGAGGGAGCAUAAAACGGCAAUAGGGUGGACUAUUGCAGAUAUUAAGGGACUUAGCCCUUCCAUGUGUAUGCACCGUAUUCUGAUGGAAGAUGAUUUUAAACCUUCAGUUGAGCAUCAGCGCCGAUUAAAUCCGAAUAUGAAAGAAGUUGUGUGAGCUGAAGUAUUAAAGUUAUUAGAUGUUGGAAUAAUUUACCCGAUUUCAUAUAGUAGUUGGGUGAGUCCAGUUCAAGUCGUACCGAAAAAAGGGGGUAUUACAGUGGUGAAAAAUGAUAAGAAUGAGUUGAUCCCGACAAGAACAACUACAGGAUGGCGUGUCUGCAUAGACUACAGGAAAUUGAACAUUGCGACAAGGAAAGAUCACUUUCCCUUGCCUUUCAUUGAUCAGAUGUUGGAAAGACUUGUUGGGCAUUCAUAUUAUUAUUUUUUAGAUGGAUAUUCUGGGUAUAAUCAAAUUCCAAUUGCACCUGAAGAUCAAGAAAAGACGACGUUCACAUCCCCAUUCGGCACUUUUGCAUACAGGCGCAUGCCCUUCGGGUUAUGUAACGCCCCUGCCACCUUUCAACGUUGCAUGAUGAGCAUCUUUUCGGACAUGGUGGAGCGCUUCAUUGAGGUUUUUAUGGAUGACUUUUCUAUUUUUGGCUCAUCAUUUGAUUCUUGUUUACAUAAUUUGGCAUUAGUUUUGAAAAGAUGUGAAGAAACCAAUUUGGUUUUGAAUUGGGAGAAAUGCCAUUUUAUGGUGCAAGAAGGGAUAGUCUUGGUGCAUAAAAUUUCAGCUAAAGGCAUAGAGGUUGAUAAGGCAAAAAUUGAUACCAUAGAGAAAUUGCCACCGCCCACUAUAGUAAAGGGGAUUCGAAGCUUUCUGGGUCAUGCUGGAUUUUAUCGGCGGUUUAUCCAAGAUUUUUCCAAAAUCACGAAGCCCUUAUGCAAUCUCCUUCUUAAAGAUGUAGAAUUUAAUUUUGAUUCAAGGUGUUUGGAAGCAUUUAAUGUCUUGAAAGAGAAGCUUACUUCUGCACCUGUCAUUGUCGCACCGGAUUGGGACUUGCCUUUUGAGAUUAUGUGUGAUGCUAGUGACUAUGCGGUAGGGGCAGUUUUGGGUCAAAAAAGAAAUAAAUUACUUCAUGUAAUUUAUUAUGCCAGUCGUACUUUGAAUGACGCCCAGCGGAAUUAUACCACCACGGAGAAAGAAUUGUUAACAAUAAUCUUCUCCUUGGAUAAAUUUCGAUCCUACUUGAUUGGAGCGAAGGUGAUAGUGUAUACCGAUCACUCAGCUUUAAAGUAUUUACUUUUGAAGAAGGAUGCAAAACCACGAUUAAUUCGCUAGGUACUACUGCUCCAAGAAUUUGAUCUUGAAAUUCGAAACAAAAAGGGUCCGAAAACGUGGUAGCUGACCAUCUUUCGCGGCUGGUUAGUGAGGUCAAGAUGAGUGAUGAUGCUGCACCCAUUAUGGAGAUGUUCCCUGAUGAACAAUUGUAUGCCAUUCGAUCAUCCGAAGCUCCCUGGUACGCUGACUUUGUGAAUUAUUUAGCUAGUACUAUCAUUCCAACUGAUUUAUCAUUUCAUCAGAAGAAGAAGUUUUUCUCCUUGGUUAAACAUUAUUAUUGGGAUGACCCAUAUUUGUGGAAACAUUGUCCUGACCAAGUUAUACGGAGAUGUGUGCCUGAGGAGGAGAUGGAAGACAUAUUGCGACAUUGCCACACAUUGGCGUGUGGGGGGCAUUUUGGUGCCUCCAAAACAGCAGCCAAGGUAUUACAAUCUGGAUUUUUUUGGCCAACUUUGUUCAAGGAUGCCUAUGCAUUUGUAGCUGCCUGUGAUCGAUGCCAACGCACUGGAAAUAUCUCUAGCAGAAAUCAGAUGCCAUUGAAUAAUAUUCUAGAGGUUGAAUUGUUCGAUGUCUGGGGAAUAGAUUUCAUGGGACCUUUCCCUGAAUCUUGGAAGAACAAGUACAUAUUGGCGGCUGUUGAUUAUGUGUCGAAAUGGGUUGAAGCCGUUGCUCUCCCUACCAAUGACUCCAAAGGGUGUUGUCAAAUUUGUCCGAAAAAAUAUUUUCACCAGAUUUGGGACUCCGCGUGGAAUCAUCAGUGACGGAGGUACACACUUUUGCAAUCGUCAAUUUAAUUCUCUUUUAGCUAAAUAUGGUAUUACCCACAAGGUUACUACUCCCUAUCAUCCACAAACUAGUGGACAAGUUGAAGUUUCCAAUAGAGAAUUAAAACGAAUUUUGGGAAAGACGGUGAGUGCUUCAAGAAAGGAUUGGUCACUGAAAUUGGAUGAUGCCUUAUGGGCCUAUCAAACGGCGUUCAAAACACCAAUUGGCAUGUCUCCUUAUCGUCUAGUUUUUGGGAAAGCUUGUCACUUACCGGUUGAGCUCGAACAUAAGGCACAUUGGGCACUCCAAACACUCAAUUUUGACAUGAUUGUAGCAGGAGAAAAACGGGCAAUUCAAUUGAAUGAUAUGGAUGAGUUUCGUAAUGAAGCUUAUGAGACUUCCAAGAUAUACAAGGAGCGUACAAAGAAAUGGCAUGAUAAGCAUAUUCUAAGGAAGGAUUUCUUCGCUAGUCAGAAAGUUCUCCUAUUUAAUUCCCGCCUCCGACUCUUUCCCGGGAAGCUGAAAUCACGUUGGUCUAGACCAUUUACAAUAGUGCAAGUAUUUCCUUCUGGAGUUAUUGAGGUUAGGCAUGACGAAUAAGGUACUAUUUUCAAAGUAAACGGCCAACGAGUGAAGCCAUACUUGGAAGUCAAUUUUGAUCAACAACGGGCUUCCAUUCCUCUGCAUGAUCCAAAGUGAUGACCUCUCAAGUCGGGCUGGGGACUAUAAACCAAGCGCUUGUUGGGAGGCAACCCAACUAGGUACCUUCGUUUGUUUUUAUUUUAUUUUGUUUUGUUUUCCCUUUAUUUUCCAUCCUUCUAUGCCUUUACUAAUUGUUACAUGCAUUUACUUUAAACAUUGAGGACAAUGCUUAGUUUAGGUUUGGGGGUGUGGAGUUUUGUUGUUUUUGUUUGAGUUUUGAGUCAUAAAGUUGUUUUUUGUUUGAGGUUUGAGUCAUAAAGAAAAAAAAAAAAAACAGAUUUUGUGUUCCAAAGAAAGGAUUUUGUGUUUCAAACAACAUUUCUCAAUUUUUUCUAGCCCCAUGAUGAUUGCAAACAUGUUCCAGAUGUGUUACAGAUGUUGUUUUGGCCAUUAGAUGACUUUAAAACCCAGAAAAUAGCAAAAUAGGUUAUUAUGUUCUUAUUUUGGUCAAAAUCAAAAAUUUUGCCUAUUUUCCUUUUUGAUGUUUUUCGGCAAAUUUGAAGCCACCAACAUGUUUAGAAUGGUUAUUAUGAUGAUUUGAAAGUGUUUUGGGGGUCUCAAGUGCUUUACAUGACGUUUUAGGGAGAUUUGAAGUUAAAAAAGUGGCCUAAAACCCAAAAAAGACUAGCUGCUAUCUACCCAGAAAUAUGAAGCUUAGCGACGGUGUUCAUCAGAUUUUUCGUUGCUAAAGGGUUUUUAGCGACGGUGUUCAUCAGAUUUUUCGUCGCUAAAGGUCGAUUUUUCGUCGCUAAAGGUCAAUUUUCCAGAAUUUUCUAAUUUCAUUCCAAAUCAAUUAUGAUCCAUUCCAUUUGUGAUCAGAGGUUUCUAUGAGCUAUUCCAGGUGUGUCCUCUUCCUUUUGAUGAAAUUUCUUUAUCCCUAAGCAAUUAUGGCCCAUACAUUCACUCACAUUUGUUUGGAAAAAAAAAUCACAAAAUGCCUUUAACUUUUAAAAAUAAAAAUUUUGUUAAAGCUUUUACUUUCUCUUACUAAUAGUGAUGUAUAUGUGAUGUUUGAUCAUAUUUCUUCAACUAAAGUGUUGCCAUGAAAGUUUAUGCACCAUAAGUAUAGCACUUCACAUGGCCAUGCUUCAAGUAUUUUAAUAGACAAGCUAGCUAUACUUGGAUGAUUGUGGAGAAAUAGUGGAGACUACCAUUGUGAGAUACUUGAGCCAAAUUGCCAUUCAUUGAGAGAGUAUUUGGGAUUAGUCUUAUUCACUAUUUUCUUUCUUUCUUAUUUAAAUUGAUCUCAAUUAGACUUUUGAAUUGAAUAGUAAGAACUAAUCUCUAUUUUUGGAAUCAUCUCAUGCUUUUACUUUUGAGUUGGAUGGACCUUGAGAGAUGAUGUUAGGCUAUGCAUGUUCUAACCACUAAAUAAAACAUCAUGUCCUACCCAUUGUGUGUGCCAUCAACCCUUUGAAGCCAAACACUUAGCCUUUUCUUUCAUCACCCACAAUAUUUCCUUGCCCUUUUCACCCUAUUUUUAGCCAUACCCUAUAACUUGGGAUAUGCCAUGGCAUGAAAACAAGGAUGAAGGUUAAGAGGUGGCGUGUACCGAGGAAAUAUGUGCUUAAAAAUAAAUAAACAAAUACAAAGAAAAAAAAAAGAGAAAAAAAGAAAAGAAAAGAGAAAUCUAUUUUUUAAAAAAAUGUGAAGCAUAUCAAAAAUCCUAGAAGCCUCUGUGAAGUAAAUUUAAAGGCCGAGCCUUAUAACGUGAUAAAUGCCUUGGUAUGUCUCAAGUUCUAGUAUUUCCUUCCCUUUCUUUCAUACCCCAUAACCUAGCCCUUCAUUACAACCAUAGUAAAGACCUAACGGAUUUUUGGGGACUUCUUACUCAGAAGUAGAGGUAUGUACUUCAUCUAUGGUUUUUAGUAUUUGAUUUCCUUUCCAUGAGAUCUAUUGUUAGAAAUUGCCUUUUAUUCAUUCUUGGAUGCAUAUGUGUCUUAUAUUUUGAAUUCUUCACCUAACUUCAUUCACAUAUACGGGGUAAGAGUGCAACCCUAGGUUCUGUGAGAAAAUUGAGAGUUAUCCAGUGAGGCCUAGAGUUGAGGCGAAUUUGUACACACGCCGAAUGUGGUUAUCUUUUAUGUUUGAAUGCUUGGAGUUUUGGUUUUACACUUUACACUAUGGUGCAUUUUAUUUGUAGUGGCAUAACUUUAGUUUUUAAAUUGUGAUUGGCAUUCAUUGGUUAUUAUUAGUUUGUUGGACGUAUUGCUUUAACGAAUUUAUUUUGCAAGAAGUGUUUGUGGGUGCCGUGACUGGUAAACCCUCAGGAGACACAACUCCUCCUACUAGGGACACCUAGAGGUUUAAAGGCUUGUGGCACAUGCUAAGUGCCAUCGAGAUUACCUGCGAAAGUGGUUUAAUUUAGUUUGUUUGUUUUAAUUUAUUUUUGAUUUUCAGUUUUGCUCGAGGACUAGCAAAAGAUAGGUUUGGGGGUAUUUGAUAAGUCUAUAUUAUAUAUAUAUUUUAUGCCUCCUUUGCUUAUUUAUUUAUUAAUUUCUUGGAUUAAAUUGGUUGUUUUUAAUUGGUUUUGUGAGAUUUGUGAAGGAAUUGUGAAAUAGGAGAAAGUGUGCUAAAAAAGGCAAGAAGAUGAAGAUCAAUUAAAAAGAAGCCAAGUCAUUCUUUUUGUUGCAAGGAAUGUUGUCAAAUUUCCUAGUUCAAGAUGGUGCAAGUCUUAUCAAGUCAAACAAGGAGAAAUAAAGAAGACCUUAUUUUAGAAGGAAUCCUAUUUUUUUAACAAUUGUAAUUAUUCCUUAGGUAGGAUUUCUAGGAGUUUUAUAAAUAGGGAGUUUAGGUCAUUGUUGAAAGGAUCCAUUACCCAUCAUCAAUCCUCCAUCAUCUACCCUAAAAUUCCUACACAUUCAUACUCAUAGCUGAAAUACUCAAAGGAGAGAGAGAGUGUGUUUUAGAGAGACAAAGAAGACAACCUGUAGCUAGAGUUGCUGUCGUGCAGAGAUCAAAUUUCAAUUGGUUACUUCUUUCCUAGGAUAUUAUUUAUCAUGGUUUUUAUUAAAGUUGUCAUGAACUAAUUUCUUCUUGCUAGGGCUACGAUGUAGCCUAGCCAUGAAUACUCAAUUACUUUAGUCAAUGUUAAUUCUAAGUAUUUUUCCAUAUUGAGUAUCUAUUACCAUGCUUAAUGCUUUGAAUGUUUGGCCAACAUUUAAUUGUUUUGAUGCUAAAUUGACGAUAGGAAUAUCCAAUUUGGGGUUGCUUCUUGUAAUAGAUGCCAUGAGUUACAUGAUUAGACAGGGAUGUUUGUCAUGACUUAUGUGGUUGUUUUGUAGGUUUUCCAAGGAAUUUAAUGGGUUCUUAUUAUCUUAAUUCCAUUACUAGGGAUAGAGUGGGUUGGUAAUAAGAAUACUUUUGGUAUAACUAGGGAUGGAGUAUUGAAUAAAGUAGGGAAAAUCAACUGUCAACAUAGAGAAUAAUUAGGAUUAACAUGCUAAGGGAAUUGGGUAGAAUUGGCUAUGGUGAAAUCGGAAGCUCUAGUGCUCUCAUAACUUGAAUCUCACUACUUUAUUUUUCUACGCUUGUUUUUAUUCAUUGUUUUAGUUAAUUAAUCAAUCAAAUCUCAUCAUCAAUUGUUCAAAUAAAGUCUUGGGUUAAUCACAAUCGGUACUUGAUAAAUUAAAUCACUCUUCGUGGGAACGACACUUCACUCAUCACUAUAUUACUUGUGCGAAUUGUGCACUUGCAAUAAAUAUCACAACAAGCAUCCAUGCAUUGUUAUUAUUAAUCUGAUAUUUAGCAGUAUGAUUGUAUGUCACUUAAUAUAGUUAUAUCAAUUUCCUGUAGUAAGGUCUCAUGUCCCUACCGAGCGGUAGUUGCUCAUCCAUCACCCUGUUUAAUUUUUCAGAUGAAUUAGUGGGCAAGACAAGAACUAAACCAGUUGAGGCUGAAUUAGAUGAGAGUGAUAGAGGUUUAUUCAUUUCUUGUAAAGUUGUAAGAUUUUGGAGCUAUUUUUAUAAAGGAAGUUUAUUUUAAACUCAUGUUUUGGCUUUUUUUUAAAAAUAAUUUAUUUAUUCUUUUUAUUUUAUACUUUUUAUUUUCUCAUGCAUUGGGCGCAAGGUUUUCACCUAUCCCCGGAUCCGCGGCAUGACAACUAGUGCUGGAUCCAAUAUGCGUAAUGAUGGUUUGGUUUGAGGUGAUACUGUAUGGGGAAAGAGGGUUUUGAUGAUGGUAUUGAGAAUUUGCGUGGGGCAUGGAUGAAUGUUCCAGCUCGAAGGACACCUAAAGGUGUGACUCAGGAAGUUGGAGGCAAGGGAGGUCGAAAUAUGGGUUCUAGAUUUGAUGCGUUGAGACAGGUGGGUGAAAAUUUUGGGAUUGAUGGUAGGACUGAGAGGGUUGAGGCUACUCAAACUUUCACAGAGCAGUUGGGAUCAUCGAUUAGAGAUGCUGAAAAGGGAUAUAAAGUUUGGACCAAGUCUAAGGCUAAUAUCAUGGUAAGGCUAGAAUUGUUAUGAAUGACAUUUCUAAUAUGAAUCUCAAGGAAAAUGUAAAAGUGUGUGCUACUGUUGAUCAGUUGCUAGCUGUUCUAAAGUUAGUCAGUUGGUGAAUAAAAGUAAUCUGGUUUAUGAGGAUAAGAGAUUUGGUGGGAAAAUAUCUUUGAAUGACCAAUUGAAUAAUUGGACGAAGGGUCAGAAUUCGUAUCAGGCUAUAAGGGUCUAUCACUUUGGCCAUCAACCACCCAACAUAGCCACUAAUUGUUCUGAUACUGAGGAGGAGGUGGAUACUGAUGUCGAUGUUGAUUCUCUGGCUUCUUCUACUCAUGAGGGCUUGAUUCCAACAGAUACAAGGGACUUGGCUGCAGUUAAAGAUUCAGUUGUGAGAAGGAAGGAUGGAUGACAGGACCCGCCCCGGAAUUCCUCGGAGACCUGGACUGACCCCGUCUUGUUACCGACAUCACUCUUAUGCCGGGCCCACUUACUAAAAAUCGAGACAUUCUACCAAAAAUUUGGCAGAGUCUCCCCUGUAAAUUGAACAUUUCCCAAAUUCAACCUGCUCAAAAUUCACAGUUUAAUAAUACCCAACCGGCAGCAUGCUUUAAAGCGAAUAAACAGUUUACAACAAAGGUCUCUGGUCUCAUAAAUCAACCCUAGCAAGGGCAUAAUAACAGAGCAUAUCUAAGGAAUUCGAUUACAACAAAAACAAAGUUCAAAAGAAAUUAAAUGAACAAGGAGUCCUACGAAAGCUCAAGACUCGUAAGCACACGAUACGGCUCGACUGCGAAGCUCAAUCAACUACUAGCUAGGGGUGCAAAAUAGAAAAAUGUGAGUGGACAAACAUAAAGUUCAGUUCAGUGUAAACCAACAUAAUAUAACCCCACUGUUUAAUAAACCAUGCAAGAAAUCCAAAUGUAUCCCAAAACCAGCAUAACCAAGUAUAUUCAUAUAAAGUUAAAACAACACCGGAUGCCAAGUCCGAAAUCCAUAAAGAACACUUUACAAACCCACCAUUCAAAUAUUAAGUCCCAAACUAAACUCUCGAAAGCGUACCCCUUGGCACGACCGGCAAGGAAGUAUCCUCACCGAGAAACAAGAAUGAAUGAAUAGUUAUAUAUAUGUAAAUCUAUAAUAUAAGAUAUAUAUAUAUAUAAUAUAAAUAUGACCAUCACCUCGUUGUACCGGGGAAACAAUCCAACUGGGGGAUUGUUUGACAAGUCACCAUGACAGAGUCCUCAUGAAGAGUCCUUAAUUCACCAUGUGACUAGGGAACGAGCCGUCCAACUGGGGGACUAACUCUCAGCCAGCAUGUACAGUCGAUACCCUUAAAACUAGUACGUCUGUGACCAGUCCUACGCUCGCAGACUACCCAAUCAAGGGUCUACAACAACAUCCCUCAAGGAUGCCCCGGAUUCCGACAUCUCCAAGUAUCUCAAGUUUCCGUAUCCAAGUUCCAAAUCCGGGGAGGUACAUAGGGUAGUGCUUAUAGCAUUCCAAAAUGACAUUAUAGACACAUCACUUUCCACAAUCUCAUCUUAACAACCCAAGUACCCCACACAUAUCCAAACAUAUAUAAAAAUUCUCAAAAUCCAUAUAUACAUACUCAAGAUACUCAAAUAUGCCAAAACCCAAAAUAUAUUGCCAAUGCAUCAUAAAAAUAUCAAUUUCAACGAUUGAAUAAAUAAUAUAUCCAAUAUACCAUUUAAAACAUUAUGCAUAAGAUUUCCCAUCACAAAACCAUGCAUAAGAUUUGAAAACAAAGUCCACUCACAAGUAGUCCCACACUGCUUGACCCUGAGAGUGUCCGUCCUGCUGCGUACACCUGGUCGGAGUACCUAUUUCAGAAUACGAAUACGAGAUUAAUACAAAGCGUUUCAAAUGAGAACGUUGAAUUAAAUAUCCUAAUUUCUCAGGUUUAUAGCGAGUGCAUGAGGAACGGAACAAUUUGAAAGUUCCUAAGGCUUCCCCAAGGUUUAGGAUACACGUCCCGUAAGUCUGGUCCGAAACGGAUCGUUAGAUUGCUCAUGAUCGGACGGUUAUCGUAAAAUCCCAAACUUUAAAUUAUUGAAUCGGAACAUCCGGGGCUCCAAUUCACGAUCCACGAAUUCUUAUACGUUCCUAGGAAUGUCUAGAGUAACAUAUAUUGGAAUGGAGUCGAUCCAACCGUCCGAACAUGUCGAACCCGGAUAACUCCUAAUAUGUGAAAUUCGUUCGGGGUUCGAACGUCAACCAAAUUGGAAUCUGAAGGUACCUACGCACUCUUGUGGACCAAGAGAACACAUUGGCAUAAAAAUGCACCUUUGCUACAGUAUCCACAAGCCGGCAACGCGUGGGUGUUCAAAGCGAUAACGCUUCACCAAAAAAUCUCAACAUCUCGGCUCAAGACUCCUACCCUAGGUGUAACACUCUAAUUGGAGUCACUUUAUUUCUUGGACAUACCCCAAAAAGUGACCGGAAGUGGUCGGAAUCGGAAAUCCAAAAUGGGCCGAACCCUAAAUUGAAAAUCAACUAAAUAGGCUCAAAAUCAAAGAAAUCCUACCCAACCAUCAGCUAGAGCAUGGAAAAUAGUCGAAAAUUCAUACCUUACUCAACUGAAUCGGUGAAGAAAUGAGAGAGAACGAGAGGCUGAAAGUUUACAAAAAUUAUGCCCAAAACCGCCUGUUUUGUGGCUGUUUCCGGAGACCACGACAGCGGGUCGAGGCUGGGACCAGUUGAGAAUUGAAGAGGGAAGUGAGGCAGUUCUAACGGGACAGAGUGGCGACGAGUGGUGGCGGUGGCGACUUGGAGAAGUUGCUACUGUCGCACCAAAGGUGGGGUGGCUGUUUCGCGAGAGAGAGAGAGAGAGAGAGAGAGAGAGAGAGAGAGAGAGAGAGAGAGAGAGAGAGAGAGUUUUGAGAUUUGUAACAAAACAACUUUGAAGAAAUUACGGUUAUGCCACUGAGCUUGUUUUGCCUAUAACUUCUUCGUUACAACUCCGAAUCGAGCCUACUAUGUGUCUACGGACUCAUCUCAGUACAAUCUAUCUAAAAAUACCAGUCGUUGCUCCAAACUCUUUCUGGAUAAGAAAAGACUAAAAUACCCCUACCCCAAGAGUAAAUUCGUAAUUUCAUAUUUAAUUAACUUAAGUAAUUUAAUUUAGGAAUUUAAUUUAGAGUCGGGGUGUUACAAUGGAAUUGCUCAAUACUUGCUUGAUGUUAAGGACUUACAAUUACCUUUGCAAGGCCUUGCCUUAUGUAUUUACACAGAGCUUGGAUUUGGAUUCAGGAAUGGAAAUACUGUUGAGUUGGAACAAUAUGGUGUAAAAUUGGCUAAUAUAAUAUUUUAAUGAUUUUUUAGAAAAUGAAAAGUAAUUAGAAAUUGUUAUUCUUUUGAGGAAUAUAAUACACAAGCUAUACACUUCUUAUACAGAUACAAAUACAAAUACGAUAAUUAAUAUAUGUGAGUCAAAUCAAACAAAGUAAUAAAAAAUUAUGAUUCGACAUGAUGUUCAACUCUUAAUUGCAGCUCUAGAAAGUCAACAAUUUGCGUCACCAAACUCUCUCAUAGAGGUGUCAAAUGAACUGGGCCGGCCCGACAUGGCACGAACAUGGUCCACUCAAGUAAGACACGAUACGGCAUGAUUCAUAUCUUUGGGUCGUGCCGAGACUAAGUAAUUAGGUCUAAUGGUUCGGGCCGGCUCCUAACCUGUCGCAAACUAUACCAGCCGUAAAUCCAACAGAGCGGCCUAUUUAAAGCCCAUUUAUUAAAUUAUACUUAUUUUAGAGAAAAAUAAUACGUAAUAUUAUUACAUAUAUAUCUUAAAUUCAAGACUAUUUUUUUCCCUAAUAAUCUAUAUAUAUAUAUAUAUAUAAAAAGCAAAAGGUAGAGAAUGGAAAAAUAUUCAAAAUAUCAGAAAAUGCCCUUAGUUAAUGCAAACAUUAAGAAUUAAAAUUAUUAAUUAAAUGAGGAUAAUAUGGUAAAUUCACACUUUUUCAUAUUAAAAAAUUUUAUAAAAAAAAAUUAGAUAAUGGAUCCUAUUUUUAUAGAAUACAACUACCCAUUAUCUUUUUUUAUUCUAAAAUAAAAAAUAAAAUUUUUUUUAAAAAGCCUCUCGCAAGCUCGGAAGCGUGUGUGGAGUGGCUAGUAUAUAUUAAAAAUUAAUGUUUUCUUUAUAUAUUUUUAUUUUUUCAACUUUCAAUUUUUAAAACCCAAACAAUAAUCUAGCAAUUUUCUAUUUAAAUGUACUUUAAAUAAAGUUAUUGACCUUUUUUUGUUAACAAUAAUAAAUCUUAUUAGUAUAUACAUAAUUGUAAAAAAAAAAAGAUUUAAAUUAAGUUGUAAAAAAAAUUACAAAAAAAAAAAUGCAAUGCAUAAGUCAAAUUUGGCGUAUGCCCAUAUCGAAAAUGGCCCAACACAAGUGCGGCCCAAGCUCAUAUGGACUUGGGCCAUGAGCUCAAGCCAAAAUUGAUUUCUUAAAUGGGCAGGAUUGAUGAUUAUACACCACUACAUGUUGGUUUUAAGCCGUAGACGUCUUUUUUUUGUCGACUAAAAGCACUUUUGUGUUGUAAAAUAAACGAGAUUAUGCGAGAAUAUUGAGAUGUUUGUAAAGUAAAUGAGAUACAAUUUUUAACGAGGUUCGGCCUUGCCUACGUCCUCAGAGAGCAACAGCAGUAACUUUUCCACUAUGUAAAAUAACAAGCUACAACUUUAGUGUUUACAAUAUAUAUGACUCACUGAUUUUCCUCUGCUCUCUUUUUCUCUCCACUCACUCACCCUCAUUCUUCCCUUCCUUUCGUUCCUCUUUGCUUGGGCUCUCAUUUCUUUUCAGAUGGUUGGUGUGUAUCACGCAAGGGAAGGAUGAAGCCUUUUUAUAGGAAAAGUUGAUAGCUUUCCGUGAGUGUGCAAUAAACUCAUGCACCAAAGUCUUCAAACAAAUAGUAAGUGGGCUCCACUAAUUUAUUCUUUACAAUACUCCUCCUUGAAAACCACAAAAAAUAUGUUGGUUGCUUUAUCAGACUUUGCUUGGAGAAAAACUUAGUGAGGUAGAAAACUAAUGGAAGAAAGACGAGUACAACAAUCAGUAUAGCAUACUUCUGGAUGCUCCCCCUGAUGUCUUCAUGACCAUCUUUCUAGAGGGAGAAUCUUUACGACUGAGUGAGGAAUGUAGCCAUUAACAAUUCAUGUAGUUGAGUAAGUAAAUAUAUUUCCAAUGAGCUAUCUCUAUGUAAAUCAUAGAAAUUUCCAGAGUCCGCGUAUCCAACAAAACCUAGGCUAUUUGUAAGUUCACUUGAAAAGAAUAUGCCCGUAUAUGGUGUUAUGCAGAGAUAUCAUCAAAUAUGCCUCACAUCAUCCCAAAGUGAUGGUGACGGAGUUGAGCUUUAUCUGAAAAAUACAAUGUCCGGCCCAGUAUACUUCCGGAAAAUCAUUUAAUUGCCCAACGGAUAAUCCACAUAAAAAUGCUUUAAUACUUUCUUAGUAUAAGCAAGAAUCUCGUUGGCAUAAUGCUCGAUCUUUAGGCCAAGACAAAUAUUUCUUGAACUCUUCAGGAGUUUUGAUCAAUUAUCAACUCUUCAAGAGUUGUAAUGUGUUGCAACCAUAUCAUAAUUAAUGUACUCAUUGAGGCAAUUUAUACAUAUUAGUAUUGAGUACAAGAUUUGUGCUUCAGGCACAUGUCCACGAACUUGCUUCAUGCAAUUUCAAUCGUUCAAGGAUUUUAUUUAAGGGAUUACACUUUAUGACACAUUAUAUAGCUUUAGAUCUAGCUAUUUGUCAUGCUUGUACAUCUUUUAAUUAGGGAAUCGCUUCUGGCGAUAUUCUCUGUGCAUUUUAUAACCCUUAAAGAUAACAUGUUGGUCUCAUAAGUGCAAUAAGAAGGCACGAUUGCAUCUGUAAAUAUGGAGAACCUCAACAUUCCUUGUUUCUACUAGAAACAUUGUGUCAUACAAAGUGAGUAUAUUCCUCUUUAUUCUAAACACCCAAGUAUAACCUUCAGGGUUAACAUCUUUUGGGGUUCGUGUUAUGGGUUUGUUCUUUCACGUUCAUUCUCAUAUGUAAUGGAAUUGCCUCUUCCAUUUUUGGCCAAUGAUAUUGUCGACAUUUAAUAAUAGAACGUAGUUCCAAUCAACAUAGCCCAUUGAUGAUUUGAGUAGCUACUCCAAAACCAAAAAUUGUCAUUUAUCAAUUCAUGAUCCCACCACCGCAUGCAUCAAUUAUAAGUAUUUCUUUGCUUUUAAGUACCCAAGCCACUCAAGGGGGCUUUUAUUGUCUCUUUCCAGCUAGACAUCUCUUAUAAGAUGAAUUAUGUGAGAAUGUGGAUCAUAAUGCUCCAUAACCUCCAAUGGGGCAUUAUUUACAGUAGGGCGUGGAUAAUCUCCAUUUAGGGAGUUGAAACAUUUAGAACCCAUAUAUCUGUCAUGUUGCAAACAUGCCACAGAUUAAUACUCACAUGUUAAUGAAUUGUCCUUCUGGGACUUUAAACCAUGUAAUUUGCUAUGCAUUCGGCGUGCACCGUAUUAAUAUUGAUAUGUUAAUCGAUUGUCCUUUCGGGACUUCAAUCCAUAUCAUUUGCUAUGCAACAGGCGAGCAUCAUAUUGAUCACUGCUAUACCCAUGUUAUGUUCUUAUGAGACUUUAAUCUAUGCAGUGUAUUAUCAAUGUAUUCAACUUGCAAUCUAUGAAAUUUGCAUUAAUAAUUCAUGAAUACAUAUCAUAAUGAUAUAAGCCAUUCUUCUAGAAUGAUCAUAAUACAAGUCAUUCUUCUGGAACGAUCUAUAAUGCAAGUUAUUCUUUUGGAAUGGUCAUUUGCAUGGCGCUCUUCUAGAACGACCUUAUCUCCCCAUUUGGUUACCUUAAAGGAUAUCGUAUAUCAAAAUAAGAGUACAAGCAUGAAAUAACAAAAGUAGUGCUUACAUCCUUAGGUGGGAGAAACUUUUCUCAAAUAUCAUUGAAGCUCGUAUCGGCUUAGCAAAUAUAAUGUAGUGCUUGAUGAUCUAGUUUUGUCCUGCAAGAGCAAAAAUCACAAUUCUUCUAUCUCUGUCCAAAAAUAACCCUCAGUGUUAAGAUCACUACAUGGAUUCUUUCUUCAUAUAUUCUUUCUAAAGAAAUAAAAUCCAUUAUGAACAGAGAAUUAUAAAAGAAAGAAAAGAUACAAAGAAUUGUGAUAUUGAUUGCAAGGUAGGUAAGUAAUCAGGGAACGAAACUGGUGAGGUAACAGACAACAAACUCUCAUUUCUCCUAGUAUAGAAGAACUUCAGGAGACUAGAGCAUGUGGUCGUCUUUACAGCUCCCUGACAUCGCUGAAACAUAAUCAUGGAUAGUCUCGCUUCCUGAAUGGAUGAUCAGAGAUAGUCUCGCUUCUCAAGUAGAUCAAGUGCUCAUUGAUAAGAAAAACAGGUGAAUAUUGCAUCAUUAGAUAUGGAGAAUUGGAGAAAAUUUGAUGUAUUCUGCAAAGAAAAUUUCUUUAGUAACAUAUUUAUACAUAAAUGAGAGGAAUAGUUAGGUCCGGUGAAUCUCAAAUUAACCACAGAAAUUUGUGAGGUUCUCGGGGUGCUUUUGAAAAAGUAGGUCCGUGGAAUCCGCAAAGCAAAACCGGCUUUGACAAAAAUAAUCCUUGAAAAUACCUAAAGUUCCGACAAACAUUAAUGGAGGCCGCGUGAAGUUUUGGAAUCUAGAAAAGAAAAAAAGAAUAUGAGGAUCCGAGAAAAUAUUGGGAUCUCGGAAACGGUUGCCUCUACAAGGCCUGAUCUACGUUUAAACUCAACUUCCUUCCAUUUUUUGAAAAUUCAGCUUUUAUAAGACUUUCCUCAAACCCUCUUAAAAUGACUUCCUCUUCUUCUCGCCCAAAUCAUUUUGAUUUAAAUGUUGCCCCAAAAAUAAUCCGUAAUGCCAAAGUCUGGCGUCUAUCCUUUGUAUCCCAAAAUCGUCAUCUCACGGUUAAUGAUUCUGUGAUGAUGAAUGAUACGACUACUGUCAUAAUAGCUAGGAAUUUCCUUACUCCGAUGGAUGAAAUACUGUUAACAGGAAGGUCUGACGAAAAGGCUAUUGAUGACUCAAUGGCUUUUAGCAUUCAGAGUGUUGCUUUUGUUUCUAAAAUGGCUGAUCGUUUGCGUGCUAGAGCAAACGAGAUUCAGGAGCUGAACACUGAAAAUUUGUCUCUUCAGAGAAUGCUACAUAAGUCUCAACAAGAGGUUGAGAAACUUAAAGAGGAAAAUAAGGCCUUGUUGAAACUGGUGAGUUCAUACUCCAUUGAUACCCGGACAAGGCUUGACAUGCUACAGAUUUCCAAUGAAAAGAUUCUAGGAGACCAUGAGAGGCUCAUGGCUAAGCUUAAGAUGCGCCAUCCUCUUCCUUUAGAGGCUUCCAGAACAUAAUGGAAUUUUAUAGAUUUUAUAGAGCCUGCUCCUUCCUUGCAAGUGAAAAGAAUCUAUCUGUUGUAUGCUCCUUUCCUGUUAUAAUAAUUGGGUAAAUUCUUAAACUUGCACCUGUGUUUUUACGUCUUUUCAAAAUGAUGGUUUGGAACCUUGUACCUUUUCAAAUAACCACAUCAAAUCUCUCAAAUUACAUAUUUCAAUGCAUGUGAGUCCGGAACUUCUGGCUCGGGUUAAACACGACUUGAAAAUUUAUUUGCCUUUUUAAAAUGGGCAUGAAAUAUAAAUUGAGUAAAAGCCAUGAUAAUAUUGCAAUAUAGUAGUGAAGAGCAUUAACUACUAUAUACCCAAAACUUUAGGUUUGGGAUCUCUUAUAUAUUUGGAUCCACGGGCUCCUAGCCCAGAUCAUAUAAUAUAGCAAAAUAUGUGGGGAGCCUCAAUUCAUCCUUUGAGGUUUAUCCUGAUAUUAUCCAUUUCACGGUGUAUUCUUGACAACCGAAAUUCACAAAAUAUAUUUCUUCCUUGAGGUGUCGAUUAUAACAUAAUUGAACUUAUUAAAUUCAUCAUUUUCUUAUGCCAAAGAAAUAUGUGGUGUAUCACAAUUUGUAAUAAUACCUCAAAGGUUGUCUAUUUAACUAUUGGAACUUCAGGUUCUCAAGCUUGUUUUCAUAUUUUGAACUUCAGGCCAAAAUCGCAUAUUUUCAUGGUAUGGACAUUCAAUACUCUUAGACUUUGAACUUCGGGCCAAAAUCACAUAUUCUCAUGGUAUGGACAUUUUUAUAAUUUCAUGUAUAUAUUUUAGGACUUCGGGCCCUUAAUUGUCCAUGUUUUAAGGAACUUCUGGCAUCUCAUUCAAUUGCUCAUCCAUGAGUUUAAGGAACUGCAGGAUCCUUUUUGUAUAUAGUGAUAGUUUACCCAAAAUAGUUAAUAUUUAUGUAUAUGUCACUAUUCAUGUAUAUGGUACUAUUCAUCAGGUCAUGAAUACGUGUCUAUUCAUGCGUAUAGUACAUUUGUCAAUACAAUUACUAUUCAUGUGUAUGGCACUAUUAACCAAUACGACACUGUUACAUUAUCAAAGAACUCUAAGUCCUUAUUUACAUGUCAAUGAUCAAGGAUCUUCAAGUCCGAUCACUUGUUUACAAAUAUAGUACUGAAGAGACUGCCAGCUCUCACACCAUUAUCAUCAUCAAUGAUCUUCAGGUCCUAAUGUAGUUGUAUGAUGAGGAUCAAGGAACUUUUGGUCCUGAUCUCUGUAUGCUGUAAAACUCAUCAUAUCAUGCAAUUAAUUCAUAAAAUAAAUUGCUGGUAUGGACGAUAAUCCCGCACCAUACUUUAAAUAAAUGUAAAUAUGCGGUAAAAUAAAUUCAUAAAUUAAAUUGCUUGUAAAUAAAUUGCUGGUAUGGACAAUAAUCCCGCACCAUACUUUAAAUAAAUGUAAAUGUGCGGUAAAGUAAAUUCAUAAAUUAAAUUUCCUCAUGUAUAGACGUUAAUCCCGCACCAUAUCUUAAAUAAUAAAGUAAAUGUUUGAUAAAGUAAACGUGCUGGUAUGGGCACGAAUUCUACUCCAUAUUUUUAAAUAAAAAAUAAAGGCAGUUGUGUGAACGAUAAACCCGCACUACACCUUUAAAUAAAUACUGUUAUCUGUUAUAUGGAUAAUAAACCUACACCAUACGUAAAUAAAUUAUAUAAGUAAUAAACCUACACUAUAUAGUAAAUAAAAUAAAUAUGAAAUUAAAAACCACCAUUAAAAAUAUAAAUGGUGAAACCGUAGUUAAUAAUAGGAAAGUAAAUAAAUAUAGUAUAUUAUAUUACCAUAAACUUUUCAUAUUAAUAUUACAUAUCAUGGGCUGUCAACUUGAAAACCGCUUUUUUGUUUUUGUUUCUUUUUCUUUCGGUGGUUCUUCUCAAUGCUAGAGGAAAUAAUAUAAUAUUAUUAUACUAAUAUAGAAAAGUAGAGACAAACUUUAGUGCUAGUCAUUCACGUUUGUCUGCUCCCUUAAAUCAAUUGCUAUUCACAACAGUCUUAUCGCUUAAUUAUAUGGCCAUCAAGAAUUCUUUAUCUUUGGUAGAAGUAUGGCUUAGGAGACUCAGAAGAAGUUUUGUGAACCAAGUAUGGUUCUUAAAUCUGUGAAGUGAGUUAUGAAGGAAAAAGAUCUCAUCAAGCCUAUGCUUGAGUUUUUGCAAGGUGGUCUGUUUUGGAAUUUAAUAACUAUCAAGAAAGAAAGAGUAAAACAGGGGGGUUUUGAUAGGAGACUCAGCUGGUAUUUGGGAGAUAUUCGUGCUGAUAACGUGUUGUAAAAUAAAUGGGACUAUGCAAGAAUAUUGAGAUGUGCGUAAAGUAAAUGAGAUACAAUAUUUAACGAGGUUCGGCCUUGCUUACGUCCUCAGAAAGCAGCAAUAGUAACUUUUCCACUAUGUAAAAUAAUAAAGCUAUAACUUUAGUAUUUACAAUAUAUAUGACUCACUGAUUUUUCUCCCUUUGAGAAUUUUUCUCUGCUCUCUUUUUCUCUCCACUCACUCAUCCUCUUUCUUCCCUUCCUUUCUUUCCUUUCUGUCUAGGCUUUCAUUUCUUUUCAGAGGGUUGGUGUGUAUCACGCAAUGGAAGGAUGAAGCCUUCUUAUAGGAAAAGUUGAUAGCUUCCCAUGAGUGUGCAAUAAACUCAUGCACCAAAGUCUUCAAACAAAUAGUAAGUGGGCUCCACUACUUUAUUCUUUACAACAUUUUGUUAAUUCAAAAGUUUAGUUUUAGUGGGAUUAAUAAAUUAUUAAUACUGUAGGAGACAGUAGAUAGAUAAUUGGAGAAAAAAAACUGCGUUUAUUAAACCAAUGGGUAACAGUAAUUAAUCAUAGUUAAACCAAUGGGUGACAGUAACAGUUUCACAACAAUUGAUCAUUAUUGAGUUUCAAACUUGAUAAGUAGGAGGAUACAGUGCAUGGUUUUUAUUAAUGUACGUAAAAACCAAUAGCUAGCUAGGAUCUCCUAUGUCAUGGGCACAGCUAUUAGAGGCUGAGCCUUCUGUAAAGUGAGGCCAAACUUGUCUUCCAUGUUCAUGGUCUCUGGUGCAACCCCAUCUUCAAGCUUCCAGUUAUCAAAGGAGUUAAGAAGUGACCCCAACAUCAAGUUCAGCAUUCUCAUUGCCAACGGCAACCCAGGACAAAUUCUCCGUCCACCACCAAACGGGAUAAGCUCAAAGUUCCUCCCUGUAACAUCCAUGUCCAAUCCCAAGAACCUCUCCGGCAUAAACGAGUUCGGGUUGUCCCAGAUGCUGGGGUCUCUGCCUAUGGCCCAUGCGUUGACCAAAACUUGUGCACCUUUUGGUACAAUGUACCCGCAGAUUUCUACAUCUGCUCCGGCUUUGCGAGGAAUUAGCAAUGGAGCUGCCGUGUGCAAGCGCAAGGUCUCUUUGAUUAUGGCUUGUAAGUAAGGGAGCCGAGUGAUGUCUGAUUCCUCCACUGGUUUUCCUUUGCCAAUGAUGUGCUUCAGCUCCUCUUGAGCUUUUGACAGUUUUUCGGGGUUGUGUAGUAGCUCAGCCAUUGCCCAUUCUAAUAUGGCUGAAGUUGUGUCUGUGGCAGCAACAAAUAGAUCCUAUAAUAAUUGGCCAAAUUGAUUAACUAGUACGAAUAAAUACUUAUACCAUAUCAAUUCAACAUCUGAUCUACCAUUUUCGUGGUAAACUUGACCCCCGAUUGAGACAGUAUCAAAUGAAAUAAUCAGUUUAGAUGAUACAUAUAGCCGCAGUAAUAAUUAAGAAAACGAAAAACAAAAGCGAAAAUGUAUAGUAGUCAUAAUUAAUUUUGAAAUCUAAGCAAUUUAUACCUAUAUAUCAAUUGAAACAAAGUUAUCAAGAUUAAAGGAGAGCUAGAGUAUAUAUAGAUAGCCACUAACCAGGAACAAAUGUUGAGUUUCAACCAUGUCCAUAUCCUCAUUUUUCUCUUCACUACUGUUUAUAAGGGUAUCUAACAUAUCACUGGUUAUGAUAUAGUCAGGUGCUUUUCUUGAUUCCAUUCUUUGGAUGAUCAAGCGAUCGAAGAGGUCAAACAUCUUCAGGAUGUGACGAGUCAAACGGCGCCGUAUCCCCACGGGGUCAAUCUUUUUAAGCACUGGAAAAUAGUCAGCCAAGUUUGGUUUCGAAAUCUCUUCCAUAAUACUCCGCACCAGCUCCUUGAACUCUCUAGCCCUCUCACUAUUCUGGCUCGCUAAAUCCACAGAGAAGACAGUCCGCGACAUCAAAUUGAGCGUAGUUUUGAAAGCAGCGCUUCCAAUCUCCACUCCAUCACCUUUUACAACGCUUUCAUGGACAUCAGCUAUGAGCUCUUGCACUUUUAGGCGACGGUUGGCUUGGCUGGCGUCGAGAACUUUGGUGGCGAACAAUUGGGAGUUGCAUAUUUUGCGAAGGUUUCUCCACUUAGCUGAAACAGGUAUCCAGGGCAUGCCGUUCUCGCCAUGUUUACAGGCUUGGACUGAAUCUAAUACUGUUCGGUUGCAAAACAAUUGGUCAUGGGUUUGGAGAACUUGUUUAGCUAUGGUGGAUGAAGAAACCACAACAGUUGUGAUUUGGCCAAGAUGUAAAGUCAUAAUGGGGCCAUAGCGUUGUGAAAGCUUGGUUAGGGAGCGGUGGGGUUUGUUUCCAAGCUCUAGAAGAUUUCCAAUGAAAGGAAGUGGCUUUGGUCCAGGUGGAAGCUUUUUGGGACUUCUUCUUGCAAAUGAAUAAUAGAGGGCAUGGACUGAGACCCAGGCAACCAUAAGACACAUUAGAGUGGCUCCAGCGAAGGAGCCCAGCCCGAGGCAAGGGCAGAAAAAAAAAAAAAUUCCGCUCCAGCGUGCAGCCCAGGCCCGGGUUUGGUGUGGGACCCACCAACUCGGGCCAGCCCGAAGGCCAAACCAGCCCCAGGUCCAAAACGAGGGUGCUGACGUCAGCGCUGGCGUCACGCUGACGUCAGCUAGCUGGUACGCUGCCACGUGUCGCGCUCAGUGCCUUCCGAUCUGCUUCUCCUUUCUAAUCCAACGGCUGAGGCUUUUUUGGGUGAAAAAAAUAUGAAAAAAAAUUCUAAAAAAUUCUAAAAAAUUCUGAUAUUUUUUUCUAUAAAUACAUAUCAAUACCCUUCACUUUCAACACCAAUACUCUUACAUUUCAUUAUACUUCUACUAAUAUUCACUCUUUUUACACAACAUUUUCCUCUUUUUCAUCUAGCAUUUUGAAAUUCAUCCGAAAUUUGAACCCAAAUUUAUCUGAAUUUUGAAUUUUGAAAUUCAUUCGAAAUUUGAACCCAAAAAUUUAUCUGAAAUUUGAACUUUGAAAUUAAUCCGAAAUUUGAAUCCAAAUAUCUUAUCCGAAAAUUUUAUCUGAUUAUGAAUAGUCUUGACACGUAGGAAUCCGAAAAUCUUAUCUGAAAAUAUUACCCAAAUUAAUUAUUUUCAUUAAAAAAUAGGAGGAAAAAACAAAAAAGUGAAUAGUAAUUGCCAUGGCUAAGGGCAACGGGUGGAGAAACGAUUUACUAUUUGCAAGGGCAACCACUAUUCACGUGAAUAGUGCUUGCCCUAGCUCCACCCUUGCCAUGGCUAAGGGCAAAUGGGUGGAGUUGCUCUUAGAAUGCAACUCAAGAAAUCCAUCUCUCGCCUAACUUAAUUAAUUUUUGGCACGAUUGUUGAGACUUAUCAAGAAAGCAUGAAAAUAUCUUUUAAGUUCGUUUAUACUUAUCCUCUAAGCUAAGAGACAAACUUAGGUAAUAAAGACAUUUGAGAACAACUUGGGUAGGUAAAGAAAUUUGACAACAAUUUGGGUCUGGACUUAACUGUUACGAGUGGAUGCUUUUACAAGCUAUCUUUAUUUACUUUAAGGUGAAUUUCAAUAAAUAUCAUAUGAACUUUUAGGUAUGUGUGGGAUUAACUUAUAAAUUUUUAAUUUUUUCUAGUAAUCACUUGAACUAUUUAUAGUGUUGAAAUAUUUACAAUCUACGUCUAACUCCUUUAAAAAUUUCCGUUAAAUCAAAUCACAUGCUUCAAAAGUGAUAUUAUUAAAAGUCAUUUCCAUCAAUUCACUAUAAAUAAAAAAUAUAAAAAUAAAACCAACCUAAUUUUUCCACGACUUUCCCAUCGCCUUCCAACACCUCCCAAAUCUAGAAGAGUAGAAACAAAGGAAGAAAAGUGAUUGAGCUGACAAGAUUUCCAAAUACAUUUUUUAAAUUGAAAAAUCAACACCGAAUAACUUAAUAAAAAAUUUACAAAACAAAAAUCUGUAAACUAGUGGCAUGGCUCUGUUUGCUUUUCCUUUAGAUAUAGCCUUCGCAAGUUCAAUCUACCAUCAUAUCUACAGUUUCUAAAUUCAUCUUCCUGUGAUGUAUUGUGAACAAAUUUUAAGAGGCAGGACGUAUGAAACCCAAGCCUAGCGAAGCAACUAACACCAAAAUUUUGAGGAAAAAAAAAAGAAGAAAGAUGAAGAUUGGCCUCAAUCAUAAAGCCAAUACAGUCCAAUUACUCUAUGCACCCCAAUAAACCUUCCUCAGAAAAAAGAAAAAAAAAACUAUCUUCAUAGUUAAUUCUGCUGGACGUUAUUACAACAACUAAUUGUUAUUGAGUUUCAAACUUGAUUAAUGAUUGAGAUAUAUACACGACAUAGUCUCUAUUUUUUUUAAAUAAAAGCGAUCGAUAUUGGGUGGGUGAGAUUCAAACACAGAAUCUCGAGUGCAAGGAAGAUAACUGUUCAAAAUAUGGAUGGCAAUUUUCCCCGGGUAAGGGUCUUCGCGCGGAUUUGACCCUAAUGGUCAGGUAAGAAGGAUAAAAAACGGGUAUGGGGAUGGGUACGAUAAAUUUUUUGGGUAUGAUGUUAGGGGAGGGGCAGGGAUAGUAUUUUAAUCCCUGACCCGAACCCUCCCCGUUUAGAAUAUACAUAUAUAUAUAUAUAUAUAUAUUAUAGUGUAUAUAAAUAUGUUAUUAAAGUGAUUGUGCCAAUUAAGUUUUAUAUUUUCUAUUAUUAUAUUAUAUAUUUAUAAAAUUUAUACAAAUCUUAAGCCACACUAAUUAUAUAUUUAGUUAACUUCCAAUCAAUAUGUAAACAUUCUUAUAUUGUCUUGUACGUAGAUAAUAUAUUAUAUAUACUCAUUAUCUUGCCCUAGUCCUUUUUUGUUUUGUUUCAAACAAAGUAGUUUUAUAUUGAUUUUUUCUUCCCUAGUAAUGGGGCAGGUCGGGGAACCCAUUCCCCACUGAAGGUGGGAAUAGGGAAUCCCUGAUAUGAAUAUUGCAAUUAUGAAGGCGAGAAUGAGGGGAAAAGCUUAACGGGAUGGGGAUGGAAAUAGCAUACCCACCCCCGAUCCGACCAAUUACCAUCCCUAGUUCAAAACCACUUGAGUUACAAGGUAUAUGCAUACACAACAUAAUCUUAAUUUAUAAAAUAUGAAAACUUUAUAAACUGAUUUUCCUUUUGUCAUUAAUAUGAUCAUUAUACAGUAUAUAUAUACAAGUCUACAGAGAACAAUCUACAAUUACAGCAAGCCAUUAUCAUAAACAUAAGGAUUAACUACACUUUAGUCCCUGGAGGUUUAGUGUCAGUAUCGAAAUGGGCCCCAAGGUUUCAUUUAAAUCAAUUUCAUACCCGACAUUUUGAACUAUUACCAAUUUACACUUACCGUUACAUUGAUCGUCAAAGUCAGACGUUAAAUGCUGACGUGGUAGUCGUGGGACCCACCUCAUAACCAAACAACAGUUAGAAAGAAACGAGACUAAGGGCAAUUUUGAAAGAAAAAAAAACAAAAUAAACAAAGGUUUGACUUCUGUCCAAUGCACACGUUCCAAGGCAUGCUUCGGAUACCCAAGCUUGGAAAAAUCAAAGAAACUCAGUUUAUGAGUUUUCGAGAGAGACAUAGAGGAAAUGGUUUGUUCGUGUUUUGGAGAGCAAAGAUUUGAAAUUGACUGCAAAAAUCAAACUGAAACAGAGGCUUCCGAAAUAUCUGAAGAGUUUGAGUUGGGAACUUCGUCCCAAAGGAUAUAGAGGACCUUUCUACGGUACGUAUGGCUUACUGUUCUAAGGUUCUUGGUAGAUGAUGUUUCUGAGCUAAACUUUCAAAUAGAGAGUUUGAGUUUCGAGUGAAAGUUUGGUUUUUAUAAUGGAUUGUGAGUUUCGAGUUAGGUGUCGAUAUCACUGUGUCCAUUUAAUUGGUAGAUGGAAUUGUGUGAAUGGUAGGUGGUAUGCGAAAGUAAACUUUGGCUUUUGUAUGUGGUCCUACAACCAGUAGGAAUCUUACCUUUUGUGUAUGUGUGUAUUGACAUAGAAAGUUUGUACUUGUAUGUGUGUAUGCAUAUGUGUCUUUUUGUAUUUGUAUUUGUAUUUGCAUUUGUAUGUGUGUAUUUGUAAACAGCCUUACAUGUAUUUUUGUUUGGUAAAAUUCAUGUGUGGCUUUCGACAUGCGGGGGAUGAGGCAGGAUUUUCUAUUGAAAUGUACCACAAUGGUGAAAUAAGAGGUAACUAUUAUGUGAAUGGGUCUGUUGAUUGGUUUGAUUAUUGUGAUAAGGAUAAAAUGUCAAUGACUGAGAUAGAUGUCAUGGUAAAGGAGUUAGAGCACGAAGGUAUGAUUAACUACGGGUACAGUAUUCCAAGUGAUCAUUUUGAUUGUGGCCUAGUUAAGCUGGGUGAGGAUGCAGAUGUCUUAGACAUGCUAGUAUUUGUGCCAGACACUAGGUUGAUAAAUAUAUUCCUAGAACAUGUCUUGGCAUACAGUCAAGAGCAGUUUUACAGUCAAGUGGCUUCAAACAUAUUUAUAAAUUUGGAGGAUGAUUUUGGGACCAACACUAGGGUAGUGAUUGAAGAGCUUGAUGACAAUUAUGGUGCCAUUGUUCUAGUGGGUGGGGGAGUAUCCCAAGUGCAAAAGGUGAAAAAAAAAAACAAGUGUUGUAAUAGAAGAGUUAAAUGAAGAAGGGUUGAAUCAAGAAGCAGGUGGACAAGGCAAAUAGUCGAAUCAAGAAAAAGAAGGGUUGAAUCAAGAAGCAGGUGGACAAGGCAAAGAAUUGAAUGAAGAAGGGUUGAAUCAAGAAACAGGUGGACAAGGCAAAAAGUUGAAUGAGGAGGGGUUGACUAAAGAAGCAAGUGGACAAGGUAAAGAGUUAAAUGAAAAAGGGUUGAAUCAAGUAGGGUUGAUUGAAGAUGGGUUGACUGAUGCAGCUUCUGAACAAGCCAAAGAAACUGCCACUGUGAAUAAGGAGGAGAAUUCUUAUAAGGGCCAAGAAAAGCCAAAUAAGGGUUUUUCUGAUAAAGGCAAAGGCAAGAAUAAAAACAUGUCACAUAUGGUGAAGCGUGCUUUUGGUAUAAAUAAAAAAAAAAGAUGCGGCAAUUUGAGGAGGACAAAGACUGUUCACCAUAAAGACGAAGAAGUUGUGGAAGGAAGGGUUGAUGGCGUCAGGACUGAGUCCAAAAGCCAUUCCGUGAUGUUGAGAAGUGGAAGAAGAUAUGCAAAUGCUGUAGACUUUGAAGAUGAAGAUGAUGAUGCUUUUAAUAGUGAGGACUCAGAUUAUAUGAUUUCCAAGAACUUUAGUGAAGAUGAAGAUGAUGUUUUUUUUUUUAAAUGAAUAAGUGGAUAACCAAACUGAAUGGACAGGGGUUAAAGAAACUGGGAAUGAGGCUGCUCUUGUAUGCCUACGGAUGUUGAAUUGGAUUCUGAAGAUUCUGAGUGCAAGGAUUAUGCCAAGUAUAAUUCUGACAAGGAAGUUGAUAAGAAUUAGCCGAAGUUCAAUGCUGCAACUAACAUGGCAGAUCCAAAGUUUGAGAUUGGCAUGUUAUUUACUGAUUGUAAGGUGUUUAGGAGAACUGUUAGAGAAUACUCCAUCUUGCAGAAUAGGGAUGUUGUGUUUAUUAGGAAUGAGGCUUUGAAGUUGAAGGUAGUUUGUAGGGACCCAGAUUGUGGGUGGAUAAUAUAUGCUUCAAAAAUGCAACAUGAGAACACAUUGCAAGUGAAAACAUAUGUAAGUGAGUACACAUGUACACAGCUAUGGGAGAACUCUACUAUGAAGUCAACAUGGAUAAGCAAGAAAUAUGUUGAGACAUUGAAGUCCAAUUCCUAAUGGCCAAUCAGGUCAUUCAAGCAGACUGUUAAGAAGGAUUAUAAUACAUGAGUGUCAAGACUACAAGUGUAUAGGGCAAAGGAUAAGGCACUAAACCUGAUUGAGGGCAGUUUCAAUGAACAAUAUUCAAGAAUUUCAAAUUAUUGUGAGGAAUUAAGAAAGAGUAACCCAGGAACCACAACAAUGGUUAAGUGUGAUUUCCAACAACAGUUGGGGCAACCAAAGUUUCAAAGGUUGUAUGUUUGUUUAGGAGCUGCUAAGAAAGGCUUCAAAGUUGGGUGUAGGCCCAUUAUAGGUUUAGAUGGGUGCUUUUUGAAGAGUGUUUAUGCAGGGUAACUGUUAACUGUUAUGGGUAUAGAUGCCAAUAAUGAAACCUGGGUAAUUGCAUAUGCAGUUGUGGAUCAGAGUGCAAGGGUUCCUGGAUUUGGUUUUUGGAGCUAUUGGUUAAGGAUUGUGAAAUUGUUAAUCAAUUUGGCUUCACAAACAAAAAGAUUUACUGCCUGCAUUUGAGCAAGUGGUCCCUAAUUGUGACCACAAGUUAUGUGCAAGACACAUGUUUUUCAACUAUAGGAUAUUGUUCAAAGCAAAAAGCCUGAGAGACAAGUUUUGGGAAGCAUCAUAUGCGACCACUGUCCCCCACUUUACAAGGGCCAUGGAAGACCUGAAAAACCUAUCCAAGGAUGCAUAUGAAUGGCUAACCACUCCAGAUAAACCUCCAAUACAUUGGUCCAAAUCACACUUCAAUACUCAUUUGAAGUGUGACAUGUUGUUGAAUAAUCUGUGCGAUUAUUUCAAUGCUACCAUAUUGGAAUGUAGGGAUAGACCAAUUCUUACAAUGUUUGAGUAUAUUAGAUGUAGUUGAUGAGGAGAAUACAAGGAAGAAGGGAAAAAAUGUUGAAAUGGAACAUGCCUAUCUACCCAAGAAUAUUUAAGAAGGUGAAGGGAAAUAAAGCCAAGGCAAGUGCUUGUGUGGCAAUGUGGUCAGGUGGAGGUAAAUUCCAAGUGUGAGGUGGUGGCCAUGCAUAAUAUAUUGUGGACUUGGAAUUAAGGACUUGUUCUUGUAGAGCUUGGGAUUUGUAGGGAUGACCUUGUGUUCAUGCUAUUGCAGCCAUAAAUUAUAAAAGGGGUCUUAAUGUCAUGGAUUUUGUGGAUGACUGCUAUUCGAUAACAAUUUACUUGAAGACAUAUGAUAAUCUCAUACUGCCUAUGAAUGGGAUAAUGUGUGGGAUAAGAGUGACUUUCUAUCAUGUCUUCCUCCGUCUUACUCUAAACAGCCUGGAAGGCCAAGAAAAUGUAGAAACAAAGAAGAAGGAAAGCACAAGGGCAAAAUGAAGAUGAGAGCGUCAAGCAACCAAGUUGAAACUGCAUUGUCUCACAUUCCCAACACACAGGACUUUCUCAAAUGUGGGCAAUGUGGGAAAAAGAGACACAAUAAGAGGACUUAUCAUAGGAAUCUUCCCCCAAACACCAAACUGCAACUAAGAGGAAGAAGGGUAUUGAAAAUACCUAGGUAUAGCAACUCAAUAUUGUUCAAUUCUAUCCCUUAAUAACCCUAAGCUUUUGUUGCUAACUGACAAGAAUUUUUAUGUUGUAGACCACUAUUAAUCCAUCUGAAGCAGCCACUCCAGCUGGUCCAAGCACCAUAAAGAAAAGAUCUAAGCCUCCAAGGCGUGUGCAAAAAGGGAAGCCUCUAGUAAGUAACUUUGCGUUGUCAUGGUUAUUAUCACUUUUCUUAAAUUUUCAAAUAAAAGGUUAACAUCCUAAACAUUUUUCAGCCAAAACCAAGUAAGAAAUGACAUGCCACUUCUGAAGCACAACCAUCCUCAACUUCAUGUCCUCAUGCCUUCAUGCAUCAACUUCUGUUUCAACUGUAGGAUCAAAUGUUGUAGAUUGAAGCUGACUGAAAAAGGAAUUUGAUUACUCGCCUUUUUUUGUUAGACUGGCAGUUUGUGAUUAGGAGGUUUUUGUUUUUGAUAAAUUGAUCAUGUAUAACUUAAGUACUAACCUUUUUUUAUGGAUGUCAUGGCAUUCACAUAAGCCUCAACCACUGUGAAUGCAAAUACAUCCACUAAAACUGCCAUUUUGGAAUAAAUUUGAAUGGACAUGAAAUAUGUAAGAUAUGCAAUGUUAUUAUCUAGCUAUUUUGAGCCCAUUUUGAAUGCAGAAUUUUCUGAGUUUUUGGGUUGGCACUUUACUUCAUUAUUUUGGCCAUUCACUUUAUUGUUCCAGGUGCAUCCAUUUUCUAACUUCCCUGCUACAUUGUUUUUGGCAUUCCUUUGCAUAAUUUGACUAGCACUUGGGAAGCAUCAUUGGCCAUUUACUUGAUUGAUUUGGGCUAAUUUUCUAACUUUUAUUUACAUUGUUUUUGACAUUCUUUUGCAUAAUUUCACAACCACAUAGAUUUAGAUGGCCAUUCACUUCAUUUGCAUACUCUUUAUGAUGGCCAUUCACUUCAUUUAGAUAUAAUUCGCUACAUAUUUUGUCAUUCCAUUCACUUCAUCAAGUUACAAAAAGUCAGCAAUUAAACCCUUAACCCUUACCCCUAACCCUUAACCUUAACCCUUACAUAACAAUUAAACCAUUACAAAAUGCCACUAACAACCCAACACUUACAGAAUCUCACAAACAACCCAUAAACAAUUCAUUCAAUGGCAGAAGCUAAUUCCAAGCUCCUCUUUUUGUUCACUCCACAUUCACACAUCCUUCCCAAAAUGAUGUUUGCAAAUAGAACCCACGAAGCCACCAACAACACCCAAACUACCUUUUCUCUUUCUCUUGCCUUUGCCACGGAUUUCUCCAGCUGAAUCCGUGAUUUUAGAAGCACAGGAAUCACUACCUUUGACCGUUCACACAUGGCCGGAUCAAACCAUGCCCAGAAUUGACAACCCUUAUUCUUAGUCCCACGUACCUUUGCUGCACACAUGGAAAAUCGCCUCCCAAGAUUCGAAUAUGUCCAAGAGGUUCGAAUUGUAGCAGUCUUUCUGCACCAACACAUCGGCGCCUCUUCAUCCAAUCCAACUAGCCAAUCGGAUCUUCUUCGUCAGUUUUCUCUCCACUUUUUUCCUUUCUCCUUUUUAUCUUUGCUCUCCAAAACACGAACAAACCUCUCCUUUAUGUCUCUCUCAGUAUCUCUCGAAAACUCAGAAAUUGAGUUUCUUUGAUUUUUCCAUGCCUUGGGUAUUCGAAGCACGCCUUGGAAGUCAAACCUUUGGUUUUUUUUUCCAAAAUUGCCCUUCGUCUCGGCUUUUUCUAACUGCUGUUUGGUUAUAAGGUGGGUCCCACAAUUGCCACGUCAGCAUUUAACGUCUGACUUUGACGGUCAAUGUAACGGUAGGUGUAAAUUGGUGAAACUUCGAAAUGUCGGGUAUGAAAUUGAUUUAAAUGAAACCUUGGGGCCCAUUUCGAUACUGACACUAAACCUCAGGAAAUAAAGUGUAGUUAAUCCUAAACAUAAAUAUGGAAUUAUGGCCUAAUAACAACAUAAUUGACAGCUAACCAAUUCCUAUCAUUAGUAGGAUUAAUUAUUCUAACUGAAAUACUAUUCUAACUCCCUAAUACUCCCCCGCAAAUUGAGCACGGACAACAUAGCAAGAUUUGAGUGAAGAAACUACAUGGUGACGGAGAUGGCGGCAACAGUCAAAUGUAGUAGUCCAGUAAGGGAAGAAGAACUCCAUAGGUGCAACAAGGCUUGAUAGAAACAAAGUAACAGAAAAAUAAAAAUAACGCCCUUUGAAAGGCAACAAGUGAAGGAGCGCAUGGGCUUAUGGAAGGAAAGAAUAAAAUGACGGGCUGACAUAAAAGUCCGAUAUACCUAGGAAACAACUCUAGGCACCUGAGAAACAUAACUCUACCUAGGAAUCACCCUCUAGGUAGGAUAAAGAGCAUGCGUUAAGUGGGAAAAUAAAAGGAUGGGGGAAGUGAAACCUAUCAUCAGGUGGGAAAGGCCAAAAAGUGGUGCACAAAGAGAGAGAGAAACAAAUUUUAAAAGUAAAGGGAUGGGGAAGAAUAAAACCACAAAAAAAACAAACACCUGCCAUAACGCAUAGAUAAAAAAGAGGAAAAAAACCAUGCGAGAGUCUCACGGUGAGACAAACAAAAGACAAGGAGCGUGAGCAAGACAGGCCCUUGAGACAAGUGCAGAAAUAAAUUAGGUUUUUUUUUAAAUAAAUUAAAUAUUAGAAAAUGAGGACAAAACCCAGCACGUGGAAAGCAUAGAAAUAUGGAGCUCAAGAAAGAGAGCCAAGCGCAGGGAUAUUAGUGGUGUGCAAAGUAAAAGAAGAAGAUUACAAAGAUAAAAGUGAGAAAGGUUAAAAAGGGAAAAGAGAGAAAAGAGAACUCUUUGAUAGGGAGGGAGAGAGUCUCUCAAAUAAACAGAGAAAUAUGGCUCAAAACAAAGAAAGUUGAGGGAGAUUUCAAGAGAAGAAGGGAAACCAAUGAUAGAGAGGUAUGGUCUUCGAGGGAAAAUAAACAAAAAGAGGGAGCUUGUGAGAACAAGAAGCUCAAGAGGGUAAGGAAAAGUUUGAUGCUCGGUUUCAGCAGAGAGAAGUGGCCCCAUAUUGAUGGAUAACAAGGGGUUGGCGAGCCAAAAGAGGGUUAGGCAACGGCUGUGCAAGAGAAUAACAAUGGCAGGAUAGCACAGCAUGAGAGAGAUAAAGGCCGGUGAGGAAACUCACGGAGGAAACAGAAAUCUAGCCAUCAUGGCCAACGAAGAUAAAUGGAGCUGUGUUAGGUUGCCUUGAGAUAGCUCCACAAUGAAGAUGGUGCAGCAGAGACACAAAAAUAACGGGCUAACAGAAGAAAAGGUUACAGUCGUAAAAGAGAGGUGUGGCUAUAGCUAAGGUGGAAAGAAAAAAUAUAUUCAUCAGAAGCUCCACGACCAGCCAAAUUUUCUCCUCCAAAACCGCCACCAAAUGCCUCCAUUCUUGGCGGCACUAGUCCCGUUAGAACCGUCUCACUUCCCUCUUCGAUUCCCAACUGGUCCCAGCCUUGAUUCGCCAUCGUGGUGGCCGAAAUCAGCCACGAAACAAUUGGUGUUAUAGAGUUUUUUUGUAAACUUUCGGGAGCUCAUUCGGAGGCCUCCGGCCACCAAAUCUUUCGAAUUUUAUAUGAUUUUAUAUCCUUUCAACAUGUUCUAUCUGCUGGUUGUGUUAGUUUUGAGAAAUUUCUGCAUUUAAUUGGUUGAUUAAGCGAUUGAAGUUUUGGCCAGUUUCGAUCUCUGAUUCCGGCCACUUCCAUCAACUUUUUGGGGUAGGUCCAAGAACAAAAGUUGCUCCACUAUAUGUGGUGAUCAUGUACGUAUAAGUCUUAACUAGCAGUUUGGAGAUUUUUCGAUCGCCGGAAUCACUUUGGACACUCACGAGCUACCAAAGCAUGGGACACCUUUCGGCCUGACCUUAAGUCCUAAAAUUAUCUUCAUGUCAUCCCAAGCACGAUGGUAUGCUCGGAUAUGAAUUUGGUUACCGUUCGAUUGUCGAUCGAAUAUUGCAUAUUAAGCGUUAUCCGGGUUCGAUAUGUUCGGGCCGUUGGAUUGACUCCAAUUAGAUAUAUAUUGAUCUAGGCAUUCCUAAGAUUGUGUAGGAAUUCACGGAUCUUGAAUCGGAUCGCCGGAUGUUCCAAUUCAAUUACUUAAAGUAUGCGUUAAACGAUAACCUCCAAUCGUCCAAUCACGAGCAAUUCGGACCAAACUUGCAGGGUAGAUUUAGAGGGGUGUGUUGAACCUAUAGGAACUCCCGAAUUUGUGAUUGGAGGUCGCGGGCCCCGCGGGUCCAAUUGACCAAGUUUAGGCGGUUUGACCCCUCGGUUGACCGUGAGUCUUUUGAGGUAUUUAUAUCAUUUGAGAAGUAUUAGAAUGACCAUGCAGACGAGUCCUCACUGAAAAUUUAGUUAUUCGGAUCAUGUUAUGGAUUUAUAUAAUUAUGAGAAGAGUAUAUAUAGUUAUAUAUAGAUUGCUAAAUUGUGCAUAGUUCUAUUAUUUAUAUUUUAAAGUGUAUUAUAGUAAUUGAUAAUAUAUUUGAAUGUUAUUCUCAAUGCUUGGAGAUUAUACAUUAUUGGAACUAAUGGAAUCUCUAGGAGUAGUGAUUAUUUAUUUAUUCCCUUAUUCAUUUACUUAUUUAGUUAUUUAUUGCUAUGAAGAUUAUAAUUACAGUAUUGGAAUGGUUGGAUAAUCGGAGUUUGACAUGAUUAACAAACUAAUUAGCUAUUUAAGUUCAUGUCUAUAUUUAAUACAUAUACUCAAUAGCUGAAAAUGGAUUUGUUGAAUAAAGGGAAAGUUUGUGAUAAGUUUUGGAUAUGGCUUUUCAAACCCAUCUCAGGAGUCCCCCCCUCCCCCCCCCCCCUAUUGCCCUUGAAAUAGAUUUGUCAUUUAUGACAUGCCCCAUGAGUUUCGGGACGCCUGAACUGUGUAGUUUGAAGAUAUGCGUUCUCGGGCCUACUACAUGUCCCUCGAGUUCUGCGAGGAAUGAGGCCCAGGCUAACUAAUGGCCCCUUCAGGCCUACGAGGAAUGCGGCUCGGGUUAACUUUGUGUUUCCGAAGCCUGCGAGGAAUGCAACUCGGUUAACUUUGUGUUUCCGAGGCCUGCAAGAAUGGAAUUCACGGACUAAUAUUGGAAUUGAUAGAUUAUUAUUGGAAUUGACGGAAUAUUAUUAGAAUUAACGAAAAAUUAUUGGAAUUGACGGAAUGUUAUCGGAAUUGAUGGAAUAUUAAAGGAAUUGACGAAAUAUGGAUAGGGGUAUGUCCAGGUGGAAAGAAUCUCAAGAGACAAAACCUAAUCCUAUUUAAAAUAGGACUAACAUAAAAGCACUUAAGUGAAAAUAACUCCAACUAGGAAUCCUAUAAUGAAUGCAUGAUUAUGUCAUGAUUAUGCAUGAUUUUUUCCCUUCAAAAAAUAACAAUUUGGGUUUUGCCCGUACUCAAAUCAUUUUUUCUCCCAACCCUCCGGACUCAAAUUUUAAGUCUGCAACUUAAUUAAAUUGUUUAAGAAUGGUUUAAGUCUUUUUUUUUUUAUGGAUAACUUUUCUUCAUUUAAUCUUUUUAAAUAACAUCAUAAUUUAAUUUUUUGAACAAUUUGACCUAAAAAAAAUUGAAAUUCCAUAAAUUUAAUUUUAUUCCAAAAGUAAACACACAACAUAAAAAAAACACACACAACAUAAUUGAAACACAAAAUGAGGAUUGAAACAAUUGUCGACCUCAUUCACCAUCUCCAAAGCUCCUCCAAAGGUGAUUGAUCAAAUCAUGUCGGAGACUCUGAUGCACAUGUGGAGAUUGAACUCUAUUAUGACGAAUCAUGUAAUCAGAGAGAGUCUGCCUAUCUUGGUGGUACUCAUAUGUAAUGCUUGGCUCCAGCUCAUAUUGUCUUGCUUUGGCCCUCAUGGAUCGUUGUGAACACAUAUCCUCAUCAUCAAAUUCCUCUUCAACAUAUUCAUACUCAUCCUCCACAAUCAUGUUAUGCAAAAUUAUACACAUCAUCAUGAUUGAAUAGAGGUUAUCCCUGCACCACAUACGUGUAGGGCCCCGAACAAUAGCCCAUCGAGCCUGUAAUAUUCCAAAUGCUCUUUCAACAUCCUUCCUGUAUGCUUCUUGCAUUCGUGCAAAAAGCCUCUUCUUUGGGUUAUCAGGAGAAGAUAUGGUCUUCACUAAAGUAGCCCAACAGGAGUAGAUCCCAUCUGCCAAAUAGUAGCCAAAUGGUAUUGAUUUCCAUUGACAAUAUAUUCAACAUGAGGAGCCACUCCAUGUACCACAUCAUUGAACAAUGGAGAACGAGCUAAAAUGUUGAUAUAAUUGUUGGAUCCAGGGGCUCCAAAAAAGGCAUGCCAUAUCCAUGUGUUGUACGAGGCCACGGCCUCUAGCACAAUAGUGGGUUUUUUUUUGUGACCGGUAAACUGGCCUGCCCAAGAAGAUGGGCAAUUCUUCCAUUCCCAAUGCAUGUACUCAAGACUUCUUAACAUGCCUGGGAAGCCUCGACUGCUUGCCUUGUGCAAUAGCUUGUAAAGGUCAGCUGGAUUUGGAGACCUGAGGUACCAUUGGCCAUACACAGCUUCAACAGUGCAACAAAACUUACGGAGUGACUCAAGAGCUGUGCUUUCACCCAAUCUACAGUACUUGUCGGUCGCGUCAGCUGAGCAUCCUCAUGCGAGCAUAUGAAAGACAGCGGUUAACUUUUGCUCAGGGGAUAGCCCUUGUCGACCGAGCCCGUCUUUUUUUUGGCGAAAGUAUGGCUCGUGGUUGACAACAUCAUUCAAGAUGCGGUAAAACAACUCUUUCCCCAUUCGGAACCGCCUAUGAAAGUCCGUAGUAUUAAAAUGUGGCCUUUCAACAAAGUAGUCGAACAUAGAUUGCGAUGACGAUCUUCCCUCUCACGGUUCUUAUACACACGACCGAUUGCCGACCCACCAUGUUUGGUGGCUUCAUUCUCCAGUGAAGUAUGGUGGACAAUGGCUUCUAAAUCAUCUAAAUCAUCAUCAAACAUAAAGGAAAAUAUGGCCUUGCCACGGUUAUCCAUUGAAAACUUCAAAUGAUAUGAAAAGCAUUGGAAUGAAGAAGAUGAUGUGCUUGAAAUGAUAUCAAAAGUAUGAGAAUAAAAGAGUUGAUGAAAUUUACAAAGGAAAAAUAAAUUGAGAAAUAGAAAAAAUAUUUUUAGUAGAUUAAUUGAGAAAUGAGGGAGUAUUUAUAGAGUUUGGAGUGAGUUUUGGGGUUGGAUCUUAUUUGGAUUAAUUUAAAAUAUUAUUUUGACUAUUGGAUCUUUUUUUUUACCCUUAAAAUAGCUUAGAUUUAAUCUAGAUCGUUAAUUUAAAGUUACUAUUAGAAUUUUAAAUAUAUAUAAAUAUUUGAAUUGCAACGCCACUUUGAGUUGGAAUAAAGCCAGCAUGUGGGCCUAGUCUCUUUUUAAAGAUACUAUUACAUUUAUAAAUAAAUAAAUAAAAAAGGAGCUGUUGGAAUUGCAACGGCUCUCUCACCAGGAGCUGACACGUGGCAUGGGCAGCAGACAAACUCAUCAGAGCUGGUCCCAGCGCGGGUCCCAAUAUUUUUCCCAUGCAUAUGGGCUAUGCCACCUUAGCGCGGGCUCCACUAAAUAGUUUUGGGUCCAGGCUAAAUGUGGACUGGUAUUUGGGUCCAAAUUUAGGUUUUCUCAAAUUUUGGGUUUUUCAUUUUCUUGGGUUGGGAGAGAUUUUGGGGGAUAUUUUGGGUUUAAGUCCUUGGUUGAAGAUGGCCUUAUGUUUACUGUUUCAUUCUUCUUCUUCUUUUUUCCUCCUCGCUUUUUUUUUUUUUUCAUGACAUACUUCAAUUGUUCUAUGUUUCUAUAUUUAAAUAUGCUUCCUUUUUUUAAGUACAAAUUUGAAACAUUGGGACUUUAUAUUUUAUUGUGUUUACUGUCAAAUUUUAUUUUUUUAAUCUUUUCCAAAUUUUUUAUUUAUUGAAAUGCUCGUAAAAAAAAUUAAUAUAAUAUAAACAUACAUUAAAAUAAAAUAAGUUAACAACAACAAAAAUGAACGCGUAAAAUAAAUUACAUCAUAAAAUAAAAUAAAAAAUACUUAUAAAGUCCCCUAUUGUGAGAAAGACAGUAAUAUUUCAUCGGGGCUCUAAAUGGAGUUCUAUCCACCAUAUUUAGAGCCUCAACCAUUACAGAUGGCCUUAUAGAACUCCGGAUAUAGAGCCCCUCAUUGUGAAAAAGAUACCUUUAGAGCCCGUAAUAUUUCAUUAGAACUCCAAAUGAGACUCUAUCCACUAUAUUUAGAGCCUCAACGAGGAUGGCCUUAGAUAACCUGAUAAGAUAAACAACGCCAUCCACCAUACGAAGUGGUGGCCUUAGAUGAGGUUUGUAAUUUAAAUCACCAUCUUUUUCAAUCCACAACAUGAUGAAAGAGUUGAAGGCAUAGAAACAAACAACGAGGUCCAAAUAACAAAAUGCAUCACACUCAAAUAGGGACAGUGGGACUUUUUUGGUAGGUGCUUACAGGAAAAAUGGUUAAAAAGAGGUCAAGUGGGGAUGGGGAUGGGGCUCUAUAUUCUUUAUAUUUUUUAUUUUGUGUGUCUCCUUGAGCCCCUCAUGACAGUGGCAGAAAAAUUCUCCACCACUUCGUAUUUUAGCUGCAUGUAGGCUUCCCAAGAGAUAGAAGAGAAGUUCACUUGGGGGCCCUGCAGGCCCUUAUACCCAAGCAAGUUCAAGGCUUCCUCCCUUUAAUUUUUUUUUUUUUUUUUUUUUAAGAAAAGAGAUAUAUAUUAUUGCUCUCUAUUUUGCCACAUGGUAGGAAAGUCCCCACCUAAGUUUUUCUCUUUCGUGUUUAUCUCCUAGCAUGUAGGAUAUAUAUAUAUAUCAGUAGUGAAAAAAAUGCUCAUGUCCUCUGAACAAUUGUGCCAAAAAUUAACGGGCUGGAAGAAGUAGAGAGAGAUGGAUUUUUUGAGUUGUGUACUAUUAUGUCUUAUGGUUGCCUGGAUCGUAAUCCAAGCCCUCCAAUAUUCAUUUGCAAGAAGAAUUCCCACAAACCUUCCACCUGGACCAAAGCCAUUUCCUUUGAUUGGAAAUCUCCUAGAGCUUGGAAACAAACCCCACAUCUCUCUAACCAAGCUUUCAAAACGCUAUGGCCCCAUUAUGACUUUACAACUCGGCCAAAUAACAACAGUUGUAGUUUCUUCAUCCAUCG
rnacentral:lncRNA from 1 species